UGCUUGGGAUAUCGGGAGCUUCCUCCGAUAUCAGUGUCGUGUCGGCUCUGAUCUAGGCUUGUCGUGUCUGUCUAGAUUAGGUUGUUUAUGUUUUCCGUUGGAUUAUGAUUUUGUUGAUGACUACCCGUAUAAUUGGGUUUUGAGAUUUAUCUUUGAGACAUGAUUUAUUUGCUCAUGGCAUGUAUAUAUUUGAUCACUCUGAUUUGUAUUCCGCUGCGACUAUUGAAAUUCAUAUACAUGUCUAUCGGUUUUGGAAUUUUGAAUAAGACGUAAUCUCUAUUUCUUGAAUAAAUGUAUUAUUCGCAUGUUUAAUUGCUUUAAUAGAAGUAGGGUGUUACAGUGCCCAUCACCACUUGUACUCCAAGGAUAGUAGUAAUGUUCUGUUUGAGAGGAUUUAGGACAUUUCUGCUACAAUAUAUCUCACUCUUCGAUAAGCUGAUGGCCUGUUCGAACGCUGUUUCACAAAUAGACAAGAUAUUUUCUUAAUAGUUGCUUGGUUCUCAUCUGUUUUGAAAAAGAGAAAACAGUCGUCAGCAAAUAAAAGAUGAGAGACAGAAGGAGCUUGACGACAAAUUUUGGUGCCAGUAACAACACCCCGUGACUCCGCGUCCCUAAUGAGUGAGGAUAAACCUUCAGCACAGAUAAUAAACAAAUACGAAGAAAGAGGAUCCCCUUGGCGAAGGCCACACCCCGGNGAUAAUAGGACCAACCUGUUCACCAUUAACAAGUACAGAGUAAUCCACCGAUUCAACACACAUAGACAUCCAAUGAAUCCACCGACUAGUAAAACCCAUUUUUGUCAUGACUGCCCGUAGAUAUGCCCAAUCCAUACGAUCAUAAGCUUUACUAAUAUCGAGUUUUAAAGCAACAUACUUGUCCUUACCACGUGUUUUGGUUUUCAUAAAGUGUAACAUCUCAAUGGCAACCAUAGCGUUGUCUAAGAUUGACCUUCCCGGAACGAAAGCAGAUUGAUUGUCGGAAAUACAUUGAGACAAGACCACCUUCAACCUGUUUGCUAACACCUUCGAAAUAAUUUUAUAAAGAACAUUACAUAAAACUUGUUUAGAUUGAUGAAAGAACCGUCCUGUAACCUUAGAAUAUGUUUAGGAUGAAUUCUGGAAUCAAAACCAAGCUUAGAACCAUGUGAAUCGACGGAUUUUUGUGAUUUUAGGAAGCCUGGCCGUAGCGACAUUCAUCGCUCGCCACGGCGAGCUAUGAUCCUCGCCUCGCGAGUGAUGAGCUUCAUCGCUCGCCACGCGAGCAAUUCCCUUCGCCUCGCGAGUUGCGCAACGCAGCUCGCCACUGCGAACCACCUUACUCGCCACAGCGAGCUAAGGCAGAGUGCAUGUUAGAUUUCGUGUUUCGACCUUUUUAGUUGAAUCUUUUAUGCCUUUGAGUACCUGAACCUACCUAGUAUUGAUUAGGAAUGAAUGUAGGAUCAGAGAAAGCCCAGAACAACCUUAGUUUGGGAGAAGAGUGUCACUCGCCAUGGCGAGUGAGUGCUCUCGCCUCGCGAGUACAACCAGGACGAACUUGUUUAUGUGUUUGUGCGAUCUGUGUCGCACUUGUAGAUUAAGAGUGAACCCCUAACUGGUAAUGAGACCUAGUGAUGCUGUUUAACGCAGAUUGUAGAGUUGUUAAAGUUAUAUUAAUAUCAAUUGAAUAUGAACUAUUGUAUUGUAUAUUCAUGCAAGAUAAGAAGAUGUGUUAAUGAUACAAAUUAUGUGCUUUGAUAUAAUGAUAUCAUCUUGUUAUGUGACUUGUUUAUGCUGCUUUCGUUAUUUAACUAAGUGCAUAAGUAUAUGAUGAAGUUUAGCUCUAAAUUAUUGGAUGCAUGUUGAUAAGUCGAUUAGGCUGUUUUGUUCAUACGUGUCCAUGCAUAGCAUAUCAUUGAGUUUAGUCCUCACCACGAAUAUUAGGAGCUUUGUCCUCCGCACAUUUUAUAGGAGCUUUGUCCUCCGCACGAUUAAAGUAUAUUAAUACUUAUGAUGACGAUUGGUACCACAUGCAUAUAAGGAGUCUAAGAGCAUUGUCACAUUGUCAUGAUUAAGAUGCUUUGUUGAUAAUGAUUGAUUAUGUGAUUACGUAAUAUGUGUUUAUUGAUUAAGUUAUGUUUUUUUCCAAAUUAUUGGAUACACGAUUAUGUGAUAACUGUUUAGUAUUUAUGCAAAGUUAAAUAGUGGAAUGAUUAUGUUGUUAACUUAUGAUUCUCAAUUACAUUGAUUAAUGUUAUUUUAUUAUGAAAUCUCACCCCUUCUGCUUGAAAAUGUUGCCCUUCGUAUGAGUAACUUGCAGGUGAUCGUGCUUAGUGUGCAGUUGCCGUCGUGAGUGGCCUUGCCUUCACUGUGUCGUCUAGGUCGCUCUGAUACGUAACGGGAUGGGGUUUUAUGUAACGCCCUCUCUAAGUAUUUGAUUAUUUUAUAUGAGUUUAGAAUAUACUUAUAUGAUUUGUGUGAUUUAUAUGAUUUAUUUUGAUGAGUGAUAUUUUGUUAUGAUAUAUGUUAUAUAUUUAUUAAUAUAAUAUAUAUGUUAUUUGAUUUAGAUAUAUAUAUACAUGCUAUUUGAUUUAGAAAUAAAAUAUAUGUUAAUUGGUUUAGAAAAUAUAUGUUAAUUGGUUUAGAAAAUAUAUGUUAUUUGGUUCAGAAAUAUAUAUGAUUCGUUAUAGAAAUAAACGUUAUUUAUUAUAAAAAUAUAUAUGAUUUGUUGCAGAAAUAAAUGUGAUUUGUUAUAGAAAUAAACUUUAUUUAUUAUAAAAAUAUAUAUGAUUUGUUGCAGAAAUAAAUGUGAUUUGUUAUAGAAAUAAAUGUUAAUUAUUAUAGAAAUAUGUAUGAUUCGUUGUAGAAAUAUAUAUAUUCUGUUAUAGAAAUAUAUGUAUGAUUUGCUGAAGAAAUAUAUGUCAUUUGCUGUAGAAAAUAUAAAUGAUUUAUUAUGGAAAUAUAUAUAUAUAUAUAUAUAUAUAUAUAUAUAUAUUUGUUAUUUAUUAUUGUUAUAGAAAUAUUUUAUAUAUAAAUAUAUAUAUAUAUAUAUAUAUAUAUAUAUAUUAGAAUAGAAUAUUGAGAUUUUGGUAGGCAAUCUAAUAUAUUUUUGUACUGAAUAAUAUAUUUUUGUACUUAAUAUAAUAUAUUUUGGUACUCAAUUGAUAUAUUUAAUUACUAGAUCUAAUAGGUGCAUUACUUGUUUCCAAAGUUUCUCACUUAUUAGUUGUAAAUUAUCUCUAUAAAUAGAGAACUCACACAGUGCAUUCUACACACCGAAAUUCACAGUUGAUGCUUCCUGUGCUUUUCUUCUCUUCUCCCUCUUUUGACUUGUGUUGACGAGUCUUUCUUCUUUUUCUACUCCUUUCUGUCCCUUCGGAAUUAAAAGUGUUCUUAAGACUAUAAUCCCUCUUAUGUUUAAUGUCCUUUUAAAGAAGAGAAAGCGGUAUAGUUCUUCGUCGAUCAAUCCAAGGUAAGGGUGAGACUAACUUUGCAAUUCUAUUAAGUAUGUGAAUCAAUGGUUAGGUUUAACAUGAUGUAGGAUGAGUUUUUGAGGAAUUGAAAAGUAUGUUAAAAUUGUAGAAUUAAUGAAUAAACGGUAGAAACUUGUUAAAAAGAUGUAGAAUUUGUCCUUAGACCUUAGAUAAUGAUUAAAAUGAUUUGAUGAUAUUUAUAAUGUUAUAUAAUUAGAUAUAUAUUGCAUGAAUUAUGUUUGAUGAUUAAGAUGUUGAUGACGUGCAUUUGUAAUUGUUAUAUAUGAUGAUUAUCAUUAUUGAUUGAUGCUAUUUUGUUGUUAUGAUGAAUAUGAUUUACUUUGAUGAUAUGAUUAAUGAGAGAAUAUUAUAUACUAUGAAUUAAUGAUUAAAUGCAUUACUUGAAAUAUUAUUGAUAUAUAUUGCAUGAAUUAUGUUUGAUGAUUGAGAUGUUGAUGACGUGCAUUUGUAAUUGUUAUAUAUGAUGAUUAUCAUUAUUGAUUGAUGCUAUUUUGUUGUUAUGAUGAAUAUGAUUUACUUUGAUGAUAUGAUUAAUGAGAGAAUAUUAUAUACUAUGAAUUAAUGAUUAAAUGCAUUACUUGAAAUAUUAUUGAUAUAUAUUGCAUGAAUUAUGUUUGAUGAUUAAGAUGUUGAUGACGUGCAUUUGUAAUUGUUAUAUAUGAUGAUUAUCAUUAUUGAUUGAUGUUAUUUUGUUGUUACGAUGAAUAUGAUUUACUUUGAUGAUAUGAUUAAUGAGAGAAUAUUAUAUACUAUGAAUUAAUGAUUAAAUGCAUUACUUGAAAUAUUAUUGAUAUACAUUGCAUGAAUUAUGUUUGAUGAUUGAGAUGUUGAUGACGUGCAUUUGUAAUUGUUAUAUAUGAUGAUUAUCAUUAUUGAUUGAUGUUAUUUUGUUGUUGUGAUGAAUAUGAUUUACUUUGAUGAUAUGAUUAAUGAGAAAAUAUUAUAUACUGUGAAUUAAUGAUUAAAUGCAUUACUUGAAAUAUUAUUGAAUGAUCAAGAUGUUGAAAUGAAUUGUUAUUAAGCUUGAUAUGAAUUGAUUAUGCUGCAAUUGUUAUUUAACUAAGUUGCAAGAAUAUGAAUAAGUUGAUGACGUUUAGCUCCAAAUUAUUGGAUGCAUGAUAAUAUGUUGAUUACGAUGAUUACGGUGUUUUGUUGUUAAGAGUCCAUGCAUAGCAUUUCAUUGAGCUUUGUCCUCACCACGUUUAGGAGCUUUGUCCUCCGCACGAUUAGGAGCUUUGUCCUCCGCACGAUUAAAGUAUAUUAAUACUUAUGAUGACGAUUGGUACCACAUGCAUAUAAGUGUCUAAGUUGCAUUGUCACAUUUGUCGAGUCAAGGUCGUUGUUGAUGAAUUAUCAUCCAUGAGUUGUUAAGUUGUCAAUGAAUUAUCAUCUAUGAGUUGUUAAGUUGUCUUCUACCUAUGUGUUGUUAAAGAAGUACCUACGAAGAUUAUACGAUGUUCAUGAUGUGAAUUAUAUGAUAUUAUUAUGUUGCUAUGUUGUUUAACAUAUUGAUUAUGAUAUUGUUAUGUUGCUAUGUUAUUUAACAUGUUGAUUAUGAUAUUGUUAUGUUAUUAUGAUAUUGUUAUGUUGCUAUGUUGUUUAAGAUAUUGAUUAUGAUAUUGCUAUGUUGUUUAACAUGUUGAUUAUGAUAUUGUUAUGUUGCUAUGUUGUUUAACAUGUUGAUUAUGAUAUUGUUACCUUGCUAUGUUGUUUAAGAUAUAUGAUUAUGAUAUUUUUAUUUUGCUACGUUGUUUAACAUAUUGAUUAUGAUAUUGUUAUGUUAUUAUGAUAUUGCUAUGUUGUUUAACAUGUUGAUUAUGAUAUUGUUACGUUGCUAUGUUGUUUAAGAUAUAUGAUUAUGAUAUUGUUAUUUUGCUACGUUGUUUAACAUAUUGAUUAUGAUAUUGUUAAGUUGUUAUGAUGUUGUAUAUAAUUGUUACUAUUAAGUGAAUGCUAUGAAUAUGUUGUUGUUAUGUUUUCAUAAGAUGAUGAAUACGUUGUUGUUAUAUUAUUAUAAAGUGAUGAAUAUGUUGUUCCAUAUAUGAUUAAUUAUUAUUAAGUGAAUAUUAUGUUAUGUUAUUGAUGAUGAUCGAACGUUGUGAUUACUUGGUAAUUGUUUAUCAAAGAUGCUAUUGUUUAAGAUGACUAUGUUUAAGAUGUUUAUGUUGAAGAUUUAUGAUGUUGAUUAUGGUGUUAGUACGUGUUGUUAUAUUAAUAUAAAAUGAUAAAUAUGUUGUUGUUAUAUAUUAUAAGGUGAUGAUUAUGUUGUGCGUAUAUUAUUAUUAUUAUAGGGAAAUGAUGAUUACAUGAUAUUAUCUAUGAGUUGUUAAAUGUACUUGAUGAUGUUUAUGUUAAGUUGAUAAGUUAUCUUUUAUUCAUCAAAUGAUAAUGAGAUGGUUGAUGAAUAAUUAUUAUUAUGAAUUAAUGAUGUUGUUAUGUUGUAUAUGAAUUAAUUAAGAUGUUGUUAUGUUAUAUAUGAACUAUGAGUAUGAUGUGAUGAUAUAUGUUGUUAUGAUUUGGUUAAUACGUGUUAUAUGAUUAUGUUAUAAUGUGGUGAAUAUGAAGUAAAUGAUAAUUAGAAAUUGGUUGGACUAUUAAGAAUUAUACGUGAAGAAUUAUUAUUACUAAUAGAUGAAGUUAUUCGUGUUGUUAAAUAUAAUUAUUGAAUUAUAUGCUUGAUAUUAUUGUUUUGUGAAAUCUCACCCCUUCUGCUUGAAAAUGUUGCUCUUCGUAUGAGUAACUUGCAGGUGAUCGAGUUUAAGUUGCUGUUGUGAGUGGAUUAGCUCUCAUGUGUGUCUUUAGGUGCUCUGAUACGUAACGGGAUGGGAAUUUUAAUGUUGUCUUUCUAUUCCUUACGUAUUGCUCAAAGAAUUUUCAUGAAUAAGAUGUUGAUCAAAUUUGUAUGAGAUAUUAAUGAUGAGGCCUUGUGCCAAAGACUGUUUUGAUUAUUGAAUAAUGUCCGCUGCGAAGUAUUAAAGACUUUUUAGUUAUUGAAUUUUAAAGGAUAAAUAGUUAUUUAUUCAGUUUAUGAUUUUAAGAAAAGAAGUGUAGCAUUCCGUUUUUGUGAAUUACUCUGAUUAAAUAAAUGAAAUUUUCACGUUGGGAAAACGGGGUGUUACAUUUUAUGCUAUAACAUGCUUCAUUCUCUUACGUGAACUGCCAUGAAUAUUUACUGUUUUGAUUAACUCUUUUGAGAUACUUGUUGGGCCUGCGUGCCAAAACGUUUUAUGAAUUACGAUUAUGACUUUCCGCUGCAAUGUUUAAGAUAUUGGUUAAAUUAUUAUUUGACUGUUGGCUUACGUUAUAUGUGAUAUCCCGUUGUUUUGAUGCUUACUCUGAUAAAUGCUAUGUAUUUAAUGAAAUUUUGAUAUUGGGAAAACGGGGUGUUACAAUUGGUAUCAGAGCAGGUCGGUCUGUCCGAUCAAUUAGAGAGUCGUGUCGAGUCUUAGUAAUAUUAUAUUACUAUCUUUUACUGUUGUCGCUACUUUUGUAGAAUAUCAGAAAUGGCUGGAAGAAACGAUGCUGCGUUAGCUGCUGCUCUACAAGCUGUUGCCCAAGCUGUGGGACAACAACCUAACGUGAAUGCUGGUGCGAAUGCUGAAGCUAGGAUGUUGGAGACGUUCAUGAAGAAGAACCCUCCGGCUUUCAAAGGACGUUAUGACCCUGAUGGAGCCCAGACGUGGCUUAAGGAGAUUGAGAGGAUUUUCCGGGUUAUGCAGUGCACGGAGGAUCAGAAAGUGCGGUUUGGUACUCAUCAGCUGGCCGAGGAAGCUGAUGACUGGUGGGUUGCUCUUCUGCCUACCCUUGAGCAGGAGGGAGCUGUUGUGACUUGGGCUAUUUUCAGGAGGGAGUUCCUGAGAAGAUACUUUCCGGAAGAUGUUUGCGGGAAGAAGGAGAUCGAAUUCCUUGAGCUGAAGCAAGGAAAUAUGUCUGUGACAGAGUAUGCUGCCAAGUUCGUGGAGCUGUCGAAGUUCUACCCGCACUAUACUGCUGAGAAUGCUGAGUUCUCGAGAUGUAUCAAGUUCGAGAAUGGUCUGAGGCCCGACAUCAAGAGGGCGAUUGGGUAUCAACAGCUGAGAGUUUUUCUAGAUUUGGUUAACAGCUGCAGGAUCUAUGAGGAGGAUACCAAGGCUCACUACAAGGUAGUGAAUGAGAGGAAGGGCAAGGGACAGCAUAGUCGUCCUAAGCCGUACAGUGCCCCCGCUGACAAAGGGAAACAAAAGAUGGUCGAUGUUAGGCGGCCUAAGAAGAAGGAUGCUGCAGAGAUUGUGUGCUUCAAUUGUGGUGAGAAAGGCCACAAGAGCAACGCCUGUCCUGAGGAAAUCAAGAAGUGUGUCUGGUGUGGUAAGAAGGGUCAUGUUGUAGCUGAUUGCAAUCGUACAGACAUUGUGUGCUUUAAUUGCAAUGGAGAGGGUCACAUUAGUUCUCAAUGUACUCAGCCUAAGAGGGCGCCGACUACUGGUAGGGUUUUCGCUUUGACUGGGACUCAGACAGAAAAUGAGGAUCGUUUGAUCAGAGGUACUUGCUAUAUUAAUAAUACUCCUUUAGUUGCUAUUAUUGAUACUGGUGCUACGCAUUGCUUUAUUGCUUUCGAUUGUGUUUCUGCUUUGGGUCUUGAGUUGUCUGAUAUGAAUGGAGAGAUGGUUGUCGAAACUCCAGCUAAGGGUUCGGUGACUACUUCUCUCGUAUGUUUGAAAUGUCCUCUGUCUAUGUUUGGUCGUGAUUUUGAAAUGGAUUUAGUUUGUCUACCUUUGAGUGGUAUGGAUGUGAUUCUGGGUAUGAACUGGUUAGAGUACAAUCACGUUCUUAUUAAUUGUUUUAGCAAGUCAGUACAUUUCUCUUCCGUCGAGGAGGAAAGUGGUGCAGAGUUUUUGUCUACUAAGCAGCUGAAGCAACUGGAACGCGAUGGUAUCUUGAUGUUUUCAUUGAUGGCUUCUUUAUCUUUUGAGAAUCAAGCAGUGAUUGAUAGGCUACCGGUGGUGUGUGAAUUUCCUGAAGUUUUUCCGGAUGAGAUUCCUGAUGUGCCUCCAGAGAGGGAAGUCGAGUUUUCUAUUGAUCUUGUUCCUGGAACGACGUCGGUCUCGAUGGCACCUUAUCGUAUGUCUGCUUCAGAAUUAUCCGAGUUGAAGAAACAGUUGGAGGACUUGCUAGAAAAGAAGUUUGUUAGACCAAGUGUUUCACCUUGGGGAGCGCAGGUUUUGCUAGUAAAGAAGAAAGAUGGUAGUAUGCGGUUGUGUAUUGAUUAUCGGCAGUUGAACAAGGUAACUAUCAAGAAUAGGUAUCCACUUCCGAGAAUUGAUGAUUUGAUGGAUCAGUUAGUGGGUGCACGAGUUUUCAGCAAGAUUGAUUUGAGAUCGGGUUAUCACCAGAUUAAAGUAAAAGAUGAGGAUAUGCAGAAGACAGCUUUCAGAACGCGUUAUGGUCACUAUGAAUACAAAGUUAUGCCUUUCGGUGUGACCAAUGCACCUGGAGUGUUUAUGGAGUAUAUGAAUCGCAUCUUCCAUGCAUUUUUGGAUCGGUUUGUGGUUGUGUUUAUUGACGAUAUUUUGAUUUACUCCAAGACUGAAGAAGAACAUGCGGAACAUUUGAAGAUUGUUUUACAAGUGUUGAAAGAGAAGAAACUUUAUGCUAAAUUGUUUGUGUGUGAAUUCUGGUUGAAUGAAGUGAGUUUCCUUGGCCAUGUUAUUUCCGGAGAUGGUAUUGCUGUGGAUCCGUCUAAAGUCGAAGCUGUAUCGCAAUGGGAUACUCCUAAGUCCGUUACUGAGAUUAGAAGCUUUUUGGGUUUAGCUGGUUACUACAGAAGAUUUAUCGAAGGAUUUUCUAAGUUAGCUCUUCCGCUUACACAGUUGACUUGUAAAGGUAAAACUUUUGUCUGGGACGUUCAUUGUGAGAGGAGUUUCGGUGAAUUGAAGAAACGUUUGACGACUGCUCCAGUUUUGAUUUUGCCGAAGCCCGAAGAACCUUUUGUGGUGUAUUGUGACGCGUCCAAGUUGGGUUUAGGAGGUGUGCUUAUGCAAGAAGGUAAAGUGGUAGCUUAUGCUUCAAGACAGUUGAGAGUUAAUGAGAAGAAUUAUCCUACGCAUGAUCUCGAGUUGGCGGCCGUAGUCUUUGUGUUGAAGAUAUGGAGACAUUAUUUGUAUGGUUCGAGGUUUGAGGUGUAAAGCGAAUGUUGUUGCAGAUGCCUUGAGUAGGAAGACAUUGCAUAUGUCCGCCAUGAUGGUCAGAGAGUUCGAGUUACUUGAACAGUUCCGAGAUAUGAGUUUGGUUUGUGAAUGGACACCUCAGAGUGUGAAACUGGGUAUGCUGAAGAUUGAUAGUGAAUUUCUGAAGAGCAUCAAGGAAGCACAGAGAGAUGAUGUAAAGUUUGUGGAUUUGUUGGUUGCCAGAGAUCAGACUGAAGACAUCGAUUUUAAAAUCGAUGAUCAAGGCGUGUUGAGAUUCCGAGGGAGAAUUUGCAUUCCAGACAAUGAAGAGAUUAAGAAGAUGAUUCUUGAAGAGAGUCAUAGAAGUAGCUUGAGUAUUCACCCGGGAGCUACGAAGAUGUAUCAUGAUCUAAAAAAGAUUUUCUGGGGGUCUGGUUUGAAACGAGAUGUGGCACAGUUUGUGUAUUCCUGUUUAGUUUGUCAGGAGUCGAAGGUCGAGCAUCAGAAACCCGCUGGGAUGAUGGUACCUUUGGAUGUGCUGGAAUGGAAAUGGGAUAGUAUAUCGAUGGAUUUUGUGACGAGUUUGCCGAAUACUCCGAGAGGGAGCGACGCAAUUUGGGUUAUUGUUGAUAGAUUGACGAAGUCAGCUCAUUUUCUACCUAUUAAUAUUAGUUUCCCUGUUGCCCAGUUGGCAGAGAUUUACAUCAAAGAGAUUGUGAAGCUGCAUGGUGUUCCUUCGAGCAUUGUAUCAGAUAGAGAUCCAAGAUUUACUUCUAGAUUUUGGAAAAGUUUGCAAGAGGCUUUGGGUUCGAAGUUGAGAUUGAGUUCGGCGUAUCAUCCACAGACAGAUGGUCAGUCAGAGAGGACAAUUCAGUCGCUAGAGGAUUUGUUGAGAAUUUGUGUGCUUGAGCAAGGAGGAACUUGGGACAGUCAUCUUCCGUUGAUCGAGUUCACUUAUAAUAAUAGCUAUCAUUCUAGUAUUGGAAUGGCAUCGUUCGAGGCCUUGUAUGGUCGGAGAUGCAGAACUCCGUUGUGUUGGUUUGAGUCAGAUGAAAGAGUGGUCUUAGGACCAGAGAUUGUUCAGCAAACUACUGAGAAAGUUCAGAUGAUCCGAGAGAAAAUGAAGGCGUCGCAGAGUCGACAGAAGAGUUAUCAUGAUAAGCGUAGAAAAGAUCUUGAAUUUAAGGAAGGAGACCACAUGUUUUUGAGAGUCACUCCUAUGACUGGUGUAGGACGUGCUUUGAAGUCGAAGAAGUUGACCCCGAAGUUCAUUGGUCCAUAUCAUAUUUUGGAAAGAGUUGGGACGGUGGCUUACCGAGUGGGUUUACCGCCGCAUCUUUCGAAUUUGCACAAUGUUUUCCAUGUGUCGCAACUUCGAAAGUAUGUUCCGGAUCCAUCUCAUGUCAUUCAGAGUGACGAUGUGCAAGUUAGAGACAACCUUACGGUAGAAACUUUACCGUUAAGGAUUGAUGAUCGUAAAGUGAAGACGUUGAGGGGCAAAGAGAUACCUCUCGUGAGAGUCGUUUGGUCGGGAGCGACUGGUGAAAGCUUGACGUGGGAGCUUGAGAGUAAGAUGCUGGAGUCGUAUCCAUAGUUGUUUACUUAAGGUAAAUUUUCGAGGACGAAAAUCUUUUAAGUGGGGGAGAGUUGUAACACCCACUUUCGUUUAAUCGUUAUUUAAUCGAGUUUAGGCAAUUAUAUUAUAAUUAUAUAAUAUAUGCAUGAUUUUGAUAUGUUUUGAUGAUUUGAUUGAUGACGUGAUAAGUUAUGAGGUUUGGAGGAUUUGAUUAUGAUAUGAGAUUUAUUUUAUUGAUAAAUAGAAUAAAGAUUUGAAAAUAAUAUAAAAUAUUUAGUUGAGGGCUGUUUUGAUAUUUUAGAUAGUUUUGGGGGAGAAAGUGAGAUAAGAUAAGUAAUUAGGAAGAGAUAUAAAUAGAGAAGACCUAAUUGUUAGAAAAACUGAUUGUACGUGAAAACUUUAGGAAAAAGGGAGAAAAGCUUAGAGAGGAGCAAGAGACCAAGAGGGCUGCGAUUUUCUGCAAAUUAAGGUAAGGGUGAGACUAAUAAUUCAAUAGCGUUAACCUCUGUAAUUUUGAUGACUAGUUGACAAAGUUAGGAUCGAUUUAGAGAAGUUUUGGAAUUAGGUCAAACCCUAAAAAAUUGAUGAUUAAACGGUAAAACUUGUUUAGAUUGAUGAAAGAACCGUCCUGUAACCUUAGAAUAUGUUUAGGAUGAAUUCUGGAAUCAAAACCAAGCUUAGAACCAUGUGAAUCGACGGAUUUUUGUGAUUUUAGGAAGCCUGGCCGUAGCGACAUUCAUCGCUCGCCACGGCGAGCUAUGAUCCUCGCCUCGCGAGUGAUGAGCUUCAUCGCUCGCCACGCGAGCAAUUCCCUUCGCCUCGCGAGUUGCGCGACGCAGCUCGCCACUGCGAGCCACCUUACUCGCCACAGCGAGCUAAGGCAGAGUGCAUGUUAGAUUUCGUGUUUCGACCUUUUUAGUUGAAUCUUUUAUGCCUUUGAGUACCUGAACCUACCUAGUAUUGAUUAGGAAUGAAUGUAGGAUCAGAUAAAGCCCAGAACAACCUUAGUUUGGGAGAAGAGUGUCACUCGCCAUGGCGAGUGAGUGCUCUCGCCUCGCGAGUACAACCAGGACGAACUUGUUUAUGUGUUUGUGCGAUCUGUGUCGCACUUGUUGAUUAAGAGUGAACCCCUAACUGGUAAUGAGACCUAGUGAUGCCGUUUAACGCAGACUGUAGAGUUGUUAAAGUUAUAUUAAUAUCAAUUGAAUAUGAACUAUUGUAUUGUAUAUUCAUGCAAGAUAAGAAGAUGUGUUAAUGAUACAAAUUAUGUGCUUUGAUAUAAUGAUAUCAUCUUGUUAUGUGACUUGUUUAUGCUGCUUUCGUUAUUUAACUAAGUGCAUAAGUAUAUGAUGAAGUUUAGCUCCAAAUUAUUGGAUGCAUGUUGAUAAGUCGAUUAGGUUGUUUUGUUCAUACGUGUUCAUGCAUAGCAUAUCAUUGAGCUUAGUCCUCACCACGAAUAUUAGGAGCUUUGUCCUCCGCACGUUUUAUAGGAGCUUUGUCCUCCGCACGAUUAAAGUAUAUUAAUACUUAUGAUGACGAUUGGUACCACAUGCAUAUAAGGAGUCUAAGAGCAUUGUCACAUUGUCAUGAUUAAGAUGCUUUGUUGAUAAUGAUUGAUUAUGUGAUUACGUGAUAUGUGUUUAUUGAUUAAGUUAUGUUUUUUCCAAAUUAUUGGAUACACGAUUAUGUGAUAACUGUUUAGUAUUUAUGCAAAGUUAAAUAGUGGAAUGAUUAUGUUGUUAACUUAUGAUUCUCAAUUACAUUGAUUAAUGUUAUUUUAUUAUGAAAUCUCACCCCUUCUGCUUGAAAAUGUUGCCCUUCGUAUGGGUAACUUGCAGGUGAUCGUGCUUAGUGUGCAGUUGCCGUCGUGAGUGGUCUUGCCUUCACUGUGUCAUCUAGGUCGCUCUGAUACGUAACGGGAUGGGGUUUUAUGCUAUAACAUGCUUCAUUCUCUUACGUGAACUGCCAUGAAUAUUUACUGUUUUGAUUAACUCUUUUGAGAUACUUGUUGGGCCUGCGUGCCAAAACGUUUUAUGAAUUACGAUUAUGACUUUCCGCUGCAAUGUUUAAGAUAUUGGUUAAAUUAUUAUUUGACUGUUGGCUUACGUUAUAUGUGAUAUCCCGUUGUUUUGAUGCUUACUCUGAUAAAUGCUAUGUAUUUAAUGAAAUUUUGAUAUUGGGAAAACGGGGUGUUACACCAAAGACCGAGUAGGAAGCAAAUUGGACCUUAGGGUACCUGUAGAAGAGGACGGUGAGAGUUGCACCAGGCUUGAAGAAUUCGCACCAGAGCCUUGUUUUGCUUUGGCAGCCUGUUGAGCAGCAAGUACAUCUUGUUUGAUAGCAGUAAUUUGAUUUUGUACAGCUAACAUCCUGUCAUUGAAGCUUGGGACCUGUACACCUUCAUCUGAAGCGUGUCGGCCAACAGAGGCAGAAGCAGCUCCAUUUGUGUGUCGUGGCACAGAUGCUGGAAUAGGGUCCUGAAGCCACCUGUUGGUUGCAGCAGUGCCUAUGCGUUGCGAAGCAGGCCUGGGAUGAACACCCCAAUUACGGACACCAUCAUCAACUUCCAACUCAAACAGCUCCGGUCACACCUUGUCCGUAUGUCCGAGCACACCACACCUGUGACAAAAAACACCCAACUUUUCAUAUUUAAAGUUAACAGAGACAAAAGUACCAUUGCUAGCACGGACACGCUACUCUUGUUUCAAAGGUACAGUCACAUCAAUUGCGACACGGAUACGCAUAUAGGAACUAUGGAUUGAAUUACGACCAUCAUACGACUUAAAAGUACCUAAGAAACUGCCUAUGCCCUGACCUACUUUUGACUGGAUAAACCAAAUGGUAAACCAUGAACUUGAACCCAAAAGUCUAUAUGGUUCAGAGGGACACAAGUGGGAACAACACCAGGGGAAAUCCGGUCCAUGACGAUAUGAAAAUUGUCAUAAAGCCACGAACCUUCAUCAAGGACACGAGCUGCAUCAACUCUGUGAUGGAAUUGAAAGAGAUAGCGGUCAGCCACAGACUUAGUGAUUGUGACUCGCUUGCCUGGCUUCCAAGCAUGAGACAUACGCUCGCUGAAAUAGGCAAAUUGAAUCUCGCGAUCAGCAACCACGCGACCGAUCAAGCAGUGUUCAAGGACAGCAGCGGUGUCAGGUUCAGCUGCAAGGUUCAAGGUUAAACCCUCCUUGGAUAAGGUGAGGCCAUCGAUGUUAAGAUUGUUUGGAUCCAUUGAAACGGUCUGGAAGCACGAAAACGAUAAAGAAAGAACAGGGGAUGGAGGUUGACUGGAGCAGAACAGAAGACUCAGGAAAAAUUUGCGGGACACUAGGAUUUUGAGCGAUGAAAUGCAAUUGAUGAUGGAGGAGGUAUAAAGAAUCCGAAACAGAAACAUCUAGAGCGCGUAAUAGAUGAGGAUCAAACUCACUAACUAGAUAAAGAUCGACUUCUCACCAGAAGAAUCCGGCCCAAGAUGCGGCGGAAACCCAAUCGGGGGAGGCGCUAGAAAACCUGGGUGGAAGAAACCUUAGGAGACCAAUUUAGGGAUUUUUACGGGAACCCAGGAGAAAACAGCGAACAACCGCAACACUUCAUUGAAAAAGUAUCAACUUAAAUACUAGAUAUGCACUCUUUACUCAUAGAUUCCAAUUCCACAAAAGUAAAUUAAGCUUCAUAAAUACAGAAUCUAAGAAUGUUACUAAAAGAUCUCUUUCAAAAGAUUUUGUAUUCAUGAGUACAUGCUAAUCGCUAGAAUUUGUUUUGGUAGAGAGUGCGUAAUCCUGAUAAAUACUAUACUUAGACUAAAUUAUAUACACGAACAAUAAAAAACUUAAUGUUCGUAAAAUUAAACUCAACUAGUAAUGUUGAAAUUGUCAGGUCAGAUGCAUUUAUUCAUUCAAGUUUAAACCAUGACUUUGUAGUAUGUGUGAAUUUCAAUUGUUUUUAUCAUUUUUUUCUAUGGACAAUUUUUUUUUUUUAUCUACUCAAGCACCUAAUUAAAUCACUUUUUUUUUUUGGUGUAAUCUAAUUAAAUCACAUGAUACAACAUUUUUAGAUUAGUUUUUAAAAUAUCUUUAAAAAUAAAAAUAUGAAUUUCUAAUUUUUUGUAUUUUUUAAUUAAAAAAAAACACAAAUAUUUUCUAAACACAUGAAUUUUCGUAAGGCAAACGAAAAAACUUCCAUUUUCUCUCUUUCCCCUCUUCAUCUACACAACACACAUACACAACACCAUAACCAUCAUCGUCGAUUCACCCAAAUCCUUCCUCCUCCUCCUACUCCAAAAUCCUCCGUCACAAUCACCGCCGUAACCGUCUCAUCUCAGCUACCAUCGCCGCCACAUAAACAUUCAAAAUCUCCCUCGCUCCUUACAAAAUCCAAACACAUUCGCGCCUUUUCAUUUCACCGCUAUUCUCGCUCGCCGGCGAUUCCGUUUCAAACGAUUCAUCGCCGGAAAAAUUCAGCUCGAUCGUAAACUUCUCUCUUCCAUUUAUCGUACAGUUUUCCGAAUUGAACGAACACUUCGUGUGUUGAAAACGUGAGCCUCUCGCCUCUAGUGUUUUUAUCUUCGUCUUCGUUGUUGAUGUUUUGGUGAGAUUGAAUCUUCGUCACGCUUUGCGAUUAGGUUUCCGAUUGUGGAUUUAGGUUAUGGUUUGAAAGGAAGUUCGUAGGGGUUUUAGUUCGAAGAGCUACGUUGCUUGUGGAUUUUACUUGUUGAUUCGUUGUUUUCACUGUUUUGAUUUGGUUUUGAUAUUGUUUUUUCGUUUUGAAGUUCUUUUGAGCUCGUUUUGGAAUGUAUUGUAAUGAAUUCGUUUGUUUUGGUUAAUGUAGGAUUUGAAUUCGUGUUAGUGGAAUUCAGUUAUGACCGUUGUGGCACUCGUUUGAAGUAGUGCAUUUUCCCUCCUUUAGUUAUUGGAUUCAAUUUGAUAGCAUAUAUUGCUGCAAACACCGAACACGACACUAACAGCUGACACAGGCACCAAAUACGACACCGACAUCGAACACGACACUUACGGAUGACAUAGACACUGAACACGACACUGACGGCUGACACAAUCACCGAACACGACACUGACAGUUGACAUUGGCAUGUUCACACCGGUAAUAAUUAGAAAAAAAUGACAAAUUUGAAUGUGGUCAAUGUGUCAGUGUCAUGUCGGUGUAGACACUGACAUGUGUCGGACACCAGACCAGGUUCUAUCAGAAGUGUCCAUGCUACAAAAUUUUUAAUCACUGAUGCCAUCAUGCCACACUAGUUGGUUCAGGGGCUUGAAUUUUUUCCAGCAAUGGCUGAGUAAGUGAACAUGUUUGGUUUUCAGUUGUAAAAUCCAUAGGGUUCAAAUGUAUGUUUGUCCUAAAGGUGGUAUAUAAAUAUUUUGAUUAGAAAUGUAUGCGACUUCAAACCAUACAUACACCAAGUGUAUUUGUCACCAUGCUUUUGUUCCACCUUAUUUUGAACUUGAAGGAAGCUUGUAAUAGGGGUUUUGUCUAUUUUCUGAUUUUUUUGAAUUUGCUUCAUUUUUGGCAUUGCAUUAUCACUGUGUGGCUAAUUGCUUGUGCUUGGUUCAAGGUCUUGCUGAUCAUCAAUCACUCUCUUGAUCAGACGCUGAGGAGACGAAGAUAGCUGAAUGAGCAGGUGACAUAUACUGGAUUUUUGGCGGUACUCAAUAGAUCUUAUACUGAGAAUAUUAAAUGAAGUACAUGACAGGAUAGCAUUCUUUAAGAACUUUUCAUAUGAUGCAGUUUUACGUGGAGUCUUGGAAGAUAAAGGCCAGGGUGGGACAGAAUGCUGAUAGAACUCGUAGUGAAAAAGAAUUUUAUAUGAACAUGGAGGCACAAUAUGAGAGUGACGCUGAACCAGAUGAUGCCAGUGGGAAGCAAAAUGAGGCAGCUGCUGUUGACCGGCUCAGUACAAGAGAAUCAAAUGUAGAGACGACGAGUAGGAACCCAUCUGCUAGUGAAAGGUGGGGUUCUUCAUAUUUGAAAGACUGCCAGCCUAUGAGCCCUCAAAAUGGUUCUGAAUCUGGGGAUGACUCAAAAAGUGGAUCAGACUAUAGAAAUGAAGAUGAAUUUGAAGAUAAUUCAUCGGAAGGAAGAGGGGAAAAAUUAGGCUCAGAAGAUGAAGAUGGACAAAAGGAUUCAGGAAAAGGUCAAAGGGGAGAUUCUGAUGUUCCUGCUGAAGAGAUGUUGUCUGAUGAUUCUUAUGGGCAGGAUGGGGAAGAGCAGGGUGAAUCAGUGCAUUCUAGGGGUUUUCGUCCAUCCACAGGAUCAAACUCAUGCCUUCAACCGACGUCUACUAAUGUCAACAGGCGUGUGCAUAGGAAAUCUAGGAUUUUAGAUGAUGCUGAAGAUGACGAUGAUGAUGCUGAUUAUGAAGAAGAUGAACCAGAUGGUAUGUAAACACUGCAUUUAAAUAAAGAAUGUUGCUUUAUGAUGAAGUUGUAUUGUAUUUUUUAAAUUAGCAAAUCUAUCCCCUAUUCUUCUGACUUCUGUUGUUAUUAGAGAUGAACUCCUAUGAUGCAGUUUUUAAUUUAUAUUUUAAAUACCUCGCAGAAGAUGAUCCUGAUGAUGCAGACUUUGAGCCUGCAACAAGCGGUCGUGGUGCAAACAAGGUUGUCUAUUUGUGGCUAUCCAUUAUCAUAAUAAGUUCUAUGUCAUCUGUGUUUUUUGUUGUGUGUAAGUGCACACUUUUUAAAUGUUGCCAUAUGGAUGCUAUUUUUACCAACCUUGAGAAAAUUAUUAUUUGCAGUUGUAACUGUAUUUAUAUCCAUUGCUCUAUACCCAGUGACUUUGUUCCUUGUGGUUCCUCGUGGUGCAUAAUUUGAACUUGCCAAAAGUGCUGUUAAGCUUAGAAAUAAGAUCUUUUAUGAGUUUUCUUAUUUAUACAUACUUAUUCAGAUUAUGAUUAGAUUACGUGGUGAGAAAAGUGAUGCGAGAUUUGUUGAUUUUGUUUUCUAUUGUCCAAGAUUUUGGAUAAGCAUGUUUAGUCAUACUUGGUAUUUUGUUGUGAUACAAUCAUUGGUAUUGGGAGGAUGUAUUGUUUAGGAGAGAUGGUCUCGUCAUUAAAAAAUUUAACCUUAAUACUUAAUAUGAGUUUUGCUUGCCGUAUUUCCUUACACCUUUCACUAUCUCAUUUAGCUAUAAUUUGAGUUUAGCUAUAAUCUAUGCAUAGUUACAUCAACAUUUUUGAUGCACAGUUGCUUAUGAAAUUUGAUGGAUUUGGACUAUAUAAGCCGCACACAUCAUUAUCAGGGGUGUGUGGUUAAGUAGCUAUAUUUUCUCUACAAUAGUAGACUAGACACUGCAAUUAAGAGUAUGUCCUUUUGUCUGGUUGUGCUGUGAAUUCCCAGAGUGUACAUUUACUACUAAUUAUGGCUCAAUUGGACUUUGUUUGGGGGUUUAUUUAUUAUGCUAGUUGGCCAUACAAUUUUUUAUUUUAUUUUAUACAUCUGCUACUCCCUCCAUUCCUUAUAUUUGACUCACUCACUUAUGAAAUUUCCUUCUCCUUAGUUUAGACUAUUUUCAAAAUUUCACACGUCUAUUAAUAAUUUUUUAACUAAAAAUACCUUUAUUUAAUUUACAUUUGGGAAACAUUAAUUUGUUUUCUCUUUCUUAUGAUAUGAAUAAUUGUAAGGAUAAUUAUAAAGAAGUAACAAGUAUUGUUGACAAAUUUUUUGCUACAACUUUUCUUAAUGCCUGUGAAUUUUGUAAGUGAGUCUUAUAAUAAGGGAUGGAGAGAGUAUCUGUUAUUUGUACACUGGGGAAACUGCAUAUCUGCAAUUAAGCUAGGUUUAUAAAUGUCAGUAAGAGACAAUUUUGAAUUCACUAUUUUGAUGACAGAAUAUAGUCCAUGUCCUAAGGUGUAAAGUAUAAAAAUUGGAUACAGAUUUUUCAAGUUGCUGUUGUUUGUCUUGUUUGGUGCAUAAAUAAACAGUACUGGUCAAUAUCUUUUGUUUGUAUUGGUAAUACAAUACAAUAUUCCACAUGAACCUAGUGAUGGAUAAUAUUCAUUUAGAAGUCUUAAUUUAAUCUUUUUACUAAUCGAUGUAUUCAUAGAGAUGUUGCUUAUUUAAUUGUUUUCAGAUCCAUCAUUUAGCUUUGGAAUACACUAUUGGCAUGCAUUUGUUUUUAAUUUAUUUAUGCUUUGUAUUACUAGAUAAUACUAAUAGAGAAAAAUAUAAUUUGGUUAUAUAUUCUCUGGUAGAGAUUUAGGGGCAGUGGGCUAAAAUUAUUUAGAUAAGUAGGAUGAAUUCAAAUGGAGAAAGCAUAUUUUGAAAAAAGAAAAUCAAUAUUGGAUUGAAAAAUAAUUAGUAUUACUCAUUGGGACCGAUAAUUAAUAGUAUAAUUUGGCCAGGGUCUGAAAAAUGAGAAAUACGACUUGUUCACUGAAAGUGAAAGACAUGUUUGUAAGUACUAGGUAACAUUUGGAUUCUUUGAAGCUUAUCAGAACUUGCUGAUAGCAUGCUUUUCUUCUUUGAGGGUCAUCAGAUCAUGUUGAUAGAUGAUGUGUUGUCCUGUAAUUGUUCUGAUGUCUUAAUUUCUUUUAGCUUGAGAGGGGGUAUUAUAUGUUAUUUAGACAUUAUGUGUCGCUGUACUGUUAAUUUUCAAGUAAACAUACAGUAUUUUUUUUAUUUUUUUUUAUGUUUAUUCUGUAUGUUUCUGACUAGAAUAAGAUGGUUGAACUAUGAUUUCAGUAUAAAGAUUGGGAAGGGGAAGACUCGGAUGAAGUUGAUGAUAGUGAUGAGGACAUAGAUGUUUCGGAUAAUGACGAUUUAUACUUUGAUAAGAAGGCUAAGGGAAGACAACGAGGUAAAUUUGGACCAAGUGUAAGAUCAACCAGAGAUUGUAAAGCAUUUACUGCUUCCAGUCGACAAAGAAGAGUUAAAUCAUCUUUUGAAGAUGAAGAUGAGAACUCUACAGCAGAGGAUUCUGACAGUGAGAGUGAUGAAGAUUUCAAAAGCUUGAAGAAGAGAGGUGUGCGUGUACGCAAGAAUAAUGGCCGAUCAUCAGCAGCCACAAGUUUUUCUAGGCCUAGUAAUGAGGUCCGGUCUUCUAGUAGGACUAUUAGGAAAGUAUCAUAUGUUGAAAGUGAUGAAAGUGAAGGAGCUGAUGAAGGGACGAAGAAAUCUCAAAAGGUACUACAGCUAAGCAUGGUUUCUUUCUCUUCCACUGUCGGCAUUUGAUGCAAAUGUUUUGGGCUUCAUAUAUCUACCAACAUUCCUUAGAUGUUCGUUGUGAAUUUCACAUAUGCAAGAUAUGCUCAUAAUCUUUGUAGGAGACUAGUAGUAAAAUUUUGUACUCAAUAGGCUGUUCUAGAUUAUUUCACUGAAGACAUAAUUUUAUUCUGAAGAUAUUUCCAGGUUGUCUAAUAAGUAUACUACAAUUAUUUAAUUGUGAUGGCAAGUCCCUUGAAACAGCCAUUAGCAGAGUACUAGAAAACAAGCCAAAGUUACAAUUGUGUCCCAAAAAUUGUGAUUUCAAUCAAAUGCACCAAAGAAUUGCAUGAAUUGUACAUUGCGCCAAACAUUUUGCCAAAACCAUUAAAUGCUAACGAACAAAAACUGUUCCAGAGUAGAAAGAAACACUUAUGAUUGUUGACGUCUGUACUAUUUUGAAUCUUUUUCCACUAUAUUAUUGCUUGGUGUAUGAGUAUAGAUGGCGUGAAAAUAAUAUGCAACUAGGUAGUUUACAUCUAGCAACGGGAAUUUUUUUUAAUUGAUAAACAGAUGAUUUGGCAUUUUUAAGUAUUUAGGCAAGAUAGUGAUGCCUUUUAUCCUGUGAAUGAUCUCUUUGAGCCAGAGAUUAAGUAUUGUAUUUAAUGGCUUGAAUAAGGGUUUUUUUAAUUUGAAUUUUCUGUCUUGAGUGAGGGCGCAUGGUAACUUGCAUAAUGAAUGCUGUUUUAGGUCUGUAUGUAAUUUGUCACGUUUUUUUCUCUUUCUUUCUUACAUGGUGAUUUUUUCAUUUUAUUCUUGAGGUUUAUUGAUUGAUUGGUGUACACUAAAAAGGGUAAUUUCAGAAGUAGUAGCUCUCAUGCUUUAGAAUUCUCCACGUUCCCUCUCUGUGAGGACUCCGAAUUCUCUGCAAAGACUAUAAGUCUUAGUAUGGAGUUGAUGCACAUACACCAGUUGUUUGUCUAAGUUUCCUGUGCUUUAUAAAGUUUACACCAAUUUGAUACAUGUAUCAAAUGAUCAGCAUUCUGAUCCACAGAGCUUAUUGUUCUGUACAAAAUAAUUUUGAUUUCAUUCGAACAAUUUUUAUCCUUGUUUGUUUGUAUGCACGUAAAUUGCAAGGUGGAUGAAGUGUGGGAUGCUACUUAGUCAAGUUAGUGUGAUACUGCCCAUUUGCAUGUAUACUUUUUAUUUAUUUUUGUUAUUGAGAUGUUGCUUAGCCAAGUUAAAUAUUGUUUAGGAAGAAAUUGAAGUGGACGAUGGGGACUCCGUAGAAAAGGUGCUUUGGCAUCAACCGAAGGGCAUGGCUGCAGAGGCUCAAAGGAAUAAUCAAUCCAUGGAGCCUGUUUUAAUGAGUCACUUAUUUGAUUCUGAACCUGAUUGGAACAAUAUGGAAUUCUUGAUAAAAUGGAAAGGCCAGUCACAUUUGCACUGUCAGUGGAAGUCUUUUGUUGAUCUGCAAAAUGUAUGCCUCUCAUUUAUAUUGAUUAUAUGCAUUAAUAAUUAUUUCACUUAUGUACUAUUUACAGUCUCUUUCUCGCUCCCAUAAAUAGUCCUGUUUUUUUUAUGGGUUUAAUCUAUAAUAUUCUAAUAUUUUUCCUGUUUUCCUUUUUUCUGUUCUGUUAUUUUGUCUGUAUGAAAUUGCAGCUCAGUGGUUUUAAAAAAGUUUUGAAUUAUACCAAGAGAGUAACAGAGGAAAUCAGAAACAGGAUGGGAAUAUCGAGAGAAGAGGUAAAUGGCUUUAUCUACCGUACUGAAAAAUGUUUUCUUUGAUAUUCUUGUUCAUCAAUUGACCACAUAACUACUAAUGAUAUUUAUUCGGAUGAGGUAGUUUAUCAUAAAUUUUUCUCUUAUAGGCAAACUGCCUAGUUUUGGAUGAAGCCAUAAAUGUCUAAUAAAAGAGUCGAUAAGUUGUGAAUUGCGAAGUAUUUGCCGAAUAUAUAUAGUGCAUUUGGUAUUGGCCUAAAAACCGAAAUUGAAAAAGAUGAGGUGGUGGCUUGUUUGUUUAAAAUAAAUGUGUCUUUUAUGCAUUUACUCUUAUUUAUUGUUGAUAUCAUGAUCUUUGUGGUUUUGAUUGUAUCCUGUCGUUUCUCUUAUUUAUCACCUCUCUGUUGCUACAUCUUGAAAAAGUUAUGUAUUGUUCCUUUACAAUUGCACUGUGAAAGUUUAACUUAAAUAAUUUUUUUAAUUUUUUGCUCAAGUAGCCUAGUGGCUAGAAAUUCACCUCAGGUGAAUACGUGGGGUGUCUGGGGUUCCAACCAGGCCCCUGCAUAUUACAAUGCAUGUCCCUAUCAAUUGAGUUAAGCUCACGGGGACUGAACUUAUAUAUUUUUAUUAUGAUAUAUUAAUAUCAUUUAUUAUUUAUUUGUUUUUAAUUUGUAAUCAUUUCUUGGGAGGAAUAUAGAUUGAGGUCAACGAUGUGAGUAAAGAAAUGGACAUAGAUAUUAUCAAGCAAAACAGUCAGGUAGUUUUACCCGCUUUUUGUUAAUUUGGCGUUUUAUUUUCUGGUUAAUUUGAAUGUAUUCUUAAUUGGUUUUUACUCGCCUUCUCAGGUGGAAAGAAUAAUUGCAGAUAGGAUUAGCAACGACAAUUCUGGCAAUGUGUUUCCAGAAUAUUUGGUCAAGUGGCAAGGACUAUCUUAUGCUGAAGUGACCUGGUAUGCUGCCCUAAAGAUUUAGUUAUCACAUAUUUAUUAUGUUUUAAUUUUUCUUCACAGCCAGUGCAUUCAUAUUAGCAAGGAAGGCCGUUUAAUCUUUAUGAAUUGGUGAUGCAUUAUGUUUUAUGUGCUUCUAGCUUUCGGCAGUUUUUAUGUUUUUGUGCUGUUUUAUUGAUAUUAUGUAAAUUGACAAGCUUAUGUUGUUUGUUCAUAUAAAUAGGGAGAAGGACAUUGAUAUUGCUUUUGCUCAACACACUAUUGAUGAAUAUAAGGUAGCCCUUUCAUUAUAUUCUAUUUUGUCAGUUUUGUGAAAUUGUUGUUUAAUGAACUGUACACUAUAAUCUUAUUUUGGAAGUUAUUAUCCACCAUUGGGUCUGUAGUUAGAAUGUGCAUCAUAACUAAGAGCGAAUGGUGUAACAAGGAGAUUGGAACUUGCAUUGAAGCUUGGAAACACUAAUAUAUGAUUAUGGAGGAGUAUGAUACAUUAUAAAUCGAUCAUGACAAAUUGGAAUAUAAGUAAUAAACAUUGCUGGAUUCAUCUUUUCUUAAAAUAGAAGUUUUAAAUCAUACCUUGUGUUUGUAUGGUGGUAUAUUUCUGUUUUUUCAUCUGUCGGUCUUAAUUCAUCAAGCUUUCCAAACUUUUAGACUUCAAAAUAUGUUGCUACAUUUAUGUCAGAUUAUACAACACUGAGCUGCUGGACAUGUUGAGUUCCAUGCUUCCUUUCUAGUGGUGCAUACUGGUAGACGGUUUGAAAUGACAAUUAAUAAUGAAACAUUUAUGUCUUGGCUUGAACAUUCUCAAUCUCAUGUAUUUUUUUUCUUUGGUAUCUAUGUUUAUCACUCCGUGAUUGUACAAAUUAAUACAGGAAAAUCUUCAUAGAUACUAAGCUGUUUGUUCUGUCAUAUUUGAACAGACUCGUGAGGCUGCAAUGUCAGUUCAAGGGAAGAUGGUAGAUUUUCAGCGUAGGCAGAGCAAAGGUUGGUUCGUUUAUGAAUAAUAUAAGGUCGAAUAUGGCAGUGCUGUUUUUUUUAGUUCUCCCAGUAUUCUAAAGGUUUUUUUUUUUUUUUUGGGUUUACAUUAUGAAGAAAUUUAUGGUGUCAUAAUUUCAUGCACAUCAUAUCAUAUAUCAUCUAAAACUUAUACAUGUAGAAGUGCGCUUUUGAUCUAUGAUUUUGUGAUGAUUAGGAAGUUUGCGGAAACUUGAUGAACAACCUGAAUGGUUGAAGGGUGGGAAGCUUCGUGACUAUCAACUUGAGGGUCUAAAUUUUCUUGUUAACAGGUAUACAUUGAUGUAUAUAUGAAAUAAGCAUUAUGUUAAUUGGUGUUCUGAAUCUUUGUUCAUUUUAAUGUGACAGUUGGAAAAAUGAUACAAAUGUUGUUUUAGCUGAUGAAAUGGGUCUUGGUAAAACUGUUCAAUCAGUAUCUAUGCUUGGUUUUCUACAGGUAUGAUAUUUAUCUUUAGUUACGUUACCAAUGUAUUUCCAAUAUAAUAGAUAAAUUUAUUUUUGUAUCUGCUACAGAAUGCCCAGCAAAUCCAUGGUCCUUUUCUUGUAGUUGUCCCAUUGUCUACCUUAUCAAACUGGGCCAAGGAAUUCAGGAAGUGGCUUCCUGAUCUGAAUGUUAUUGUUUAUGUUGGUACUCGUUCUAGUAGAGAGGUGAGUGAGACAUUCCCUUGGGCUUUUGGGUCAUAUAUAAUUGAAGUUAAAUGUACUCAGGAAUCAUUUUUUAUUUUAUUUUAUUUAGCAUGUUUAUAUUGUAUGCCAUGUCUUACAUAUUUUUGUUUGAAUUUAUCUUUUUAUCGAAUCCUGUGAAACGGGGACUUCUACAUCUCUGGGUAUUAACUUUGACAUGUUAUUUUUGCUUGAGCUAUCAUAGUUCCGUAAGACCAUAACUGCUGAUUUUUAACUAUGUAUAUUGGAUGUUAUGGCAUCCAUCUUUCUUGAUUUUCAUCAAAUCUUAAAUUUAAUCAUCAUGAAUCGAGUUACUGAUUUUGCUGCAGAAAACAAGAUGUAGCUUUUGAUUAUGAAUUUCAUUAUGACAUGCUAUAUCGUUUUUACGCUUAGCUUUGACCUCACAGUAAUCUUUUGAUCAUAAGUGUUGACCUAUGUCGGACCUGUCCUCUUUGUUAUGCUUGGUGAUUUGUUGCUGAGGAGAAAGAAAUUAAAUUAAGGUUUUGCAUCUGAAAUUUGUCUGUUGGAUCAGACUGAUGUGAUUUAUAGAGUAUAUCUUAUUGGAACUUCGAGAUGAUUAGUUGACUGCCAAAUUAAUUGUUUUAGAAUCUGGAAAUUGGAUGUGGUUCUGUUGGUUGAUCUCCUUCUCCCCUAACUCCCCCUUUUUGGAGUCAUUAGAUGAAACUAUAGAUACCUUUCUUUUUAUCUGUUUCAAUUCUUUAAUGAGGUAUUUUUGUUUUCAUUUUUCUUCUUCUGUGGCAGGUUUGCCAACAAUAUGAAUUUUGUAAUGAGAAAAAGGCGGGGAAGCAAAUUAAAUUCAAUGCACUGUUGACUACAUAUGAAGUAGUUCUGAAGGAUAAGGCUGUUCUCUCGAAGAUCAAAUGGAACUAUCUGAUGGUAGAUGAGGCUCAUAGACUUAAAAACAGCGAGGCACAGUUGUAUACCGCACUUUCAGUGAGCAACUUUUUCACUUAACUUUAGUUGAGCUAUUGAUUAUGAUAUCGAGGUUAAUGUUUAUUAUUCUUAGUUUGUUUCUACCCUAAUCUCUUAGGAAUUCAACACAAAGAACAAGUUGCUGAUCACUGGCACUCCGCUGCAAAAUAGUGUUGAAGAGCUAUGGUAUUAUAAACAUUUUCUUUAUUCAUGACUUGUCAAAAGCUGCUUUGCAUUUUUUCUGAGGGAUUGUCAGUUUUUUUUUAUUAUAUUCUGCUCAAGUAAAUAAUUGCUAAUUACUUUUAGGAAAAUUACCAUUUGCUUUGCUGUAAAUACACCUUUUCAUUCUGAAACUCAACAAGUCACAGUUUGUACCCGAGUGUUGCAAGUUAGAACUUUUCCUGCAUCGGGGAAGAUGACUUCACAUAUUAUCUGUAUGCUAAUAUACUGUAUACAUAUACUGAUCACCAAUUUGAUAGAAAUAUUUUUUAUAACCUUAAACAUAGAGCAUCCGAGUUUGGACAGAAGUGGGGUUACUUAGUUCCGAACAACCUCAACAAAACCUAUGGUUCUGAAACUUAUAUCUUUAGUAUAAUAUGUCUUUCUUAUUAUCUGUUCUAUACACAUAAUAAAUGCAUAUAAACCUCAUCUUGUUGACAACAAAUAUAUAAUAUAUUACUCCAAAAUGAUUGUGAUAUUAUACUAGGUGUCAGUGUCCCUGUGUCAAAGUUGACUUAAUGAACAUGAUUGCUUAUUAUUUUAGUCCAAAAUUGAUUAAUCUAAAGUUUACAAAGUUAUUAUCAUUCAUAAAAUGGAACUCGAAUUUUAGGUUCUGAAAGAUUAUGGUUACACCAGUUUGAGUUUUGAAAGAUAGUUGAACCAAUUUUGUUGUUAAGUUUAUGUUAGAAAUUGGUACCAAAAUACAUUUUAAUAAUAUGAACUGUCUUUUAUUGACGGCAGAAACGCUUACAACAAACAAUUACACACAUUAUAGAUAAUAUAGAAUUCACACAUAAACUACGGAUAGAAAUAUUAUACACAAUUAUUAUUCAAGAAAUUCGAGAGUCUUGGUCUCUCUCUCCAAGAAUUCGAGAGCUUGGUCUUUCCCUCCAAGAAUUAGAGAGCUUGGUCUCUCCCAAGUCCCACCCAUAAUAACCAUUCAGAAAUAUCCCAUAAUCACUUUCUCCUUUUCUAUCUAUAUUUAUUCUAAACAGAAACACACAUAACCCAUAACUGCUAAACAUAACUGACACAUAAAAGCAAAACUGCCCAUAACCGCCAUCAUAAGAAGUCUAACAGUUUAUUCACAUACUCCCUUCGGUCUUGAUUAUAAGAAAAAAAAUGCGAUGUUCGGUAGUUCAAAAUAUAACUAGUUUGUUUGAUUUGAAACUUUUUCAGAGACAUCGCAUGGAAAAUUAGUUUAAUGAUCAAGAAGUAUUACGUUGAUAUAAACCUAUGGUUAAUCUGAUUUGCAUUGUAUUUCUUCUAUAUAGUUUAACACCUUUGCUGCCGCCAACCUUUUCAGGGCUUUGCUACACUUCCUUGAUUCUGAUAAGUUCAAGAGCAAAGAUGAAUUUGCUCAAAACUAUAAGAAUCUAAGUUCUUUUAACGAGAAUGAGGUAUAAUUUGCCAUUAACCUUUGUACUUUAUUUUAUCUAUUCUUUGCUUUUCUCACUCAUGAUCUUCUGUAUAAAUUGUUGUGCACAUGUUAUUUGUUAGCUUUCUAAUCUUCACAUGGAACUGAGGCCUCACAUGCUUCGAAGAGUUAUCAAAGAUGUGGAAAAAUCAUUACCCCCCAAAAUUGAGCGUAUUCUUAGGGUGGAUAUGUCUCCUCUGCAGAAGCAGUAAGUACAAAUUUAAUCUCCAAAUAAAUAACUUACAUAUUCCUAAAAAAUCACUUCAUUUCUGCUGCUGUUUUCAUUAAUUUAGGUAUUAUAAGUGGAUUUUGGAACGCAACUUCCGUGAUUUGAACAAAGGAGUUCGAGGGAAUCAGGUUAAAAUGUCUAUCUCUUGUUUCUGUAAUUUUACAUUGAAUUUCUGUCGUAAUUUCGAAUUGCAUAAAGAAUUCAGAAACAAAGAAGAAUGUAUCAAUGAAAUGUUGCUUCGUCUGUAUUGAUAACUUGAGUAAAGAGUAAACCUUUUUUAUUUUAGAUUUAGAGGUUUUCAAAAAUUUGAAAACGGAAACCCCUUUCUUUAUCUUUAUUGUGUGUAAAUACUUUAGCCGGAUGAGAGGAACCCUCACGUCCGAUUUUCAAAGGGGGAGAUCCAUCUUAUUGGAUCCUAUUCAAAUUUUUCGUUUGCUAGGCCCGUAGUUAAAAACCUACUUUCUUACGAUUACGAGGUUCAUUCGAAUACGAAAUCCAAUCUUGGAAAUACAGUAUCCCACUCUUUUUUGCUACUCAAGGUUUCGAUACAUUUCGAAAUAGAGAAAUUUCUAGUGGAGUAGGUGCUAUACCAGAACAAUUAGUUGAUCUGGAUUUAAGAAUUAUUAUGGAUUCUUCGUUGGUAGAAUGGAAAGAAUUAGGAGAAGAGGGAUCCGCCGACAAUGAAAAUGAAUGGGAAGAUCGAAAAGUAGGAAGAAGAAAGAAUUUUUUGGUUCAACGCAUGGAAUUAGUUAAGCACUUUAUCCGAACAAAUAUAGAACCAGAAUGGAUGGUUUUAUCUCUCUUACCAGUUCUUCCUCCCGAAUUGAGACCAAUUAUUCAAAUAGAUGGAGGGAAACUAAUGAGUUUGGAUAUUAAUGAACUCUAUAGAAGAGUUAUCUAUCGGAACAAUACUCUUAUUGACCUAUUAACAACAAGUAGAUCUACACCAGGGGAAUUAGUAAUGUGUCAAGAAAAAUUGGUACAAGAAGCCGUGGAUACACUCCUUGAUAAUGGAAUCCGCGGACAACCAAUGAGGGACGGUCAUAAUAAAGUUUACAAAUCGUUUUCAGAUAUAAUUGAGGGCAAAAAGGGAAGAUUUCGAGAGACUCUACUUGGAAAACGAGUUGAUUAUUCGGGGCGUUCUGUUAUUGUCGUUGGUCCAUCACUUUCAUUACAUCGAUGUGGAUUGCCCCGCGAAAUAGCAAUAGAACUAUUUCAGACAUUUCUAAUUCGUGGUUUAAUUCGAAAACAUUUUGCUUCGAACAUAGGAGUUGCUAAGAGUAAAAUACGGGAAAAAGAACCGAUUGUAUGGGAAAUACUUCAAGAAGUUAUGCGGGGGCAUCCAGUAUUGCUGAAUAGAGCGCCUACUUUGCAUAGAUUGGGCAUACAGGCAUUUCAACCUAUUUUAGUAGAAGGACGUGCUAUUUGUUUACAUCCAUUAGCGUGUAAGGGAUUCAAGUAAAUACAUAUUAAGAUCGUAGAAACAUGAGCUUGUAAUAUAGCUACACCUAAUUCCAGACCUGUUAAUGCAAUUACUAUUAAUAUAGGACCAAGCCCUCCUGUGAGAUAUAAAAGAUCAUUAAUACAUAGCAUAGUCCAUGCGAAUCCACUUAAAAUUUUGACUAAACUAUGACCUGCCAUCAUAUUAGCAAAUAAACGUAUUCCUAAGCUUAAUGCGCGAAAACUAUAAGAGAACUUUCUACAGGCAUGGUACGAACCAGUCCCUAGCGGCCAUCAUGGUCUAAAGGGAGGCUCACUUCUUCUCUCAUGCUUCUGAUGGAUCUAGCAAAGAAGGAUCCACCUCUUAUAGGGAUCUGGUCACUCAUUCGGAUUGAGAUUCAUCUAAGUCUACCAUAACGGCUGCUAAUUCCCUCCCUAUUUCACUUUGACUCUUUUCAGGGUGGGAAAAUACCGGCUCUCUAGUUCUGUCAUGGAAGGGGGCAAGGUGCUGACCGAUGUCGAUUAGGAAGCUGCUCCUGUUGUAAAGAAGUGAGGCAGCAAAGAAGAAGCAUUUUAGCAUUCACCUGUCCUUCCUUCUUUAUGGAAUGCUCAAGCCUAGUGAGAACUCAAGUCGAUUCAAAUGACCGGAUCUGCUGGAACUAAGGCUAUUUCCAAUGCCCGAAAGGAAGGUGCUUAAGCUGAAAGAGUGGUCAGUGAGGCUCAAUUCUUUGUAUUGAUUCCAAGACCCAGGGCAUAAGGAAUUCACUAAGUCUAAGAAGAUUCUCCUUUUGAUUCAAUAGAAGGGGAUGCCCCCAAUGUGGUAAUAGCCGGUAGAGACCUACGUUAUUCACAAUAGGUGAACUUGCUAGAAUGCUGCUUAAUAAACUGCUUUAUAUAGGUAACUGGAAAGCUCUAUCCCCCUACGUCAGCUGGCUGAAAAAGCAAUUUAUCCUUAUUCAACUCGGUAAAUUGAAAGAAGUCCCAACCACAAGGCUUUGCCGCACCUAAUGAUUGUCAAAUAUGUGAUACAAAAUCAUUCGCUUGUGUUUGUCUAACAACUUAACUUUUGGGAUAUUUGGUACAUGACAUUACUACUUAGCCUCGAACUAUGACUAAGUAGUUUAGAGUUUGAUCCUUCCUGCAUCAUUUGUUUUAUAUAAACUUGAAUUUACAGCACAAAGUAAAUGAGUCUAUACAUUGUCAAAUCUUCAAGUUCAACGCCCUCUUGCAUGCCACGAGGGUGUUCACACCAUUAAUAUGCUAUCACCUGACAACUUAAGUUGUUGGCAUGGUUAGUUCAUGACAAUGAUGUUUUUUUUUUUUUUUUUUUUUUUAUAGUCUUCAUGACAAUGAUGUUUUUUUAAUAUUAUUCAUGACAAUGAAGUUGAUUUUGAACAAAUGGAAAAGUUAAUUAUUUGGGUUUCUUUUUAUAUAAUUCUAAUACUACCUCUGUCCCUAACUAUAGGGCCCUUUAGGAAAAAUAACGGGAAUUAAGAAAAUUAAAAGUGGUAAUAAAUUUGUUUGUAAUUAUUAUUGUUUUUACAAAUUUGUCCUUUAAGAGAGGGGGUUAGUGUAUGUUUUCAAUGUAGUAUUUAAAAUUAUAGGGCCCUUUUGGAAAAAUAACGGGAAUUAAGAAAAUUAAAAGUGGUAAUAAAUUUGUUUGUAAUUACUAUUGUUUUUACAAAUUUGUCCUUUUAAGAGAGAGGGUUAGUGUAUGUUUUCAAUGUAGUAUUUAAUGCUGAUUGAAGAAAAAGAUAUAAAAUAAAUAGGGGUAUAUUGGUAAAGAAUUAAUUAAUGUACUUGGAAAUAGCAAAGGGGUCUUAUAAAAAGAGACAAUUUUUUUUCUCAAAAGGAUCCUAUAAUUAGGGACGGAGGUAGUACUUAGUUUUAGUGUGUAACAACUGAUGAAAAUAAAUAGAAGAAUUGAUAAAAAAAAAAGAAAGCUUUAGUAUGUAAUCUCUUCCCACCAGGACAAAUACUAAACAUAGGGCUUAUUGGAAGUUAGAGGUAGUGGCGAUACUUGUUCUAUUUAUUUCACCUCAUAAAGAUAUAGAAGUGAUAUGAAUUAUGAAGUGUUUUGACAAUUUUCAUAUGAAGAAAAACAAUAUUAUAUAGCUUUAAAGUUGAAUGUGGUACUGUGUAGUUGAAGGAAAGGAAUUGUCAUAAAAUGUUGUAUGUUGUUAGCUAAUCUGACGUGAUUUUUAUAUGUUUGGAAAUGUUAACUGGUGCCCCGGGGGCACUGUUUCAGUUAGUUUCUGAUUUUUUUUUCUUUCAAUCAUGUACUCUCUCUGGUCUCUUAUAUAAAAAAAGAAAAAAAAAACUACCUCACACCCUUUAAGAAAAGUAGUUAAUCUCAUUUAAGUUUUUGAACGUUAUAUAAAUAAUCGUGGGAACUUGUUCCAUGAUAUCAAGAUAGUUAUUGAAAAUUUAAAUAUAAAUUAAUUUAAGGGUAUUUUAGGAAAAUAAUAACAUUAAAUAUGAUAGUUAGUUAAGUUUUGCUUAUAUUUAAGGCCACAAAACAUGACAAUUUUGUUGCUUAUAUUUGAGACCAGAGGGUGUAUAUAUUAACAUAUCAGAGACAUGUUGCAAUAUUAUAUUCAAUUCAAGCAGUUUCUCGUCACAGUAGCCAAUACUCUCUUUAUUUGUCACUCUGUCUCGUUCUCAGAUUCUCAAUAUCACACUGAUUAAAAAUGUACUCUUCAUCUGCUAUGUCUCAGGUUUCUCUUCUAAAUAUUGUAGUAGAAUUGAAGAAGUGCUGUAAUCAUCCCUUCUUGUUUGAAAGUGCUGACCACGGUUAUGGUGGGGACUCUGAAAGUAGCGACAGCAGUAAACUUGAGAAAAUUGUCUUUAGCAGUGGCAAGCUUGUCAUACUCGAUAAGCUACUUGUCAGAUUGCAUGAAACAAAGCAUCGUAUUCUGAUUUUCUCUCAGGCAUGUUUUGGAAACUUGUGUACUAGAUGUGCUUGUUAUAAAUUAUUUUUCUACUGGUCAACUAUGUUAUACCAUACUUUGUCUCGAUGGUUUAGUUUUAUAUUAUGCUGGUUGAAUGAUCUUUCUUACACUGGCCUAGUUUAGCUAUUAGAUCAACCGGUGUACUAAAUGAUGUCUCUAGUUGAUGUGAUGUGAGAACUCAAUACACCCUCAUGCUUAGGAGGAGAGAUCUUGAGUGUGGAUAAAAUGUGGGUGGCCCAAUUACAACGAUCUUACCUCAACAAAUGGACGGGGAAUAAGUAGUUAGUCUGUGCUUCCACUAGGCUUUUGUAUCACAAGAUUGCCUCAAGAUCUUUUACCAAGUUAUCUAAAGGAGAGUAUGUUCGUUUACAUACGAGUUUCGUUCUAGUGUGUAUUUUAACAUCUCCAAAAAAAUAAUUUUAUAGACAUACGCAUCACAUUAGAUACUGUUAGACUGGGUUUGGGUGUGUGAUGUUUUAGGCUCCUCUAAAAUAAAGUAGGAAUUUUAUUGAGAUGAACAGUAUGUUAACAGAAAAGGCCCACUAAAAUAUUACAGUACAUGCAAACAAGCAAAGGUAAAAUGAUGCUACAAUGCCUCUGCAAUUUUAUUGAAAAUAAUUGAAGCUAAAUUGUAAAAAUUUAUUCAAAUGGUCCUGGAAUUGAAGCCAAAAAAAUUGGGAAGGUAUGUCCUAACUCCUAAUCUACUAUAUUAUUAAAAUUGUGAAGGAAUUCAUAGUUGAAGAAAAGGCCUUGCCUUUCAGCGUUCAUAAGUUCCACAGACAUUCAAAAUUUGUAUAUUUCACUUGCGUAUCAUACUUUUUUUUUAAGUAUUUCCUAGUUAAAAAGCAAGACAUACAUUUCACUUGCUUAUUUUCUUCUAACCUCGUGAAUGAGUGGACACAGAUUCAUUUAAUGUAGCUGGGAUCAUAGAAAAUACAAACAGUUUAUUCCACUACUGGCAAGCAGUUUUGUAGUGACAAAAGAUGACCGCUAAUCUCUGAAGUGCCUAGUAUCAUUAAUCAUUUUAUGAAUUAUAUGUGUACAAGAUUUAUGAAGAGGUGGCGAUGAAAUUCAGAAAUAAUUAUUUCCUAUUGUUGUUUCUAAUAUCUUAGUUAGAUAUAAGUUGCAACCAUGAGUAUGUAUUAUACUUUAUUCUCUGGGUUUGUGCUGGAAAUUUUUUAUUCUACUUGUUAUGAUAAUACUAAGUUACAAGAGUUGUAAUGCAGAUGGUUAGGAUGUUAGAUAUACUGGCACAGUAUAUGUCACUUCGAGGAUUUCAAUUUCAGAGGCUUGAUGGAAGUACAAAGUCUGAGCUGCGACAACAGGCAAUGGAUCAUUUCAAUGCACCAGGUAGUGAUGAUUUUUGCUUCCUUCUUUCAACGCGAGCAGGUGGUUUGGGUAUCAACCUUGCCACAGCAGACACUGUUAUAAUAUUUGACUCAGAUUGGAAUCCUCAAAAUGAUCUACAGGUAUUCAGUUUAGUUUAUUUUAUAUUACUCAAAACAAGAUAUUUGGUACUUACCUUUUUUUGCUGUUUGUCUUUAAGGCAAUGAGUCGAGCUCAUCGAAUUGGGCAACGGGAAGUUGUUAACAUAUAUAGAUUUGUGACAAGCAAAAGUGUUGAGGAAGAUAUUUUAGAACGUGCUAAGAAGAAGAUGGUAUGAUUAAUUCUAUUGGAUGCCAUAUGUCUGGAUUAACUUGCCUCUGUGUUUUGUAUUCUGUACUGCUCUUCCAUUUAUACUUUAUUUUUGGUAUCUAUUUUUCAAAAUAUAUAUUUGUGUGCCAGAUAUAUUCAAAUUCUUUUUGACUUUUCCUGUGGUCAGUAACUUUAUAUAAUUUGUUCUGUAGGUUCUCGACCACUUGGUCAUUCAAAAACUAAAUGCAGAGGGUAAACUGGAGAAGAAAGAAGCCAAAAAAGGAGGAAGCUUUUUUGACAAAGUAAGGACAUACUUGAAAAUCGUUGUGAUGUUCAUUGGUUAACAAGCUUUCAUUGUACUUUAUGAGGUCUUCUUAGAAAAUGAAAGAAAUGUAUCUAUUAGCCGAUAUUGUCUUCCAUUAGCAGUUAACGAUUGCGUUGAAUCAUUUUACUUUUUAUUGUUUGGUUUCUUACACAAUUCCUUAUGAAAAAUAUUUGCUUCUCACAUGGCAGAAUGAGCUCUCAGCAAUCUUAAGAUUUGGAGCAGAGGAGCUUUUUAAGGAAGAAAGGAAUGAUGAAGAGAGCAAGAAGCGACUCUUAAGUAUGGACAUAGAUGAGAUUCUCGAAAGAGCAGAGAAGGUUGAAGAAAAGGAAAAUGGGGGUGAGCAGGCACAUGAGUUAUUAAGUGCCUUUAAGGCAAGUAAAUGGGCAUCAUCAUGAAAUUUAUAUAUAUAUAUAUAUAUAUAUAUUAAGCUGUAUCUCUUUCAUCUUUCUUCUUUGUUAUGGUAGUUUAUUUUUCAGAAUGGGAUAGGAUAGAUUUGGACAGUAGUGGGAAAUAUGCUAAGCUGUUUGUGUGUUUCAUAUUUCUUCUAUGCAGGUUGCAAAUUUUUGUAAUGAUGAAGAUGAUGGUAGUUUCUGGAGCCGGUGGAUAAAGGCUGAUUCUGUCGCUCAAGCAGAGGUUUGAUCCUAAUCUUAUUUUAUGAUGUAUUCUUUAUAAUUGUUUGAUCUUAUUUCCUGUGUUUUAGAAUGCUCUUGCUCCACGUGCUGCAAGAAAUAUCAAAAGCUAUGCAGAGGCUGAUCAAUCUGAAAGAAGUAAGAAAAGAAAAAAGAAGGAAAAUGAACCAACAGAGCGGAUUCCGAAACGAAGGAAAGCAGAUUAUUCAGCUCAUGUGAUAUCAAUGAUUGAUGGAGCAUCUGCCCAAGUGAGAAGCUGGUCAUAUGGGAAUUUGUCUAAGCGAGACGCACUCCGGUUUUCUCGUUCCGUAAGAUUCUUUUACUGUUGGCAAUAUUCAUUGUUAUCUCCCUAUAUGAAAAUAUAUUACUUCUGGUAGUAAUGUUUGGAGACCUGGUAAUUUUCGUGUUCAUUAUGAUACUUCCACUGAGUUGAUGUCAUUUUGUCUACCCCAGCCGAAAAAAAAGGGGCUUACUAGGUUCUUCGUUAUAAUCUUCCUGAACUAUACAAGUUUGUUUGGCUGUAGGGGCAGGGCAUAGUUGAGCUGAAUAGAAAUGAAACUCUGAAUCUACUAGCUAUUUCCAAACUGUUAGGGAACUAGUAAUAUUGUCAUUUUGUCUACACCAUCCUCUUUUUAUUUAUUUUAUUUUUUGUUUUGCUGAUGACGUUUUUUACUUCUAAAAUUUUGCCUGCAAUAUGCAUGUGUGUAUGUAUGUUUAAUUUUUUCCUAUUUUCGUAAUCUGUUUAUCCUUUGUCAUAUGCUAAUUCCCAACUGAAUCACCAGGUUAUGAAAUUUGGGAAUGAGAGCCAAAUCAAUUUGAUUGUUGCUGAAGUUGGUGGUGCAAUAGAAGCAGCUCCGCUCAAAGCACAAGUGGAACUCUUCAAUGCCUUGAUUGAUGGUUGUAGAGAAGCAGUGGAAGUUGGAAGUCUGGAUCUGAAGGUUUCUGUAACAUAAAUCUUGUGUGUAGUUGAUAAUUCAAGAUUUGUAUUAUCAUUAUUUUCUAUGAAGCUUAAUGCAUAUAAUGUUGCAUCCAGGGGCCUUUGCUGGAUUUCUAUGGUGUCCCAAUGAAGGCAAAUGAGUUACUUAUCCGUGUUCAAGAGCUUCAACUGCUAGCAAAGCGCAUUAGUCGGUAUGAAGAUCCUAUUGCACAAUUCCGUGUUUUAACAUAUCUCAAACCUUCAAACUGGUCAAAAGGUUGUGGAUGGAAUCAAAGUAGGUGUCAUCCUCUACGUCGUUUGUAUAUUCAUUCAGAGAUGUGGGUUCAUUGCUGCCUUUUCUAAUUCUGUUUCACUUGCUAAUAGUUGAUGAUGCAAGAUUGCUUCUUGGAGUACAUUACCAUGGAUAUGGUAAUUGGGAAGUGAUAAGGUUGGAUGAAAGGCUUGGUCUUACGAAAAAAAUUGCACCAGUGGAACUUCAGCAUCAUGAAACUUUCUUGCCACGAGCUCCAAAUUUGAGAGACCGGGCUAAUGCCCUGUUGGAACAAGUAUGUGAUCGCUUUAGUUAUAUUCUUCUUUUUGUUAUUUUUCUCUGGAUAUGCUACUUACACAUCAAUCAUGAGUGUCUUCAAGUCCUGUACCCUCUUUUUCUUUACAUGCUUCCUUUUCCUCUACAUUUCAAAUUUAAUUUUUAUGAUUUGUUUCGGUACUUGAUUUAUCCCCCCACAUUUAUAUGAUUUUGAUAUUAUUCAGUAAUUUUCUCUUGCAAAUUUCACUUUUUAGAAGAUAAAACCACACAUUGAGGUUUUUUUUUUCCUCUUUUGAGAGAAAAUCUCCUCAUGCUCUAAUUUUAACUAGACUCACAUCCUUAUACUAUCCAAUUUUUUUCUGCAAUAUGUUUAUCAUACAUGAAUAGAAGAUGACGAGAUAUGAGAUUUUAUCAUCUUGUUACAAGCUUAACCUUUUUUGUGUUUACAAAAUUCCUCUUUUGAGUAUAAUAAGGGUAUCAUAGAUUCAAUUCUAGGUCAAUUGGUCGUACAGGUUAUGAUACCAUAUAUUAUAAACCAAACCUCUUAAAAGCUUUACCUGUUAGGUGAAGGCAAGUAGAUUUUAUAUUACAUGUCAAAUAUUAUGGAAACAUAUCGGUUGGAGAGUGUGAGAGGCGUUAAUCUAAACCAUAAAAUGGUUCAUGGAUGAUCCAAGUAUAGAUCUAAGUAAAACUGUUCUUGAUGAUCCAUGUAUGGUUAUAUGAUCAAGAUUAAGUAAUUAUCUCCUCUCACCUUUCAUGCUCACACUUGAAUGAUGAUGAUUAUAUGCUUUUGUGCAGUUAAAUUUAUAUUACUUGUAACUUAUGUUGGUUCAUUUUUCAUAUUAUCCAUGGACCUCAAGCUAAUUCAUCAAGUAAUUCAUGUAGGAACUUGCUGUUCUUGGUGUGAAAAAUGCCUCUAGCAAAGUUGGAAGGAAGACUUCCAAGAAAGAGAGAGAAGAGAGAGAGCAUCUUGUAGACAUCUCUUUGUCGCGUGGGCAAGAGAAAAAGAAAAACAUUGGUUCUUCUAAAGUUAAUGUCCAAAUGAGAAAGGAUAGACUUCAGAAACCUCUAAAUGUUGAACCUAUUGUAAAAGAGGAGGGUGAAAUGUCUGAUGAUGAUGAUGUAUAUGAGCAGUUCAAGGAGGGGAAAUGGAAGGAAUGGUGUCAAGAUCUGAUGGUUGAAGAAAUGAAGACUUUGAAACGUCUUCACAGGUUGCAAACAACCAGUGCAAGUCUUCCGAAGGAAAAGGUUCCCAUUCUUUUAUGCUAUCCAUUCUUUUAUGUUUCUUUCCAAUUUCAAAUGUUGAAAACGCUAUUUACUCUCUUUCCUCCUCUACUUUAGGUGCUUUCAAAAAUCCGGAACUACUUGCAGCUUCUUGGGCGAAGGAUAGAUCAAAUUGUCUCAGAACAGGAAGACGAACCCCAUAAGCAAGAUAGUAUGUGUUUUAUUCCCAUUAUGAACGUCUUGUUUUUGUGACCAUAUUUUUUUGGAGCAGAGUCUGUUUCAUGCAUGCCUGAGUCCCUUUAUUUUUUACUUUUUUUUUUUUUUUUUAAUAGAAUGGUCCCUUUAUUUUCUUAAACUCUAGCAGUUUCACAUGCAUUUUGAGGAUUGGUAUUGUCUGCAUUUAUGAUUCUUUAAUGCAUGAUUGAAUUUAUUUAUUUUUCCUUAUUAUUUACAGGAAUGACUACGAGAUUGUGGAAGUAUGUUUCUACCUUUUCCCAUCUUUCAGGGGAGAGGCUUCACCAAAUUUAUUCAAAACUUAAACUGGAGCAAAAUGCGGUAGGGGUUGGCUCCUCUCUUCCCAAUGGGUCAGUAUCUGGUCCAUUUAGCAGAAAUGGAAACCCUAAUAGUUCAUUCCCUCGCCCUAUGGAGAGGCAAACGAGAUUUCAAAAUGUGACAGCCCACCCAAUGCGCGAACAAACUUAUGAUACAGGCAUGUCUGAGGCAUGGAAACGAAGAAGAAGAGCCGAAAACGAUGGUUGUUUCCAGGGUCAACCACCACCUCAAAGAAUCACGAGUAAUGGAAUUCGACCGCUGGAUCCUAACUCAUUGGGAAUCCUUGGGGCAGGACCAUCUCAAUGCUUCUCUGGUGAGAAACUGCUUAAGACUCAACCUGCUGGGUCUCCUUCAAGACAAGAAUUCUCUCUAGGAGUUGAGUAGUUAGUUAAGUGGGAUCAGAACGGCCGAUUCCUGCAGCCUUAGCUGAUGGCUUUCACUCUGCACUUAGCUUCAGUUAUUGUAAAUACUCUGGAAAUUUUCCCCACCAAUGGGAAUAAGAUAUUGCAGAUCCCUUUGUGAUCCGAGAAAUAUUCUUCAUAUGGAUUUGCAUCCCCCCUUGAACAUAGUAGCUGAAGCCGUUGAUGAUGAGGUUUACAAUGCAAGAUGAAUGCAGUCUUGCCCAUUUUUUCUUCCCCUUUACCUUUUGAUUUUUACAUUUCCUUGAAGAUGAGCCUAGCAAAGGGUUACAUUACAUACAUAGUGAAAAUCUUGAAUAGAAACACAUUUACCUACUAGAGAUACGAUACCUAAGAAAGUGUACAUUCCAAGUUUCCUCAUUCUAUUUUAAUUGAUUGCAUCAUGCAAAUUAUAUUGGCCGAUAUGCACAGAAAUGUAUUUGUAGCAAGUUCAGUGUCGAAAUUUUAUGUAGCUCUUCGAAGUAAAUUUCUUUGAAGUAUAUUAUUAUUCUUAAUAUUUUUUAUUAAUUAUCCAUUGGUCAUUAUUUACUAAGGUAGGCCACUCCAUCUAUCUUCUGUUUUUCUCUUGCUGAUUUAACCAUGGCUUCCACUCAGAACAGGCCAUAGUAACCAUCAAACACAAUAACAGUAUGAGUUAAUGAACAUACAAUCUAUGCCUAGUAGCAGGAAAACUUAAUAAAAACGCAUAAAGUAACCAACCACUUGUUCUUAAAAUCAAUUUGUUGCAUUCCAUUUCCAUACAUAGGCGCCAUCUGGUGAAGCACCUCACAGUGAUGUUUAAUGUGCAGCAAUUUCGACCAGCAAAUGUAUUAAUUAAUAAUUUUAAUUAUAUUUCAUUAGCAAUUAUAUUGUGUAUGAUGUAGGAAGUUAUUGCUAAGUAGUUCUCACAUGUGAGGGUUAAUUAACGGUAGCAAUCACAAAAUAAGCAUGACACCUUCAUUGAAAAGGUUAGCGUACGACUGUGAUGUUGUGGCUUGAAGAAAUAGAAGUUGAAUAACAAGUGACGAUGAGGCACGGGGGAAUGGAUAAUCAAGUCAUUGGUUCAUGUCUAGGCAAAAUCAAAUUCGAACCGCAUGAAAUACACACAAUUGUAGUGUUUACAAUUGCGAGGUUUCAUAUUUAAAAUGUCCGACUUGAUAAUUUCGGCAUUGAUAGUUGAAUUAAGAUUUGGUAACUAUAGUUGAAGUGGAGAAGGAGGUUAUGGGCUUGGGAGGAGUUGGUGGUGGAGUGUAGGAUGUUAUUAUUGUCUAUUAUGCUGCAGAUUGAUGUUGAUGAUAUCUGGUCUUGGUCUCCUGAUCCAGUAGCUGGAUAUACUGUGUGUGGUGCAUACAAAUCGCCUAUAAGCGAGAUGAGGUCGUCGCCUAGUGUUCCCUUGGGGACUGCGCCUCUGCUAUGAAGAAAAGAAGUUCUGUUAAAAGUCUUAAUUUUUGCUUGGCGUCUUUUCCGUGGUAGAUUGCCUAUGAAGGCGAAUUUAUUCAGAAGGGGAAUUGUUCAUCAUGAUGCUCAGAUGUGUGUUACUAGGUGCAGAUUGAUUGAAUCAGAUGUUCACCUUUUCCUGCAUUAUGACGUUUUUGGUCAGGUGUGGCAGCUUGUCUGACAUUGGUUGGGUGUUUAUACAGCAAAUCCUGCAAACAUGGCGGAUCAUUUUCUUCAGUUCGGUACUUCCUCAGGUCUUGCAAAAUCACGUUGUUCUAUUAUGCAUCUUAUCGGGUUUGCGAGUUCUUGAGUGAUUUGAAAGGAAAGGAAUGCGAGAAUAUUCCGCGCAAAAGAAAGCACUCUUCAUCAGCCGUUGGAAAAAAUAAAACUCCUUUCCUUUUGGUGGUUUAAAGUUUAUUUUUAUUACUUUUUAUUAUAGUUAUCAUGUGGUGCUAUAACCCUUUCUUUAUGUUCAAGGGUUGGUUAACCUUUAACAUUAUCUCCUGAAACACUUAUGUAAUUAUUGGUUAUCCUUCUUUGUACACCUUAUGCUUGAAGGGUAACAGGUCGGUUUUUAUAUAUUCCAUUUUGAUUUCUUAAAAAAAAAAACUAAUGUGGAAAAAAAAAACACUUAUGUGUAUUUAUGCACUUCUCAAUGUAAUAUUAUUUUUCACGGUAUUUUAUAAGAAUAUUUGAAUAAGUAAUAUUUUUCAUCACAAACACGUGUAUUGAUGCCAAUCACCUACAUGUUAUCAAGUUGAACCAACGAUAUGUAUGAGAUUUGGAGGAAAGAAACAAAACAUGAAUGCAUUAGAAACACUCAUCAUUGUUAUUGCUAACAAUAGAACACACGCAAGCAAAACUACAAAGGGCCAAACAUUGAAUAAGAUCCCAAAUAAAUGAGAUUGGAAUUUAGCUUCCUAUCCCACAAAGUGAGGUGUGGUUGACAUUAUAUUAUCUCUUUAUCUCUCAUAUUGCUUUCUCAGCCUCAAGCUUCAAUGUUCCCUGAAUUUAUAUCAUGGCAGUAAAGUAUCCAUCCAUUAUUCACAUUUUUUUUUUUAUAUUAUUUGUUACUGUUUUUCAUUUAAAAAAAAAAAAACUUAGGAUAUGGAAAAAUAACUUAAAAAAGUUAAUUUUUGUCAGAUGAAGAAAGUUAAUGUAUUAUUAUGACAUGCCAAACAAUUUCCAUAAGAAAAAUAAAGUAAGUAAAGUAAGUUUGGUAAAAAAAAAAGAAGUAAAUGACUCAUGAUAAAUUAAGAGAUUUUUUUUUCAAUGGUAGUUUUAUUUAGGGUUAAUUAAGUUUUUAUCCCAGAAAUAUCUACAGUUUUGUUUUUAAUUCCUAUAAAAAUAAAUCACACUUUUUAGUCCCUACAAAAUUUUUCGUUCGUGUUUUUAGUUCUUGUAAAAUUAAAAUUUAUUUAAUUAUGCUUAAACUUCUAAAUUUUUGAAAGAUUUUUUACUGACAUGUUCAUAACAUCGUAAGACACUCUUUUAUAAAAUCUUUUAGUUUUUUAACAUGUAAUGAAUUAAAUAUGAAUUUUUCUAAAAGCUAAAUUUUCAAGAUUAUAUUAAUGAAAAUUUGGACCUAAUAAUAAAAUUUUGAACUACUUUUUUGCGGAGGAACUUUGUAUAAUGUUCUAAAUAAUUAUGUAAAAAAUAUGUUAAAAAUUUAAAAGUCUAAGCACAAUUAAGCAAAUUUUAAUUUUACAAGGACUAAAAGUAUGUGUUUGUCCCUCUUAAAUUAAAAUUUGUUUAAUUGUACUUAAAAUUUUAUAUUUUUAAAUGAUUUUUAACAGACAUGUUAAGAACAUUAUAAUAAUCUCUUUCAUAAAAAAUUAGAAUUUUUUAACAUGUAAUGAAUUAAAUAUAAUUUUUUUUAAACGCCAAAAAUUCAAAAUAAACCUAACGAAAAUUUGGACUUAAGAAUAAAAUUUUGAGCUAACUUAUUGCGGAGGAACAUUUUAUAAUGUUUUAAACAAGCAUGUAAAAAAUCAUUAAAAAAUUUAAAAUUUUAAGCAUAAUUAAACAACAUUUAAUUUAACAGGGACUAAAAAUAAUAACGGAAAAUUUUGUAGGGACUAAAAAGUGUGAUUUGUUUUUAUAGGGACUAAAAACAAAAUUGCAGAUAUUUAUAGGGACUAAAAACUUAAUUAACCCUUUUAUUUAUUGUAAAUGAGUUCCUUGUAUCAAAUGAAGUCCUCGUGAGCUUAACUUUGAGACAAUGUAUAAUAUAUAUAAGGUCCGUGGUUCAAACUCUGACAAAAAAAAGUUAAAGUUUUAUAAUCUUAACAUAGAAAGUUCAAAUCUCCUCAAACAUUUAUAAAAUGGUUGUUAUUGCGUUGCCAUUUUAAUUAAUAAUUUGUUUCCCUUCCCUAAUUAUUAUUAAAAAUAUUCAUCAAUGUAACAUCAAAUUACAUCAAAAUAUUUUUUAUUAAGUAACUUAGCGGUUAGAUAAAUUCAAUUUAAAUGUGAAUAAGUGGGAUAUCUGGGUUCAAACAUCAACCCCUACAUAUAUUAUACAAUAUACAAUUACAUCAAAAUAAUUGCCACAAUAUCUAAUCCAUCCAAAUUAAUAUAGUAUUAUUAUACAAAAAUAAUUAGUAUGGUAUUUUUUUAACGUUUAUCUAUGACCGUAUCUUCCUACUUAAGUCUAAUUGAAAUGUUGAUGAUUUACGUCAAUAUAUAUCAUUAGUGAACAAUGAAGAUUGAUCUAAGGAUGUAAACAUUUUAAAACAUAAAUGACUAACUUAAUAAAAAAAAUAGAUAACAGCUAUAUUAACCCACAUAAAUAUAAAAAAUUAUGAUUAACGAUAUUGAAAAAAAAUUAUUAAAAUCUUAAAUGUAGGGACAAGAAAGCAGGAGAAUGGAUAAAUUGUUUGAGAGCAACUGUAAUCUAAGCCACUGAGGUGUUCCACUUCAUCCAUUCACAGCCUCAGGAUGCUCAUUUUCUCCCUCUUAUCUACUACUUGGACCAUACUUGGCCCCACCUUAAAAUUUAUGAUUCUUUUUUUUAUAUUUAAACUUUUUUAUAUAAUAAAGUUAUGCUAAGAGCAUUUGGCAGUGGCAGUAUAGCUCUUCCUUCUGCCAUACUUCACCAAACUACCUGAGGUACACUCACUUACUCUCAAUUUAUGCUUCAUAUUAUAUCAUAUAUGCUAUUUUUUUCCUUUCUAUUCAAUUUUAUUUUUUAUUAUCAAUACUAUGCUACUCAUGCUUUGUAAUAUUUUCUCUCGUAUUAAAUGAAAAAGCUUUGGAAGUAGCAUCCAGGAAAGUUUUUUUUUCUUCUUUUGCAUGUGUUAAUCUCUAUAAAGCACGGAUACAGACACCAGAUAUGACACGGAUACUGAUACACCGAUAUAGUUAAUAAUUUAAAAAAAUCAUAUAAUUCAGUGUAAUUAUAAGUGUUGGUGUCGUGUCAGUGUCGGACAUGACACAUGUCCAACACGGGACACACCUAAUUUGAGGAGUGUCCGUGCUUCAUAGAUUAAUCUUGCUUAUGUGCAAUAACAACUUUUUAUGACUUCCACUUUUGGUCAUGCUAAUGAAUCAAAACACUCAAUCCUUGUUGUAACAUCUUAAUAUAAAUGAUUUAAUAUGAUGAGUGAUUUUUUGUUACUACCUUCUGUUUUUUUUAUGCUUUGUAAAAUAGCCAAUUAAGCAUCAGUUCCAAUUUUAGUAUUAGUAUCUCUCACAUAGGAUUUAGUUUGAACUUUUUGGUGAAUAAAUCAACUUUAUUUACUGUUUCAUGACAAAAACAAAAGUUAAAAAAAAAGAUUUAAUAGCAUUUCAACAUGAUGUUUGUUUGUUAUGCCUCAGCUACUAGUAGGUUUUUUCAGCAAGUGGUGUCAAAGUGAGUUUAAAAUUUCAAUUUCAUCAUGUUCAGUAUGUAUAGUUGAGUGUUUCAGUCACAAUUUUUUACCAUGGAGCUAUGAAGCAUGGACACUCCUAGGAUUAGGUGUGUCCCGUUGUCGGACACACACGUGUUGGUGUCCGAUACCGACACGACGCCUUACACUGAAUUAUGUCAUUUUCUCAAAUUAUUAUCUGUGUCGGCAUCUCGGUAUCCGUGUCAUCUCCGGUGUCCAUCUCUGUGUUUGUGCUUCAUAUCCAUGGAAUAAUAGAACAACUAUUCAGUAUUAAACUCACAAAGUUUUAACUAAUAAUUCAGAAAGUUAUUAAUACUUACUUUGUGAUGUAUUUUAUAUAGGUGGUUCUUUGGUGGGAAAAAAAGCAAAGAAUUGCUUGAAUUUAAAGAGGUUGAAAUUUCAAGCAAGGGAAGAUGGAUUAUGUUAAUGGACCAGGAAGAAACCAUCUCUUUGUUCCAGGGCCGGUUAACAUACCAGACCAGGUCAUUCGGGCUAUGAGCCGAAACAACGAGGACUAUCGUUCUCCUGCAAUUCCAGCUCUGACAAAAACUCUACUUGAAGAUGUCAAGAAGAUUUUCAAGACUACUACUGGAACUCCAUUUCUUAUCCCUACUACUGGUAUUGUUGUACGCCUUGACAAACCAAAUUUUUCUCAGUUUAUUUUAUCUUUUGUUAUAGAAAUAACUUAUAUAUAAGCACUUAUAUGAUAAACGCUUAUGCUAUAACUUCUCUUGAUUAAGUUGUUAAUUGAAAGACAGCGUUCCUAUUUGUAUUGAAUUAUUCGAGUUUAUCUAUUGAGUAUUGACAUAAGCACUUUUGAGACGGUUUAAGAGAGCUUAUAUGAAAAUAGCUUAUGACAGUCCAUAAGCUGUUUUCAGUUUAUUUUCAUAAGCUAUCCAAGAUAGCUUAUGAAAAUAAUUUGAUUUUAUUUUAUCUGUUGUUAUAAAAAUAGCUUAUACAUAAGCACUUAUAUGAUAAAUGCUAUCGUUUUAAGACUUAAUUGUACUGUUUAUCCAAACAGAGAAUCAGUUAGACCAUUGGAUUGCCAGUAAUCAGGAUGAAGCUCACUUGAACAAAAUAGUUACCUUACUUACAUUCAUGACUUAGAUACAUCUAUAUGCUUAAUACACAAUCUUAAUCGUCUAUGCUAAGUUGUUUAUGCCAUAUAUUUCAUUCACUUUUGGUUAAUGAAUGUAUUAAAUUGUGUGUGUUUUGGUAUCUUUCUUGUUUUAUUUUACAUAUCUUUGGAGGUUACAAAAUAAUGGCCUAAGAUUGGUUCAGCAAGAGCAAAUAAUUUACGUUUUAUCUUUAUUAGGAUUUGGUUACGAUGUUAUUUCUAAUAACGUUAUUGCAUUUGGUUCAGGUACCGGUGCUUGGGAGAGUGCUCUGACAAACACAUUGUCACCUGGAGAUCGUAUUGUAUCUUUCGUGAUUGGCCAAUUCAGUUUGCUUUGGGUUGAUCAGCAGCAACGCCUUAAAUUUAAUGUCGAUGUUGUGGAAAGUGAAUGGGGCCGUGGUGCUGAUCUCGACAUUCUAGAAUCAAAACUUGCUUCUGAUUCUGCACACACUAUAAAGGCUAUUUGCAUUGUUCAUAAUGAGACUGCAACUGGUGUCACCAAUAACUUGGCCAAAGUUCGACAACUUCUCGGUGAGCAUGAAAACUUCUUACUUACAUAGCCACAAAAUCUGAUUCUCUAUCCAAGUUGUCAUUGUACACACAUGCUCCUAGUUUCACUGUUCAAUGGUCAAUCUUAUGAAAAUUUACCUUCGCAAAUAUUAAUUUUGUUCUUUAGUUUCAGAAAUAUUACUUAGGUGGUAAGGUUCUGUUUGCUAAAUCAUUUACCUUCGCAUGUUGAUUUCUUGAUAUAUGUUCACAUGAUAUUUGAAUUUCAUGACUUAGUAUAUUAUUGGCAUUUCGAUCUGACUCAUAUGACAUGAGUAUGCAUCUGAAACUUGGACAGAACGACAUGCUAUUCACUUAACAUCAUAAUUGGACUCUAUGACCACAAACAAAAUUUUGUUUGAGUUGCCAAUGAUUAUCGAGAUAUGUAUAUAUGCAUAAAUUUUGUUAUUCUUUGAUGAAAAUGCAUUUUCGUAUCGUUUUUUCAAUGUAUCAAAUCAUUUUGCAGCUACCAAUUUUGGAUUUUCAACGUUCUUGUCUUUUCUUUAAUUAUAUCGUCUUUACGAAAUGGCACUCACAUUGUAUAGUUUGGACAUUCAGAUGCAUACCAACAUCCAGCCCUCCUCCUUGUUGAUGGAGUGUCAUCCAUUUGUGCUCUCGAUUUCCGUAUGGACGAAUGGGGAGUAGAUGUGGCCAUAACUGGUUCUCAGAAAGCCCUUUCCCUUCCUACUGGUAUAGGAUUUGUGGUUGCAAGCCCUAAAGCCAUCGAAGCUUCAAAAUCUGCCAAAUCACUUCGAGUUUUCUUUGAUUGGAGUGACUACCUGAAGUUCUACAAGAUGGGAACUUAUUGGCCAUACACUCCUUCCAUUCAGCUUCUCUAUGGUCUUAGAGCAGCUCUUGAUCUGAUUUUUGAGGAAGGACUUGAAAAUAUCAUUGCAAGGCACAAUCGUUUAGGUACAGCAACCAGGUAAGAUAUAAUUUGCGUGUUUUAAAUUAUUGUCAGGUCUUUAGAUUCAAAUCACCUAAAAAAAAUUCUAGCAAACUUUUUUUUAUUUUCUGGACUUCAACAAGUAUGAUAAUGCUAAUUUUUGACAAGCGAGCAAAAGCCGUGCUGUCAAAUAGCUUCUAUCGCAUAACAGAAUUUGAACAAACCACUAUUGUUCCGCGAUACAAUAUUUAGUACAAAGCAUUGUAGAGGCUAUAACGUAGAAAAAUUUGAACAAACCACGAUUGAAGACACUGAGUUAAAAAUUAUUUAUAAUAGUUGAAACUUUUUGGUUAAGUCAAUGAAUCUGAUAGGUUGUCAAUAUGGUAAAUACAGACUUGCUGUGGAGGCAUGGGGUUUGAAGAAUUGCACACAAGAGGAAGAGUGGUUCAGUGACACAGUGACUGCUGUUGUUGUUCCUCCUUACAUUGACGGUGCUGAAAUUGUUAGAAGGGCAUGGAAAAGAUACAAUUUGAGCUUAGGUUUGGGACUAAACAAAGUUGCUGGAAAGGUUUUCAGAAUUGGACAUCUUGGCAACUUGAACGAGGUAACAUUAAUUCCCCAAACUUUUAAUAGCUAUGUGGCCCUGUUACUUGAAAUUGGAGCCGCAUCCAGUGUCCGCCACCGAUACAUAUACUUAACAUCAAUCACUUCUUUUUUAUCAAAUUACGUGUCAGUGUUGUAUCAGGGUUUCAUAGCUUAUUAGCAUAUUCGUCAAUAACUAAAAAAAUGACUAUUACACACCAAUUCACAUAAAUAUUUAUAAUAUUUGACAAAUGCAAAAGAAACGGUCGUUAAUAGAUGAAAUCAUUCUUUCUCUUUUUAUUUUUUUGGUGGUGACCGGGGUUUGAACCCUGGACCUUGCAUAUAUUAUGCAUUGUCUAUACCAACUGUGCUAAGCUCACGAGGACAAUCAUUCUUUCUCUCUAUGGUAAGGGCACGCUAUAAAAAUUCAUAAACUUGUUCUUAAUUCUCAUGUCUGGUGUCAGUGUCUGUACUUCAUAGGUAUUAUGAGAAUAACAUCAAGGUGACUUCCACCAUUGAAAUUUCUAAUUCUUUAAAUGUUUUUCAGUUGCAACUAUUGGGUGCUCUUGCUGGUGUGGAGAUGAUACUCAAAGAUGUUGGUUAUCCAGUAAAAUUGGGAAGUGGAGUUGCUGCUGCCAGUGCAUACUUACAGAACAAUAUUCCUCUCAUCCCUUCAAGGAUUUGAGUUACAUGGUCAUUCUUGUAAUUACUUCCUUUUUCUGCUCAUUCAAGAUAUAUGUAAAAUACAUAAUAUGUAUUAUUUUUAUUCCCUUUUGAACUCUUUUGAAGACGAACAUAUUUGCUACUUUUAGUUUUAAUAAUGCAUUGUUUCUUUCAUUGUCAAGUAUAUUAGAAAUUGUUGCUUCUAAUACCUUUAUUUGAGACUUUUAUGGAGACCAAAUUCUUCUUCAAGGAAUUAGUCUUAGAGUUCAUGUUCUUAUAGGUAAAAUACUAAACGCUUCUCUUGCAACAAAAAUUAGGUUUACAUAUUUGUAAAGAGAUUUGAAUGAAUAGAUGUUAACUUUUCUCAACAAUUAUCUAUGCAAUUUUCAUUAAUAAGAGGUCUUAAUCUUAAAUUAGGAGAAUCUGCUUCUCAUCUCUUAGUCUUUGAUUUCAUGUGAGAUUUUUCUGAGUGACGUUUUUAAGUUUAAAAUGAAUUUAAUUAACUUAGAUAGAACUCAGGGGGAGCUUACAAACCUCACCUUAAGAACUAUCAGACUCAGGGGAGCUUACAAACCACAGACCCUAAAGUCAACUUGUUAAUUAGAUUAACAACAAUUGAGCAUUUAAUACUAGUGUUUGUCAUCAUAAAAAUGGGAGAGAUUGUUGGAACAAAAUGUGUUUAACUUUACCACCUUAAGUUUUGAUGAUAACAAGGUAUUAAAAAGUCAAUUAGAAAUAUUUGUUCAAAUGUGCAGGAACAUAGUAAAAAAUUAUUAGUCAAAUAUUGGUUCUGAAACAACAAAAGAGAGCAAAGGAAUCUACAAAAGAAGCUUAUGUUGCAAGACAAAGUCUGAAGACAAAGAGCGUCUGAAGACCAUAGAAGCUGACUUCAUCAGAGUAUGAAGGGCCUCAGAAGCUGGAGCUCAUCAGAGUCUGAAGCCUGGAAGCUGAAGUUAGUUAAAAGUUGUUAUUCUGAAUGCAUAUGAUUGCAGAAGGAAUGGAAGCCUGAAGCAAUGACUAUUUCAGAGGAAUUAGGAGGCAUUGGAUGCUUAUCCAUUGAAGAGCGCAGAAAAAGGACAUAGUACAAUUGUACAACCACUCCCUUCAUUACUCAACUCCUCAUGUUUACAGUAGUACAAGAAAAUAGUUGUGUCUACGUUGGUUAUUCUCUAUUCAAGGAAUGAAUUUGAAAUUGUUCUCUCCUAGGACAAUAACCAAAUCAAGCAACAUAUUAUUGGUUAUUAUCAAGCUUCAACAACGACUAUUUUAAUGUGUUUGCAAUCAACAACGUCUCUUUCACACCUCUACAUAAAGGAGUGAAGACUUGAAGAUCGUAAGAGACUCACAACAAUUUUACAAGUGCCAAAACUGUAACACCCCGUUUUCCCAACAUAAAAAUUUCAUAAAAAUAAUCAGAGUAUUCACAUAAACGGAAUGUCACAUUCUUUUCUUAAAAUCAUAAACUGAAUUAAAUAACUAUUUAUCCUUUAAAAUUCAAUAACAAAAUAUUUAAUACUUCGCAGCGGAAUUUAUUCAAUAACUAAACAGUCUUUGGCACGAAGGCCUCUUCAUAAAUGUCUCAUAAAAAUCCAAUCUAAAAAAUGGUCAUAAAUCUUCAAAAGCAAUACGUAAGGAAUAGAAAAGCAAUAACAAAGUUCCCAUCCCGUUACGUAUCAGAGCACCUAAGACACACGAGAGAGUAACUUCACACGACAUCAACUAUUCUUGGUUACCUGCAAGUUACUCAUACGAAGAGCAAUAUUUCCAAGCAGAAGGGGUGAGAUUUCACAAAACAAUAAUAUUAAGCAUUAAUUAUAUUUAACAACAUAAAUAACUUCCUCUAUUAGUAAUAAUAAUCCUUCAUGUAAUAAUUCUUAAUAACUCAACCAACUUCUAAUUAUCAUUUACUUCAUAUUCAUCACAUUAUAAACAUCAUCAUAUAACACAUAAUAACCAAAUCAUAACCAACAUAGAUCAUCACAUCAUAAUCAUAGUUCAUAUAUCACAUAACAACAUCUUAAUCCUAAUUCAUAUACAACAUAACAACAUCUUAAUCCUAAUUCAUAUACAACAUAACAACAUCAUUAAUUCGUAACAACAUCAUGAAUAGAAGACAACUUAGCAACUAUACGUAACAUCAUCAAUUCAUAAUAAUAAUUAUUCAUCAAACGUCUCAUUAUCAAUUCAUGAAUAAAAGACAACUUAUCAACUUAACAUAACCAUCAUCAAGUACAUUUAACAACUCAUAGAUAACAUCAUGUAAUCAUCAUCACUAAUAACUUAAACAACACAAUAUAAUCAUCAUCUCAUAAUAAUAAUCAUAUAUAAUACAACAUAAUAAUAAUCAUAUACAUCACAACAUAAACAUCAUCUUAUAAUAAUAUAACAACCACAUAUUCAUCAUUUUAUAAUAAUAUAACAUCAACAAGAUAUUCAUCAUUUUAUAAUAAUAUAACAACAACACAUAAUAACAUCAUAAUCAACAUCACAAACAACAUCAUAUAACAAAAUCAUAUAACAACAUCACAAACAACAUCAUAAACAACAUAGCAAUCGUCAUAAGCAACUUGACAACGUCAUGAACAUCGUAUAAUCUUCAUAGGUACUUCUUUAACAACACAUGAGUAGAAUACAACUCAGCAACUCAUAGAUGAUAAUUCAUUAAUAACUUAACAACUCAUGGAUGAUAAUUCAUCAACAACGACUUCGACUAGACAAAUGCGACUCCAACUCGACUAUGCAACUUAGACCUCUUAUAUGCAUGUGGUACCAAUUUAGGGCAUGAGCCCCCAACGUUAUUGAGUAUUAAUAUACUUCCAGGGCAUAAGCCCCCAUCGCUAAUUUGAGCUAAAGCUCCAUCGUGGUGAGUACAAAAUUCCAUCGUGGUGAGUACAAAGCUCCAGGGCAUGAGCCCCCAACAAAUGUAUGCUAAUGCAUGGACUCGAUCUCUUAAACAUCAUAAUCAUCAUCUCUUAUAUUAGUGCAAUAAUUUGGAACAUCAUCAUCUUCAACAACUUAGACAACAUCAACAACUUAAGACUCCAAUACUUUGGAACGACAACUUACAACUUAGACCAACACCUGCAACUUGAUCAAUAUUCAACAGCAACAGAAACAGCACAAGCAAUUCACAACAUAACAAUAUUAAUGUGAAGCAUCAACAACUUAAACAUCAUACAUCUUCCACAUAAGGCAUAUAAAUAUUUCACAUAACCAACAACAGCAACAUAGGCAGCACGUAAACAUUUCAAGAUAUAACAAUAUCAAAUGAUAAUCAACAACAACUUAAACAUCUUAUAUAAUUCACAUAAUGCAUAUACAAAUAUAUUACAUUACCAUCAACAUCAAAUCAUAUUCAAAUAAUUCUCAAGUAAUGCAUAAAACAUUAUAUCACAUCAUAAUCAAAAACAACACAUCUUAAACAACUUCACAUAUUAUAAUUAGCCUCUUCAUUAAGUCUUAAUGCUACCCAAAGGUUCAACUCUUAACAAUUCGUGCAACAAAGGUCGCAAAGUCUCACAAGGCACUCUGUUUCCGGGUCACUCGCGAGGCGAGAGUGUAACGCCCAAUUUCGUUUAUUUAUUUAUUUAAUCGAGUUUAGACGAUUAUAUUAUAUUUAUAUAAUAUAUGUGUGAAUUUUGUUAGUUUAUGAUGAUUUAAAUGAUUUGGAUGAUUUUGAUGUGUUUUGAUGAUUUGAUAAGAUUAUGAGACUUAUUUUAUUGUUAAAUAAAAUAAGAUUUGAAAAGAAAAUAACAAUAUUUAGUUGAUGGCUGUUUUGAUAUUUUAGAUAGUUUUGGGGGAGAAAGUGAGAUAAGAUAAGUAAUUAAGAGGAGAUAUAAAGAGAUAGACCUAGUUUUAGAAAAGUUAGUACGUACGACUGUUUUUGGAGAAAAAGGGAGAAAAAGCCAAGAGAAGAGAGAAUCACUUGGAGGGCUGCGAUUUCUUCAUACAAGGUAAGGGUGAGACUAAUAAUUCAGUAAUAGUGAUUGUUAUAAUUCUGAUGAUUAAUUGGCAAAGUUAGGAUUGAAUUAGAAAAGUUUUGGAAUUAGGUCAAAUCCCUAAAAUUGAUGAUCAAACGGUAAAAGUUGAUUAGAUUGAUGUAGAAAACGUCCUAUAACCUUAGAAUAUGUUUAGGAUGAAUUCUGGAAUUGAAAUUAGGCUUUGAAUCAUGUGAGAUCAUGAAAUUUUUGUAAAAACUACAUUCUGCCCGAGCCUAUGUUCAUGGCUCGCCCUGGCGAGGGAUGAUCCUCGCCUCGCGAGUGAUGAAGUUCAUCACUCGCCACGCGAGCCAUAACCCUUCGCCUCGCGAGUUACUUGUUGUAGCUCGCCACAACGAGCAACCCUACUCGCCAUAGCGAGCUUGACCAGAGAGCAUGUCAUUUUCUAAGUUUUUGACUUUUGAGUUGAACCUUAGAUGCCUUUGAGUACCUUUAGGUGCCUACUUUUGAUUAGGGAAUGAUUUAUAACGAAAUUGAACCUCGAACAACCUUAGUUGGGAAUCUGGCUUGUACUCGCCAUGGCGAGCAGAUGCUCUCGCCUCGCGAGCACUUCCAGAACUGAGUGCAUUUGUUGAUUGUGAGGCCUGAGUUGUUUGGAUUGAUUAGGAAAGGAACUAUAGGUACUAAUGGAACCUAUUAAAGAUAUUGACUGAGAAUUGUGAAGCUUUUACGAAAUGUUAAGUGAUUAUAAAGUGAAUUAUGGAUUGAUUGUAUUUACUUGAAUUAUUGUUGAAUGAUCAAGAAAUUGUUGAAAAUGAUUUGUUAUUAAGUUUGAUGUGAUUUGAUUAUGUUGCACUUGUUAUUAAACUAUGUUGCAUGAGUAUGAAUAAGUUGAUGAUGAACUCCAAAUUAUUGGAUGUCUAAGUGAUAAGUUGAUUAAGGUGUCUUGUUGAUAGAGUCCAUGCAUUAGCAUUCAUUGAGCUUUGUCCUCACCAUGAUAGGAGCUUUGUCCUCCACACGUUUAGGAGCUUUGUCCUCCGCACGAUUAAAGUAUAUUAAUACUAUGAUGACGAUUGGUACUGUAACGCCCUAGUUGUUAUUUUAUUUUAUUUUGAUUUAUUUGGAGUCACAUAUGUGAUUUUAUAUGAUUUUUGGUGAUUUAUGUGGUGUGUGCAUUUUAUUAUAUAGUUUAUUAUGAUAAUAAUUAAAAUAAGUGGAAAUUAAUAUUAUUUUAGAAAUUAGGGAGUUAAUUAGAAUUUAUUAAAAUUAAGGGGAAUUAAUAGAAUUGAAGGGAGUUAAGAAAGAGGUUAAGAAAGAAAGAAAAACAGUCAGAACGUUUUUACGUAAGAAAACUAAGCUUUUGGGAGAAAAGGGAGAAGAAGAGCAAGAACAAGAGAGGAGAGCUUAGGAACCGAUUUUUGUAACACCCCGACUUCCCAACAAUUAUAUUAAUAAUAAAAUCAGAGUUAAAUCAUCAACGGAGUGUUACAAUGCCUUUCAAAAUUUCUUAAAUAGAAUAUAAAACUAUUUAAUAAAACAUCAUUCAUAAACGGCAAUAAUUCGCAGCGGAAAAUAUCUUUCAAUGUUAAAACAACUUCCAAUAACACCUUGGCACAUGACCUCAACAAAUUAUAUUUAAAGAUUAAAUCAACAUCAACAGGUUCAUAAUGAUACAUAAGGAAUGAAAACAUGACAACAAUUUCCCAUCCCGUACACAUCAGAGCCCUAAGACACUUGAGCCACCAUUUCUAAAAUACUUCAAUACCUGCAAGUUACCCAUACGAAGGGCAACAAUUCCAAGCAGAAGGGGUGAGAUUCACAAACAAUAAUAAUAGUUAUAUAAAUCAUCAACUUAAUUAAAUAACAUAAUUAGCAGCAUAUAUUCAACAAUAAUAUUCAUACUUCUUCCUCUUUAAAAACACUUACUAAAUCAACCAACGACGACAACCACUACUCAAUCAACGACAACAACAAUAACUCACUCAACGACAACAACAAUUACAACAACUCCAUCUACAACAACGACAACAAUACAAUCAACGACAACGACGACAAAUUCUCCAUCAACAACAACGACAACAACAACAUCGAGGUAACACCAUUUCCAUCGUGUUGAAUGACUAAGCAUUCCAGGGCAUAAGCCCCCAACAAUUUGAAUGACAAGGCAUUCCAGGGCAUGAGCCCUCAACAGUUUGAAUGACAAAGCAUUCCAGGGCAUGAGCCCUCAACAGUUGAAUGACAAAGCAUUCCGGGGCAUAAGCCCCCAACAAUUUGAAUGACAAGGCAUUCCAGGGCAUGAGCCCUCAACAGUUUGAAUGACAAAGCAUUCCAGGGCAUGAGCCCUCAACGGUUUCCUAAUCAUGAAAGGACUCAACUUGUGUAUAUCAACAUACAACUCAACUACGACAACGACAAUAUAGGUAACAACAACGAUAACGACUGUGCAUAAUAACUUAUGACUUACUCCCCAACUUGGUUAACAUCAACAACCUAUGACUCCGUUACUUAGAACGUCAACUUGCAACCUUACAACCUGAAUCAACAUCUUGUAUAAUCCCAUGGAAUGCAUUUAUGCAUAAACCAACAAUCAACAUCAAAUCAUAUUCAAUCAACAACAACACCAACAGUAUAUAAACAACGUGAUAUAACAAUAUCUUAUGUAAUUCAACAAUGUUUAACAUUUCCAUAUAAAUCCAAGUAAUGCGUAAUUGAUUAUAUCAUAUUAAAAAUAACUUCCAUUCAUCAUAAUCAGCUUCACAGAUCAUCAAUUAAUAUCCUAUACAACUUUCAUUGCUAUCCCAAGGUUCAACUCACAACCACCCGGGCGACAUAGCCACAAGAAACCUAAACAAGCCAGUCUGCCAAGCACUAACUCGCGAGGCGAGAGCCUCUACUUGCCACGGCGAGUUAGGAUAAAACACUCUAGAAUCCAUUUUCAAAACCAAAACCAAAUAAAACUCAAGGAAACCAAUCACUACAAUUUUCAGUAAUCAUAUAAUCUCUAUUCUAUCUUAAUCCCAUUCCAUUUCUUUGAAGAUCCCAUUUUUCGGAAAAGUCAACGUUCUUGAGCAAUUUUCAAAGUUAAGUUUUGAUUUCACAAACCAAGUCCAAAUUUCAUUCAAGGAGAUGUUCCAGUAGGAUUAAGUACGAGACUAAUGAUUAUACAAGUUAAAAGAAGUGUUUUAAGAAGUUCAGAUUGACCCUAGGAAGCUCAGAACAAAGUUCCAAAAGUGCUGGAAAAAGAACUGCUCGCUUAAGCGUCCACCUUCACGCUUAAGCGUCCAAAAUCCAGUAGCUACUGUGACUGCACGCUUACCAGCUCGCUUACAGCACGCUUAAGCGUGCAGUCAUCAGACAGGAACUAGCGUCGCUUGCAGCGUCGCUUAAGCGACCAUUCAAAAUUCUGCAGAACAAAAGUUACGGUUUUCACCCAUUUUUCACCCAAAACUCCCAAUUUUGAUCUCCCAAUGCCCAAACAUGUUUCCGAAGAAUGUUUAUAGGUUCAAUAUACAAUUAGGCAUCUAAAGGAACAUAAAACAUGCAUCAACAACAACAAUUCAGCUCAUUCCAACAAUCUUGCAUAAUCUCUCAAAUUCUCUCCAACAACUCCCAACCUUUCCCAAUUCUGAUUACAACAAUGUUACUAAAUCCUGAAAACGAUCUGAACAUGAUUCUAAGCAUAAUUAACAUGUCUCCUACACUUUUCAACUCAAAAUCAGUAUUAGAACCCUAAUUCCCCAAUUCCUAUUUCAAGAACAAUUCAUGUUAAAUCAAUUUUCAGAAGUUAUAUAUUACAAUCAUUGAGAGUUAGUCUCACCCUUACCUGAAUUCAAUUGCACAAACAAAGCUACAACAAAAUCGAUCCCCUCUUGCUCUUGUUCUCCCCUUGGCUUGGUUUUCUCUCCCAAAACUUGUUUCACGUAAAACUGCUUCUGACCUUUUCUUUUCCUAACUCCCAAAACUAUAACUCCCCCUUUAUUUCAUUAAACUCCCUUAAUUUUUAUUAAAUCCUAAUUAACUGCCACACUCCAAAAUAAUUCUAUUUCUCCACUUAUUCUAUUAAAUAAUAAAAAUAGUCAUUUAAUAAAAUACACCACACCACAAAAUCAACAUAAAUCAUUUAAAAAUCAUAUAAAGGACUUUAAAUCAACUAAAAAUAAUUAAAUAAAAUUGGGGCGUUAAAAUUUUGCUGUGUAAUCCUUCUGCAAAACUAAGGUAAGGGUGAGACUAUCUCUCAAUAAUCAUAUAUAUAAUUUCUGAAAAUUGACCUGAUUGCUUAGCUUUUGAAGAUAAAAUUGAAGGUUAGGGUUGAUGAUGAUUUUGAGGAGAAUGGUGUAAUGAUCAUGUUAAAUAUGCUGUAAUGUGAUGUUUAGAAUGAAUUCUUAACCUAUAAUAAUGUUGUGAUCACAAUUUGAAUGAAUUUAGAAUUGGAUGGAUGAAUUGGUGAAGUUUUGUAUGAUUGUAGAAUAAUCUGAAUUGUUGUUGUUGAUGCCUGUUUUGUAUCCCUUUUAGAUGCUUAGUUGUAUAUAGAACCUGUAAACAUCUGCUGGAAAACAUUUUAAGUGAUCAGGGGAUUAAAGUUGGGUUUUUGGAGUGAGAAGAGGUAUGAAAUCGUAGGUUUUUGUACUGCCCAGAUGAAUGGUCGCUUAAGCGAAGGACCCGUCGCUUAAGCGAGCAUUCAAGCAAACUGCCCAGAAUACGAUUUUGCGCGUUCGCUUAAGCGAACUGUGAGUGAGCUGGUAAGCGAAAAUUUGAUUUGAUUCUGCCAAGAAUUCGCUCAAGCGAACCGUAAGCGAGCAGAACCCAGACUUACUGUAAGCCGGUCGCUUAAGCGAGCUAGCCGUCGUUUAAGCGAAGUUGACCUUAGUUAGCCACUUUUUGAACUUUGCCUCAUGCAUUAGGGGACCCUUUUGAGCAUUUAAACAUGAUCCUUCCAACUCGUAUAACCCUUACAUAUAUAUGCUGGAUCCUAAUGGAAUGUUUCAGUAAUAGGAUUCGUUGAGUUUAGUGAGUUGGGAGAUGAUUGAGUAUAAACUAAGAGAGUAUACACUAUGUUGAACGAACCUGAUGCUUUGGUUUGAUUAUUAUUAUUUGUACAUUUUCUGGAAUGGUUGAAUUGGUUUUUAUGGAGUCGUAAGUCAUAUAUACAUAUAUGCAUUAGUUGAGUUGUAUGUAGAUAUACACAAGUGGGUUAGUCGCAUAAGCAUAAAAGUGGGAGAGCUUCGGCUCUGGAACGCCUUGUCGUUCAAAGCGGUAGAACACUAGUUGUUCAAAGCGGUGUUGAGCGGUGAUGACUUAUGUCCUGAUGAGAAUGUUUUAACCAUUCGACAGCGGUGUGGGUCACGGCCCUGAAUAUGGUACCACAUGCAUAGUUGCAUUUAUCGAGGAGUCUUAGAGAGGUGUCAUGUCAUUACAUGAGUUGUUGUCGUUGAUUGAAUUGCUAUAUCUGGAUGAUUGUUGCUGAUUAUGAAAUACUUAUGCCUAUUGAAUAAUCAUUGAUAUUGUAGGGUGUUAGAUUCAAUUGAUGUUAUUAUAUAUUAUUUUUAUUGACUGAGAAUCUCACCCCUUCUGCUUGAAAACGUUGCCCUUCCUAUGGGUAACUUGCAGGUGAUCCUGAGUAGUAGGUGGUGGCUCAAAGUGUCUAGGGCUCUGAUACGUGGGAUGGGAUUUUUAAUGUUUCUUUCAUUCCUAUGUAUCAAAUUUUGGAUAAUGCUGUUGUAGCCCUAUGAUUGUUGGAUUUUUCUGGUUGAGGCUUUUAUGCCAAGAUUUUAUUAUGUUGUGGUUGUUAUUGUCGAGAUAAUAAUUCCGCUGAAAAAUUAAUGAUGAUUCUUUGAAGGUUGCGAAUUAAAUAGACUUUUAUAUUCUAUUUAUAAGACUUUUGAUUUAGAAGUGUCACAUGCCCGUUGGGUUAAUACUCUAAUGCAUGAUUAUUUUAUUAAAUAAUUGAUAAUAGGGAACAGGGUGUUACAAUUAGUAUCAGAGCAGGUCGGUCCGUCCGGCCAAGUAGUAGUGCCGUGUUAAGCCACCUAGGGUAGAGUGUCAAGCUCUAAUGUUGUCUUUGUUGUUUCUGAUUGUCGUUUCUUAUGUAGAACUUCGAAAUGGCUGGUCGUAAUGAUGCUGCCAUCGCUGCUGCACUUGAGGCUGUGGCUCAAGCUGUAGGACAACAACCAGCUGCGGGUAACGGUGAGGUGAGAAUGCUGGAGACCUUCUUGAGGAACCAUCCACCAGCAUUCAAGGGAAGAUAUGACCCCGAUGGUGCCCAGACGUGGCUUAAGGAAGUGGAACGGAUUUUCAGAGUUAUGCAAUGUUCUGAGGUACAAAAGGUGCGAUUCGGUACGCAUCAGUUAGCUGAGGAGGCUGAUGAUUGGUGGGUUAGUCUGCUACCUAACCUUGAUCAAGAUGGAGUUGAUGUGACUUGGGCUGUUUUCUAAAGAGAGUUCAUGAGAAGAUACUUUCCGGAAGAUGUUCGCAGGAAGAAAGAGAUCGAAUUCCUUGAGCUGAAGCAAGGAAACAUGUAUGUGACAGAGUAUGCUGCCAAGUUUGUGGAGUUGGCAGAGUUCUACCCGCACUAUGCUGCUGAGACUGUUGAGUUCUCGAAAUGCAUCAAGUUCGAGAAUGGUUUGAGGCCCGACAUUAAGAGGGCGAUCGAAUACCAACAGAUCCGAGUUUUUCCUGAUUUGGUUAAUAGCUGCAGAAUUUAUGAGGAGGAUACCAAGGCUCAUUACAAGGUUGUGAAUGAGCGGAAGACCAAGGGCCAGCAGAGUCGCCCUAAGCCCUAUAGUGCCCCUGCUGAUAAGGGCAAACAGAGAAUGGUCGAUGAUAGGCGGCCUAAGAAGAAGGAUGCUCCAGCUGAGAUUACUUGUUUCAAUUGUGGUGAGAAAGGCCACAAGAGCAAUGUUUGUCCUGAAGAGAUCAAGAAAUGUGUCCGGUGUGGCAAGAAAGGUCAUAUUGUAGCUGAUUGCAAGCGAAAUGAUAUUGUGUGCUUCAAUUUUAAUGAAGAGGGUCAUAUUGGUUCCCAAUGCAAGCAGCCUAAGAAGUCGCCUACUACGGGUCGAGUUUUUGCUCUGGAUGGUACUCAGACAGAGAAUGAGGAUCGUUUGAUCAGAUGUACUUGUUAUAUUAAUAAUACUCCUUUAGUUGCUAUUAUUGAUACUGGUGCUACGCAUUGCUUUAUUGCUUUCGAUUGUGUUUCUGCUUUGGGUCUUGAUUUGUUUGAUAUGAAUGGAGAGAUGGUUGUCGAAACUCCAGCUAAGGGUUUGGUGACUACUUCUCUCGUAUGCUUGCGAUGUCUUCUGUCUAUGUUUGGUCGUGAUUUUGAAAUGGAUUUAGUUUGUCUACCUUUGAGCGGUAUGGAUGUGAUUCUGGGUAUGAAUUGGUUAGAGUACAACCAUGUUCAUAUCAAUUAUUUUACCAAGUCAGUGUAUUUCUCUUCCGUUGAAGAGGAAAGUGGUGCAGAGUUUUUAUCUACUAAGCAGCUGAAGCAAAUGGAACGCGAUGGUAUUUUGAUGUAUCCUUUGAUGGCUUCUUUAUCUUUUGAGAAUCAAGCAGUGAUUGAUAAGCUACAAGUGGUAUGCGACUUUCCUGAAGUUUUUCCAGAUGAAAUUCCUGAUGUGCCUCUAGAGAGGGAAGUUGAGUUUUCUAUUGAUCUGAUUCUUGGAACAAAGCCGGUGUCGAUGGCACCUUAUCGUAUGUCUGCUUCCGAGUUGGCUAAGUUGAAGAAACAGUUAGAAGAUUUGCUUGAAAAGAAAUUUGUUAGACCAAGUGUUUCACCUUGGGGAGCGCCAGUUUUGCUAGUGAAGAAGAAAGAUGGUAGCAUGAGAUUGUGUAUUGACUAUCGUCAGUUGAACAAAGUAACUAUCAAGAAUAGGUAUCCACUUCCGAGAAUUGAUGAUUUGAUGGAUCAGUUAGUGGGUGCAAAAGUUUUCAGCAAGAUUGAUUUGAGAUCAGGGUAUCACCAGAUUAAAGUGAAAGAUGAAGAUAUGCAGAAGACAGCUUUCAGCACGCGUUAUGGUCACUAUGAAUAUAAAGUUAUGCCUUUCGGUGUGACCAAUGCACCUGGAGUGUUUAUGGAGUACAUGAAUCGCAUCUUCCAUGCAUUUUUGGAUCGGUUCGUAGUUGUGUUUAUCGACGACAUUUUGAUUUACUCCAAGACUGAAGGAGAACAUGCUGAGCAUCUGAAGAUUGUCUUGCAAGUGUUGAAAGAGAAGAAACUUUAUGCUAAAUUGUCUAAGUGUGAAUUCUGGUUGAAAGAAGUAAGUUUUCUUGGCCAUGUUAUUUCUAGUGAUGGUAUUGUAGUGGAUCCGUCUAAAGUUGAAGUGGUAUCGCAAUGGGAGACUCCUAAGUCAGUUACAGAGAUUAGAAGUUUCUUGGGUUUGGCUGGUUACUACAGAAGGUUUAUCGAAGGAUUUUCCAAGUUAGCACUUCCGCUAACACAAUUGACUUGUAAAGGUAAAGCUUUUGUGUGGGAUGUUCAUUGCGAGAACAGUUUUAGUGAAUUGAAGAAGCGUUUGACGAAGCCCAAGUUUUGAGUUUUGCCAAAGUCCGAUGAGCUUUUUGUGGUGUAUUGUGAUGCGUCCAAGUUGGGUUUAGGCGGUGUACUUAUGCAAGAUGGUAAAGUGGUAGCUUAUGCUUCGAGACAAUUGAGAAUUCAUGAGAAGAAUUACCCGACGCAUGAUUUAGAGUUGGCAGCUGUGGUCUUUGUAUUGAAGAUAUGGAGACAUUACUUGUAUGGUUCGAGGUUUGAGGUGUUUAGUGAUCACAAGAGCUUGAAGUAUUUGUUCGAUCAAAAGGAAUUGAAUAUGAGGCAGCGUAGAUGGAUAGAAUUGCUGAAAGAUUAUGACUUUGCUUUGAAUUAUCAUCUAGGUAAAGCUAAUGUUGUUGCAGAUGCUUUGAGCAGGAAGACAUUGCAUAUGUCCGCUUUGAUGGUUAGAGAGUUCGAGUUACUUGAACAGUUCAGGGAUUUGAGUUUAGUUUGUGAAUGGUCACCUCAGAGUGUGAAACUAGGAAUGUUGAAGAGUAUUAAAGAGGCACAGAAAGUUGAUGUCAAGUUUGUAGACUUGUUGGUUGCUAGUAAUCAGACUGAAGACGGUGUCUUUAAAGUCGACGAUCACGGUGUGUUGAGAUUCCGAGAUCGGAUUUGCAUUCCUGACGAUCCAGAGAUGAAGAAAAUGAUUCUUGAAGAGAGUCAUAGAAGUAGCUUGAGUAUUCAUCUAGGAGCUACGAAGAUGUAUCACGAUUUAAAGAAGAUUUUCUGGUGGUCUGGUUUGAAACGUGAUGUGGCACAGUUUGUGUAUUCCUGUUUAGUUUGUCAGAAGUCGAAGAUUGAGCAUCAGAAACCUGCUGGUAUGAUGGUAUCUUUAGAUGUGCCAGAAUGGAAAUGGGAUAGUAUAUCCAUGGACUUUGUGACGAGUUUGCCGAAUACUCCUAGAGGGAACGACACAAUUUAGGUAAUCGUUGAUAGAUUGACGAAGUCGGCUCAUUUUCUACCGAUUAAUAUUAGUUUUCCUGUUGCCCAGUUGGCAGAGAUUUAUAUCAAGGAGAUCGUGAGGUUACAUGGUGUUCCUUCGAGCAUUGUAUCAGAUAGAGAUCCAAGAUUUACUUCUAGGUUUUGGAAAAGUUAGCAAGAGGCUUUGGGUUCAAAGUUGAGAUUGAGUUCGGCUUAUCAUCCGCAGACAGAUGGUCAGUCGGAGAGGACAAUUCAGUCGCUAGAGGAUUUGUUGAGAGUUUGUGUUCUUGAGCAAGGAGGAACUUGGGAUAGUCAUCUUCCGUUGAUCGAGUUCACAUACAAUAAUAGUUAUCAUUCUAGUAUUGGAAUGACACCUUUUGAGGCUUUGUAUGGUCGGAGAUGCAGAACUCCGUUGUGCUGGUUUGAGUCAGGUGAAAGAGUGGUCUUAGGACCAGAGAUUGUUCAGCAGACUACUGAGAAAGUUAAAAUGAUUCAAGAGAAAAUGAAAGCGUCGCAAAGUCGACAGAAGAAUUAUCAUGAUAAGCGCAGAAAGGAUCUUGAGUUUCAAGAAGGAGACCACGUGUUUUUGAGAGUCACUCCUGUGACUGGUGUUGGAUGUGCUUUGAAGUCAAAGAAGUUGACUCUGAGAUUUUUCGGUCCGUAUCAGAUAUCGAAAAAAUUUGGAACGGUGGCGUAUCGAGUGGGAUUACCACCGCAUCUUUCGAACUUGCACGAUGUUUUCCAUGUGUCGCAACUUCGGAAUUAUGUUCCGGAUCCAUCUCAUGUGAUCCAGAGUGAUGAUGUGCAAGUUAGAGACAACCUUACGGUAGAGACUUUACCGGUGAGGAUUGAUGAUCGAAAAGUGAAGAUGUUGAGAGGCAAGGAGAUACCCCUUGUUAGAGUCGUUAGGGCUGGAGCGACUGGUGAAAGCUUGACAUGGGAGCUUGAGAGUAAGAUGCUGGAGUCUUAUCCAGAAUUGUUUGCUUGAGAUAAAUUUUCGAGGACGAAAAUCUUUUAAGUUGGGGAGAGUUGCAAUGCCCAAUUUGUUUAUUUAUUUAUUUAAUCGAGUUUAGACGAUUAUAUUAUAUUUAUAUAAUAUAUGCGUGAAUUUUGUUAGUUUAUGACGAUUUAGAUGAUUUUGAUGUGUUUUGAUGAUUUGAUAAGAUUAUGAGACUUAUUUUAUUGUUAAAUAAAAUAAGAUUUGAAAAGAAAAUAAAAAUAUUUAGUUGAGGGCUGUUUUGAUAUUUUAGAUAGUUUUGGGAGAGAAAGUGAGAUAAGAUAAGUAAUUAAGAGGAGAUAUAAAGAGAUAGACCUAGUUUUAGAAAAGUUAGUACGUACGACUGUUUUUGGAGAAAAAGGGAGAAAAAGCCAAGAGAAGAGAGAAUCACUUGGAGGGCUGCGAUUUCUUCAUACAAGGUAAGGGUGAGACUAAUAAUUCAGUAAUAUUGAUUGUUAUAAUUCUGAUGAUUAAUUGGCAAAGUUAGGAUUGAAUUAGAAAAGUUUUGGAAUUAGGUCAAAUCCCUAAAAUUGAUGAUCAAACGGUAAAACUUGAUUAGAUUGAUGUAGAAAACGUCCUAUAACCUUAGAAUAUGUUUAGGAUGAAUUAUGGAAUUGAAAUUAGGCUUUGAACCAUGUGAGAUCAUGAAAUUUUUGUAAAAACUGCAUUCUGCCCGAGCCUAUGUUCAUCGCUCGCCCUGGCGAGGGAUGAUCCUCGCCUCGCGAGUGAUGAAGUUCAUCGCUCUCCACGCGAGCCAUAACCCUUCGCCUCGCGAGUUACUUGUUGUAGCUCACCACAGCGAGCAACCCUACUUGCCAUAGCGAGCUUGACCAGAGAGCAUGUCAUUUUCUGAGUUUUUGACUUUUGAGUUGAACCUUUAGGUGCCUACUUUUGAUUAGGGAAUGAUUUAGAACGAAAUUGAACCUCGAACAACCUUAGUUGGGAAGCUGGCUUGUACUCGCCAUGGCGAGCAGAUGCUCUCGCCUCGCGAGCACUUCCAGAACUGAGUGCAUUUGUUGAUUGUGAGGCCUGAGUUGUUUGUAUUGAUUAGGAAAGGAACUAUAGGUACUAAUGGAACCUAUUAAAGAUAUUGACUGAGAAUUGUGAAGCUUUUACGAAAUGUUAAGUGAUUAUAAAGUGAAUUAUGGAUUGAUUGUAUUUACUUGAAUUAUUGUUGAAUGGUCAAGAAAUUGUUGCAAAUGAUUUGUUAUUAAGCUUGAUGUGAUUUGAUUAUGUUGCACUUGUUAUUAAACUAUAUUGCAUGAGUAUGAAUAAGUUGAUGAUGAACUCCAAAUUAUUGGAUGUCUAAGUGAUAAGUUGAUUAAGGUGUCUUGUUGAUAGAGUCCAUGCAUUAGCAUUCAUUGAGCUUUGUCCUCACCAUGAUAGGAGCUUUGUCCUCCACACGUUUAGGAGCUUUGUCCUCCGCACGAUUAAAGUAUAUUAAUACUAUGAUGACGAUUGGUACCACAUGCAUAUAAGUGUCUAAGUUGCAUUGUCGCAUUGUCGAGUUUGAAGAUGUUUAUGUUAUUGAUGAUGAUGAAAGAUCUGAUUAUGUGAUAAUUGUUUAUCAAAGAUGUAAUGUUGAUUAAGACUGAUUAUGAUGUUAAUUAUGAUUUCGAAUUAUAUUGAUUAAUAUUAUUAUGUUAUGAAAUCUCUCCCCUUCUGCUUGAAAAUGUUGCUCUUCGUAUGAGUAAUUUGCAAGUGAUCGUGCUUAAGUGUGCAGUUUGCCGUCGUGAGUGGCCUUGCCUCACUGUGUCGUCUAGGUCGCUCUGAUACGUAACGGGAUGGGGUUAUUUGAUAUGCAUGCUUCAUUCUCUUACGUGACAAUUAUGUUAUAUUUAUGAUGUUGAUUAACUGUUGAAAUAUUUUGAUGGGGCCUGCGUGCCAAAACGAUUUAUGGUUUAUGAAAUAAUUUCCGCUGCAACGUUUAAGUUAAUUUGUUAAAGUUAAAUUGUUAUUUAACUGAUUUGAAUUAUGUUUAAAUGUGAUAUCCCGUUUAUGCUGUUUACUCUGAUAAAUGUUACAGAGAGCAUCUGCUCGCCAUGGCGAGUUCAGGUCAGAAUCCCACAAGUUUCAUUCCAGGAUCAAUCUCAUCCUACAUUCUUUCCUAAUCAUUAUUAUGUUCAAGCACUCAAAAGCAUUUAAGGUUCAACUCAAAAGUCAAAAAUACGAAAUCUAGCAUGCUCUCUAGUCUAGCUCGCUAGGCGAGUUCAUCUAUUCGCUAUGGCGAGCUGCGACGUGCAACUCGCGAGGCGAGGGAAAAUGGUUUGCGUGGCGAGCGAUGAACUUCAUCACUCGCCAGGCGAGGAUCAUCGUUCGUGAGGGCGAGCGAUGAAUAUAGGCUCGGGCAAAAUGCAGUUUUUUUACAAAAAUUCAUCUAAUCUCAUGGUUUAAAGCCUAAUUUCGAUUCCAGAAUUCAUCCUAUUCAUAAUCUAAGGUCAAAGGACGUUUUAAACAUCAAACUAACAACCUAACAUCAUUGGAUCAUCAAAAUCACCUAUUAACCCUAAUUCCAAAAACUUUCUAAUUCAAUCCUAACUUGUUAAUUUGAUCAUCAGAAUUGCAUCAAUUAAUAUUACUGAAUCAUUAGUCUCACCCUUACCUUGUAUGAAGAAAUCGCAGCUCUCUAAGGUGAUUCUCCCUUCUCUUGGCUUUUUCCUCCUUUUCCAAAGUUUUGAUCGUACGUACUAAUUUUUCUAAAACUAGGUCUUUCCUUUUUAUAUCUCUUCCCAAUAUCUUAUCUUAUCUCUCUUUCUCUACCAAAACUCUAUAAAAUCUCAAAACAGCCCUUAACUAAAUAUUUUAUUUUAUUUUCAAAUCUUAUUUUAUUAAACAAUAAAAUAAGUCUCAUAACCUCAUAAAAAUCAUAAAAAUCAUCUAAAAUCAUCCAAAUCACCUAAAUCGUCAUAAAUAAUCAUAAAUCACACAUAUAUUAUAUAAAUAUAAUAUAACUCGUCUAGACUCAAUUAAAUAAUUAAUUAAUAAAAAGUGGGCGUUACAACUCUCCCCAACUUAUAAGAUUUUCGUCCUCGAAAAUUUACCUCAAGCAAACAACUCUGGAUAAGACGCUAGCAUCUUACUCUCAAGCUCCCACGUCAAGCUUUCACCAGUCGCUCCGUCCCAAACGACUCUCAACGUCUUCACCGAAGGCUGACGAGGGCGGGGAGUGGUCGCCGGUGCACAAGGCACGACAAUGAGCGGCUCCCGACAGCUUCUAGAGGAAUCGAAUCACAUCGGAAUGAGAGGGAUCUUGAGGCCGUGUAGAUAUGGGACUGCAUGGUUGAUGGAAGGCUUAUAAGAAUUGUUGCGUACUAACUAUAUCUACAAGAUGCAUCUUCUUUUCGGUAGCUCAUUCCAUAAGAACUUCACAUUUAAGUGUGCUUGACUUGUAGCAAUUUUGGGAUGGGUGACCUACCGGGAAGUUUCCCCGUAAGCGUGCGAGUGAGGACAAAAUACGCUGAAAAGAUUCGUGUUGGUUUGUGGGGUCGGUCGGCAAUCCUGAAAGCAAUCUGGGAUGUUACAAAUGGUAUCAUAGCAGACCUCUCCCAGUACGGUGUGGUUCGGGGACGAACCAAGCGGAAGCUGGUGGGCAUGUAACACCCAAGGCUGACGAGGGUGGGGAGUGGUCGCCGGUGCACAAGGCACGACAAUGAGCGGCUCCCGACAGCUUCUAGAGGAAUCGAAUCACAUCGGAAUGAGAGGGAUCCUGAGGCCGUGUAGGUUUGGGACUCCAUGGUUGAAGGAAGGCUUAUAAGAAUUGUUGGGUACUACCUAUUUCAACAAGAUGCAUCUUCUUUUCGGUAGCUCAUUCCAUAAGAAUUCCACAGUUAAGCGUGCUUGACUUGGAGCAAUUUUGGGAUGGGUGACCUACCGGGAAGUUUCCCGAUAAGCAUGCGAGUGAGGACAAAACGCUGAAAAGACUCGUGUUGGUUUGUGGGGUCAGUCGGCAAUCCUGAAAGCAGUCUGGGAUGUUACAAAAACUCUGCUGAAAUUGUUUUCACAUCAAGUUCACUUAGAAUUUCUUAACAACUUUCAAAUCUUAGAAAUUCUAGAGUCUUAAGAGUCUGUAUCUGAUUUGUAUCUGUGAACACCACUAAUUGUAUAUCAAGUGUUCAACCUCAAACACUUUUGAUAUACAGUCAGUGGUGUUCAUAAUACAAAUCAGAUAUAGACUCUUAAGACUCUAGAAUUUCUAAGAUAUGAACUUUGAAACAGAAAUUCUAAGUGAACUUUUAAUGCAGAACAAUUUCAGCAGAGUUUUGGCACUUUGUAAAUUGUUGUUGAGUCCUUGUUAAGCAUUACCAAUCUCUGAGUCUUCACUCCUUUAUAUAGAGGUGUGAAAGAGACAUUGUGAAAUUGCCAGCACAUCAAAAAGAGUCGUUUGAAGCUUUGACCAAUCACCAAUGAUCUUUUGCCUGAUAUGGUUGUUGUCCUAUGAAGGAUCAAUUUCAAAUCCAUUCCCAUUGUGAAGGAACAUCGUUGCAGGUAGAUCUGUUUUUUUUAGAGCUGUUUUCUUGUCUUAUAGCAGAGACAAAAACAAAGUAGUGGAGAUAGUGGUUAAUCUCCCCCUUUUUGAUGAUGACAAACAAUAGUAUUUAAAAAAAAUGUACAAUUGUUGUUAAUCUAAUUAACAAGUUGACUAUAGGGUAUGAGGUUUGUAAGCUCCACCUGAGUCCAAUAGUACUUAAGGUGAGGUUUGUAAGCUCCCCCUGAGUUCUAUCCAAGUUAAUUAAAUUUAUCAUUAAAGACGCAAUAACGCUCAGAAUAGACUAAGAGAUAAGAACUUGGUCCUAUUAAUUUAAUUUGAGCCUAUAAAUUAAAUUAAUGGGGCUCAGAGCCUAUAAAUACUACACAUACUACUCCCCCUUUUGUCAUCAACAAAAAGUUUAAAAACUAAAGACAAAAAGAAAGAGAUAGGAGAAAGAUAGUGAAAAAACAAAUAUUCUUGAAUCAGAGCAUAAACAUAUAUAUACGAAGCAUGUAUCAGAGCAUAAAUGUAAGGAGUAUUUCAGAGCAAAAAUAUACAUAGCAAAAAUGUAAGUGAAACUAGUUCAGAAGCAAUUAUAGAUCAGGAGCACAUAUAUGUUCAGAAGCACAAAAUGUAAAGCAGAAGCAUGAUAAAGAAAGGGAAUUAAGACAAGCAAAACUAAACAAGCUAAAGAUGUGUGUAACUAAGGCUUGGCUUGUUUGUUGACCAUGUCCAUCAGCUGUUUCAGCAUUAAGUUGGUUUCUUCUUGUUGCUUUUGCAUUUCUUCUUGCUUAUGCUUCAUUUCAGUCUUGCAUUCUUCAUUACUCUUGAUGAGGUUCUCUUCUUUGACCCUUACUUUUGCAAGCUUAGCCUAUGUGGAAGUCUUAUACUCUAGUAGCAGCAGCUUCAGAUUCAGCACUUCCUUCCUCAACUGCUUGUUCUCCCUUUCUAGCUCAACACUCUUCUGUAAUAACCCCAAUCCACUAGAAGCAGUCUUGAAGUUAACACCUUGGAGAAAAGACAAAUCCAGUUCUUUUGGAUGUACUCCAACAGGGAGGAAGUCAGUAGGAGUUCUUUCUCUUAGACAAAGAGGAGUCUGCACCCAAGUUCUAACCACUUUUACCUUUUGCAAAUCUUGGUCAAUUCCUUUGAGCUAAUCAUGAAACUUCAUCUGGGCAGCAUGUUGAGCAUCUAUACAAGAUUUCUGAAGUGCAGUCAAGAUGCAGUUUACCCUUUCCUUCAGCCUUUUCCAUAGCUUCUCAUAAUCUUCUCUAGCUUGAAUUAGACUGUUCAUCUCCUGAAAUAUAUUCUCACACACAUCUGCUAAUAAUACAGAAUCUAGGAAUAUAGAUGGUGGUGAGGGUGUAUGAGGUUUGGUAGGAGUGCAGGUCUGAAUGGCUCGUCUAGAGGUUGAUGGUUGGCUAUUUGUGAUUGAAGGUUGCAUAUUGCUCUCUGAAGUUUGUUCAGGAAUGGUUUGAGACUCAAUAUUAAUUGACAUAGACAGUUCAGGAAUAUCAAGCUCAGGAUCUUUAGAUGUUUGGUCAGAAGUAGGUUGUUCAGAACCUACUUAUUCAGGCUCAGGACCAAACACUUCUUGAUUGGGAGGUGAGGCCAUUUCUGAGUGAGGUUGUUGGUGUUGGGGGCUUUCUAAAGUAACUUCCAUAGAGGUUACUUCAGAGGCUUUUUGUAGGUUUGGCCUAACUUCUAGUUGUUCACCUGAAUAGUGACUAACCAGAUUGUCUAAGAUAGAUGUGUCUUGAGUUGGUUUGGUUGAUGGGGGUUGAGAUGAUGAUGAAGUUUCAACAUUCAUCUCAGGAGGGGCCAUGUUAAGUGGUGGGAUUAUUUGUGGUUGAAGAGGAUGGUUGAUGGGUAGUUUUUUACAAACUCUAUUUCUUAAUUCAGAUAAAUUACCUAUCCUUUCAUCUACACUAGGAAUCAUAGGUUCAAAAGUGCUAUAGUUGACACCAGGUUUCUUAAUUGGUUUGGUGGAUGAUGAUAGGCCUUUGUUGAGAGUUUUGUAAACCUGACCUAAGGGUAUAUCAUCAUAACUAGAUGAUGCAGAAGAGGAUGAUAGGGUGGUUGACUGUGAUAUGGAGGUGGAACUAGAUUCUAUAUCAAUCACAUUGGCAGAGUGAAGAGAAUUAGUAUUACCUCUUGAAGCUUCUGAGUUGACAGCUUCUGAUGCAACAGUCAUUUCCUUCUGAACUCCUUCAGAGGUCAUCAGCUGCAGAUUUUCAGCUUCAGUUGUAGCAAGCUCUUGUACAACAUCAGCAACAUCUAUGACCUUCUAAGCAUCCACACCAGCAUCUUUUCUAGCAAUGCUUGAUGCAGGAACUUCAAUGUCCUUUGCUAUCUCCAGUGCCUUCUGAAGACUAGCAGCCAGCUCUACUUCGUAGGAACCUCUUACCUAAUUUAUCUUGUGCUAAAUUGAUUUGCUUAUUUGAAAAUUAUUACCUAAAAAUCUAAGUGAAAGAAUGAAGGGAGAAAAAGUAUGUUUUUGGUUAUUUUUAUUUGAUUUGGAAGGAUUAACUUCUUUGCCUACAUACCCUUAAAGAAAGGGAUCAAAACCAAUGUAGUUCACCUAAAUAAUUUCUUUUUGAUGGGUUUGGUUGAUUUUAAAUUUUAGAAAAUGGUUUUGAGAAGAGAUAAGAGGCCUCAAGGCAUGAGAGAAAAUAAGGUGAGGUUGGUCAAGUUUUAAUUACAAGAAAAUCAAGUCUAAUAUGAAUAUUAAUUCAAUUAAGCAUUUGAUUAAGAAAAUAAAAGGAAAAAACACUUGGGUUACAAACCAAGGUUUAUUAAGAAAAUAUUUUUGGAGUUUUGCAUAUUUGAUUUUUUUGGUAAAAUGAUUUUUUCUAAACUAACGGUAAACUAGUGUAACGGCGUAAAAAUAAAAUAAGCGUAAAGCGGUAAAUAUAGUGGGAUAGUGUUCGGUGCAUGUGUCGGUGCUACUUCUCAUUUACGGAUAUUUACAAGGGACCUAGAUACAUUCUAAUUGCUGGAAAUAAAAUAACAAUAAUUAAAAUGCUAAAUAGAAAUAAAAUAAAAUGCAAAAAUGCUGAAAAGAAAUAAAAUACAAGAAAAUAAAAGAAAGGGACAACCGAAGGGACAAAAAAUUACCGAAGGGACAGAAAGAAAAAAAAAAAAGGAGAAGAAAAGAAUAGCUCGUCAACACAAGCUAAAUAGGAGAAGAGAGAAAAGUUCUUUGACAACUCAAGAGAACUUUUGGUGUGUGAAAUUGUGUGGAAUGAGGGCUAUAUAGGUGAGGAGGUUGAUGAAAAAAGGAAAAUUGGUUUAAUGAAAAUGAUGGACAAUUAUCGUGAAUUUUGAAAAGGGAAUGUUAAAGUUGACAGUUAACUUGAAAUUUUUUUAGACCUUGGACAUUAUUUUUUGGACCUAUUGACACUUUAUUUUUUUGUUUUUACACUAAUUAAUUAAAAAAGAGAUAAAAUAAAAUAAAAUAAAUCUAAUACGAAAUAAAAUAAAAAUAAACUAAAAUAAAAUUAAAUGAUGGAAAAUAAAAGGUAAGAUAAAAGGAAGAGACUAAGAAAAUAAAAAAAAUAAAAAAGUGAGAAGAGGGGUCGGAAUUGAUACAAAGAUGAGGUAUUACGCUGCAGUUGUCAGAGAUUGGCAGUGAUUGAUUAGUGACUGACUGCAGUAAAUGCAGUGGUAUUUAUACAACUAGAAAAUAGGGUUUCUCUGAUACAUGACAAGUACCAAAACGCCCCUGCAGCUGGAUUGGAUGAAACUUGGACAAAGGGAGACCAAGAACCAAUGGGAACAUGACAUGUGGAGUGGACUCAUAAAUUUAGAAAAAAUAAAAAAGAAGUUACAAGAUAAAAAAAAUUGUCACUCACGUGACAAUACAUAUACAUAUGUAUAAAUAAAUAAAGAAAGCUAACUAAAUAAGAAAAAUAACAAAAGUAAUAGAAAUAUAAUAAAAUAAUAAAACAAAAGUUAAAAUUGUCCCUUUCGGAAACCAAAUGAGGUACUUCAAAGUACCUCUCCGUCAAAAUUUCGUCUGAAAUAACGAAAAUUUCCGGCUUUAAAAAUACGAAUAAAAUGAGUAAAAAUAGAGAAAAGUGGUCAAAAUUUGGGUAUGACAGAUGCCCCUAUUUAAGUUUCUCCGUCACGGAGAUUUAAAAGGAUAAAGUUUUUAAAUCAAUGGGUCGAAGAGACUUAAAUAUUAAAUACGCCAAUUUUGACCAAUUGAAAUACUGAGAAAUGCAAUGCUUAUGAACAUAAUAGUAUGAGUGCCUAUGAUGCAAUUAUGAAUGCAACGACGACAAUGAUAUACUGACUGGGGAACAAACUUAUAAGUAUUACUGGUGAGGAAAGACUGUUUAGACGAACAUACGAAAUGAAAUACCGUCUAUUACCAUUACUGCGGUAAAGACGAACGUACGAAAAGGAAUACUGUCUAUUGCUUUUAUUGGGGUAACGAUCUACAUACGAAGGGAAAUACAAUCUGUUUCUUUGGUAAGGACAAACAUAGGAAAAGAAAUAUAGUUUAUUACCGUUAUUCUGGUAGAGACAAACAUAAAGAAGGAAAUAUUGUCUAUUACCUUUAUUGGGUUAAAACCAUCAUACGAAAGGAAAUACCGUAAGUUACCUCAACAGGGUAACGACCAACAUACGAAAAAUAAAUACCGUCAGUUACCUCAACUGGGUAACGACCAACAUACGAAAAUGAAAUACCGUCAGUUACCUCAACAUGGAUAACGACCAACAUACAAAAAAGAAAUACCGUUAGUUACCUCAACUGGGAUAACGACCAACAUAUGAAAAUGAAAUACCGUCAGUUACCUCAACUAGGAUAACGACCAACAUACGAAAAUGAAAUACCGUCAGUUACCUCAACAUGGGUAACGACCAACAUACGAAAAUGAAAUACCGUCAAUUACCCUCACAGGGGUAACGACAUAACAUACAAAAAGGAAAUUUCGUCAGUUACCUCAACACGGAUAACGACCAACAUAUGAAAAGGAAAUACCGUUAAUUACCCUCAUAGGGGUAACGACAUAACAUACAAAAAUGAAAUACCGUUAGUUACCUCAACUGGGAUAACGACCAACAUACAAAAAUGAAAUACCGUCAUUUACCUCAACAUGGGUAACGACCAACAUACGAAAAAGAAAUAUCGUCAGUUACCUCAAAAUGGAUAACGACCAACAUACGAAAAGGAAAUACCGUCAAUUACCCUCACAGGGGUAACGACCCAACAUACGAAAAUGAAAUACCGUCAGUUACCACAACUAGGAUAACGACCAACAUACGAAAAUGAAAUACCGUCAGUUACCUCAACAGGGGUAACGACCAAACAUACUGAAAAGAAAUACCGUCAGUUACCUCAACUUGGGUAACGACCAACAAGAUAAAAGUCACCUGCUACCGGUACGAGGAUAACUUACAUAAGGUACCGGGGAGCUGAACUAUAUUGGUACAAAGGUAGAUUUGGUGGGACCUGCCCCUUGAAAUAAACUUUAAUUGGUCACAAACCUAAAACAAACAUGUUGGGGAUGACACUUUUUAUGGGAUACAUUUGAAAUAAAACACAGGGUGACAAUGCAACCAUGCAUGAAUGAUAUUUGAAUGCAUGCUAUGUAUGCAUGAAUGAAUGAACAUGUACGAGACACAUAUGACAGUACAACAGAAGAUUGUUGAGACAAGAUUGGGCAGGUCCAAACGGAAGUGGCCCGGUAUCAUAGUACAAACACCCAGUAAUCUUCAUCACGAAUACCAUUACUGGAGAUGAGUCAAACACUGUCGGGGUAAAUCCCUUCAAACAAACCACUGAUCAAGUAAAGCCCAAAAUCAAACUACUGAUAGGGAUACGACCCAAUAGCCAACCACUGAUGGGGUACAACCCAUAUUUAAACCAAUUGAUGGGGUAAGGCCCAUAUUCAAACCAUUGAUAAGGUAAAGCCCUAUAAUCAUACCGCUGAUGGGGAACAGCCCCAUUAAUUAAAUCACUUGAAGGGGUGACAACCCACUGAAGAGGUAAAAGCUUCUUACUUAAACCACUGAAAGGGGUAAAAACCCAUUAAUUAAACCACUGAAGGGGUAACUGCCCACCAAUCAUACCGCUAAAGGGGUAACAAACCAUUAAUCCAACCACUGAAGGGGUAACAACCCACUAAUCAAACCACUGAUGGGGAUACGGCCCAAUAAUCAAAGCAUUGAUGGGGAUAUGACCCGAUAUAAUGUCUCAGUUGAUGGUUAAGUAAUUAUUCGUUGGGGAUAAAGCCCACCGAUCAAAAACCUGGCAGGAGUUGCCAUUUCUUAGUAUAAAACCCAUCAAUCAAUCAUCUAGGAGAAGUCACCAUCAAUCAAUCAUCUAGCAGAAGUCGCCACCAGGACGCUCAUUUUUUUGCUUAAGCUGCCCUUAUCGGGUUUUCGACUUAGCGAGCUUUUCUUUUUUGUAUUUUUUUUUGUUUUGGCGGAGGUUGUAACGCCCUACUUCUAUUAAAGCAAUUAAACAUGCGAAUAAUACAUUUAUUCAAGAAAUAGAGGCUACGCCACAUUCAAAAUUCAAAAACCAAUAAACAUGUAUAUAAACCUCAACAGUCGCAGCGGAAUAUAAACCAGAGUAAAUUCAAAUAUACAUGUUAUGAAUCAAUAAAUUACAUCAACAUAGAUGCAUCUCAAAAAUCCCAACAAAUGGGUAAUCUCCAAACAUAACAAAAUCCAAAAUAAACUAAUCUAGACCGACACAACGAAGCCUAGAUUAGAGCCGACUAAUUCUAAACACCGAUAUCGGAGAAAGCUUCAGAUAUCCACCAAGCACAAGAACUCACCAAGCAACUAAACCUGCACAACGUCUACCCAUCCAUACAGAUAGGCAGGCGGUCCAUAACAGAUCCACUGGGGGUAAGUAUUACAUUAUCAUAAUCCAAAUAACAGUUAACAUGAAUAUUUCAAUUAACAUCAUGCAUUUGAUCAAUAAUAAUAUUCCCACAUCAAUACUUACAUCAAACCCCAAUAUCUCACAUCAAUAUUCACCAAUCACAUGUGUCAUGAACAAAUAUCAAUUCACAGUUAUUCAUACACAAUCACCAAUCAUAUACAUCAUGAACAAUCACCAAUCAUAAGCCAUGAACAAUCAUUAAUCAUAUUUCAUGAACAAUUACCAAUCACAUGUAUCAGGAACAAAUAUCAAUUCACAAAUAUUCAUUCACAAUCAUCAAUCACAAACAUCAUCAGUAAUCAUUCAUCUCAAUUCAUCACCAAUCACAUAUUUCACAUAAGACUCAUGUUAUGAUAUGCACUUAUUGACACAUAAAUGCAUGUGGUACCAAAUCUCAACAAGGUCGUCACCUUUCAAUGCCACUUGCACAUCGAAUGUAAGGGCUCACACCUGCCUUGCAAUAAUCUCGAAGUAAAAGAGUUCAACCCUUUUACAGCAACAACGACUAUGAUGCAUGAACAUGUAUAAGGACUCGAUAAUGCGACAACAAUUCACAAUCUCAACUCAAUAUAUAGGACAACACCCAAUUAUAUUGAUUAUCUCCACAACAUUGCAUUAUCAAGAAAACAUGCCCACACAAAUAAAUCAUAGUAUUCAUCAUCACACAUCAACAUGAUUAUCAAUAAUCAACAAUGUCAUUCAACAUCAACUAUCACAUAUAGUUUCACCAUUUCAAGCAUUCUCAUAUUCCAAGUAAUAGGGAAAACAACAUCUCAUGAUAAAUAUCAUAUCCAACAUAUAACCAUUCAUAAUCAACUAUCACAUAUAGUUUCACCAUUUAAGCAUUCCUUACAUUCUAAGUAAGAUAACAUACAACAUCUCAUGAUAAACAUCAUAUCCAAUACAAUCAUUCAUUCAUACAACUUCACUUAGCCAUACAAGAAUAAUCUCAAUAACUCACAAGACAAUUUGCUAAAGAAACAUUUCCGACAAAAAUCCAAAUCAUGUGGCAAACGGCCAACAUUGAUAAUUUUUUUUAAGCUAGACAACUUAUUUAAGUUUGAAAUCCUACAAUUCAAUCUUAAUCAAUCAUGUAGUCAAGGACUUAAGCCACUUGCAAAAUAUUAGAAAUUAGUUCAAAGGAUAGCUUAAGUUCGUAUGAGAAAUUCCAAGACAAAACAACAUUUAGCUCAAAACUCAUUUUCACCGAUUCAACUCCGCCUAAAAUAUUUCUUAAACCAUCAACACAUUCACAUUCCCAAAUACAUAAAUGCAUACUCAAUUAUUCACUCUAAGUACUUCAUUAGACCCGAUAUCAAGUUUGGAAAAGUUCCACGGCUCAAAGAAAAAGUUAUGAUAAGUUUUCACAAAAAUCCACAUGACCCAUGUGUAGUAAUUUAAUCAUAUCUCAAGUUCUAAAAAUCAUUUGGACACCAAACCAAUGCCAUUAGAAAGCUAACAAAAUUAUCUAAAACUUUCAUGUUUACACCAAAAUCCAAUUCAAAGUAGAAAGGUGUGAAAAAUAGUGAAAUAUGCAGGAUCUGGUUCGCAGAAAUCGUGUCACGAUUUUACGUCCAGAAACACUAAAUUUUCGGCCAACAAAAUCGUGACAUGCUUGCCAAAUCGUGACACGUUUUGCCAGCAUCAGGUCCAGAAAUCAGUUCUUCAAAAAGUGCGUUUUUCACCAUUUCGCGCGUAAAAUCCAAACCGUUAAUCGGAUUUUGAUGUCGUUUUCGCCUACACGCUCUUGACACUUGACUCUAACAUAAUCUACAAAAAUUUCAUGUUUCAACCAUUCCAAAAGUCAUUUUCCAAAACCUCACAUAAUCACUUAUUGGCGAAAACGCUUAAACAUCGACAUUUCACACGAAAAACCCGUUUUCUCCCAAACAACUCAACUAACAUAACCACAACAUGAAAACAGAAAUUCUCCUAGGUUCGAUUCAUCCAACAAUAACAAAAUUUCAGUCAACAACCAUAUAUAUAUCAAAGUUCACUUUGGUCCUUCACAUGAACACUUAAUUCAACUUCACCAAUUUCACAAAACCACCAACAACCAUUUAUUUAUCAUCAUUAAUCCAUGAAUAUGCAAACCCAAGCAAUUAUUCAUCAAUCAUAAUAUCAAAUAACAUUCAUAACAUCAAUUGAACAUGAAUCACAUCUCAAAUCAACAACAACUUAGGAGAAAUUCACCAAUUUAGCACAAUACUCAUAGCUUAACAUUUUUACAUAUUUGAACAUGUAAUUUCACCAACAAUCAUACAAUUAUCAUCAAUUUAUGCAUACAAACAUAACAUCACAGCAAGAGCACGGAUUUGACAUAAAUUGUUCAUCAACCCAUUUUCAUACAACAUGAGCAAAUGCAAAAUUACAUGAUUGUGAUAAUAACUAACCCCCUUACCUUUGAAGAAGAUUAACACAAACUCUUGCUUCAAUUCAGCUCCUAGCUUACCCCAAUUGAUUCUUCAAGUUAUUCCCUUCAAAACCCUUGUUCUUCUUCACCUCUUUCUCUCUCUACCUCUCUCUCUCUCUAGGAAAAUGUUUUGUGAAGUGAAUGGAUGGCAAUCCUAUGACAACCCUAGUGUUAUCCCCCUUAAUGGGCUCAACUCAAAAUUCUAAUGGGUCUAACUCAUUCUAACAUAAUUCUAAAAAGUUUCUAUACACUCAACGGUAAUUACUAACAACGGUAAAAUAUAACCAACGGUCACUAACGGUAAAAAUUAAUCACUACACUAGUAACUUAGUAAAAUAAGGGUUCUCACUAAUUAUUAAAAUAAUUCACACCAAAAUUACCAUUUUACCCUUACCCGCCAAAUGACCAAAAUACCCUUCUAAUACGGUAAUCCACGUAAAUGCACCCGAUGACAAUAAAGUACACACAAUCACAAUUAAUCACACACAAUCACACAAUAAAAAUAAUUAAAAUAAAUCUAGCUAAAAAUCGGGUUGUCACAGAGGUCAUCUCACAGCCUUUGGUCAUACUUAACCUGCAGAGUUUAACUGUCCUUGAGACGGAUGUUGAUGUAUGUUUCACCUACUCAUAAGUUCAAAGAAGACGUACCUGUUGUUUAUGCUUUUCAAAAGACAUUUAGAAAGAAAGAAAAAUUUGCUUUAAGUAUUAACAUAAAAAAUAGAAGAAAAACUUGCAAACAGAAUAAAUGUGAAUUUCAAAUAAAUGGGCAUAAGCUCAAAUUAAUGUAAAUGGAGUGGAAGCCUGCAAAAGGCGUGGCUCCACGGAUUUUAAAAAGUUUGGAAAAUGAUAAUUAUAUGGAAAAGGUACAUUGAACACGAUAACUAUUGUUUCCCCUACCAACUUUGAAUUCCAUUGUUCUGAGUCUUUGAUUUGCAGACGCUUCAGAUGGAAAGCCCUUUAACAGCUAAGAUGCCCCAGAUGAAUCAUAUCUGAUUUGAUGCAAUUACCUUGUCAUGAGUCGGAGGUCUUUUGAAGGCUAAAAUGCCUCAAGUGAGUCAUGUCCGACCAGAUACAGUUACUUUGUCACAAUCCUUAACUUUUGCAUAGGUCGCCCUUGUGGGUUUUGUAACGCCCUAGUCGUUAUUUUAUUUAUUUAUGAUUUAUUUAGAGUCUUUUAUAUGAUUUUAAAUAAUUAUUGUUGAUUAUGUGGUGUGGUAUAUUUUAUUAUAUGGUUUAUUUUAAUAUUAAUUAGAAAGUGGGAAUUAUUAUUAUUUUGGAGGUUGGGGAUUUAAUUAGAAAACAAUAGAAUUAAGGGAGAGUUAAAUGAAAUAAAGGGGAGUUAUGUAUUGGGAAAAGAAAUAGUCAGAAAGCAGUUUCACGUACAAUAGACAAGUUUUGGGAGAAAAGGGAGAAGAGCCAAGUAGAGCCAAGUGAACCAGAUUUUUGUGCAAUUGUUCAUCUGAAUUAAGGUAAUGGUGAGGUUUGCUUCAAUAGUAUACAUUUUUUAUUCUGAUUUUGAUUUAACAGGUUUAUGGUAGAAAUUGGGGAUUUUGGGUUUAAGUUGAAUUCCUUGGUUUUUGGGUGAAUUGUGUGUAGGAAUCACUAUUUUGAUGUUAGAAAUAGGUUAUGAGGGCAUACAACAUUUAAUUAUACAUCUGUAAACUGAUUUGAGGAGUGAAAUUGAGGAAAUUGAGAUUUUUGGAAAAAAACCUGCAUUCUGCCCAUACUGAUGUUCAUUGCUCGCCCGGCGAGUAGCCUGUCUUGCCUCGCGAGUGAGCAACUUCAUGGCUCGCCUCGCGAGCAGAACUCCUCGCCAUGGCGAGUUAGUGAGUGAGAGAUCAUGAUUUUUAGAUUGUUAUUAUAAGGUGUAAGAUGGUUAGUUUUGAGUGCCUAGAUGAUUUUAGAGAGGAUUGGGACAAUUUUUAGAUUAAAAAGAUGAAUAGGGAGCUUAAAAAUGAAGAUUUAGUGAGAAAAAUGUCAAAACUCCCGAGAGCACCCUUUUUCUCAUUCGCCUCGUACUCGCCACGGCGAGUAACCUCUUUCCUGAGCUCGCCAUAGCGAGCAGAUGCACUCACGAGGCGAGUUGCCCAGUAUCUGAGUUGUUUGUUCUUUAAUUGAAUUGAAAUGGAUGAAAUGUAUGAACAUGAUUAUGAUCAAUUGUGCAUUUUCUGGAAUUGUUGGAUUAAUUAUGCUCACUUAUUGAUGACUGUGAUGUAUGUUUACAUUUAAUUAAAUCAUACAUGUUGUUAAAUUGUGGAGUCCAUUGCAUAAACAUAAAGCGGUGAGGGCUCAUGCCCUGGAACGCCUUGUCGUUCAAAGCGGGAGGGCUCAUGCCCUAGAACACCUUGUUGUUGAAAUUGGUGAGGGCUUAUGCCCUGAUGAAUGCUUUAACCAUUCAAAACUCGGUGAGGGCUUCUACCCUGUAAAUUGGUACGAUGCAUUUGCAUUGUCGCAUUGUCGAGGAGUCUUAGCGGUGUUGUCGAGUAUUUGCAUGAGUUGUUGUUGUUGGUUGUAAUUACCAUUAUUUUUGAUGUUGUUAAUUAUGAAAUAUAUAUAUGUAUGUUGGAAAUUAUUAUUAUGUUAGGGUGUUAGAUUCAAGUGAUGAAUUAUAUAUAUAUUAUUAUUGUUGUGAAUCUCACCCCUUCUGCUUGGAAAUGUUGCCCUUCCUAUGGGUAACUUGCAGGUGAUCCUGAGUAAUAGGUGGUGGCUCAAGUGUCUAGGGCUCUGAUACGUAACGAGAUGGGAAUAAUUGUUAUAGUUUUCAUUCCUUAUGUAUCAAAUUUUGGAACAUGCUGAUGUAGCCCUUUUAUUGUUAAUUGAACAAUGUUUGAUGAUUAUUAUGUUGAGGCCUUUGUGCCAGGAUUUAAUGUUGAUGAUGAAGUUUAAUGUUGAAAAAUAUUUCCGUUGGAAUUUAUUUAUGUUUCAUAAAGGAUGUUGUUUAUUAAAUAGUUUUAUAUUCUAUUUAAGAAAUUUUGAAAAGCAAUGUGACAUGCCCGUUUGGUGAUAUACUCUGAUGUAUUAUUUAUUAUUUAAUUGUUUGGGAUAACGGGGUGUUACAAUUGGUAUCAGAGCAGGUUGGUCCGUCCGGCCAAGUAGUAGAGUCGUGUUGAGCCACAUAGGAUAGUGUGUCAACUUUAAUGUUGUCUUUGUUGUUCUGAAUUGUUGUUUCUUAUGUAGAAUUUUGAGAUGGUUGGUAGAAACGACGUUGCUAUUGCUGCUGCACUUGAGGCUGUUGCUCAAGCUGUAGGACAGCAACCGAACGCUGUUGUUGGUAACGAUGGUGUAAGGAUGUUGGAGACCUUUCUGAGGAACCAUUCACCAACUUUUAAAGGGAGGUAUGACCCUAACGGAGCUCAGAAGUGGCUCAAGGAGGUUGAGAGGAUUUUCAGAGUCAUGUAGUGCAGUGAGGUACAGAAGGUGCGGUUUGGUACGCACAUGUUAGCUGAAGAAGCUGAUAACUGGUGGGUAAGUCUUUUACCCGUGCUUGAACAGGAUGGUGCUGUGGUGACAUGGGCUGUGUUUAGGAGAGAAUUCCUGAAUAGGUACUUUCCGGAGGAUGUCCGAGGCAAAAAGGAGAUUGAGUUUUUGGAGUUGAAACAGGGGGAUAUGUCUGUAACAGAGUAUGCAGCUAAGUUUGUGGAGCUUGCAAAGUUUUAUCCUCAUUAUACUGCGGAGACUGCUGAGUUCUCCAAGUGUAUAAAGAUUGAGAAUGGCCUGAGAGCUGAUAUCAAGAGGGCUAUUGGUUAUCAGAAGAUAAGAAACUUUUCUGAGUUGGUAAGCAGCUGUAGGAUCUAUGAAGAAGAUACGAAAGCUCAUUACAAGGUGAUGAGUGAGCGCAGAGGCAAGGGACAGCUGAGUCGUCCGAAGCCGUAUAGUGCCCCUCCUGACAAGGGUAAGUAGAGAUUGAAAGAUGAGAGGAGGCCCAAGAUGAGAGAUGCUCCUACUGAUAUUGUUUGUUUCAAGUGUGGUGAAAAAGGCCACAAGAGUAAUGUUUGUGACCGUGAUGAGAAGAAGUGCUUCAGGUGUGGUAAAAAAGGACACACUUUAGCUGAUUGUAAGCGUGGGGACAUUGUUUGCUACAACUUCAAUGAGGAAGGUCAUAUCAGUUUGCAGUGUACGCAGCCUAAGAAGGUUAGGACAGGUGGCAAGGUGUUUGCUUUGACUGGUACGCAAACGGUGAAUGAGGACUGACUUAUCAGAGGUACUUGUUUCUUUAAUAUAGUACUCCUUUAAUUGCUAUUAUAGAUACUAGUGCUACUCAUUGUUUCAUUGCUGUUGAUUGUGCAUAUAAGUUGGGUCUGGUUGUAUCUGAUAUGAAAGGAUAAAUGGUUGUUGAAACUCCAGCUAAGGGUUCAGUAACUACUUCUCUUGUUUGUCUAAGUUGUCCGUUGUCUAUAAUUGGUAGAGACUUUGAAGUCGAUCUUGUUUGUUUACCGUUGACGGGUAUGGAUGUGAUUUUUGGGAUGAACUGGUUAGAGUAUAACCGAGUUCAUAUCAAUUGCUUUAGUAAGACGAUGCAUUUUUCUUCUGCUGAAGAAGAGAGUGGAGCUGAGUUCCUAACUACUAAACAGUUGAAGCGGUUAGAAUGUGAUGGAAUUUUAAUGUUUUCUUUGAUGGCAUACUUGUCAUUGGAGAAUCAAGCUGUGAUUAACAGAUUGCCGGUUGUGAAUGAAUUUUCAGAAGUUUUUCCUGAUGAGAUUCCAGAUGUGCCACCAGAGAGGGAGGUUGAAUUUUCAAUUAACCUUGUUCCAGGAACGAAGCCGGUGUCGAUGGCACCUUACCGUAUGUCGGCGUCCGAGUUAGCUGAGUUGAAGAAACAGUUGGAGGACUUGCUUGAUAAGAAAUUUGUGAAACCAAGUGUUUCACCGUGGGGAGCGCCGGUGUUGUUGGUUAAGAAGAAGGAUGGUAGCAUGAAGUUGUGUAUAGAUUACCGUCAGCUGAAUAAAGUGACGAUAAAGAAUAGGUAUCCACUUCCGAGGAUUGACGAUUUAAUGGAUCAGUUAGUGGGUGCACGUGUGUUUAGUAAAAUUGAUUUGAGGUCAGGUUACCAUCAGAUUAAGGUGAAGGAUGAGGAUAUGCAGAAGACGACCUUUAGGACACGUUUUGGUCACUAUGAAUAUAAGGUGAUGCCUUUCGGUGUUACUAAUGCGUCUGGUGUGUUUAUGGAGUAUAUGAACCGAAUUUUCCAUGCUGGAUAAAUUUGUGGUUGUGUUUAUUGAUGACAUCUUGAUUUAUUCUGAGACUGAAGAAGAGCAUGCAGAGCAUCUGAAGUAAGUUUUCUUGGCCACAUUAUUUCUAGUAGUGGUAUUGCAGUUGAUCCAUCCAAAGUUGAUGUAGUAUCACAAUGGGAGACUCCGAAGUCAGUGAUUGAGAUUAGAAGUUUCUUGGGUUUGGCUGGUUAUUACCGUAGGUUCAUAGAAGGAUUUUCAAAGUUAGCACUUCCGUUGACUCAGUUGACCUGUAAGGGUAAGUCUUUUGUGUGGGAUGCUCAGUGUGAGAAUAGUUUCAAUGAAUUGAAGCAAAGGUUGACGACUGCUCCUAUUUUGAUUUUACCGAAGCCAGAAGAACCUUUUGUUGUUUAUUGUGAUGCGUCCAAGUUGGGCUUAGGUGGUGUUUUGAUGCAAGAUGGUAAAGUGGUAGCUUAUGCUUCUAGGCAGUUGAAGAUUCAUGAAAAGAAUUAUCCUACACAUGAUUUGGAGUUGGUUGCGGUGGUUUUUGUUUUGAAAAUUUGGAGGCAUUAUUUGUACGGUUCCAGAUUUGAAGUGUUUAGUGAUCACAAAAGUUUGAAAUAUUUAUUUGAUCAGAAAGAGUUGAAUAUGAGGCAGAGAAGAUGGCUUGACUUGUUGAAGGAUUAUGAUUUUAGUUUGAAUUACCAUCCGGGUAAAGCUAAUGUGUUUGCAGAUGCUUUGAGCAGGAAGACGUUGCACAUGUCUGCUAUGAUGGUAAAAGAGUUUGAGUUGCUAGACCAUUUUAGAGACUUGAGUCUUAUCUGUGAGUUGUCACCUCAGGGUGUACAGUUGGGUAUGCUGAAGAUUAAUAGUGAUUUCUUGAACAGUAUCAGAGAAGCACAUCAAGUUGAUGUCAAGUUUGUUGAUUUGAUGGUUGCUAGUAAUGAAACUGAAGAUAAUGACUUCAAGGUUGAUGAUCAAGGUGUGUUGAGGUUCAGAGGAAAAAUUUGUAUUCAUGAUAAUGAUGAUUUGAAAAAGUUGAUUUUAGAGGAAACCCACAAAAGUAGCUUAAGUAUUCAUCAGGGAGCUACAAAAAUGUAUCAUGAUUUGAAGAAAUUGUUUUGGUGGUCUGGGUUGAAACGUGAUGUUGCUCAGUUUGUUUAUGCAUGUUUGACUUGUCAGAAGUCCAAGGUUGAGCAUCAGAAGCCUGCAGGGUUGUUGACACCGUUAGAUGUGCCAGAGUGGAAGUGGGACAACAUUUCCAUGGAUUUUGUGACGAGUUUACCGAACACUCUGAGAGGGCAUGAUGCCAUUUGGGUUGUGUGGAUAGGUUGACGAAGUCGGCACACUUUAUUCCGAUCAAUAUUAGUUAUCCGGUAGCUCAGUUGGCGGAGAUUUAUAUUCAUAAUAUUGUGAAGUUGCAUGGAGUUCCGUCGAGUAUUGUGUCGGAUAGAGAUCCGAGGUUCACUUCUAGAUUUUGGAAGAAUUUGCAAGAUGCAUUGGGUUCGAAGUUGAGGUUGAGUUCGGCUUAUCAUCCGUAGACAGAUGGUCAGUCGGAGAGGACGAUCCAAUCCAAGAGGAAGCCAAGAGUAUCCAAGAGAAGAUCGUGUAGAGCUUUGUUCAUCAAUCUAAGGUAAGGGUGGGACUAUCAUUCAGUGAUCUUAAGUCUAUGAUUCUGAAAUUGGAUUUAACAUGUUAGGUUUUAGUUUUUGGAGAAUUUGAGAAUUAGGGUUAAAAGUGAUAAUUUGAUGAUUAGAUGGUGAAAACGUGUUGAAUUAAUGUAGUAACUAUGUACAAACCUUAGAUAAUGCAUAGGAUGAUGAUUAGAAUCAGUUUUAAGGUUAGAACCAUGAGAUUGAGUGAUGUUUAUGAAAAUCUGCAAUUCUGCCCGAGCUGAGAUUCAUCGCUCGCCCUCGCGAGCAGUAAGCCUUGCCUCACGAGUGAUGAACUUUAUCGCUCGCUUCGCGAGCAGUUUUCCCUCGCCUCGCGAGUGAACCCAGAUGUUGCUCGCCACUGCGAGCAUGACACUCGCCAUAGCGAGUUGACCAGUGAGAUCAUCAUGAUUUUGUUAAAUAACGUUGUUGAUCAAGUCUUAGAUGGUUUUCAGUGCCGGAAUGUGUAUAAGAAUUGUAACGCUCUAAUCGUUAUUUUAUUAUUUUGGAUUAUGUGGAGUCUUAUAUAUGAUUUUUGGUGAUUUAUGUGGUGUGUUUAUUUUAUUAUAUACUUUAUUUUAAUAAUAAUUAGAUUAAUUGAGAAUUAGUAUUAUUUUGGAAUGUGGGGAGUUAAGUAAUAUUUAAUAGAAAUAAGGGGGAGUAAUUAAAAUUAAGGGAGUUACAUUUUGGGAGUUAAAGAAAAGGAAAACCAGAGAAAACAGUUUUACGUAAAAACAAGAUUUUUGGGAGAAAAGGGGAGAGAAGAGCAAGUAGAGCCAAGGAUCUUUUGCUGUGCAUUUUUCUUCUGCAAAACUAAGGUAAGGGUGAGGUUUACCGCAAUUGUAUAGGUUCUGAAUUCUGAUUUUGUUUUUAAUAGGUUUAUGUGAGAAUUGGGAGAAGUUAGGUUUUGUUAAAUUAAUGAGUUUUGAGAGUAGGAACCACUGAAUUUGUGUUAGGAAUGGGUUAUGGGUGCAUAUAACUUUUCAUUGCAUAUCUGUAAACUAAUUUGGGGAGUGAAUUGAAGGAAAAUGGGAUUUUUGGGAAAAAAAUGCAUUCUGCCCGUACAGAAGUUCAUCGCUCGCCUCGCGAGUAGCCUUUGCUCGCCAAGGCGAGUGAGCAACUUCAUGGCUCGCCUCGCGAGCAGAACCACUCGCCAAGGCGAGUUAGUGAGUGAAAAUCCGGAUUUUUUAAAGUGUUGUUAUAAGCCGUAUUUUGGGUAGUUUUAUGUACCUAGAUGAUUUUAGAGAGGACUGGAGCAAGUUGUAGAUUAAAAGGAUGAAUAGGGAGCUUAGAAUUGAUGAUUUAGUGAGAAAAAUGUCAAAACUCCCGAGAGCACCAUAUUUCUGUUCGCCUCGAGUUCGGCUCGAACUCGCCAUGGCGAGUGCCCUGUUUCUUGAGCUUGCCAUAACGAGCAGAUGUGCUCGUGAGGUGAGCUGCCCAGAAUUUUGUUGGAUUGAUUUCUGUUGUUGAUGGUUGAUUUAUCUGGUUGAAUAAGCAUGGCUUUUAUGUUGAUGUAUUUUUCUGGAUGUUCUAAAUUGGUUGUAAUGAAUGGGUGUUGGCUGGAUGUAUGCUUUAUUUAAUUAAGUUAUACAUGAACAUUGUAAAUUGGAGUGGUGAGUCGUAUACAUAAAUAUAUGCAUAGGUUGGAUUGUAUGUAGAUAUACUCAAGUGGGUCAGUUGCAUAAGCAUAACAGUGGGAGAGCUUCGGCUCUGGAACGCCUUGUCGUUCAAAGUGGUGGAGCACUAGUUGCUCAAAGUGGUGGAGCACUAGUUGCUCAAAGUGGUGUUAGUGGUGAGGACUUAUGUCCUGGAAAUGAAUGCUUUAACCAUUCUACAGCGGUGAGGCUACGGUCCUGAUUAUGGUACCACAUGCAUGGGUGUUGUUAGAGGAGUCUUAGUGGAGAGGUGAUGAGUUGCAUGAGUUGUUGAGUGGGUUAUUAAUUACCGUUGUUGAUGAUAUUCGAAAAUGAUGAUAUUUUUAUAUUGUUGAUGGAUUAUAUGAUAGGGUGUUAGAUUCAAUUGAUGCAUUCUUUAUCUAUAUUAUUGUUGUGAAUCUCACCCCUUCUGCUUGAAAAUGUUGCCCUUCCUAUGGGUAACUUGCAGGUGAUCCUGAGUAGUUUGGUGGUGGCUCAAAGUGUCUAGGGCUUUGAUACGUGGGAUGGGAAUUUAUUUCUUAAUUUCUUUUCCUAUGUAUCAAAUUUUGAAUAUUGUUGUUGUAGCCCUUUUGAUGAUUGGUUUUGCUUGUUGAGGCUUCUAUGCCAUGAAUAUUUGUUGGAGAUUAAUUACAUUGGGGAUGAUUGUUAUUCAAGUUGAAUUAUUCCGCUGCAAGUUUAAUGAUGAUUUUGUAGGAUGCUUUAUUAAAUAGAUUUUUUUAUAUAUUCUAUUUAAGAAAUUUGAAAUUGUGGUGUGACAUGCCCGUUUGGGUUUUACUCUGAUGUUGUAUUAUUGUUAUUAUUUAAUUGUUUUGGAAAAUGGGGUGUUACAAUUGGUAUCAGAGCAGGUUGGUCCGUCCGGCCAAGUAGUAGAGUCGUGUUGAGCCACCUAGGAUAGAGUGUCAACUCUAACGUUGUUGUUGUUGUCGUUCUGAAUUGUUGUUUCUUAUGUAGAAUCUUAAGAUGGCUGGUAGAAACGAUGUUGUAGUUGCUGCUGCACUUGAGGAUGUAGCUCAAGCUGUUCAACAGCAACCUCAAGCUGGAGCUGGUAAUGGAGAAGUGAGGAUGCUGGAGACUUUUCUGAGAAAUACUCCCCCAGCAUUCAAGGGAAGGUAUGAUCCAGAUGGUGCCCAGUCAUGGUUAAAGGAAGUGGAGAGGAUUUUCAGGGUCAUGUAGUGCUCUGAAGGGCAAAAGGUGCGGUUCGGGACGCACAUGUUGGCUGAGGAGGCAGAUGAUUGGUGGGUAAGUUUGCUGCCUGUGUUGGAACAGGAUGGAGCUGUAGUGACCUGGGCGGUGUUCAGGAGGGAAUUUCUGAACAGGUACUUCCCGGAAGAUGUCCGAGGUAGGAAAGAGAUCGAAUUUCUGGAGUUGAAGCAGGGUGAUAUGUCUGUUGUUGAGUAUGCUGCAAAGUUUGUGGAACUUGCAAAGUUCUACCCCCACUAUACUGCGGAGACAGCUGAAUUCUCCAAAUGUAUAAAGUUUGACAAUGGCUUGAGAGCUGACAUCAAGAGAGCCAUAGGGUACCAACAGAUAAGAAUUUUCUCUGAUUUGGUAAGUCGUUGCAGGAUCUAUGAGGAGGACACCAAAGCUCAUUAUAAGGUGAUGAGUGAGCGAAGAGGUAAGGGACAGCAGAGUCAUCCUAAGCCGUAUAGUGCCCCUGCUGAUAAGGGUAAGCAGAGACUUAAUGAUGAGAGGAGGCCGAAUAGGAGAGAUGCUCCUGCUGAGAUAGUUUGUUUUAAGUGUGGCGAGAAAGGCCACAAGAGUAAUGUUUGUACCAAGGAUGAGAAGAAGUGCUUCAGGUGUGGUCAGAAGGGUCACGUGUUAGCGGACUGCAAGCGUGGUGAUGUUGUAUGUUAUAACUGCAACGAAGAGGGCCAUAUCAGUACACAGUGCACACAGCCGAAGAAGGUUAGAACUGGUGGAAAGGUGUUUGCUUUGACUGGUACGCAGACUACUAAUGAGGACCGUCUUAUCAGAGGUACUUGUUUCUUUAAUAGUACUCCUUUAAUUGCUAUUAUAGACACUGGUGCUACUCAUUGUUUCAUUGCUUUAGAAAGUGCAUAUAAGUUGGGUUUGAUUGUAUCUGAUAUGAAAGAAGAAAUGGUUGUUGAAACUCCAGCUAAGGGUUCAGUAACUACUUCUCUUGUUUGUUUGAGGUGUCCUAUAUCUAUGUUUGGUAGAGAUUUUGAGGUAGACUUAGUUUGUUUGCCGUUGACGGGAAUGGACGUUAUUUUUGGAAUGAAUUGGUUAGAGUAUAACCGAGUUCAUAUCAAUUGCUUUAGUAAGACGGUACAUUUUUCUUCUGCUGAAGAAGAGGGUGGAGUUGAGUUCUUGACUACGAAGCAGAUGAAGCAGUUAGAACGUGAUGGAGUUUUGAUGUAUUCUUUAAUGGCAUAUCUGUCAUUAGAAAAUCAAGCUGUGAUUGUCAGGUUACCAGUGGUGAAUGAAUUUCCUGAAAUUUUUCCGGAUGAGAUUCCAUACGUGCCACCAGAGAGGGAGGUUGAGUUUUCGAUUGACCUUGUUCCGGGAACAAAGCCGGUGUCGAUGGCACCAUACCGUAUGUCAGCUUCUGAGUUAGCUGAAUUGAAGAAACGGUUGGAAGACUUGCUUGAUAAUUGUAACACCCCGUUACCCAAAAGUAAUUAAAUAUAACAUAAUCAUCAGAGUUAAGCACCAAACGGGCAUGCUACACUACAUUUCAAAAUUUCUUAAAUAGCAUAUAUAACUAUUUAAAUGAACAACUGACAAACAUCAAUAAUCUUGCAGCGGGAUAUUUGUUUCCACAUCAACAAUUAUUUAAACCUCCAAUAAUAUCUUGGCAUUAAGCCUAAACAACAAAAAAUCAACCAACAAAGGGUCACAUCAUCAAGUUCCAAAAUUUGAUACAUAGGAAGGAAAAACAAUAAUGAUAAUAAUAAUAAUAAUUCUCAUCCCACGUAUCAGAGCCCUAGACACGACACUUGAGCCACCACCAACUACUCAGUAUCACCUGCAAGUUACCCAUAGGAAGGGCAACAUUUUCAAGCAGAAGGGGUGAGAUUCACAACAAUAAAAUAUAGAUAUUAAAAUCUUCAAUUGAAUCUAACACCCUAUAAAGAUCAAUUUAUCAUCUUGCAAAUGUAAAUAUAUAAUUCACAAGCAUCAACAACAUCUCAUCAAUCAAUCCAUCAUAAUAUGUAUAUAAUUAUAUGUAAUUACAACCAACAACAAAGACUCAUGCAUGACAUGACGACACCACUAAGACUCCUCAAAUAUGCAAUUAUGCAUGUGGUGCCAAACAGGACCGAAGCCCUCACCGUUUUUGAAUGGUUAAAGCAUUCAUCAGGACCGAAGCCCUCACCGCUGUGAACAACUAGUGCUCCAGGACAUGAGUCCUCUCCGCUGUUUAUGCAUAUGCAAUGGACCUACUUGUGUAUAUCUACAUACAACUUGACCAUGCAUACAUACUCCAUAUGACUCCACUUAUACAACAUGUAUGAUUCAAUAAUUUUAGCAUACAAUACAGUCAUCAGCAACAACAUCAAUUAGAGAUCUAACAAUCCAGAAUAAUGCACAAUUAAGUAUAACUAUGCUCAAAACAACAACAACAAUCAUCACCAUACACACAACAACAAUCAACAUGCAGCAUUUAGGAACUCGCCUCGCGAGCACAUCUGCUCGCUAUGGCGAGCUCACAAAACAGGCUACUCGCCAUGGCGAGUUCAAGGCGAACUCGAGGCGAGUGAAAAUAAGGUACUCUCGGGAAUUUGACAUUUUUCUCACUCAAACCUCAAUUCUAAGCUCCCUAUUCAUCUUUUUAACCUAAAACUUGCUUCAGUCAUCAUUAAAAUCAUUUAGGCAUUAAACCAUCCCCAAAACAUCUUAUAACAACAAUUUUGAAAAUCAAGUUUUGAACUGGCUUGCUCGCCAUGGCGAGUUGGUCUGCUCGCGAGGCGAGCUAUGAAGUUGCUCACUCGCGAGGCGAGCACAAGCUACUCGCGAGGCGAGCGAUGAACUUCUGUACGCGCAGAAAACUGGUUUUUCCCCAAAAUCCCAUUUUUUUUCAAUUCACUCCCGAAAUCAGUUUACAGAUGUAAAACUAAGUACUGUCUACAACCGGAACCUAAUUCUAACAUCAGAACAACAAUCUCCAAUCCAAAAUCGUCAUUUUCUCACAAAACCCAUAAUUCCCAAUUCUCACCAAAACUCUGUUAAACACAAAAUCAGAAAUUAAUAAUUAUACUACUGAAGCAAACCUCACCCUUACCUUAGUUUUGCAUAAAGAAAUGCACGGCAAUUGAUUAUCUUGACUCUACUUGCUCUUCUCUCCUUUUUCUCCCAACUGACAGUUUUUCACGUACAAGCUUCUGACAUCUAUUUUUCUUAACUUCCCAUUACUUAACCCCCUUUAUUUUCAUUUAACUCCCUUUAAUUCUAUUAAAUAUUAAAUAACUCCCCAAACUCCAAAAUAAUUAUUAUUUCUCACUUAUUCUAAUCAUUAUUAAAAUAAACUAUAUAAUAAAAUACCACACAUCACAUAAAUCACCAAAUUUAUUUAAAAUCACAUAUAAGACUCUAAUUAAAUCAAAAUAAAUAAAUAUAUCGACUAGGGCGUUACAAUAAGAAGUUUGUUCGACCCAGUGUUUCACCAUGGGGAGCGCCUGUGUUAUUGGUAAAGAAGAAGGAUGGUAGCCUGAGGUUGUGUAUAGAUUACCGUCAGUUGAACAAAGUUACAAUAAAGAACAGGUAUCCGCUUCCGAGAUGACUUGAUGGAUCAGUUGGUUGGUGCAAAGAUUUUCAGUAAGAUUGACUUGAGGUCUGGUUACCAUCAAAUUAAGGUGAAGGAUGGAGAUAUGCAGAAGACGGCCUUUAGGACACGUUAUGGUCAUUACGUAUACAAGGUGAUGCCUUUCGGUGUUACUAAUGCGCCUGGUGUGUUCAUGGAGUAUAUGAACCGAAUUUUUCAUGCAUUUCUGGAUAAGUUUGUGGUUGUAUUUAUUGAUGACAUCCUAAUUUAUUCUAAGACUGACGAGGAGCAUGCAGAACAUCUGAGGAUUGUAUUGCAAGUAUUGAAAGAAAAGAAGUUGUAUGCCAAAUUGUCAAAAUGUGAGUUUUGGCUAAGUGAAGUGAGUUUCCUUGGCCAUAUUAUUUCUGGUGAUGGUAUAGCAGUUGAUCCAUCAAAGGUUGAUGCGGUAUCACAAUGGGAGACUUCGAAGUCGGUGACUGAGAUCAGAAGCUUCUUGGGUUUGGCUGGUUACUACCGCAAAUUCAUUGAGGGAUUUUCGAAGUUCUCACUUCCAUUGACUCAGUUGACCUGUAAGGGUAAGUCCUUUGUUUGGGAUGCUCAGUGCGAGAGUAGCUUUAGUCAGUUGAAGAGAAGAUUGACAACUGCUCCUAUUCUGAUUUUGCCUAAGCCGGAAGAGCCAUUCGUUGUUUAUUGUGAUGCGUCUAAGUUGGGUUUAGGAGGUGUUUUGAUGCAAGAUGGUAAGGUGGUAGCGUAUGCUUCUAGGCAGCUGAGGGUACAUGAAAAGAAUUAUCCCACUCACGAUUUGGAGUUAGCUGCAGUGGUUUUUGUUUUGAAGAUUUAGAGGCACUACUUGUAUGGUUCCAGAUUUGAAGUGUUCAGUGAUCACAAGAGCUUGAAAUAUUUAUUUGAUCAGAAGGAAUUGAAUAUGAGGCAGAGGAGAUGGCUUGAGUUGUUAAAAGAUUAUGAUUUUGGUUUGAAUUACCAUCCUGAUAAAGCCAAUGUAGUUGCGGAUGCGUUGAGCAGAAAGACUUUGCACAUGUCUGCAUUAAUGGUAAGAGAAUUUGAUUUGCUGGAACAGUUUAGAGACAUGAGUCUUGUGUGUGAGUUGACACCGAAGAGUGUUCAGUUGGGUAUGUUGAAAAUUAACAGUGAUUUCUUGAGUAGUAUCCGAGAAGCACAGCAGGUGGAUGUCAAGUUGGUUGAUCUGAUUGUUGCUGGUAAUGGCACUGAAGAUAGUGACUUCAAAGUUGAUGAUCAGGGAGUAUUAAGAUUCAGAGGUAGAAUUUGUAUUCCUGACAAUGAAGAAUCAAAAAAGUUAAUUUUAGAGGAAAGUCACAAGAGUAGCUUGAGUAUUCAUCCCGGAGCUACGAAGAUGUAUCAUGAGUUGAAAAAGUUGUUUUGGUGGUCCGGUUUGAAGCGUGAUGUCGCUCAUUUUGUGUAUGCGUGCUUCACUUGUCAGAAGUCUAAGGUUGAGCAUCAGAAGCCUGCAGGGUUGUUGACACCGUUAGAUGUGCCGGAGUGGAAAUGGGAUAGCAUUUCUAUGGAUUUUGUGACGAGUUUACCAAACACUCCAAGAGGACAUGAUUCUAUUUGGGUUGUGGUCGACAAGUUGACAAAGUCGGCGCACUUCAUUCCUAUCAACAUCAGUUAUCCAGUAGCUCAGUUGGCUGAGAUUUACAUUCAUAAUGUUGUGAAGCUUCAUGGAGUUCCGUCGAGUAUUGCAUCGGAUAGAGAUCCGAGGUUCACAUCUAGAUUCUGGAAGAGUUUGCAGGACGCUUUGGGUUCGAAGUUGAGGUUGAGUUCGGCUUAUCAUCCUCAGACAGAUGGUCAGUCGGAGAGGACGAUCCAAUCCUUGGAGGAUUUGUUGAGAGUGCGUGUGCUUGAACAAGGUGGAGCUUGGGAUAGUCACCUACCAUUGGUAGAGUUCACCUACAACAACAGUUACCAUUCGAGUAUAGGUAUGGCACCGUUCGAAGCUUUGUAUGGUCGGAGGUGCAGGACUCCGUUAUGCUGGUUUGAGUCAGGAGAGAGUGUUGUGUUGGGACCAGAUUUGGUUCAUGAGACGACUGAGAAGGUCAAGAUGAUAAGGGAAAAGAUGAAAGCGUCACAGAGUCGACAGAAAAGUUACCAUGAUAAGCGGAGGAAGGCCCUUGAGUUUCAGGAGGGUGAUCAUGUAUUUUUGAGAGUUACUCCGAUGACGGGUGUAGGACGUGCUUUGAAAUCGAGGAAGUUGACUCCGAAGUUCAUUGGUCCGUAUCAGAUUUCAGAGAGGAUUGGAACGGUGACAUAUAGAGUUGGUUUGCCACCACACCACUUGCAUGAUGUGUUUCAUGUGUCACAGCUUCGGAAGUAUGUAGCGGAUCCUUCGCAUCUUAUUCCGAGAGAUGAUGUGCAGGUUAGAGACAAUCUCACUGUUGAGACUUUACCGGUGAGGAUUGACGAUCGGAAGGUGAAGACGUUAAGGGGUAAGGAAAUACCCCUUGUGAGAGUCGUUUGGGGCGGAGCGAUUGGUGAAAGCUUGACUUGGGAGCUGGAAAGUAAGAUGCGGGAUUCAUAUCCUGAGUUGUUUGUUUGAGGUAAGAUUUCGAGGACGAAAUUCUAUAAUUUGGGGAGAGUUGUAACGCUCUAAUCGUUAUUUUAUUAUUUUGGAUUAUGUGGAGUCUUAUAUAUGAUUUUUGGUGAUUUAUGUGGUGUGCUUAUUUUAUUAUAUAGUUUAUUUUAAUAAUAAUUAGAAUAAUUGAGAAUUAGUAUUAUUUUGGAAUGUGGGGAGUUAAGUAAUAUUUAAUAGAAUUAAGGGGGAGUAAUUAAAAUUAAGGGAGUUACAUUUUGGAGUUAAAGAAAAGGAAAACCAGAGAAAACAGUUUUACGUAAAAACAAGACUUUUGGGAAGAAAAAAAAGGGGAGAGAAGAGCAAGUAGAGCCAAGGAUCUUUUGCUGUGCAUUUUUCUUCUGCAAAACUAAGGUAAGGGUGAGGUUUACCGCAAUUGUAUAGGUUCUGAAUUCUGAUUUUGUUUUUAACAGGUUUAUGUGAGAAUUGGGAGAAGUUAGGUUUUGUUAAAUUAAUGAGUUUUGAGAGUAGGAACCACUGAAUUUGUGUUAGGAAUGGGUUAUGGGUGCAUAUAACUUUUCAUUGCAUAUCUGUAAACUAAUUUGGGGAGUGAAUUGAAGGAAAAUGGGAUUUUUGGGAAAAAAAAUGCAUUCUGCCCGUACAGAAGUUCAUCGCUCGCCUCGCGAGUAGCCUUUGCUCGCCAAGGCGAGUGAGCAACUUCAUGGCUCGCCUCGCGAGCAGAACCACUCGCCAAGGCGAGUUAGUGAGUGAAAAUCCGGAUUUUUUAAAGUGUUGUUAUAAGCCGUAUUUUGGGUAGUUUUAUGUACCUAGAUGAUUUUAGAGAGGACUGGAGCAAGUUGUAGAUUAAAAGGAUGAAUAGGGAGCUUAGAAUUGAUGAUUUAGUGAGAAAAAUGUCAAAACUCCCGAGAGCACCAUAUUUCUGUUCGCCUCGAGUUCGGCUCGAACUCGCCAUGGCGAGUGCCCUGUUUCUUGAGCUUGCCAUAACGAGCAGAUGUGCUCGUGAGGUGAGCUGCCCAGAAUUUUGUUGGAUUGAUUUCUGUUGUUGAUGGUUGAUUUAUCUGGUUGAAUAAGCAUGGCUUUUAUGUUGAUGUAUUUUUCUGGAUGUUCUAAAUUGGUUGUAAUGAAUGGGUGUUGGCUGGAUGUAUGCUUUAUUUAAUUAAGUUAUACAUGAACAUUGUAAAUUGGAGUGGUGAGUCGUAUACAUAAAUAUAUGCAUAGGUUGGAUUGUAUGUAGAUAUACUCAAGUGGGUCAGUUGCAUAAGCAUAACAGUGGGAGAGCUUCGGCUCUGGAACGCCUUGUCGUUCAAAGUGGUGGAGCACUAGUUGCUCAAAGUGGUGUUAGUGGUGAGGACUUAUGUCCUGGAAAUGAAUGCUUUAACCAUUCUACAGCGGUGAGGCUACGGUCCUGAUUAUGGUACCACAUGCAUGGGUGUUGUUAGAGGAGUCUUAGUGGAGAGGUGAUGAGUUGCAUGAGUUGUUGAGUGGGUUAUUAAUUACCGUUGUUGAUGAUAUUCGAAAAUGAUGAUAUUUUUAUAUUGUUGAUGGAUUAUAUGAUAGGGUGUUAGAUUCAAUUGAUGCAUUCUUUAUCUAUAUUAUUGUUGUGAAUCUCACCCCUUCUGCUUGAAAAUGUUGCCCUUCCUAUGGGUAACUUGCGGGUGAUCCUGAGUAGUUUGGUGGUGGCUCAAAGUGUCUAGGGCUUUGAUACGUGGGAUGGGAAUUUAUUUCUUAAUUUCUUUUCCUAUGUAUCAAAUUUUGAAUAUUGUUGUUGUAGCCCUUUUGAUGAUUGGUUUUGCUUGUUGAGGCUUCUAUGCCAUGAAUAUUUGUUGGAGAUUAAUUACAUUGGGGAUGAUUGUUAUUCAAGUUGAAUUAUUCCGCUGCAAGUUUAAUGAUGAUUUUGUAGGAUGCUUUAUCAAAUAGAUUUUUUUUUAUAUAUUUUAUUUAAGAAAUUUGAAAUUGUGGUGUGACAUGCCCGUUUGGGUUUUACUCUGAUGUUGUAUUAUUGUUAUUAUUUAAUUGUUUGGGAAAACGGGGUGUUACAAGAAUGAUUAGGCAAGUUUUUAGAAUGAAAUUCAUUACGAGGAAGUUAAAAAUGAGAUUUUUGUGUGAAAAAUGUCAAGUUUUCGAUAGCAUCCUGAUUUUAUUCGCCAAGGCGAGUUGCUUGUUUGCCAAGGCGAACAGCCAACUUUUGUGAACUCGCCAUAGCGAGUAGAGGCGCUCGCCUCGCGAGCCUUUGAGUGAUAGACAACCUUGUUUAGGGUUUUGCGAUCUUUGUCGCACGAGAUGUUAUGAGAUGAUCCUUGGGUUAAGAUAAAGAUUUAUUAAAAUACUGUUGAUGUUCAGUGAGUCUGAUAUAAGAUGGUUGAGGUUGUUAAUAUUUUGGUAAAUUUGCAAAUGCAUUAUGUGGAUUAUGUAUGAUGUUUAAGUAAUGUUGAUUAUCAUUUGGUAUUGUCAUUGUUUGAGAUGUCUAUGUGCUACUAGUGUUGCUGCUGAAUCUUAAUUAAGAUGUAAAUGUUGGUCUAAGUUGUAAGCGUUGUUGGGUUGUACGUUGUCGAAUAAGUCAUAAGUAUGUUAUGCAAAUUGUCGAUGUUGUCAUCAUCGUUGGUGUUGUUGUUGAAGUCGUAGUUGUAGCUGUUGUUGGUGAUAGUUUAUGUCAGGUGUUUUAUAAGAGGUGGUGUACUCUUACUUGUCGUUUUUAUAAGAGGUGGUGUACUUACUUGUCGUUUUUAUAAGAGGUGGUGUACUCUUACUUGUCGUUUUUAUAAGAGGUGGUGUACUCUUACUUUGUCGUCUUUAUAAGAGGUGGUGUACUAUUACCUUGUCGUUUUUAUAAGAGGUGGUGUACUCUUACCUUGAUGUUUUAUAAGAGGUGGUGUACUCUUACGUUGUUUAUGUUGAUGAUUAUGAUGAUGUUAUGAUGAUUGUUUAUAGUGUUGAAUGUGAGGUUGUUAUGAUGUUACAUGAUUUUAUCUAUGAGUUGUUAAAUGUAUUUGAUGAUGGUUAUGUUAAGUUGAUAAGUUGUUCCUUAUUCAUGUAUUGCUAAUGAGAUUCUUGCUGAAUAAUUAUUGUUAUGAAUUGAUAACGUUGAUGUAUAGUUGUUAAGUUGUCUUCUAUUCAUGAGUACUAAGGGGAUGUUAAGAAGAAUUAUUAUUUGAGUGGAUUUGAUGAAUUAUAUGAAUUAUUAUUAUUAUUGUUAUGGAUUUGAUGAGUACUAAGGGGAUGUUAAGAAGAAUUAUUAUUGAGUGGAUUUGAUGAAUUAUAUGAAUUAUUAUUAUUAUUGUUAUGGAUUUGAUGAGUACUAAGGGGAUGUCUAUGUUGUUAACUGUAAUUGAUGAAUUAUAUGCUUAUUAUUAUUGUUUGAGAAAUCUCACCCCUUCUGCUUGAAAAUGUUACCCUUCGUAUGGGUAACUUGCAGGUAAUUGAAGAUUAGUAGGAGUGGUGGCUCAAGUGUCCUAGGGCUCUAAUACGUAACGGGAUGGGAAAUUGUUGCUAUGUUUAUCAUUCAUUCAUGUAUCAAUUUUGGAACAUGUUGUUGGAACUUUUAUUUUCGUUGAACUAAUUCCGUUGCAAAGUUUUGAUUACUACGUUGUUGAAAUUUGAAGGAUAAUUAUUUAAUUAUUCCAUUUAUGAUUUUUAAGAAAAGAAGUGUAACAUUCCGUUUAAGGUGUUUUACUCUGAUUAAUUUAUGAAAUUUUUAAGUUGGGAAAACGGAGUGUUACAAAUAGGCUUAACCCUUAAAACUCUAAUGGGCUCAAAACUUCUUAAAAUCUAACUCUUAAAGUUUCUAUCCUCAUACGGUUGAAAGUUAUUAAAUAAUUACCGGUCUAAACUAAUUAUUAACACCAAAUUCUACUAAUCUCAACCAAAAUACACACAUAAGCAAUUAUUCACAGAGAAGCACAUAAAAACACAUAUAAAUAAAUAAUAAAAUAAAUCUAGCAAAAAUUGGGUUGUUACAACACGUGUGCCUUACAACGGCUCUGCAUUCACCCUCCUCUAUAAAUAGAAGGCUCAUCGCAGCCUCCAAGGUAGAAUCUCACACACUCUCAAACCCCCAUUCUGAACUCUACUGACUUGAGCGUCGGAGUGUCUGUAGGUACACACCUCCCAUUCGGUCCAACGCUCACCGAAAGUACAAACAACCACUGUGAACCACCGCAUUCAAUCCAGCGCCGACAACCACCUUCUGAUCAAGUAUCAUUGAUAUUCAAAGGUGCAAUUAAAUCAAUCGGUCUAACGAAUACAUAUUGUUGGAUAAUGCAUUACAACAUUUCUUUAGGGGGAUGCAAAAAAAACUUAUAGUUUUUAUUAAAAAAAAAAAUUAUAGUUUUUAUUAAAAAAAAAUUAUUCAAUGGGAGACGGGGAUAAUAUUCAAUUUCUCAUCCCCGUUGGAUAUGGGUGGAGUAACAGGUAAGUAUAUGAGAAUCGGGUAUUGGGACGGGAAAUGUAAAACAUGUCCCCACCCUGCCCAAUUGUCAUGCAUACGUCUCCUCUCAAUUUCCAUCGACCCUUUCAAUUCAAACCCCUCAACCAUUCAUCAAAACCCAAACCAACCAAUCAAAAUCACCCACGCCUCCAUUCGUGCAUUAACCAAAAAACAAGACUGGGAAACCUGCUGAAAAUCUCCUUUGUAAAAUCAUCUUAGCUUCGGAUUCAUACGAACCACAAUUAACUUACCAAAUUUUCAGCACACUCAUCUACGCUUGUUCAAAACGCGGGUUAGUAAAACUGGCUUCUAAAUUGGCUUCAAAACGCGGCGACGUUCAGGAUGUUAAUGAGGCUUUACCAGAAGAAUUGGAAUGUUGAAGAAGCGGAAUUUAUAUGAAAAUAUUUGGUGUGGUUUGUGAAUCUGUUUAUUCGUCGAUGAUCACGAUUUAUACGAGGUUAAGGUUAUUUGAAAAGGCUGAAAGUGUGGUUGAGUUGAUGGAGAGGGAAGUGAUGGUUUUGAAUGUUGAAAAUUGGUUGGUGAUUUUGAAUGUGUAUUGUUGUUUAUAAUACGAUGAUUACGGGCUAUGGUAAGGCAUCGAAUAUGGAUGGUGCUGAGGGUGUGUUUUUGACUUUAGGUGGGAGGAUUGAGCCGGAUGAAACUAGUUAUCGAUCAAUGAUUGAGGGUUGGGGUAGAGCUGGGAAUUAUGAAAAGGCUAGGUGGUAUUAUGAGGAGUUGAAGAGAUAACGGUUUAAGCAGAGUUCGUCUAAUUUGUUUACGAUGAUUAAGUUGCAAGCGAGUGAGGAUGAUUUGGAUGGUUUGGUUGGUUUACUUGAUGAUAUGGUGAGAUGUGGAUGUCAUUAUUCUUCGAUAAUUGGUACUCUUGUGAGUGUUUGAGAGGGCUGGGAAAGUUUAUGAGUUGCCGUGUUUUCUUAAAGGUUUGUUUUAUCUGUAUAUUUUGGUUAAUCGGAGUUGUUGUUCCACUGUGGUUAUGGCUUAUGUGAAGAAUAAGUUGGUAGAUGAUUUGUUCUUGUAAAGAGGCAGGUUUGCUCGAGGAUGCUGUUGGAAUAUAUAACCAGAUGAUGAAAAGUGAUGCUGACGAGAAGAAGCUGAACAAGCACAUUGUUUGUACAAGGAUCGAUAUUUAUAGUGUUAUGGGACGCUUCAAAGAUGCAGAGAUGUUACAUCUAAAGUUGAAGAUGUCUUCUUCACCAAAUUCGUUGGAUGUGAUUGCAUAUAGCAUUGUUGUGCGGAGGUUGUAUUUUAUGCCUAAGAAACAAGGCUUGGUUGAUGUCAUUACCUACAAUACUAUUAUAGAUGCUUAUGGGAAAAGGAAGGACUUCAGCGACAUGUCAAGAACUGUUCACAAGAUGCAAUUUGAUGUAUUCUCAGUUUCCCUUGAAGCCUACAAUUCAAUGCUGGAUGCUUAUGGAAAAGAUAGCCAAAUGGACGCGUUUAGAUCUGUACUGAAAAUGAUGAAGGAAUCAAAUUAUGCUUCUGAUCUCUACACGUACAACACCGUGAUCAAUAUCUACAGUGAACAAAGUUGGAUCGAAGAAGUGUCUGAUGUGCUCGCGGAGUUGAAUGAAUGUGGACUCCGACCUGAUUUUUGCAGCUAUAACACAUUGAUUAAGGCAUAUGGGAUUGCUGGAGUGGAUGAAGAGGCUGUAGAAUUGAUCAAGGAAAUGAGAAAAAAUGGAAUAGAACUUGACGAGACAACCUACACUAAUCUUAUCAAUGCACUGAAGCGAAACGAUAAGUUCUUAGAAGCUGUUAAAUGGUCACUAUGGACAAAGCAGAUAAAAUUAUGAAUAUCAUAAACCUAUGACAUUUUGUAAAUGGUCUUGGAUUUUCUAACCCUGUUUAUUUUGAAAAAUAGCUUGACCCUAAAGUCCUCCUUGAUUAUAGUCACUGACCGUUUGCUUCCUUUGUGAAAUAUUUCUGUAUAUUCUUAGAUAUAAGAAAAUAAACACUAUAUUAUGUGUUGUUGCAGAGGAAGUUCAUUUCUUUAUUUGCUUUCUAGAUCUGUUACUUGUCACUGUAGAACUUAUAAUUUGGUGAUCGUAAAUUCUUAAUUUGAGUUGAGGACUCGAGGCCUUGGUUUUUUGAAGAAAUGGCUGUAUAAGAUAUUUGAAAUUAGUUACGCUGUAAAAGUAUGAUGCUGUGUUUUCUCACUCACUACAUGAGCAUAAUACUGAUUCAAGCAGUCUCGCUACAUUUUACUGCAGCUGUCCGAAGAUAAUUGUCUCAUAAAGCUCCUGUUAUUGUAGGAGGUGAUUUUUAGAAAUAACAGUGACAGUUUCAAGCUCAAAAGGCUGACAUGUCUGAGUAACUAGCUACAUGGACUCUGAAUAUCCCUAAAGUUAAACUUCUAUGUGCACAUAAGUAGAACCUUAUGCGUAAUUCAAUCCAUGUAGCCGACCCCACCUUGUGGGAUAAGAUUUUGUUGUUGUUGUUGUUUGCUGCUAUUGUUACCUUAUAACAUCCAUUUCCAUUUGUUUAAAGUUGUUCAAUAUCAAUGUUUCUCUGUUGUAGAUACACCUUUGUUGAUUCUGAUAUUUUUGAAGUCUUUUAACAUCUAUAGCUCACAUUGCUUUUGUUGUAGGAAAAUAGAUUUUUUGUUAUGGUCAUUUGUGACUUAAUUAUCUUUUUCAUCAAAAUUCAAGUUUCAUUUUCGUUCAUCUCUUUAUUUAAUUGCUUCCCACUUCUUGUUCUUUCCUUUUCUACCAUUUUUCGUUAAUGUUUAUUUCUUUGUUCACUCAGGUAUUUUAUUUAACUCAAGCUCUUCCGAUCUUCUCGUCAUUAGAUGGUAUUUUAUUGAUCGACAUCCUUUGGGGUUGUUAUACAAUUUUUUUUAGGGCAUAAGGAAGUCCAUUCUGAAAGAUUUUUCUUUCUGCAUUAAUGAUGGUUACCUUAUGCUUAGUUAUGGAUAUCCCUAUAGCAAGAUUUACAAAUAUCCUAUACAGUGUUAUGGUUUUGGCUUUAUCGUGAUACAAAUAUAUACAUGCAUGGCUAAUUAUAUAACAUAUUUUCUGCUUUCACUAGCCAUGCAGUUUCAUAACUGUCCUCUUGAAACUUAGAAUUGCUUAAUAUGCAAUAAUGAGAUAUUUUUUUCUGACUUAUUAUUCUUCCCUAUGUUUUGUCGCUUAUGUGGUUUUCCUCUUUCCUGAUCUCAACAGCUUCAUUCACCAGGUGUUUUGGCAAUUGGAAGUAGCAUGAAAGGACAGAACUCAUACUCGCAUCAUUUGGACCCAGAUGUAUGCAUGAACUUAAUCGUUGCUAUGGUUGUUGAAACAUAGUGAGAGAUUCAUGAUAGAGAGAUAGUAUAUAGAGAGAAAUGAGGAAUUUUAAUUGUUACUCUUCAUUAUUGAGAAAAUGAUACAAGGCUCUGUAUUUAUAGAUGUAGAGAACAGGAGCACUUUCUUACUGUUACAAAACUCAUUAUAACAAAAUGUCACAGCUGUCAUAUACUUCGCAAGAGAUAUUAAUCCUAUAAUGUGAGUGUAUAGUACUCUGAUACCACACCAUACUCUAUCAGUCCCCCACAAACUCAGUGUCAAGAUUAUCCGGGAGCUUCUGUGCACAAUGAGUUUGGCUCUGAGAUCAGAAAACGUGAGUCUUGGACAGAGGCUUAGUUAGUAUAUGGUCGAUUGUUCUUGGAAAGCCGCUUAACUGACAACCAGGGACUUGUUCAGCACUUUUUCCCGUAGGGUCUGUUUGGGUGGCCGAUUUACGGAUUUAGGGUAUGGUUUUGGAGGGCUAGAUCUAUAUUUUAUUAUAUAUUUGAGAUUUUAAUAAAACGAAAAGAAUGCCAUGACAUAUGAUCCUAUAAAAAUUCAAUCACACUUCAUUCAUUUUUAAAAACAUUUAUAUCUUGUUUAAAAAUCGAAAAGAAAAACAAGCUCUCUCCUCCCCUAAAAAAUCCCUCCCAAACAGACCUUCACAAAGAGAUGUCCUCCAUGUGUUCAGUCCAAGAGGGAGGACAGGGUUUUGACUUAAAGACACCAUGCUUUGAUUUUCAUGGUAAAAGAUGAGACUAGGUACAAAACCUGCAGCUCUCAUAAAUGCGACUGAACCCAAGUUUGGUAUAUAAGACUUGUUUGCUCCAGUUUAAGGAGUAUUAGAAAAUGUUAAUAUUCCUUAGCUGUAAAACAUCCAUGGUUAGUGCUAUUAGGAGUAAAGUUAAAUAAUAUGAACAACUAAAAUUGUCUUUUGAGGUAUCUCUCAUUUUCUCUCCAAUUUUUAAAUAGUCAUAUGAACAACUAAAAUUGUCUAUUGUACUUCUUUUGAAUAUCAUGCAGGUGGGUGUUUCAGUUGUAGAUCGUUUUACAUUCUACACUCUUGCCUUCUUUGAGAGGCUGAAUAUAUAUGACAAUGCUUUAUUGAGCAGGUAAAUAUUAUAAGCUGUUUCAGGCUAAGUAUUUCAUCCUUACUAUUAACUGUCUGUAUUGUAUGUCCGUCUUUCUGCAUAUUUUUCAUGUUGAAUUUUAUUUCCAAACAUGUUCUUGGAGUUCUUUUUCUUUGCAUGUAACAGGCCUAUCAUUUGUUCAUAUUUUCGGUCAUUUGUAUAUGCACAAAACCAUUACACUUAUUUGCUAAGAAAGUUGAUAGUCAAGAGAAGCUGAAGUACACAUUAAUAAAAUUCCAUCUGCAGUAUGUCAAGUAAUGGAGUAUCAUAUUCUUUUGAAGGCUAUGUUGUUUAAUCUGGGAUUUCUGACCUUUCUUUGCUGUCUUUUCAACUCAUAUAAUUCAAAUUUGUUAAUGUCAAUGGCAUAUUACAGAAUGGACCUGUAUCAACGACAUUCAUGCCCCAGUGGUUGAACAAGCACAGUCUGGUUGUUCUACUGUGUUAAUAAAGAUAAGAGUCUUUGAACAAGCACAGUCUGGUUGUUCUACUGUGUUAUGCCCCAGUGUUAUUUUUUCUGCUUUCAUAUCAUUUGAUUCAUUUCAAAGGGAAGUCAGCCACCUUGGGGGCAGUAGUUGUAGAUGCAGUCAUGUGACCAAGAGAUCAUAGAUUCUCAAGUCUUGAAAUCAACCUCUUGCAGAUGUAUGGUUACCAAAAAUAAGACCCACAAUGGGAUUCACCCUUACUAGGAUCUCACUACUCACUCGGAUGGAAUCUUAGCACUAGGUCUUUUAACUGCCAUUUAACAAGUUUUCGGAAGUAUCUAUAUAUUAUUUUUGUGCUGAAUUAUAAACGAGAAGGUAAUCGGAAUUUAGAUCAUACUCAAAACCGUGAAGGUCCCAAGAUUGUAAAUAAUGGCAUUGUAAUAACGUUCGUUGGAUUCUAUCAAAAUAUUGAAAGAAUACUUAUAAUAUAAAAUUAUAAUUGAUUAAUAGAGAAUGUAAAUAAAAUCAGAAUUGUAUAGUUAUUUUUGCGCUUGUGGAUAUCUUUAGGGCCCAACAUUGAUUGGCCAAGUGCCUGAUAGUUGUUAUAAUAUAGAUGGUGUAACCUUGCAUGUGCAACUUUAGCUCAAAUUUUAUUUUAAUUGAAUUAUUUAUUUUGAUUGAUCAUUCAUGUAAUAUUUGCCACUUGGAUGUUCUAUCUGUGACAAACUUUUUUGGCUCUGUUCUUGAAACAAUACACAUUGACCCAGCCUACAGGUCUCAGUCGAAUAAAAUUUUUGGGGGACCUGAAAUUAAAAUGCCUUUGGAUCAAUCAAUAUCCGACAAUGACAGAAGAAUUUUGAGAAACUCGAACUAUGAGGAGUGGCCUAAUAAAUUAAGUACAGAGGUAAGUUGAACAUAUUCCCCAACAAAAUUAGUUUACGCAAUUUCACGUAAAGUGUAACUCAUGGAAACUGGAUUUACCACACAAGAAAGUGUCCAUGGUGUUGGACAACUAUGAAAAACUAUUCUCAGCAAAGUGAAUACUUUUGAAAGCGUUGAUGCUUUUGUUUGCUAUGGCCUUGUUUCAAUGGCUCCUCUGUUGAUAAUUUAUGUUUGGCUAUCAUCGUAAAUGAUUGCAGCGACGCUCUUUGACACCAUAUGUUAUGGUUACUUGCAGUGCAAUUUCUCUUGAAAAUGCAAAUUAUUUAGGGCAUGAUUGUAUAUUCCAGCACAUAUGUCCAAGAGAGCUGCUUAUAGAGCUGUAUUAUGUUAGCCCUUGCUUAUUUUGUCGGUGGUGGAGCACUGCCAUGGUUCCGCGUGUUCUAGGUGCUAUAGAUCGUUUGUAGUGUAGUGGUAAAAUUAAAAAAUUGUUUUGUUAUCUUUACAACUUUAGUGGAUUAAGCAGUUAGAUGUGUGAAUGCAGCUCAACGUAAAUUUUAUUUGUAAUGCAUGUAAGAAACUUUGUCUUUUGUUGUAGACGUCAAAUUAUGGUUUAUAGUUAUAAAAAAUGUUUCUAACAAGUAUUUUAAGAUACAUUUUGUGAAGUGCUAAUAUGUUUUAUGCCUUUUAAAAGUUUUUUAGGUCUGAAAAAAAUGCUUGUAACUUUUGUGAAAACCUAAUAUGUUUUAUGCCAUUUUGUGAAUGUGCUUUGGAUAGAAUUGGAAGAGACAACUCUCAAAUAUUUUUCAAAUCUUGAUUUCAUUUCAGUUAUUUGGAGAGGAUUGAUUAUAGGUUUUGUAGUGAGAUCCUUCACCUAGGCUACAAAACUAGACAAGUGCAAGACAAAAAUGUAAAAUUAAAACUGAAGAUAAUUUGAAACAAAAUAAAGGCCAAUUUAAUAUCAUAGUGAAUUCAUACAUCAAUGCAACCUCGGACAACUUAAAAAGUGAAUUUUAGUUCUAGCCAUUAAAGUACUUGACAAAAAUACUAGAGAUUGGAAUUUAUUCAAUUGUAAUUAAAGAAAAAAAACUCCAACAUCCAAAUUUUAUUGAUUGAAUUUCUGCCAAAUGGAGUGAUAGAUUUUGAGGGUGGUGAUGACUUGUUCGAGGACCAAAUUAAUAUGGUAUCUCUGUUGCUUUGGAAGAGUUGUAUGUUGCGUUGGUUUUCGGACGGAUUAACUUAAUCUCGGUCACUGGAUGAACUUCUUCGUUGCUAAGACCAGUUUCGAUGAACUUAAAGGUUGUCUUUUAAGCUUGUUACAUGGUAACCAAGUUUUGGCUUACAGACUGGCAGGUGGGGUUCCUCCUGAAAAUCUAAGGGUGAUUUUGAGCAACCCUCGAUAUAAUCUUGUGGGUAUGACUGCUGAAGCUCACAAAGUUGCUUUAAUUGCUGCUAUAGGGGUUGAAAAUGUAACAUGCAAGCUAACUGACCCCAAGACUGAGCUGCCAAUGGAUGAAAUGAUCCGAUCUAUAUCCGAUCUAUUUGAUCGGAGGCUUGAAAUUUAUUAUCCUUUUUUUUAUGAUUGUGACAGUUCAUGGGGAGAUGUCCAUUACAGCGAAAUCAUCUGAUAACCUGUGCUUUGCAACCUAUCUGUUCAGUGAAGCUCCACUGUCACCAGAUGAGACCCAUCCGUAUGGAUCAUCUUCCCAUGAACUGUCACAAUCAUAAAAAAAAAAAAAAAGGAUAAGAAAUUUCAAGCCUCCGAUCAAAUAUCUCGGAUAUAGAUCGGACCAUUUCAUCCAUUGGCAGCUCAGUCUUGGGGUCAGUUAGCAUGUUACAUUUUCAACCCAUAUAGCAGCAAUUAAAGCAACUAAGUUCAUCGAAAAAGGUCUUAGCAACGAAGAAUCCCAAAUCAACCUUUUCCCCUGCACCCAUUAUUACCUCUCUUGCAACCAUUGCUGCACAUACCCAACAUCAGAAGUAAGUAAUCUCAAGAGCAAUUCUUCCGAUGUCUUCGGCUUUGAUAAAGCAGCUUUCGUGUGUUCCAUGUGAUCUAGUGACCGAGAUUAAGUUAAUCCGUCCGGAAACGCAACAUACAACUCUUCCAAAGCAAACAGAGAUACCAUAUUAAUUUGGUCCUCGGAAUUUCAAUCAAUAAAUCGAUCUGUCUGUGAAUGAUAUCUCUCAAGGAAUACAUCCGUUGAUGGGCGGGGACGUUCAUCAUCAGGUCGACAACUGGACUUGUCAUCUGAAUGCCAGUGUUUUCAAGUAGAACAGAAUAUAAAUAAGUAUUGAAUCCAACAAACUGGACCCUUGGGUUACACAUGAAUUGGCGGAGUGAGUUCUGUUGGAAUAUCGUGUGUUGGUGGUACCUUGUAGAUAAGCACGCUAGAACCAUAAGACAAAAUUAUUGCAACAGCACUUCCUUCAACCUCACUUCCAGCAGCUGUAUACCCGAUAACUAAUUCGUUUCUGAGCUCUGCGUCUAAAAGUUCCGUCCACGUUCCGACAUCGACAGUCACGGUUUCAAUCCACUCUUUUACUAUCUCUCUAUCAGAUGUCAUUUUAACAACCAUGUUUCUCAGCAUGAAAUCGAUGUUGUAGCAAGUGUGAACAGCUGAUACAACUGUUUGGUAAAUCAUGAUGAUGAUGGGAAAAUCUUUAGGAAAAAUCUAGAAUCAGUGUGAAAAGGAAUACGAAAGCAAGCGAAUAGAAUGCGGCGGCUGCGGCUGUUGAAUGCUACUGUUGUUUUUAUAUCUAAUUUUAGGGUUUACAACAUAAUUGGGCUUCUUCUAAAGUAAGCCCAUCUAAUUUAUAAGGGAGAAAGUUUGGGGGAUUAAGACUAUCCCCAGACACAAAAGUUUUCUCUGGAGACUCUUACAUAAUGCUCUUCCUGUCAAGGAUGAACUCCACAAACGAGGCAUUAGGUGUUCUCUGCUCUGUCCCAGAUGUGAGUCCAAAAUAGAAACGGUUCAACAUCUUUUUCUCAAUUGUGAGGUCACUCAGAAGGAGUGGUUUGGAUCCCAACUAGGGAUCAAUUUUCACUCAUCUGGAGUAUUACAUUUUCAUGAUUGGAUUACCAAUUUUAUCCUUAAAAAUGAUGAAGAAACCAUCAUUGCCCUAACAGCCUUGCUCUACAGUAUCUGGCAUGCGCGAAACCAAAAGGUGUUUGAAAACAUAGAUGUACCUGGAGAUGUUGUGAUUCAACGUGCAAGCUCUAGUCUUCACAGCUUCAAAAUGGCUCAAGUCUCUGAUUCUGUCCUUCCCAGCAACGCUAUCCCAUCCUAUAGCCUACAGAGCGCGCGAAUUCCUAACACAGUUAAAUGGAGAAAGCCUGAGAAAGACAUCAUCAAGUUAAAUAGUGAUGUUAGCUUAGCUAAAACUGACCUGUGGGGAAUCGGUGUUGUAGCCCGUAACUGCGAAGGAUUGGCGAUGGCAUCUGGAACGUGGCUCCGACAUGGAAUCCCUUGCGCAACUACAGCUGAAGCUUGGGGAAUUUAUCAAGCAAUGGUGUUUGCAGGUGAUUGUGGCUUCUCAAAAUUUGAAUUUGAGAGUGACAAUGGGAAUUUAUUAAGAUGCUUAAUGGAUCUGGAGAGGAAAAUAGCUGUUAUCUAGGAUCUAUAGUUGAUAGUAUUAUCUCUCUUAGAUCCAACUUUAGCCAAUGUAGGUUCUUACAUGGAGAAUUGUUGUUCCCACAUUUAGUUUGGCUAUGCCACACGAGUAAUUUACUCAAAUGCCCCUCGGCAGUUAACUGCCGAAUUAUGAAAUCGGCUGUAGUUAACUGCCGAGGAAAACUUCGGUAGUAAACUACCGAGGAAAACUGAAAACUUCGGCAGUUAAGAAACCUCAAAUCUGUUUUUUUUUUUUUUUUAUUCUUUGAGAAUAUUCUGCGGUCUUUAUCAUUUUUGAUUGAUUUUUCUUAAUAAUUCGUUUUUAAUUUUAUUGAUUUGCCUUCCUUAUUUAUUUUAAUUGUAUUACUCCUUUAAAUCUUUUUUUUUGUUAUAACUGCUUUGAUCUUCAACAAUAGUGAAUAUUUUAUUUCCAAAGAACUUUCACGGAAUUUUCUUCUUUUAUUUCCUUUUUACGGAAAUAUUCACAAUUAUUUUAAUUGUAUUACUCAUUUGAUCUUCUUCUCUUUUUGCCUAUUUUAUUUCCAAAGAACUUUAACGAAAUUUUCUUCUUUUAUUUCCUUUUUCUUUGUUUUAGGCUUAACAUUUAAGUCCUCAAAAAACAUUUCAAUAAGUGUAAAAAUUAAGUAUUUGAAUAUUGUUUUGCAAAUUACUUAAAUAAAAAAAAAUCUUUGUACACAAUUAUUUUAAUGUAGAAAAUAUAACAACAUAUUAUACCUUAAAAAAAAUCAUUGUGCACAAUUAUUUUAACGAUUUUUUUAUUGUUAUUUGUAUUUAAGUAAUGUGCAAAACAAUAUUCAAAUACUUAAUUUUUACACUGAUUUAAAUGUUAUUCUUAUUAAGAUAUAUACAUAAGUAUAAUACUGCAAUUGUUUAAAACGUACCAAAAUAAUGAUUGAAACAUUCAAAAUCAAUAAAUAUUAUUAAAGACAAUUUAUGGUUUUUGUCAAAAAAAAAAAGUUUUGUUAUUAAUGACAAUUUAUGGAUUUUGUCAAAAAAAAAAAAGGUUUGAGGUUUCCUCGGCAGUUAACUGCUGAAGUUUUUUUUUUCCUCGGUAGUUUACUGCCGAAGUUUUCCUCGGCAGUUAACUGCCGAAGGGUAUUUGAGUAAUCGUGUGGCACAGCCAAACCAAAAGUGGGAACAACAAUUCUCUCUUACACGUUAGAAGAAGUGGAAAUGUAUUGGUAGCCCAAUUAGCGAACACUUGUCCUGAAGGUUUGGAUGGAAGAUGUACCAUCCAAUGUCACCUCUUUGUAUUUCUCCGACUUAAUGUCUUAUUAAUUAAGAGUCUUUUAAUAAAUAAAAAAUUUAUAACGGUUAAUUAAGUUUUUUAGUCUCUAUAAAAAUUCACAAUUUUGUUUUUAGUCCCCACAAAAUAAAUCAUAUAUUUUAGUUCUUGUGACAUUUUCCUUAAUCAUUUUAAGAAUAAAAAAUGUUGAUGGAACUUUUUGAUGGGAACUAAAUAUUCUAUGGAAAAUUUUUAGAGACGAAAAAUGCUGAUGGAAAAUUUUAUAAGGACUAAAAAGUGUAAUUUUAUUUUAUAGGGACUAAAAACAAAAUUUUGAAUAUUUAUAGGGACCAUUUACUUAAUUAAUCCAGUUUAUAAUAAGAUUAUUAUUACUUUUUCUCAUCCUAUUCUCUCCAUGGUGUAUCUGUUUAUUCCCAAAACUAGACUUUUUCAAGAUAUUAUAUUGUAUAUUUCCAUGAUUUUUUAUAUUUUAUUUUGAAUUGUAUAUGUACCAUUAAAGCUAUAGUAGUAAUAUCUUUUCAGAAUUGUAUAUUUCCUAUCUCAGAAGUAUUAAAAAAAGACUACUCGUAUAACCCACAUUUAUUAAUUAAACUGCUAACAUCUACCUAAAAUAUAAAUGUUCUGGACCGGCCAAAAGGGUUUUUGGACCAUUACUUAGGCCCAAUACAAUCCAAAGCUCAAAUUCCACGUUUGGUAACAUCACUUGCGACGCACCACCUCUCUGCGAGGGAGGUACACGGAGCGAGUGACACCGGUUCAAACAAGCCACAACGUCUCUCUGCACGUUACCGCAAUAAACUCUCUGGCGGUUACACUUCCCACGAUUUCGUAACCGCCAGAGCCAGGUGUGCCAUUACAACAUAUUUGCAGCCCUCCACCUCUAUAAAUAGGGGACUCAAUGCAGUCCCCAAGGGAGAAUCUUUUCUUCCCUCUAAACCCUCGCUCUCUGAUCUCUACUAACUUGAGCGUCCGAGUGCCUACAGGUACACACCCCUCAUCCGCUCCAAGAAGCAUUCUAAUGCAUUCCACCACCGUCACUGCCACCGCAUUCAAAGCACCGACAGUCACCUCCUGAUCAGGUACGAUCAGUGUCGCCGUCUGCGGGAAAUAUAUAAGCUCUCCCCGUUUUUGUACUCCUAAAAACCAAAGCUUUCCAAAAAAAACAUACCAUGGCUGCCAACGGUGCCAGCUCCCAGAUACGAAUUGAGAUAUGCAUCCCUCAACGGGAUGGUAUGACAUCCUCACCUUCACCGGUGGACACACCUAGAGAGGAACCAACACAGAUAGUUCCGCUCCAACAAAGACCUCUGUAGGGUCCCCUACGACCUACAGAGAGACCUGAAGAUGCAACAUCAACUAGUGUACUCAUCGGUAACCUGAUCCGCACGGUUCAACGACAGACGUUUUUAAUCGAGGAACAGAACCGACGCCUGAUGGAUCUGGAGCAAACACGCCCACUAAUCCGAACCAAAUGGACUCCUUCCCCAGUAUGUAGCAGAAGAGGGAGGAGCCCUCGCCAAUCACAUUUCAGAUCCCCGCGACACUCGUUGAGCAUCAAAUCUCCAAGCUACACCAGGAGAUGGACAAGAAGGAGAUCACCUCGACGGUCUCCACCCAGACGAUCUCCUCCAAGGCGGACUCCCCUUAGGAGAUCCCCUCCACGCCGGACUCCCCCGGGGAGAUCUCCGCCCAGGUAUAACGAGCGCUCUUGGUCAUCCUCCAGCUCCGAGGACACUCGUGAUACCCGAACUGACCGUAACACUUACGGUCCGUUCACACGGCGUAUCCGAGAAGCUCCUAUUCCACGCGGACUGGAAAAGCCUCCGCAGAUGGACUCAUACGACGGGACAACCGACCCGGACGAGCACAUUAAGAAUAUCGAGGCAGUUUUCACUUACCGAUCGGUGCCGAUUGUAACGCCCUCUUUGAAUUAUUUGUUUUAUUUAAUUAUUUGAUUGAGUUUAGAGUCUUUUUGAAUAAUUUAUUUGAUUUAUGGUGAUGUGUGAUAUUUUGUUAUGUUACAUGUUGGUAUUUGUUAGUAUAAUAUAUAUGUUAUUUGGUGUAGAAAUAUAUUAUAUUAUAUUAUAUUAUAUUAUCUAGUGUAGAAAUAUAUUUAUUAUUUAGUGUAGAAAUAUAUUUAUUUUUUAAAAACUGCACAUGUUAUAUUCUUACUUUUCUUUUGUCAAUCUCUUUGUUCAAUAUGACAAUGCUCAAUGAAAAAACAAAGUAAUAAUAAAAAAAAUGAGAGAAAAAAUGAUUGAUAAUGAAUUUAUGACAAUAAAUGUUUUCAUUUUUUUCCUAAUUAGAUGUUAAAGGGAGAAAUUGGUGUAGGAUAAUUAUUUUGUAGAUAGUUUUAAACCUUUGGAUUAAAUGUGAUGAAUGGAUGAGAUUUGGUGUCAAACUAAUUUUGACACCAUGAUGUCAUUUGAUCCUAUCCCAUCUUUAUAUGUUCGAGAAAAGUAAAAGCUAAGGUAUAGCUUGUGGUUUUUUAAGUGUAUUCAGUACACCAGCUUCUGUUUAUUAUUAUACUUUCCAACUUCACUUCCAUUGGGUGUUAGUUUGAUGGUGGGGACAUCUCUUUUUUUUCUUUCCAAAUCAAGGUACAUAUACAAGAUAAAGUUAAAGAAAAUGGCAAGCUUCAAGAGAUAAUCUAUACAUUAAAGCAUACCCAUAAGGAGCUCUUUUUAAUUUCAAAGGCAAACCGAUAAAAGCAUCAAAGUCGGAUUCUCCAAAAAUCUUUCCCCUCACUUUCAUUGUCACAAGUUUCUCUAUCUUAGAAGUUAGAUCCAACAUCCCUGCAGCUACUACACUGAGUGAAAACUGCAGGGAUCCAAACAAGUUACUCUUUUAGUCUCUUUUAACCAUCUGAUCAACAUUGUGAUGUAUACUCAAAACUGAAGUAUACACCGAAGAAGCUAUAUUGACAACUUCAGUGUUAUAAAAACAAAACACGACUGAUCUGAAAAAUGAAAAUGAAUUUCCAACCAUAAAAGUGACCAGUCAAUCUUAUUGAACAUAAAUAUAAACAAGGAAUCAAAGCUUGACUCAUUUCUAAUUUUCAAACCUGUGUUUGAUGUCUUUUUGUUUUGGUACAGAAGGAAAGGAAAACAAACACUAAAGUAGGUCCUAUUUUUAUUGCACCAGUGUUCAAUCAUAUCAGUAUCACUAUAUCAGCAUCAAAUUCUUUUAUUCAAAUUUGUAAAUGAAGUAUGUGUCCAUAUAUGAUAUAUCAGCCAGCAUUACAAUAUUCUCAUGCCUAAAAAGCAGUCUAAAGAGAAAAAGAACUUUGGGAAUACAAGUGGACUUGAAAACAAAAUGGAUAUAUUUCGAAAUUACAAAAUCACCUUUCUUGAGGUUCACAAUAAUUUAAGGCAACUCAGUACUGAACAGAAUGUACUGCAUCCAUGAAGGAAGCUAUUCUUGAUUGAUCCUUCUGAAUGCCAUCUGAUGCACAUAUGCCACUACUGACAUCCACUCCUCCAGGUUUGAGACUAGACAAAGCCUCACCAACAUUCUCAGGAUUGACCCCUCCUGCCAAGAGCCAGCCAUAUUUGCUUCUAAUUUUUGGUAAUUUAAACUGGGCCCAAUCAAAUGCUUCCCCACUGCAAAGACCUCUCAUGAGUUCUAAAACAUUAUUAUGCUGAAAAAACAGAUUGUUUGACAAACAAUUAACAAUUAAGCUUUUACAACAAGACCUGUGUCUUUACCUGCCACCCUUUGCACUAUCUACCAGAACCCAAUCAACUAGAGGACAAUCUUCAUCAGGAAUUGUGUUUAAAAGGCUCCCAUCAGCAUUUGCAUGGAGAACAUAUAUUACACGAAUUUCCUGAAUCAAAGAUGGGAAAGCUGCCCGCGAACCAGAUCCAUGAAGCUGCAUUGUCCAAACUCAAGAUUUGAAUGUCACCAAGCAUUUAACUGUCGUUGAACAUACAUAAAAAUCGGGUAAAAAUGUACCUGCACAAACUCAAGAUUUGAUGCAUCAGAAGCUCUUAAUAUUGUUUCUGCAUCAUCAUCCACAAAUACUCCAACAGGCUCUGCUCCAUAAUCUCUUGCAACUUUUGAUAUCUCCUUUGCAACAGAAAGUGAAACAGAACGUUUUGAGUUUGGCCACACAAUCAUUCCAAUAAAGUUUGCUCCAGCUUCGGCCGCCAUAGCAGCAUCUUUAGCUGAUGUAAUGCCACACAUCUUAACCAAAGGCUUAAUCUUUUCAGGUUCCUUUGAUGAACAUGAAACGUUUGCCAACUCAGUAAGUUUGCAGGAAACUUCAUACUUUGGACCGAAUCUUAUGCUAGAAAAUUGAAGCUUAUUUCCUCUCAAACCUACAGAAAUUAUAUUUAAAUGUUUCAGAUAGAACCUGGUACUUCGAAAUUUGAUGCUUAUUUCCUCUCAUCCCUUCAUUAGGCUUUCAUUUAAAUAGUGGCUCAUUUACGAUUUAUGACGUAGAUCCAUGAAUAUGAUGCUUUCAAACAAUACAAGCAAAAACAAGAAACUAAACCUACAUGAGGAAUAAGUGCUACUUAGAUUUCCGGAAAAUUGAGACAUAUACUCAGUAAAUAAAGACUAGACUACCUGGAAUCGGUCUUUUGUGGAAGUUUGUGGCUCUAAGUUCCAAGUAACUCCCAGUUGUUAAACCUGUACAAAAAGAAAACAUAACUUGCAAGGUCACAAGAACAAUAAUGUACAUGGAAAAUUGAAGCACANUCUUAAUAUUGUUUCUGCAUCAUCAUCCACAAAUACUCCAACAGGCUCUGCUCCAUAAUCUCUUGCAACUUUUGAUAUCUCCUUUGCAACAGAAAGUGAAACAGAACGUUUUGAGUUUGGCCACACAAUCAUUCCAAUAAAGUUUGCUCCAGCUUCGGCCGCCAUAGCAGCAUCUUUAGCUGAUGUAAUGCCACACAUCUUAACCAAAGGCUUAAUCUUUUCAGGUUCCUUUGAUGAACAUGAAACGUUUGCCAACUCAGUAAGUUUGCAGGAAACUUCAUACUUUGGACCGAAUCUUAUGCUAGAAAAUUGAAGCUUAUUUCCUCUCAAACCUACAGAAAUUAUAUUUAAAUGUUUCAGAUAGAACCUGGUACUUCGAAAUUUGAUGCUUAUUUCCUCUCAUCCCUUCAUUAGGCUUUCAUUUAAAUAGUGGCUCAUUUACGAUUUAUGACGUAGAUCCAUGAAUAUGAUGCUUUCAAACAAUACAAGCAAAAACAAGAAACUAAACCUACAUGAGGAAUAAGUGCUACUUAGAUUUCCGGAAAAUUGAGACAUAUACUCAGUAAAUAAAGACUAGACUACCUGGAAUCGGUCUUUUGUGGAAGUUUGUGGCUCUAAGUUCCAAGUAACUCCCAGUUGUUAAACCUGUACAAAAAGAAAACAUAACUUGCAAGGUCACAAGAACAAUAAUGUACAUGGAAAAUUGAAGCACAUAAAAAUUCAUGGUCACCAAUAAUAAUAACAUAAAAAUGCUAAGUAGCUACAUGAAUUGUGGAUAUGUAAAGAGAUUAGUUAAUGCAUUUAGUAGUCGGUUAGCUUUCAGCUAGAAGAAUUAGUUAGAAAUGAGUUCACUGUAUAUAUAUCUCACUCAGAUCUGUAAUGUUUACCAAGCACAUUGGCUUACCGCAAAUUCUCUCUUCUUCUCUUGAUUAGGAUAUCUUUAUGGUGUUAGAGCUUUGGACCUUCAAUAGAGGCUGAAGCUAUGCGUUCCUUAAGCUCAUUCUUGUUCAAAUUCGGUGAAGCCAAUUUCUUAGCAUGGAAAUCAAGCAUUAGCUUACAAUAAGAGGCUACAACCUUCUUCGUCAAGUGAAAAUGCAGUUCCUCAUAAUUAUGUGUAUAAAGCAUAAACUCAAUGGCAAAUUGGCAAUCUUAGUUUCGUGUAGCUCAGCUGGGAUGGGAUCAUCAAGAUCAACUUCUGGUAUCAUGGUUUGUUUCAAUGCCAGAACCUCUCACUGUUUCCAUGGUAAGGUGUGAUCAUGCGUAUCAAAUUUGGCAGGAGCUAGGAACAUUCCUUGCCUCUUAACCCAAAGCCAAUAUCAAGGAGCUGAAAGUGAAACUCAAGGGUGUGGAGAAAAUAGGUGCGUAUUGUGAUUUGACUGGGGCUUAUGCAGAUAAAAGAAGGCCAACUGCAGGCUAUUUCAUUUUCCUCGAAAGAAAAUAUGGUGGCAUAGUCAUGAUAAAAGCAAUAGUUGUUCCAGAUCUAGCUUUGAGACAAAGUUAAGUAGUAUCACUAUCAGAUCUAAGUAAAUCACAAGAAAUAAACUAAUUCCCAGUUUACAAUUCAGAAGCACAAUAAACAAUUACUCAGGGUUUAUCAUUACUCAAACUGACAGAACAAACAAAUUGAUUAUCUAUACAACACCGGCAUUUCUGAUCGAAGGCUAUUUCGUUAUCGACACGAGUCAGUGUUCAAUACAAACACAUGUCAAUACAUUCCAUUCUAUCAUUUUCUCAAAUUAUUAUAAGUGCUUCAUAGCUAAUAGCAAGUGCAUAAUGAGGAAACAAGAAAACAGCAGAGCAAGCACUACAUAAUUUCUCUCAAUUCUUGAUAAAUUGAUUCAACUAUUAAACAUGUUAUUUUUGAAAUAAUAGUGAAUAUAACAAAAUGAUGUCAGCUAUGAAAUUCAUCAAACAAGUGGGGUGCACUAAUUUCAGGUAAGAAAGCAUGCACGAAGAGUAAAAUGAAAUUGAAAUUGGUAAGAAGAGAAACCUGAAAACAUAGUGAAACUUUGGAAUAGCUCGCCACUACAGAGUCCACUUUCGUCGCAAAGCCCGUCUCAACCUCAAUCGACUCUAACUCUGUUCCACGACAGAACUUGGUUUAAUUUGUUUAGAUCGUUUUUUUUUUUCAGAUUAUGUCUCAAUUCAUCUGCAUUUUGUCAUUUGCAUACAAAAUUGUUUAAAUCAAACAAUUAAAGGUAAGUGCAAUUCGGGUUUGUUAAAUUUUAAUUACAUUUUUUAUUUUAGUGUUAUUGCAGAUUAUUACAUUUUUUUUUGAAGGAAUUGUAGAUUAUUCCAGGAAGUUUUAAUUAUGAUAAAAUACAUAUUAAGGUUAUUUUUUAUUUAUAGCAUUUUUUAUUUAUUGCAGGAAAUUCUUUUUAAAAGGAAGAACACAGACAGGUAAAAUAAUUUCUUUUCAUCUUUACAAAACCAUGAAAAUGAUCAUUAAACUCAUUAUUUCUUUAAUUUUUUAUCUUCAUUUUAUUGUUGAGCUUCAUAUGACAUAUUUAACAAACUAUAGAAUCUUCAACAUCACAUAUGAGGCAAAACAAGAAAAUGUAUAAAGAUGAGAAGUAAAAGAAAGAAUACAUAUCCAAAAACAGUCCUAACACAAUUUUACAAUUAUAUCAACAACAAAAAAGCAAAUAUACAAAAUAUAUUCAUUAGAAAAUGCUGAUGAUUGUGCCUUCUUAGUUUGUUUGUUGUUUGUCUUGCAAACUUGUCAGCUGAUCUAAUGUUUAUCCUUUCAUUGACAGGAAGAUUCCAGAUCACAUACGAGCAAUAAGGAAAAAAAAAAAAAAAAGAGCCCAUAAAUAAGAGAUAGAGGGAUGAGCAGCUGAUUCUCAGAGUGAAAGAAUUGAGAAUAUGGUUUAGUAUCAGUUUGGUUUUAUUUUUUUAUUUCGGCUUUGUAAAUAAAUAAAAAACUAUGUUUUUAGUUAAACCACAACAAGUAAAGUAAUAGCAUAAAGUGAAUUCUUUAGAAAGAAAUUAAUAUUAUUUGAGUCAUAUUACAAGAAAAUGUAAGUGAAAUUUUUGUUAAAUCAUAACAAGUAAUAACAGAAAGUGAAAAAAAAAAUUCUUUUGAUUUACAAAUAAAAAUUUUAUUCUUCUGUAAAAAAAAAAUCUUAAAUUCUGAAGAAAAAAAAAAAAAGCUGUUCUAUAGAUUUUUGUUAUCAAUCUGUAGUAUAAAAAAAAAACAGACUUUUUUAUCAGUAGCAUCAGAACUAAAAAAGAUUCAUCUACAAAAGAAAUUUUUACAUCUCUAGAAAUAAAACAAAAUCACAUCCAAUUUCAUAUUUGUAUUGUUGUUGUUGCAUGUAAUGGAAACAAAAUAUGUAAAGAACUUGACCUUGAUGAAGACAACAGCCCAGGUUUAAGUGUUUGUGUAAAAAUUCUGACCCAGAUCGGGAUGAAAACACGUAAGCUCUUUCCCGGCGCGGUGGUUGCAAGCUCCGGCGUGGUGGUCACCGGCGAAGGUUGUCCGUUCCUGAUAUUUUUAAAUGGGUUUUGUAGAGAAGAUGGAGGGGACUCUUUUUAUGGUGAUGGAUUUUCAAAAAUGAAGAUGGUGGAGCAAUGUAACGACCGCCGGAGACACACUGAAGGAGGGAGGAGGCGGCGGCGGGGGUUUGUUUGAGAAUGAGAGAGUUUUCCAGAUUUCUUUGGUGAAGAGAGAGAAAAUUAACUUUGAAAUAAAUAUGGUGUGUGUGGAAUAAAGUUAAAUGACAAAAAAUAAAAUAAAAAGAAAAUUAUAAAAAUAUACUCUAGGUUUGUACGAGAUAGAAAGGGGUAAAGGGGUAUAGACUUUUUUUAUUGCAAAAUUAGUGUAACAUAAUAAAAAUAAAAAUAAAUAAUUUCUUUAAAAAAAUAAUUAUUAUUAUUAUUAUUAUUUUUUUUUUAUCAAAGAAAAGCCCUUGAACCCAUUUGAUUGCAGAACAUUAGUUUUUUGUUUUUUUUUUUACAAAGAACUGGUGUUUCUAAACCUAUAGAGCCAGUAAGCCGGUUAACAGAUUUAAUUUUUUGUAAAAAGUCAGUCACGUGGCCCAAUGGUUGGGAGAGUAGUCAAAAGCGACUGUUUGGGCGAUGGUAGAUAGCAUUCCUCUUUUAGAAUUGCUGUUGACACAUUUGGUUUGGCUGAGACACACGAGUAAUUUACCUAAAUGCCCCUCGACAGUUAACUGUCGAAGUUUUAGAAAACCGGAUGCAGUUAACUACCGAGGAUUUCCUCGGUAGUUAACUAUCGAGGAUUUCCUCGGUAGUUAACUAUCGAGGAUUUCCUCGGCAGUAAACUGCCGAAGCGUCCUGAAGCAAGAUAGAGGCAGUAGCUUCAUUUCCUGAACCUGUAAUGUGUUUCAAACACAAAACACAACAUAUGUACCUGUUUUUUUUUUUAUGCAUAAUGGUUCAAAUGGCAAAACAAAUAUUUGCGCAAAUGCACAACUUAAUUAAACCAACAUUUUUAUACCAUUAAACAAAGUAAAAUAUCCCAUGAAAUUAAAAGUAAUGUCAUCAAAAUACAAAUAUACAAAUCAAUGUCAUCAAAAUACCAAAACUAAAAAACAAGUCCUAAAAAACAAACUACUACUACUACUACUGGUCCUGGUCCUGGUCCUACUGAUGCUGCUGGUGCCUCCUCCUCGGCCUCUGGCCUCGCCUCCUGUUCAAGAUCAGCGCAAUCUGCUCUCUAAGAUGGCUCAUGGCCUGAAACCACUGCUGAGGGGUCAUGCUCAUGACCUCCUCCUGGCCUAACUGUGCAUCAGCGUAGGCAACAGCGCCACUAACCAUAUCAAAAGUGCUAAGAAGAGUCGACGCCAUUGCUCACCAGAAAUACUUUCUGAUCAUCUUCAUGAUGCACUGAAAGAUCUCGAUACUCCCAUAAAAUCUCAGCCACGACUCUUCUUAGGAUCUAAUGACAACCAAUCAAAUAACAUUGUUGCGGCCACCAUAGCUGCUUCUCAAGCAGGAACAACAAGACAGACGUCAAAAAAGGAAGUGGUGAGACGCCAAGUGAGUAAAAUGGCUAUCACUAGUCUUGAGUUUUCUGAAGCAUUGCCUUUUGCUGCUUUUGCUUCUUUGUGUAACGCCCACUUUCGUUUAAUUAUUUAUUUAAUCGAGUUUAGGCAAUUAUAUUAUAUUUAUAUAAUAUAUGCGUGAGUUUUGUUGAGUUUUGAUGAUUUAAGAUGAUUUAGAUGAUUUGGAUGUUUUGAUGUGUUUUGAUGAUUUGAUAAGAUUAUGAGACUUAUUUUAUUGUUAAAUAAAAUAAGAUUUGAAAAGAAAAUAAAAAUAUGAAAAAUAUUUAGUUAAGGGCUGUUUUGAUAUUUUAGAUAGUUUUGGGGGAGAAAGUGAGAUAAGAUAAGUAAUUAAGAGGAGAUAUAAAAGAGAUAGACCUAGUUUUAGAAAAAUUAGUACGUACGACUGUUUUUGGAGAAAAGGGAGAAAACCAAGAGAAGAGCAAGAGAGACCUUGGAGGGCUGCGAUUUCUACACAAUAAGGUAAGGGUGAGACUAAUAAUUCAGUAAUGUUAAUUGUUAUAAUUCUGAUGAUUAAUUGACAAAGUUAGGAUUGAUUUAGAAAAGUUUUGGAAUUAGGUCAAAACCCUAAAAAUUGAUGAUCAAACGGUAAAACUUGAUUAGAUUGAUGUAGAAACCGUCCUAUAACCUUAGAAUAUGUUUAGGAUGAAUUCUGGAAUCGAAAUUAGACUUAGAACCAUGUUAGAUGAUGGAUUUUUGAGAAAAACCGUUUUCUGCCCGAGCCUAUGUUCAUCGCUCGCCCUGGCGAGGGAUGAUCCUCGCCUCGCGAGUUACAUGUCGUAGCUCGCCACAGCGAGCAACCUUACUCGCCAUAGCGAGCAUGACCAGAGAGCAGAAUUCUGAGUUUUUAACUUUUGAGUUGAACCUUAGAUGCCUUUGAGUACCUUUAGGUGACUACUAAUGAUUAGAGAAUGAUUUAGAAUGAGAUUGAACCUGGAACAACCUUAGUUGGGGAUUUGGCUUGUACUCGCCAUGGCGAGCAGAUGCUCUCUAUAACGUCCACUUUCGUUAAUUGUUUAUUUAAUCGAGUUUAGGCGAUUAUAUUAUAUUUAUAUAAUAUAUGCAUGAAUAUGGUAUGAUUUGAAUGAUUUACGACUAUAUUGAUGGUUUGGUUGAUAUUGUGAUAAAGUUUUGGAAGAUUUGAUAAGAUUAAGGGAUUUAUUUUAUUGUUAAAUAAAAUAAAGAUUUGAAAAUAAUAUAAAAUAUUUAGUUGAGGGCUGUUUUGAUAUUUUAGAUAGUUUUGGGGGAGAAAGUGAGAUAAGAUAAGUUAUUAGGAAGAGAUAUAAAUAGGAGAAGACCUAAUUGUUAGAAAAACUAUUGUACGUGAAAACUUUUGAAAAAAGGAGAAAAAGCUUAGAAGAGAGAAGAUCAAAGAGAGAGCUGCGAUUUCUUCAUAACCAGGUAAGGGUGAGACUAAUAAAUCAGUAUUGUUAAUUGAAUGUAAUUCUGAUGAUUAGUUAGCAAGAAUUAGGAUUGAAUUAGAGAAAACGAAAACUAGGUCAAAUCCCUAGAAUUGAUGAUUAAACGGUAGGAAUUGAUUAAAUUGGUGUAGAAAGUGUUCCUGGACCUUAGAUAAUGUUUAGGACAAACUUUGGAAUCAAUACUAGGCUUAGAACCNNNNNNNNNNNNNNNNNNNNNNNNNNNNNNNNNNNNNNNNNNNNNNNNNNNNNNNNNNNNNNNNNNNNNNNNNNNNNNNNNNNNNNNNNNNNNNNNNNNNNNNNNNNNNNNNNNNNNNNNNNNNNNNNNNNNNNNNNNNNNNNNNNNNNNNNNNNNNNNNNNNNNNNNNNNNNNNNNNNNNNNNNNNNNNNNNNNNNNNNNNNNNNNNNNNNNNNNNNNNNNNNNNNNNNNNNNNNNNNNNNNNNNNNNNNNNNNNNNNNNNNNNNNNNNNNNNNNNNNNNNNNNNNNNNNNNNNNNNNNNNNNNNNNNNNNNNNNNNNNNNNNNNNNNNNNNNNNNNNNNNNNNNNNNNNNNNNNNNNNNNNNNNNNNNNNNNNNNNNNNNNNNNNNNNNNNNNNNNNNNNNNNNNNNNNNNNNNNNNNNNNNNNNNNNNNNNNNNNNNNNNNNNNNNNNNNNNNNNNNNNNNNNNNNNNNNNNNNNNNNNNNNNNNNNNNNNNNNNNNNNNNNNNNNNNNNNNNNNNNNNNNNNNNNNNNNNNNNNNNNNNNNNNNNNNNNNNNNNNNNNNNNNNNNNNNNNNNNNNNNNNNNNNNNNNNNNNNNNNNNNNNNNNNNNNNNNNNNNNNNNNNNNNNNNNNNNNNNNNNNNNNNNNNNNNNNNNNNNNNNNNNNNNNNNNNNNNNNNNNNNNNNNNNNNNNNNNNNNNNNNNNNNNNNNNNNNNNNNNNNNNNNNNNNNNNNNNNNNNNNNNNNNNNNNNNNNNNNNNNNNNNNNNNNNNNNNNNNNNNNNNNNNNNNNNNNNNNNNNNNNNNNNNNNNNNNNNNNNNNNNNNNNNNNNNNNNNNNNNNNNNNNNNNNNNNNNNNNNNNNNNNNNNNNNNNNNNNNNNNNNNNNNNNNNNNNNNNNNNNNNNNNNNNNNNNNNNNNNNNNNNNNNNNNNNNNNNNNNNNNNGUUGCCCUUCGUAUGGGUAACUUGCAGGUGAUCGUGCUUAGUGUGCAGUUUCCGUCGUGAGUGGCCUUGCCUUCACUGUGUCGUCUAGGUCGCUCUGAUACGUAACGGGAUGGGGCUAUAUGUUAUGCAUGCUUCGUUCUAUUACGUGAAUAAUAUGCUAUUUGUUUAUUGAACUAACUCUUUUGAGAUUAUUUUGAUGGGGCCUGCGUGCCAAAACGUUUUAUGAUUAUAAUAUAAUUUCCGCUGCAAUGUUUAAGAUAUUUGGUUAAAUUAUUAUUUAACUGUUUUGGAUUAUGUUAUAUGUGAUAUCCCGUUGUUUAUGAUGCUUACUCUGAUAAAUGAUUUAAGAAAUUUGUAUAUUGGGAAAACAGGGUGUUACACUCUUGCCUCGCGAGCACUUCCAGAAUUGAGUGUUUUAGAGAAUUGUGAGACCUGAGAUGUUUGGAUUGGUUAGGAAAGGAACUUUAGGUACUAAUGUGACCUAUCAAAGAUAAUGAUUAUGAACUGUGAAGAUUUUAUGAAUUGUUAAGAGAUUAUGAAAUGAUUUAUGGAUUAUGAACUAAUUUCCGCUGCAACAUUUGAGUUAAUUUGUUAUUUAACUAAUUUUGGAUUAUGUUUAAAUGUGAUAUCCCGUUUAUGCUGUUUACUCUGAUAAAUGUUUAGAAAUUUUUAUAUUGGGAAAACGGGGUGUUACACUUUGCUUUUGGAAACGGUGAUGAAACUCGACUUAAUAAUUGAUGAAGUUGAAGAACUUGGGAGGUUAGCGUGCUUCAAAGAGUAUAUACCUGGUGAUGAAUUUUCUGUUAGUUCUGAGAAACCUUGUUUGUGAGUUUUGACAAAACAAGGGAAAGGUUUUGGGGGGUUUUGAAGGGUUCAUUUGUCCAAUUUUAAAGUUCCCCCAAAUUGGGGGGUUUUGGGGGUUAACCAUACACAAAUUGACAAUUUUGCCCUCAUAAUAAUUCAAAAUUCCAAUUUUAGACAUUACUGAAUUAUUACAAUCUUUUUCAAAAACAACUUAUUCAAAACAACUUAUUACGACAUCAUUUUCAAAAACCACUUAUUCAAAACAACUUAUUUAUAAAAAACAUCUUAUUACGACCUCUUUUUCAAAAACAACUUAUUCAAAACAGCUUAUUUAUCCAAAACUGUUUAUUACGACCUCAUUUUCAAAAACCACUUAUUCAAAACAACUUAUUUAUACAAAAUAACUUAUUACGGCCUCUUUUUUAAAAAACAACUUAUUCAAAACAACUUAUUUAUGCAAAACAGCUUAUUACGACCUCUUUUCGAAAAAAAAAACAACUUGUUCAAAACAGCUUGUUGAUGCAAAACAGCUUAUUACAACCUCUUUUCGAAAAACAACUUAUUUAAAACAAAUUAUUCAUGCAAAACAGCUUAUUACGACCUCAUUUUCAAAUAAACAGCUUAUUCAAAACAGCUUAUUUAUGCAAAACAGCUUCUUACGACCUCUUUUCAAAAAGCAACUUAUUCAAAAUAACUUAUUGAUGCAAAACAGCUUAUUACAACCUCUUUUCAAAAAAAACUUAUUCAAAACAUAUCGUAAUAAGUUGUUUUGCAUAAAUAAGGUGUUUUGAAUAAGAUGUUUUCGAUAAAUUAGCUGUUUUGAAUAAGUUGUUUUUGAAAAAGAAAUCGUAUUAAGCUGUUUUUCCAUAAAUAAGCUGUUUUGAAAAAGUUGUUUUUGAAAAAGAGAUUGUAAUAAGUUGUUUUGUAUAAAUAAACUGUUUUUGAGAAAGAUGUAGUAAUAAGCUGUUUUGCGUGAAUAAGCUGUUUUUUGAAAAGAGGUCGUAAUUAGAUGUUUUGUAUAAAUAAGUUGUUUUGAAUAAGCUGUUUUUGAAAAAGAUGUUGUAAUAAGCUGCUUUGCAUAAAUAAGUUGUUUUGAAUAAGCUGUUUUUUGAAAAGAGGUCCUAAUUAGCUGUUUUGUAUAAAUAAGUUGUUUUUGAAAAAGAUGUCGUAAUAAGCAGUUUUGCAUAAAUAAGUUGUUUUGAAUAAGCUGUUUUUGAAAAUGAUGUCGUAAUAAGUUGUUUUGCAUAAAUAAGCUCUUUUGAAUAAGUUGUUUUUUUUUAAAAGAGGUUGUAAUAAGUUGUUUUUGAAAAUGAGGUCGUAAUAAGCUAUUUGGCAUAAAUAAGCUGUUUUGAAUAAGUUGUUUUUGAAAAAGAUGUCUUAAUAAGCUGUUUUUGAAAAAAGAUGUUGUAAUAAGCUGUUUUGUAUAAAUAAGUUGUUUUGAAUAAGCGGUUUUUGAAAAAGAUGUCUUAAUAAACUGUUUUGCAUAAAUAAGCUGUUUUUGAAAAAAGAUAUCGUAAUAAGUUGUUUUGCAUAAAUAAACUGUUUUGAAUAAGUUGUUUUUUUUUAUAAAAAAAAAUCGUAAUAAUUUCUUUUUCAUGAGAUAAGCUGUUUUUUAAAAAGAGACCGUAAUAAGUUUUUGUAUAAAUAAGUUGGUUUUUAUAAAGUGAUUGUAAUAAGUUUUUUUUAUUCUAUAAAUAAUUUGUUUUUCAUGAGAUAAGCUCUUUUGAAUAAAUUAGAAGAUAAAUUACAAAGUAUAACACAAUGUAUUAAUUUAAGAGAAAAAAGGGUAAAAUAGUAAAAUUAUAACAUAAGUCCUUCAUCUUCUUUCCUUGUUGGUGUUUUAACUCCCAAACAAUGGAAAGAUUUUCCCUCCUUUCUCCCUUCCCUCCCUUUCCUUCCCUUCCCCUCCUUAACCUUUCCUUUCCUUCCCCUCAAAUCUCGCAAACAAAGCCUUAGGGAAAUGUUAAGUGCCCCAGACACUUUUAAGAACCAUAAGUAGUAUUCCCUCUGUUUCUAAAUAUAAGUAAAAUUAAUUUUUUAGGUUCAUUCAAUUAAGACCACAUACAUCAUUAAUUGAAUGAACCUAAAAUGUCAAUUUUACUUUUAAUUAGAAAUGUGAGUAUUUAUGAAAAUGCAUCUAAAGAAUUCAUUCAAAAUUGAAAUAUUAGAUUUUUUUUUUAAAGAAUAAUUACUUAUUUAGGAAUGCUUAAAGAGUAUCCGGAGGUAAUCCUUAACAAGAACAAUUAACUCAUUUUCUCAACUACUCCCUCUGGUCACAUUUAUAAGCAAAAAACAACUUUUUAGGUACAUUGAAUAACUAAUGCAUUCGGUCAUAUUUAUGGGUUAGAUACAUCAAUUAUUGGAUGUACCUAAAAAGUUGUUUUUUGCUUAUAAAUGUGAUCGAAGGGAGUAUUAAAUAAGAAAUAUCUAUAUCAUUGUCUCCUUUGCAUUCCCCUCUCUCAGUGGGCAACGUCUCAACUCUAGUCUUGACUUAGUCAGUUCUAUUUUUCUUCUAUAUGCACUAGGUUGUGUCUCACUUUUUUGUUUCAAAGAAAUCUUAAUUCACUGUGCAAAAUGAAUGCCCAAAGAUUUUCCAAGCCCUCCAAACUCUGAACUAGAAUGAUUACUACUGUACUCUGUCAACGUGAUUACACUGCCAAUUCAAGUGAUAAACAAUAGGCAUAUUUCAUAGAUACCUAAGUGGACAAUGGCCAUAAUCCAUUCACAAAAUUACCUAUACGAACCAUUAGUGAGUAAGAAUAACAAUUGAAAAGACGCAGAAUAGUUUAUACAAGCUAUUAAAUUUUAAUCUUUUAAAAAAAAUAUUUUUUACGGCUAAUUUUUUUAAUUCGAAACCAUCAUGUUUUUUGAACAAGGGCGAAAAUGAAAUAAAAAAGUGAUAACACAUUUCAUUCUGUCCACUCUUUAUAUAGUUAAAUAACAAAUAGAAUGAAACUUUUAUUGGUUCCAUUCCGCUCAUUAUGUUCCAUUUGUGCUCUGAUCCAUUUGUUAUUGGGUAGUCUAGGGAACUUCGGGAGCAAUAAUGGGCCAAACGUUCAGAACUAUAAGAGACUUAAACAUCACACUCUUAUCCAAAAUCUUAAGGCAAUGAGUUUAUGGAUUCCUCUCAUAUACUACAUCCGUCCCUUAUUAUAUGAUCCUUUUAGAAAAAACACGGUUUUAAGAAAGUAGAUUAUUGUGUUAAAUUUGUUGACAAAUGAUAUUCCUUUUCAUGUUUGCCCUUCUAAUAAUUGAAAUCGCAAUUCAUUAUUUUCCUAUAAUAAUUGAAUAAUGCACCUAAUUGAUUUAUCAUUGUAGCUAUAAUUGAAAGGAAGCUUGAAUGUAGACUUGGAAAAGUCAUGGCACAAAAAAAAUGAAACGUGAACAACCAUUCCAUUUUUUUUUUCCACAAAAAUUUGGAAUCACUCUUUUUUUUUUUUUUUUUUUUGUAAAAUAUCAAUUUUGAAGCUCCAAACUUAAAAUUUUUAGGAAUUAUUUUCAAAUUUCUGACGCCAUGUUUUUAAGAACAAGGAGCAUGAAACAAGAGUAUAUAAACACAUAGAGAAUGGUGCAUUAUUAUAAGAAAAUUGUUUUUUUGACAUAGAAAACGUUCUAAUGACACAAGAAAAUUACCCAAAAGUCCUCAGCGGUAAUUAACUACCGUUCUGCAAAGCGGCGACAUUUGUUUGUUUCUGCCGCUGGAAAAUUGUCUUUCUUUACACAUACCCAUUUGUUUGUUUCUGGCACCAAUUAACACUUUUUAAUUAAUUUAUUAUAAAGGCAGAGGUUUGUUGGGGGAGGGAUGAGAGAGAAUAGAGAACAUUAAUAAUAAUAAAUUAAUUAAAAAGUGUUAGUUGGUGGCAGAAACAAAUAAGUGCGCAUGUGUAAAGAAAGACAAUUUUUCAGCGGUAGUUAACUACCGCUGAGUCCAACAGUAGUUAACUGUCGCCGCUUUGUAGAACAUCAGUUAACUACUGUUGGGGGCUUUUGGGUAAUUUUCUUGUGUCAUUAGGACGUUUUCUAUGUCAAAAAAGAAAUUUUCUUAUUAUAAAGGCAGCUUCAAAGAAUGGUGCAUGAAUGACAGUUACUACUAAUUUGUUUUCCCACAAAAAAGAAUUUAUUGCUUUUCAAAAAAAUAUGUAGAGUAAAUAGGGGUAAUUUUGUAAAGAAAUAAUUAAUGCACUUGAAAAUAUCAAAAGGGUCUUAUAAAAAAGAGACAAAUUUGUUUUCUAAAAGGGUCCUAUAAUAAGGGACGGAGGUAGUAUAUCCUUUGUUUCCUCUAUUCCUAAUCGACAUGGGACAUAAUCACUCACACUUGAUUACCCUAACAUUCUCCUCCUCAAGUGUGAAUCACCCACAUCACUAGCAUGAUCCACACUAGGAUCUUGCUCCCCACCGAGCCUAACCACGACUUUGAUACCACUUUUUGGAGAGUCCGGGGAGCGCUGGGAGCGGCAAUGUGCUAAAUAUCCACGACCUUAAGAGACUUAAACACCACACUCUUGCUCAAAACCUUAAGGCAAUGAGUUUAUGUGUUCCCUCUUCAGUAACUAAUAUUUUUAACCCCCUUCUUUAUUCAAGAAACUUAACAAUCAAACCCAACAAUCUCCACCUUGAUUGUAGGAGUUUCAUAUUCCGCUUCCAUUGUCUAUACCAAAAAUCAUACUCCACCAUAAAGAGUAUACUUCAUUUGAAACUGAACCAUUCCAAUAAUUUCUUCACGUCGAAACCUUGCUGAAAGAUUAUUGUGCAACUCCCAUGUUGGCUUUCAGGAAUUUCUUCAGCCAUCGACAUAGCUCACCACACACCUUGCAUCAAUGUCAACUAAUGCCCGUGUGUUGUUUUGAAUCCGCUAGCAAUAACUUGUCCUUUUGCACGGUACUUUAUUUUCUAGAUAAGAUCACAAUCAUCUCCCAAAACAAAGGAGACAUUGCCAGCACUUGCCUCAGAGUCUUUACUCCCAUGUUGGUUUUCAGGAAGUUCUUCAGCCAACGACAUUGCUCACCACACACCUUGCAUCAAUGCCAAUCAAUGCCCCUGUGUUGUUCUCAAUCCUCUAGCAAUAACUUGUCCUUUUGCAUGGUAUAGCGGAAAUACCAUAAGGAGCACUUUAUCUUUUAGAUAAGAUCACCAUCAUCUCCAAAAACAAGGGAGACAUUACUCCCAUGUUGGCUUUCAGGAAGUUCUUCAGCCAUCGACAUAACUCGUCACACACCUUGCAUCAAUGCCAACUAAUGCCCGUGUGUUGUUCUGAUUCCGCUAGCAAUAACUUGUCCUUUUGUAUGGUAUAUCGAAAAUACCAUAAGGAGACACUUUAUCUUCUAGAUAAGAUCACCAUCAUCUCCCAAAACAAGGGAGACACUCUUUAAAUGCACAAACAUUCCACAUUUAAGCGCCUUGUGUAAUCCUGAUUGUAUCAGCACAAUUCGUACUUUCCACUUCAUUGUGCUUAAAUAAGACAUAGCAGCGUACUUUCCACUUCAUUGUGCUUGAAUAAGACAACAACUGCACAGUACAACCCUUCUUCAGCACUUUCACAAUAUCACAUUUUUUUUCUUACGGAACCGAAGCUCUGAUACCACUGUUAGGUAUUCAGGGGAACCCCGUGAGGGGCAAUGGGCCAAAUGUUCUUUCAGGACCAUAAGAGACUUAAACACGACACUCUUACCUAAAACCUUAAGGCAAUGAGUUUAUGGGUUCCCUCUCUUAUAUAUUCUUUGUUUCCUCCAUUCCAAAUCGAUGUGGGACAUAAUCACUCACACUUGAUUACCCAACAUUUGUUUCAUCAUUCCACACAUAUCCUUAUUGAUUUAUGUUAGUUGUGUUUGAGUAGAAGUUUUUAUUUAUUUUUGGGUUAGUAGUGUUUUUCGCCCCUAUAAAAUUUUCUGUUUGAUUUGCACCCUCGUAAUUUUAUUUUUUUUCUGGAAAAAAUCCCUAAUAGGCCGUUUUCAGAAUUUUUUUUUCAAGAAAUUUUGGUUUUUGAAUGGCCUAUUAGGGGUGUUUUCCGAAAAAUAAAAAUUUUACGAGGGUGCAAAUCAAACUGAAAAUUUUAUAGAAGCGAAAACCAGAAAUGACAUAUAUUACAAGGGUGAAAAACACUAUUAAUCCUUUAUUUUUUGGUAAUUCUCAGAUAUAGAUCUGUGCUUGACGUACUGAAGUUAUUUCCUUCAUUUUCUGAAUUUUUUGGAUUAAUGCAUUAAGGUUGACGAAUAUUGAGAUGAAGGUGUUGUAGAAGAUAAAUAACUUUAUUUUAUUUUUUUAUUUUUAGUAAAAAUUAAUUAGAAAAUACAUAUUGCUUUGAACUUGCCACAAUAUAUUUUUCUCAACCAACAAAAACUUGUCACAAUAGCAAUAAAACAGCCAUUUAAGCACUUGUUAAUUAACGAAGCUUGAUGGAAAAAGGCAACAUUAUAAACAUUUUAUGACUCAAAUGAACAAUUUAUUACAAAAAGAUAAUUAAAGGAGCAAUUUGUCACAAACGCAAAAUAUAUUUGAGAGUAUUUUUUUUUUUUAAGGAUUAAAAUUUAUCUUGAAUAGUCCUAUAAACAUACCUCAAUUAGUAAUUACUAGAAAUAUUAUGUAUAGAAGUUGGGGUUUGAACCUCGAAUUUCUCACUUCUCUAUACAUAAUACAUGUAAAACUAGUCUAGUCGGCACAAACAAAAAUUGUCUUGAAUAUGCAAGCAAUGUGUAGUCAAACCAUAACAUAUUUACAAUAGCAGCCUCAUUUGACUUAGUUUUCUUCUACAAUAACGCGGAAACACCCCAUAAUUAAAAAGUGAAAUCUUCUUGACUCCUGUAGUAAAUAUGAGAAUUUUUUUUAUUUUUCGGGUUCUAGAAAAAGUAUUUUUUAAUUUUGAAGAAAAAGACAUAAGCCUAUAAAUAUUAUAUCCUCGUGAUACAUCGUAUCAAAAAUGGCAAGACUAUGUUCUUACUCUUGUCUCUAUGUUCUCUAUGUCUCACUGCAUUAUUACUUCUUCACUUGCUUAGCUAUGAGUACUAACAAAAACAUCACCAUAGAUGAAUUUUCACUUCUUGCAUUCAAAUCCUCUAUUACCUUAGACCCUUAUCACAAGCUUAGUAAUAAUUGGUCAAUCUCCUCUUCUACUUCUUUCUCAUCAUGUAAUUGGGUUGGUGUCACUUGUGAUGAGCAUCAUGGAAGAGUAAAGGCAUUGAAUCUUAGUAAUAUGGGACUUGAAGGUAGGGCGUAGCCUUGUUUAUGAAUAUGGUAGCUUAGCAUUUUUUUUCUGAUCAAAUAAAUUUUUUGUGCAUAUAAAUAUAAAAUAUAUAUAUAUAUAUAUAUAUAUAUAUAUAUAUAUAUAUAUAUAUAUAUAUAUAUAUAUAUAUAUAUAUAUAUAUAUAUAUUUUAUAAUGUUCUAAACAUACAUGCAAAAAGUCAUUCAAAAAUAUAUUGAUUUAAUAAUUGAGACUAAAUAUGUUAGCACGAUCCCCUCAAAAAAAAUAUGUUGAGCAAGAUAAUUUUGUAGAGGCUAACAAGUACAAUUUUAUAUGGGGAUGUAAAACAAUGUCUGAAAAUUUUAUAAGGACUAAAAAUAUAUUUAACCUUUGAUUUAUUAUUUGUUUUCUUUGACAAUUUCAGUCUUUACAACAACUUAAAAGAAAGAUUUUCACUAAUGAAAAUUGUCGAGACAAAAUUCAAAAACAAAAUCAACAGUGAAUUUCUUGCAAAUUUUUUAAUUUUCACAUUGAAAAAAUGUUUUUUUUAGAGGAACAUUGAAAGAUAGAUUUUUUUUUUUUUAAAGAUUUGAUAAAACGAUUGUUAGUCAGUUUAUUAUGUCAAAUAUUAUUGACAAAAUUUAUUUGUUGAAGCCUCAUUGAUAUCAAUUUUCCUAAAUAUAUUUCUUUCUUGUUGAUUUAUUCUAUAUUUUAUAUAUGUAAAAACUAUUGAAUUUGUUUGGCUUAAUACUUAAGUUUAAAAAUUAAUUUAAUAAUAGUUUUAUCCUUUAUAUUUGACCUCUUGUAAAUUUCAUGCUAACUUCACCACCGGUUGAAGGUACAAUUUCCUCUCAAUUGGGAAAUCUCUCUUUCCUUGUUAUUCUUGACCUACAAGGCAAUAGUUUCCAUGGUGAGUUUCCACAAGAGUUACUUCAUCUGCAGAGACUGAAGAGAUUAGACUUGAGCUACAAUGAUUUUGUUGGAGAAAUUCCUCAAUCUCCAACUUGUCAAUGUUAGAGUACCUAGAUUUAAGAUCAAAUCUCAUCAAAGGAUUCAUACCAACAACAAUUUCCAACAUGUCUACACUUGAAGAAAUCCAUUUAGCUAGAAACUCCUUAUCAGGUAUUUAUACUCACACCAUUACACAACAUCUUAAUUACAUGCAUGUGAAUAUAUAGCUGAGUUUGACUAACUUUGCUUGUUAAUUUAGGUUUUACACGUAUGCAUAUGAAUAUAUGAUACUCUAGGGCAGCAUUUCGUUAGCUUAACUCAGUUGGUAGGAACAAAUGCAUAAUAUAUGCAAGGUUAGGGGUUCAAACCUCGAUCACCACCAAAAAAAUUAAUCACCAUUUUACGAUCAUCAUUUAAGGUUAAAUUCUUACCACACUAACCUAACAUCAUAUACAAGAAUUAAUCUAUCUCACUUACUAUAAAAUUAUUUGAUAAAACUUUCCUCAACUCCCAACAUGACUUUAGAUAUUUCCUCAAGAAAGAAACAUAACUUUAGCGUUUACAUAUAUACAUAUGUAAAAAAAUUGUGCUAUAUCUAGAGGUGUAUUUCUUUACAAAGUAGGCAGAAAGUGUGAUUUUUUAGAAUAUAAGGAUGAAAAGAAACACAUAAAAUAUAAAUAGGAUUAUUGAUUAUUUUUUGGUCAGGUAGCCUAGUGGCUAUAAUUCACCUUCUUUUGGGGUGUCCGCGGUUCGAACCUCGGCCCCUGCAUAUAACAAUGCAUGUCCCUGCCAACUGAGCUAUGCUCACGGGGACAUUUGAUUAAUCAUGCAUUACAUGAUAUUUAGUAACAUAUGAAUCAUGCAUGCACGCGGUUCCUUCGCAUGUAUAUGUCGGCCUCAAGACAGGUAUCCCUUCUUUUGGGAUUUAUGGGGUGCCUAGGUGUUUUGUAUAUAUGCGACACCUUGAUUGUAUGUUUCCCUUUUUACCGCGAGUUAAAUGUUCCUUACAUUUCCUCGUUGAGAAUAAUAUUUGCUAUUAAAAAAAAAAAUCAUGAUAAAUGUCUUUCAUCUGUCUAUGUUGAACAAAAGGUGAAAUUCCAAAAGGAAUUGGUGAUCUUACACACUUGACAAUGUUGAACCUUCAAUUUAAUCUACUCUUCGGCAACAUAAAAUCAACAUUAAUGUUCAACAGCUCAUCUUUGCAAUAUUUGGCACUUGGUUUUAAUAACCUGACUGGUAUUCUUCCAUCAAAUAUUUGUCAAGGGUUUCCAAAUCUUAAAUUACUCUAUCUUUAUCAUAAUGAUUUUUCUGGUAAAAUUCCAAAUAUUUGGCGUUAUUGCAAAGAGUUGGAAGAUUUAGAGCUAUCCUUCAAUAAUUUUGAUAAAGGACGUAUUCCAUCUGAGAUUGGAAACUUGACCAAGCUUCGGUAUUUGUAUCUUCCUAGCAACAACUUGGAGGGUAAGAUACUUUUCUCCAUUAUUUAUUGUUUCUUUAAAGUUGUAUGCUCCAAAAUUUUCAACUUCACUUUCACAUGUAUUUAAAAAAGGGUUUUUCUAUCGUGUGCAAAUUUGCACAUGUUAAGAAGUUUAAAGUAGUAACUUUAACUUGAAACUUGUGUUUUUUAUAUUAAAUAUGUAGCUUUUAAUCAACAAUUGUUGGUUUUCAAUAAAAAAUUACUACUUUUAGUUACCUUAACAUAUUAUUUUAUAUGUUGAUAUUCCAGAAUUACUGUUUUAAUUAAAAAUGGCACCAAAAAGCAGUAAAUUUAAUUAGAUGUAUUUUAUUUAAAUAAUAUAAUUAAUGCAUCCAGUAAUCUGAGAGACAUUAUUUUUAAAUAGAAUGUAUAUUGAGAGAUCAAGGUACUGCGUCAAAAAUAAUAUAAUAAUUAGUUAAAAAAAUUGACUUAAUUGAUAAGAAAUUGAUUGUUCUGCAAAGUUGUGGAUUCAAUGUGAUGAUAGGUCUGCCCUAAGCCUAUUAAGCCAGACUCAUUUAAACUUUUUCUCAUCAAAAUAAAUAAUAAAAAAUUAUAAUAAUUAAACAUAUAUUCAUUAUCAGUUUUUUUUUUUUUUUUUUUUCUAUCAUGAUCAACCAUUAUUAAAGAUAAAUCAACAAUUGUGCAGUUCAACGAGUUAUAUGGUUAAAUAAAUGAUUCACAACAAUAUCAAUCUCAAUCAUUGGUUUUGUGUCAAAAAAAAUUUGUAUAGUUAAAGUACGACCAAGAAAAGAAAUAUAUAUAUAUAUAUAAACCAAACAAAUAAUUGAGCUCAUGUGGUUAAUGAGCUUCAUCAAUGACGAUUUAUUUAGGAAAACAUAAUUUCAAUUAUGUGUUAGAGUAAUUCACAAUUUUUUGUUACACUUUACUUACUUCUCGACCGAAUUCAUGAUUACCCGAACCCCAUUCCUCACUAAAAUCGAAGGUUUAAAAAAACAAUGAGCCCAAAAAGCAAUAAAGAAAAACAUUAAAAACAAAUAUUUAAUUAAAUAACAAAAAAUCAAAGGAGAAAAAUAUUCAUUGACAAGAAAAAAUGUUUUAGAUUGCGUAAAGAUCGUGAAAUGUGAGAAUUUAUCUAAUAUGAUGUCUAAAGAUAGAUCUUUAUAAGGGUUAAAUAUGUUUUUAGUCCCCAAAAUCACGAUUUUUCAAGUUUAGUCCCUAUAAAAUUUUAAGGGUUAAUGGUGCUUUACCCCCUGUAAUAUAUAGGUCAUUUUUGGUUUUCCCCCCUGUAAAAUAUUUUUUUUUUUUACCCCCUGGAAAUUUUUUUUUUUUUGAAUACCCCCCUAAUAGGUCAUAAAAAAACAACUUUAUUUUUUUUUUGUGCAGAAUUUUUCGUUUUUUUAUGCCCUAUUAGGGGGUUAUUCCAAAAAAAAAAAAAAUUUUACAGGGGGGUAAAUAAAAUAAAAAUUUACAGGGGGGAAAACAAAAAAUGACCUAUAUUAUAGGGGGGUAAAGCAUCAUUAACCCAAAUUUUAAUUGUAAUUUUAGUCCUCCAUAAUAUUGUAGUUUGUAAGAAUAGUCCCUAUUUUAAAAAAAAAUUACAAAAAAUUGAUACAAAUAAGGACCAAAAGUGAAUUAAUUUUUUGUAUGGAUUAAACUUAAAAACUUGUAAUUUGGUAGGGAUUAAAAUCAUAUUUAACCCACUUUAUCAUCAGGGUCGUUCCUAGUUUUACAGGCCUUAGGCAUAAUAUGAGAAAAGGGCCCCAUACAUAAUACAUCAUAAUUUUUUUUAGUUCAUUGUUGUGAUUUUAUUAGGCCUUCUUAUCGUUUUCCCCCCGCUUUUUACUACCAAAAAAGAACAAAAAAAUAUGAGUGGGCCACAUGAUCCUAAAUUCGUCUCACAUGAUUUAGCAUAAUGAUAUAAUUUAAUUUUUUGCAACAUUUUAAAGACAACAUUAAGAUUAAUUUCUCUAGUUGACUUAUUUUCAACUAAAAUAUUAUUUGUUUUGUUAUAAAAUUCUCAAUUUCUUGGAUAAUAAAUAUGACCAAUAUAUUUAAUAUUAGCAAGACACAUUAUUAGAAACAAAGGGUCCAAAAAAAAAAAUCACAAAUUUAUUCGAUAAUAUUUUUUUUGGCACAUUAUUAGGAAAAACUAAAUUUUUAUAGGGAGGGUGUAUAUAGAAAUAUUUGUAUAUAAGGGGGUAUAUAUAGCAAAUUGAGACAAAAGGGUCAUACACAUUAAGAGAGAAAGAUACAUUAUUUUUUGAAAACGUUAAGCGUUCACCUUUGAAUCAUUAGUAGAGAAGUAUACUGCUAUAUAAAUUAAAGAAUAAACCAUCAAUUUGGUCUUCAAACUAUCACCUUCUAUUUAAUUUAGUUCCUUAAUUAUAAUAAUAUAUUAAGUAGUCUUUUAACUAUUAUUAAUCCUUCAAAUCUCUUAAAGACAAGAGAGUAAAUGUUGGCUCAUGGAUUAAUAAUAGUUUAUUAACUGCAUAGUAAAUUUCCAUAGUUCAAGACUAAAUCGGAGAGAAGAAUGUCGUUCAGAGAUGAUUUAUUCUAAAUUAAAAUAUGAGCAAAGGAUUUUAGAGUUCAUAAGUUUACAAAUACAAGAAGACAUAGACUAGUGGAAAAAAUUAAAGAUUGAAGACGCGUGAAGGAAAUGAAAAGCAUCAACAAAGAAGUCGAAGACUUGGAAAAUUAAGACAGAAAAAUGAAAAAUCAUUGUUUUUAGGACCCAAUAUUGCAUUGAUAAAUAAUUCUUUUAUAUUUUUGUUUUACAUACUUACAUGUACGCAGGUGAAAUUCCAUUCUCCCUCUUCAAUAUCACUUCUUUGAGAGAUAUCAACUUUGACAAAAACAAUUUAAAUGGAAACCUCCCACCAGAGAUGUGUCAACAACUUCCUCAACUUCAAAUAUUUACUAUAAUGUUUAAUCAUUUUGGAGGAAGCAUUCCAAGAUCAAUUGGCAAUUGCACAUCACUACUAAUGUUAGGUCUACAACAAAACUUUUUUACAGGUAUACAGGCCACAAUUUUUAUUUUUUUUGAAUAAAAGAUGCUUAUAGCAUUUCAUUAAUAAUAAUAGUUUCAAUACAAAGAGGGAUUUCAUAAUAAAUAUGGGGACUAGCUAAGGAAGUGGCUUCUCUUGCUAAGGCAUGAGCUGCCGCAUUCGCUUGUUGCCGGAUAAACUCGACCCUAGAGUUUGUAAAAGAUGUGGAGAACAAAUCUCGACACGCAUCAAUAAUACUACCAAAUUCUGAAACAUCCGUCUUGCGGGAAUGGAAUGCAUCUCUCGUGAUUUUGGAAUCAAGCUCAAAAUCGAUGUUAUCAAACAGAUAUCUUUCAUCCAGUGGAUAGCAUGAUAAAGGCCCAAUGCUUCACCUAUUGUGACUGGAUAAAUAUGAUCAAACUGUUGCACCUUAGCCAGCAUAAAGGUUCCUGCGUCAUCUCGAACACAAACCCCUAUACCUGUCUGAAAAAGCCGCGUCUACGUUGCAUUUGAACCUGCCAUUACUUGGAGGCUGCCACUGCGGGAUAGCAGGUCCUAUAAGAGGGCUUUACUGCUGCACAGCCAGCUACACAGACACGACAGAAUGUUGAGCAGACUGCUGCACAGACGCAGCAGAAUGCAGCUGCUGAUUGCCUAUCUGCUGCAGGUCAGUUGGCCUCGAAACAUUGGCCUCCUACCAAUCAUCCACUGACUGUCGAGCUCUAUCAACAACUUGCAUUCUAUUCUCCGUUACCUCUUCCCAAAUUUUGAGAUUCUGAUGCUUCUGUAAACUCCAACAAAUAGCAGCAAAACGUUGUUGAAUAUCCAUAGACGAGUUUUGGAGUAAAUAGAAAACUGUGUUGACAGCAGAGUCCGAAUUCAUGGCCGCAUUUUGCACAUCCUGCCACAUACCAGCUGACAUCCAAACUUGAAUAGAAAACGGGCACUCGAAUAGAUGGUGGUUGAGAUCCUCAUACUCAUAACUACAGCUAACACAAUUCUUCGGACAAGACACUCUCUAGUAGGCAAACAUCCCCUACACAUACGCCAAACUAAGUGUUUAACCUUCGGGGGGAUCUUAAGGCGCCAAAUGUCUCGCCAAUUACCUGGACAAUGGAGGUGGGAAACAUCAACCAGCUCUUCAACAAUUUUAUAUUUUUAUUUUUAUUUAAAAAGCCUAAUGCAAAACUAACAUGCACAAAUUAUCAGAUAUUGUUUAUUUAUAUAACUUAGGAUAUAGUUUUAAAUACAUAGAUAUGAAUCAUAUGAUAUAUCUAUCAAGUCCUAUGUUGACUCCAAUAAAACACUGGAGAAGACAGAAAAUGAUAGUUUAUUGUUUUCUAAUUUUUUUUAAGCCAUAAAUAUCUUUCGAGGUUAAUUGUAAAGAUUAUUUCAUUGGAAAUAAUUGAGAUCUAUUUAAGGGGCUUGAAGGUGAGAUAAACACAAGAGGGGGGGUGGGGGGUUGAAUUUUGUUAGUUUUUUCUUCUUUUUAAAAUUAAGUCCAGUGUUCAGAAUCUUGAACAAAGUUCAGAGUCUUAUGCAGCGGAUAAUAGAGAGAGAGAGAGAGAGAGGGAGGGAGGGAGAAGAGUAAGACACAAAGCAAGAUACUUCAAACUACUCAAGCACAAAAGCAAGAGGUUUCCUAUACUCAAGCACAAACACAAGAGAGUUCCUAUGCUUAAGCACAAAAGCAAGAGACUUCUAAACAAACACAAUUACACAAAAAAUGUUUGAGGUUUGAACACUUGAUAUAAAAUCAGUGGUGUUCACAAUACAAAUCAGAUACAGACUCUUUAAGCCUCUAGAAUUUCUAAGAUAUGAAAGUUGUUAAGAAAUUCUAAGUGAACUUGAUGUGAAAAAAAUUUCAGCAGAGUUUUGGCACUUUGUAAAAUUGUUGUGAGUCUCUUACAAUCUUCAAGUCUUCACUCUUUUAUAUAGAGGCGUGAAAGAGACGUUGUUUGAUUGCCAGCACAUCAAAGAGUCGUUGUUGAAACUUGAUAAUCACCAAUGAUCUGUUACUUGAUUUGGUCAUUGUCCUAAGAGGGAAUAAUUUCAAAUUCAUUCCUUGAAUAUGGAAUAACCAAAGUAGUCAUAACUGUUGUCUUGUACUGCUGCAGCCAUGAUGAGUGGAGUAGUGGAGGUAGUGGUUGUACAAUUGUACUAUGUUUUUUCCUGCGCUAUUCAGUGGAUAAGGAUGAAAUAUUCUAUUCAUAUACUCAUUUAUCACCAAUAAUUCAUGAAUUAUGCACACCCAAGCCAUGAAUUAUCAUCCACAACAUCACUUAGCAACAAUAACAUCAAUUGAACAUGAAUCUUAUCACAAUUCAACAACAACAUAGCAUAAUUUCACAAAUUGAGCAUAUUCUAACAUAUACCACUUUCUCAUACUUUGAACAUGAAAUUUUACUAACAACAAUUCAAUUAUCAACAACUUCUUGCAUUCAAACAUAUCAUCGUAAUUGGAGCACGAAUUCAAACAAUUAUGAACAAUUAAUCAAUUACUCAAUUAAACACUUGUUCAUACAACAAUUGAAAAUUUACACUAAAAAUGAUUAUGAUGAAUUCUAACCCCCUUACCUUAGUUAGAUCAAUUCCCUAGCUCAAGCUUCACUUUAGCUUCUAGGUCCUCUCCAACUCUUGAAUCUUCAAGCUCCUCUUCUCUCUAACCCUUUUCCUCUUUGCUCCCACUUUCUCUCUCCACCUCUCUCAAAAUAUUUAUGUAAAUGAAAGUGUGAAGGAAAUUUCCUCUAAGACAAGGUUUAUAUAAGAUGUCCCCUUAAUGGGCCUAACCCUAAAGCUUAGUGGACUUAACCCACUCCAACUUAAAUCUAAAAUGUUUCUACACUUACAACUGUAAACUACUAUUAACGGUAAAAUACUACCAACGGUCACUUAACGGUAAAAUACUGAUUACUACUCUAGUAACUUAGUAAAAUAACGGUUCUCACCAAACCCUAAAAAUAAUUCUCAUCAAAAUUUACUAAUUUACUCUUACACCUAAAAUGACCAAAAUACCCUUGAGUCCAAAAUGACUAACCCUUCUAACACGAAAACCCAUGAAAAUGCACUCAAUGAUGAUUAAUCACACACAAGCACAAAUAAACACACAAUAAAAAUAAUUAAAAAUAAAUCUAACGAAAAUCGGGCUGUUACAUGAUGCAAAAGAGCAACAAGAAUUCCUAUGAUCUUGUGAUGUUUCUUGUAAAGCUUCUUCUGAGCAGUAGUGUGUUUCUUUCUAUCAAUAGCAGCUCUUUCUUCAUCUAAGGCCAGGUCACCAACACCAUCUUCAAGAACAUCCCAAAGCUCAUCAUAUCGACCCAUAAUGAAACUAUACAUUUUGUUUUCCACCAAGAGAAAGUUUCAGGAUCUCCAUUAAACCGUGGAGCUUUGCUGGAGCCAGAUUUCUUAUCAUCAGAAGUACCAUAGUCAUAUGGAACAACAUUGCUACCAUAACUGAAAACUUCACUAGAUGACAUGUUUUUCUCAGAUCUUUACAUGUUACACUGUUAAGUGCUAAGACAACAAAACCAAGGCUCUUGAUACCUACUGAAGGUGAGAAAAACACAAGAAGGGGGUUGAAUUGUUUUAACUUUUUCUUCUUUAUAAAACUAAGUCCAGUGUUUAGAAUGUCACAGAGUUCAGAAUCUUGAACAAUGUUUAGAGUCUUAUGCAGCGGAUAAUAGAGAGAGAGAGAGAGAGAGAGAGAGAGAGAGAGAGAGAGAGAGAGAGAGAGAGAGAGAGAGAGAGGAUAGAAAGACACAAAACAAUUAUACAGGUUCCUUCCAUAAUCCGGAAGUAGUCUUGUCCCCAUUUCACUUCUAAGGAGAGUUCACUAAAAUAAAUAUCUGAUUACAAUUGCUCAAGCACCAAAGCAAGAGACUUCAAACUACUCAAGCACAAAAGCAAUAGGUCUCCUAUGCUCAAGCACAAACGCAAGAGACUUCCUAUGUUGAAGCACAAAAACAAGAGACUUCUAAAGAGACACAAUUACACAGAAAAUGUUUGAGAUUUGAACACUUGAUAUACAAUCAGUGGUGUUCACAAUACAAAUCAUAUACAAACUCUUUAAUACUCUAGAAUUUCUAAGAUAUGAAAGUUGUUAAGAAAUUCUAAGUGAACUUGAUGUGAAAAAAAAUUCAGCAGAGUUUUGGCACCGGUAAAAUUGUUGUGAGUCUCUUACAAUCUUUAAGUCUUCACUCUUUUAUAUAGAGGCGUGAAAGAGACGUUGUUUGAUUGCCAGCACAUCAAAAGAGUCGUUGUUGAAGCUUGAUAAUCACCAAUGAUCUGUUGCUUGAUUUGGUCAUUGUCCUAAGAGGGAACAAUUUCAAAUUCAUUCCUUGAAUAUAUAAUAACCAGCGUAGUCACAACUGUUGUCUUGUACUACUGCAGACAAGAGGAGUGGAGUAAUGGAGGUAGUGGUUGUACAAUUGUACUAUGUUUUUUUCCUGCGCUAUUCAGUGGAUAAGCAUCCAAUGCCUUUUAAUUCCUCUGAAAUAGCUGUUGUUGCAGGCUUCCAUUCCUUCUGCAAUCAUAUCCAUUCAGAAUAACAACUUUUAACAAACUUUAGCUUCCAGUCUUCAAACUCUGAUCAAUUUUAACUUCUGAUGGUUCUUCAGACUCUCUGAUGACAUCAGCUUCUGGUAGACAACUUCUUAUAGUCUUUAGACGCUCUUUGUCUUUAGACUCCGUCUUGAAUCUUGCAACACAUGCUUCCUUUUUGCAAAUUGCAGUGCUCUCAUUUGUUCUUCCAGGACCAAUACUUGAAGUAAAGACUUGUAACUUUUUGUUUAUGGUCCCGCUCACUUGAACAAAUACUAGCAUAUCCCAUUGACAUUUUUAAUACCUUAUUAUCAUCAAAACUUAAAGGUGGUAAUGUUAAACACAUUUUGUUCCAAUAUGGCUGACUUUUCUCAAUAAAUUGUUUUCUAUAUUUUCUAUAUUAUUUUGAUUAUAAACAAUGGUCGAUGUUUCACCUAUUUAGUACUAUAUUAAAUAGGCACUCUCAUUAUGGAGUAUAAUUUAUGAGUGCUUAUGGAGAAUGGUGAUUAUGGAAACAUCCUUUCUUCAUAUUUCGCAGAUCCCAUUUAAUAAUUAUAUAUUUAUGGGACUUACUUAAUAAUUUCUUUUGAGGUACUGAGUUGAAGAAAAUUUAUAUGGAACCUACUGUUUUUAAUUUUUUUUAUCAAGCAAACAAAAACACUAUAACUUAAUAGGUCUGAUUUGAAUUUCAUUUUAUAGCAAAAAUGGGUUUAAGAAAGUGUAUAUGCACUCCUUAGGCUUUGAUUGCGAGUUUACAGGGAAAGGGAAAAGAAUGCUUGAGAAAAAAGGAAUGAGCAAGUGAAAGAAAUAGAAGAAAAUGGGAGGGGGUUAAUAACUGCCCACUUAAAAUCCCUGAGUUAAUAAGUGUUUUUUGUACUAGUGAGAGGACUUUGAGGGUUAAUUUUUCUUCAUAAUACCAAAUCCUCCUCGUUUGGGAAACAAAAAAAUUGUAUUGGAGGGGUUUGAUUGAAGAUUUUAUAUGAAUUCUUCAAAUUUAAUCUAUGUUGUUAUAUUAUUUUUAAAAUAAAAAAUAUAGUAAUCAUAUGCAUUACUUUGACUUAAUAACAGUUUUGACCCCCUAAGUAUCAGGAAGUUGUGAUUUUGACCCUCUAACAAAAUAAAAUAUAAUUCAGCCCUCUAUCUACUGCCCCUUUUGUAGUUUUGGCCCCCUAAACCAAUUUUGACCAAGUCAUUGCUGACGUGGCCGUCACGUGUGUAAUUAUUAUUUUUAUUUUAUAAUUAAAAAAAAUUACACACGUGGCGGCCACGUCAGGAUUGACUUGGUCAAAAUUGAUCUCGGAGGCCAAAACUGCAAAAGGAGCAGUACUUAGGGGGCUGGAUUGUAUUUUAAUUUGUUAGGGGGUCAAAAUCGCAACUUUCUGAUACUUAGGGGGCCAAAAAUACUAUUAAGCCUAUUACUUUAUCAUUCUCUAAAACACUACUAUUUUAAAUUUUGAAAGAUUUCUCCAUUUCCCCCAUAUUUUCCAUCCCUUAAAGCCUUCCCUUCCGCUCCCUUGCAAACUCGUAAACAAAGCCUAAGGGUGUGUUUGGAAAGAGGGUUUAGUGGGGAAGGAAGGGGAGGGCUUACAUUUCUUUUUUAAUUUACAAAUAUAUAAAAAAAAUUUUAAAAAAUUGAAUAACAACAUGAUAAAUGAUCAUAUAAUACUUCAAAAACACUUAAUUUAUUUUAAAAAGACAUUUUACAUUGUUCGUAACUUAAAAAAUAAAAGUGAGUCUUAUCAUCCCUUCCUCUCCUAAACCCUCAAUCCAAACAUGGUUGUGUUUGGGAUAUACUUUUUCCUUAUUAAUUAAGCCUAAUAUUAUGCUUAAGCAUUUCAUGUUGCUUAAUCAUAUACCUGUGGGUUUGUUUAUUUGUUGUUUCUCAUGAUGUGUUCUUAUAGGUUUGAUACCUAUGGAGAUUGGCAAUCUCAAUCAAAUUCAGGUUCUACAAAUGGGAAAUAACAGCUUGAGUGGACAUGUUCCUUCUAAACUCUUCAACAUUUCAACAUUGGAACAUUUGCAUCUUGAGCUAAAUUCUCUCUCAGGCAUGCUUCCACCCAAUAUGGGACUUGGCCUUCCUAAUCUACAAGAGCUGCACAUGUACAAAAACAAAUUUGUUGGGAAAAUUCCAAAUAGUAUAUCCAAUGCUUCAAACCUCUUCAUAAUUGAUUUGAGUUGGAAUAAAUUUAGUGGAAUUAUACCCAACACUUUUGGAAAUUUAAGAUUCCUCAAAUCACUCAUUAUAGGUGGCAAUCCUAAUUUGACAUUAACAGAUGAUUCUCUUGAAUUCAAUUUCCUCACUUCACUGACAAGUUGCACAUAUCUUACACAUCUUGAAGUAUCAGAGAAUAGUUUACCAUCAAAUCUUCCCAAGUCCAUUGGAAACUUAUCUGUAGAAAACUUUUGGGCAAAUUCUUGUGGAAUUAGUGGAAAUAUUCCACUAGAAAUCGGAAAUAUGAGCAACCUGAUUCGCUUAUCUCUGAGGAACAAUGAUCUAAAUGGACUAAUCCCUACUACAAUUAAAGGUUUACAUAAGCUUCAGUCUUUGAAACUUGACCAUAAUGGACUGCAAGGAUCCAUCAUUAACGAGGUUUGCGAACUUAGGAGUUUAGGUGAGUUGUCCUUAACAAGCAAUAAGCUUUUCGGAGUGUUACCAACAUGCUUGGGAAAUAUGAGUUCUCUUAGAAAGUUGUACAUAGGAUCUAAUAGGUUAACCUCAGAGAUACCUUCCUCCUUUUGGAAUCUCAAAGAUAUUCUAGAGGUGUACUUAUCUUCCAAUGAUUUAACCGGAAAUCUUCCACUUGAGAUCAAGAAUUUGAGAGCUAUUGUAAUAUUAGAUUUAUCAAGAAAUCAAUUUUCAAGCAAUAUUCCUACAACCAUCAGUUUCUUGAAAACUUUAGAAAUUCUCUCCUUGGAAUCUAACAAAUUGAUAGGGACUAUCCCAACUUCAAUUGGUGAAAUGUUAAGCCUCAAUUUCUUGGACUUGUCUCAAAAUUUUAUAACUGGUGUGAUUCCAGAAUCCUUAGUGUCACUUUCUUAUCUUAAGUACAUGAAUUUGUCAUACAAUAGAUUGCAAGGAGAGAUUCCUGAUGGAGGACCUUUCAACAAAUUUACAGCUCAAUCUUUCAUGCAUAAUGAAGCACUUUGUGGAAGUGCUAGGUUAGAAGUGCCUCCAUGUGAUAAACAAAGUAGGAAAAAGUCAAUGAAAAAGAUGUUAUUAAUCAAAAUCUUAUUGCCUAUAAUUGUGAUAGCCAUUUUGGUUGUCCUAUGCAUAAUUCUUCUAAUGCAUAAAAAGAAAAAAGUUGAAAAUCCACUUGAAAUGGGUUUAUCAACUGAUUUAGGGGUUCCAAGAAGGAUUUCAUAUUAUGAACUUGUGCAAGCAACUAAUGGAUUUAGCGAGAGUAACUUACUUGGAAAGGGGGGCUUCGGCUCUGUGUAUCAGGGAAUGCUUUCUACCGGGAAGAUGGUAGCAAUUAAAGUACUUGACUUGAAUAUGGAAGCAACAUCAAGAAGUUUUGACGCAGAAUGCAAUGCAAUGCGCAUUCUUCGACAUCGAAAUCUUGUUGAGGUUAUUACAAGUUGUUCAAAUAAAGAUUUCAAGUCAUUGGUGAUGGAGUUUAUGUCAAAUGGAAGUGUUGAAAAAUGGUUAUACUCGGAUAACUAUUGUUUAGAUUUCUUGCAAAGGUUGAAUAUAAUGAUAGAUGUUGCAUCUGCAUUGGAGUAUCUCCAUCAUGGUUCUUCAAUACCAGUGGUUCAUUGUGAUUUGAAGCCUAGUAAUGUGUUACUAGAUGAAAAUAUGGUUGCACAUGUCAGUGAUUUUGGAAUUUCUAAGCUCUUGGAUGAAGGACAUUCUAAAAUCCAUACUGAGACUUUAGCUACUCUUGGCUAUGUUGCACCAGGUACUAAAUUUAUUCUCUUCUAUGUCAUAUUAGAUCAAAUGAAUAUGAGUUUAGUUUGAUAAACUUACUUGAAAAAAUAAUAGUGAUUUACAUAUUCUAGAAGAGAAUAAACUACUUGUAAAAUACACACACACACUUAGCAAGAAAGAAAAUGUGAUUACUAACUCCUUUCUAAAAAUUUGGUCAUUUUAAUUAUGUUUGAAAUCAAAUCUUUAAUAUUUAGUGAUUAAUGUUGAUGUAUACAGGUCCUGUGAGCUUAGCUCAGUUGGUAGGGACAUUGCAUAUUGUAUACAGGGGCCGGGAUUCAAACCUCAGACACCCCACUUUUCCACGUUUAAAAUGUGUGAGCUCCAGCCACCAGCUACUUGACCAAUUUUUUUUUUUUUAUGUAUACAGAGUAUGGAUCUAAGGGAGUCAUUUCUAUUAAAGGAGAUGUGUACAGUUAUGGAGUAAUGCUAAUGGAAAUCUUCACAGGAAAGAAGCCAACAAAUGAAAUGUUUGUACAAGAAUUAACCUUAAAAACAUGGAUUAGUGAGUCAAUGCCUAAUUCAGUUAUGGAAGUUGUGGAUUACAAUUUAGUCUCACAACAAGGGAAUGAAACUCAUGAAAUUGUAUCACAUGUAUCAUCUGUUUUGGAUUUAGCAUUGAGAUGUUGUGCAGAUUCACCAGAAGCAAGGAUUAGUAUGGCAGAUGUAACUGCAUCACUAAUCAAAAUCAAGAUCUUAUUCAUCUAGUGAACAUGGAUGUCAAUAAAUAAAAUUAUGGGUCACUGGACUAUAAAAUCAUAUAUUAUCUUGUAUUUUGAAACCUCUCAAUGUUCUUGUAUUACUACAUUUAAAAUUCUUAUAACACUUGAGGAUAUAAUUUUAUAUGUAAGUUAUUUAUAUUAACUGUCAAUAACUAGGGUGUAGAUCGCAGACGUCGUGCUCGUCUGUUUGUUUUUCUCAAAUGAAUGUAACGUAUAAAUAAAGUCAAGUACACGUAUGUCCAUCCUGAACUCUUUUUCACAGUAGGUGGGUACCAUCAUCGCCUCUCACAAGUUGGUACAUCACAAAUAAUGUGUCAUUUGAGCACCAUCCUCACCUUUUACAAAAUGACAAUCGAGUACAAUUAUCACUUCUCAAAAGUUAGGUCACUCGUCACAUUGAGAUUCGACACAAGAUCCACGCAUCUAAUAGCAAAAUAUAGAGCCAGGAUUCCCAACUUUCAGCAGCAGAAUCCUGCAUUCAGGCAAUUGGACAAUGUCGGCCGAAAGGUGAUGUUGAUGAAAGGAAAAGAGAUUGCAGUUUCAUUUUAAUUGACAAUAAUGGUCAUACAACAUCAAGUCAGUGUAUGCAUGUGAGAGUAUGAGCGAAUAUGCAAGAGACAAACCCGAUGUAGUUGAAGAGUCUUCGUUUUUGAACUGUCCAACGCAACUCCACUUGCUGCACACCUCCAAUGCACAGAGCAGGUUAAGGUAGAGUGAAUUCUUGCAACCGUUUACUUGUACAAUGUGUCACCGACACAUAUCAAGUUUCAUGCACAUGAAUACAUUACUAUCUUCUAAAACCUCCGGUUUUGAAAUGUUAAAAAUUAAGAAUCCAUGAUUUCUAUACUCAAAAGUCAAAAGGUAUCAUUAGGUUGCCCCAUCUCACAAGUGUUCAUGUCGGUAAAUAAACUCAAGUAAGUCAAUCGGAACAGAUACAAAAUUCACACAUUUAUCUACGGGCUAACCUAGGAAUGGUUGGAGAUGACCCUCUGAGAUAAGACAUGUUUUGGAACAUAACUUAUAAAUAAAAGACUCAGGAACCUCGGCCGCGCUAUUCCCUUCACUUAACCAUUACGGUGCCCUAUUUUCAGUUCUAUCCCUGGGCUCCAAUGUAUUCAAAACACUUCCUUCGGGUAAUUAUUAGUGUCGGAUGCAGCAAUGACUUUUGAGAUGCAGUUUUUCAUAUAAGGAGUUAGAUCAAAAGCUAAGACAACACAAAAUUUAUGAUUUCUUUUAAGACACUCCCAAUUUGUAUAACUGUCAAACAUGUUGCUUACAGAUUCAAUCAUGAUGUCCACCACAAUGCUAUGAACAACAUAAGAUAUUUCAGGAAACAUUUUAAUGCAAAGUUGAUUGUAAAGGCCGUUUUCAAUUACUGCAAAAUAAUUAGAGUGCAUAUUAAUACCGUUUGAAAAAACAAACUAAACCCAAAGAACACCGAGCAAUCCGAUUCAUAUCAACCUUGGAGUGGAAAGAAAGAACCCAGUGAAACCAAAUUUCAGUACAAUAUACUGUUAGAGAAGUUUACAUUUUAGAAGCAAGACAUAAUUACAAUUGACCAAUUUAGUAGAUUGAAGCUUGGACUACUGAUUAAGAAACUAUAUUUAUGGUUUGUAAAAUUUUGACAAGAUUUACAAUUGAAUAGUCAUUUUGAUUAAACUAAGAUUUGAAUGUUUUUUAAAAGAAUCUAAAUCAACCAUUUGAGUCUCAUAAUUGAUGCAUGUAUUCAUCACAUGACCUUCAACAUGUACAAGGCUAAGGAGGUGAUUCAUUGGCAUUGAUUAUAAUAAAUAAAUAAAUAAAUAAAAUAAGCACUUAAUUAUUAGUUAUUACAAUACAAAUAUUUUUGUUCUUGACACUAGACAAUACAAACACUUGAAGAGAGUAAAAACGGUAAUUUCAGGACUCAGGAGCAUGAAGCGCUGAUACAGACACCGAACACGACAGGACACCGGCACGAAGAAAUCGUUAAUGAUUGAAAAUAUAGAACAGAUUGUAUGCAACACAAGUGUUGAAGUGUCAGUAUUAUGUUGGUGUCGAACUCUCUUACACGCCUUCAAUCUGAAGUGUCAGUGCUACACAUAGCUCAUGAAUAAUUGGUACAAGACCCAGGCUCUUGGCUGCUCAGCUGAGAACAUGGCCAAGGACUAACCUGCUUUGAAAAUCCAAAAACAUCAGAGCACUUCCAAGGUGGAGAUCUACCUGAUCCUGUCUCACCAUGAAGGUUGAUAUCAUAGAAACAAAUCUCAGUAAAAGGUGAAUUUCUCAAACCAUGUAUCAAACCAGCUUGCAAUACCUUCACACCCCAAACACUCUUAAUUGUAAUCCCCUUCACAACUGGUAGAGCAUUAGGGUUAAAAUUUUCAUCUGGAUGGUCACCUACAUCACCAGCAAUUUUUAUUCCUUGCCUUGAAUUUUCUAUAUACACAUUAGACACUGUUAUAUUCUUGAUAAGUCCUCCUCUUCCAAUGUUUGUCUUAAUGUGGAUACCAACUCCCAUGUUGAAGAGGUUGAUGUGCUCGGCGAGUACAUUCUGUACUCCGCCUGAUGUUUCACUGCCUACGGCAAUGCCGGCAAAUGGAGACGAUCCGGUUAUACGUCUGAUAGUGAUGUCAUUGCUAGGACGGCCGUAUGAAAUACCGUAUGCAUCCCAUCCACUCUUCACAGCCACAAGAUCAUCUCCUGUUGAUAUGUAUGAGUCCUCUAUGCAGACAUUUGAACUUGAAUCUGCAUAAAUGAAUUAUAUUUUACAGAUGAUUGAUUACAAAUGUUAACUUUAUUUGGAAAACAACUCUUAACUACUUUCUGAAGAGUUUCUUAUAAAAGAUAAUCACAUUUUUUAAUUAAAAUUUUCUUAAAAAUAUUGUUUGUCCUAACUUCUUCUUUUAAGGAGACAAUAAGUUAAAAAUAAGUCAAGCCAAACAGAACGUAAUCUAUAUAGUAAACCAAGGAGCCAAUAUAAAGAUCAUUUAUCUAAGUUUUGGAAUCAACAUUAAUAAGUUUUGAGCUAGAUUUAAGGAAGAAAGUUCUAUCGGUAUUUACCUGGGUCAAUUCCAUCAGUGUUAGGAGAGUCGCGAGGAGCCAAAAUCGUGACAUAUCGAACAACAACAUUGCUGCAAUGAAGGAAAAAUGUUUUGAAUUACAUUUUAGGAAAAGACCUAUAUCCCUAUGAUGCAUUUUUGUUUUUUUUUUAUCAAGAAAAUGAUGUCAAAAUUUUUGAUUCAUGCAUCAAAUUUUUACCUGCAGUAAACUGGAUGUAUAUUCCAGAAGGGAGAAUUCUUGAAAAUAACAUUUGAAAUAAUAAUAUUUCUUGAAUUCAAAAAUUCAACAAGGUUUGGUCUUGUAAAUUGAAGAGUUCUCUGCCUCCACAUGUUCCACCAUACAUCUCCUUGCCCAUCAAUUGUUCCAUUCUCACCUAUGAAAAUAAGAGUGAAGGAGGAGAGAGAUUAGGUUUUAAUUUUUCCUAAACAAAUUAUGGAAAGAAUUAACUUAAUAAUAAAGUGUCAUUCUAUAAUUAAAAGUGAAUAAUAAAAAAAUGAAAACAGAACAUUGAAUCAAUUAUGGCUAUAUAGUAUAGAUCUUUUUCAGCAUGCAAUUUUCUUGUUUUGGUUACACCCAAUAAACAUUUUAGAUUCAUUUUAGUAUAGUUGGGUAUUAAGUACUAAUUUUUUUAUAUGCUAUUAGGCAUAGUUCUAAAUUCCCGCCGUAAAAUUAAGGUUUUGGAGGUCUGGACAACAGUUUCACAACCACUAUUGCGACCGCGUCGGCCACAUUUCCUCACAUGUGACUGCAUCUGUAACUUAGAACCACACUUACUGGUGUGAUAUGAACUAGAAAAUCAAGUGAGUAAUAAUUUAUAUGUACCUACCUGUGAUGAUUACAUCGCGAACUCCAUCGCCGUGGAUAAAACUUAUAUACCUUCCUCCUGGGAGCUCCCUUCCUCUUCCAUAAGAUGGUAAAGGUGCAAUUAAAGGCCAAUUCCUCAACCUCUAAAGAAUGAAGAAAGGAAGAACAUUAAGAAAAGAGUAAGGGAGAAAAAACUUGGCAUUCAUUUGAAAAUUUAUAUAAUGCAUGUUUCUAUUUCUAUAGACAAACAACAAACUAUUCACAAGAAAGAGCAAAGAUAUUUUGAUGAUUUCCAUUGAACUUUGAACAUUCACUUCAGAUUAAGUAUCAACAUUACACUACCAAACAAAGGUCACAACACAUAAUUCCUCCAAUCACAUUUAAAUCCACACAAAAAUUAGGCUUAGAUACUUUUUUAAGAAGAAGCUAAAUUAGCUACCUUGACAUCGGGCAAAAUCGAACCUGAGACUUGAGGAGAAACACACUUCCAGAUCUCAAGCCAAUACUAUCAGGCUAACUCAAGUGGAUUGCUUAGAUACAAUGUUUAUCUCACUAUGUUAACUGAAAGUGUAUUUUAGUCCUCCUAUUCCAAAUAUGGGAUUUUUGUCUAGAGUUUCACAAGUUUUAUGAUUUUUCUCCACAAUUCUAUUUGGGCUUAUUUUUUGUAACAUUGCUAAUUUGAACCAAAAAAUAUGUUACAAUUAUUUGUCUGGUUCAUCAAAUGUACACCUAUAAUUCUGAAGUAAGUUGUUUUUUUUUUUUUGUAAGUUCUAUGGCUACACCGAUUUGUACUUCGCCUUUUCUCUCUUCGCCGGAGACGGCGUCGUCGGGUCCAAAGUCGUUUGCUCAAGCUGUGUCUGCUUCUGGGGAAGAUUUCUUGCCUUCGCCUCCGCCUAACGUCAUCAUCGGUGACACCGUUCGCAUUAGAAUCAAUCAGCGUGAAUAUGAAGCAGAGCUCUCGGAAUGUCUUCGCAACCUCCAUGGCCGUGUCACACUGCAGAAGGGCGAUCCCCCUCUUUCAUCAAAGGCUCUUAAGCAGAAGUUGGAAGGGUUUUGGCCACAUCUGAAGCCUUGGUCCAUCACUCCGCUUGGCAGAGGUUACUUCAAAUUCAACUUCCACUCCAUUGAAGAGAUGAAGAAGGUAUGGGCAUUCGGUGUUGUUCAGUUAAAGCCAGGAAUAUUAAGAUUCUUCUGCUGGUCUAAAGACUUUGAUCCUCAAAACCAGAUUCAGUCACACGCGCAGUUGUGGGUAAGGCUCAUAAAUCUCCCUCAAGAAUAUUGGAGGAAGACCACACUAUUUGAAAUCGCAUCAGGUAUUGGUACCCCCUCACUAUAGAUGAAGCCAUACGAUCCCGUCUUUUUGGGCACUAUGUGCGUAUUCUCAUGGAUGUGGAUAUGUCCAGUAAGCUGUUUGAUUCGGUGGUGGUUGAGAGGGAAGGUUUUGUCUUCCCGGUAGCUGUGGAGUAUGAGCGUAAGCCUUCAUUUUGUUAUAACUGUAAGUUGUUAGGUCACUCUAUUCAGCUUUGCAACCGCAUUAACAAUAUACAACAUCAUGCUGCUCCAAAAAAUCAACAGAAGAAACCUAUUCAGCAAUCUAAUAUGCCCAAUAAGGAUGCCUUAGUCAAUACUACACAACAACCAUUACACUUAGAGUCCCUUCCCUCAUCCUCUCUUAGAGGUUGUUGAGGUAGUGUCUUUUUCUCGUGACAAGGCACAUACUUCUAUUGAAGAAAGGCCCUCAAAGGUUGCGGAUCCGGUUACUCUCUUACGUUGGGCUAAUUCUCCAGUUCUCGCCCCUUUGGCUUUGCCUAGCAGUUCUGUUCUGAGGUUUCCUGUAGAGCCAGGUGAUUGUGCUCAUAUUGCAGCUAUUGAUGCUAGUGUCAAAGUUACUCUUGACAACACCACCUCUCAUCCAUCUAUGCCACAGCCUGUAACUACCUACUAUGAUAGUUUGACAAGUGACAAGCUCCCUUCAAACCAAAAUUUGGUUCAUGCCUCCAAACCCUCUCCAUUCUACUGCAGCCCUUAAGAGUGUGCAAAUUAUCUCCAAAUUCUGGGGGGCUGAAGUUGAGGAAGAGGACAAUGAUGAAGCCAUCACAUCAACCUUUGAGCAGCACUAUCCAAGUCUGUCAGAGAGCACUAAGGCAGAUAAAAAGCAAAAGAAGCAGGUGAACAAAGUGAAGCCUACUAGGUUCAACUCAGCCGGAAUGAGGACCCGUGCUCAAAAGGGUGCCUCCAAAGCUGCCUUGCCAUAUACCGAAUAGUUGGUUCAAAUCUCUGUGAACCUGGGUGUUAAGCUAGUAGCUUCUGCCAUUUCUCUGUUGUUCUUCUUUUAGCAGUUUCAUUGUUAGUUUAUUUCAUUCAGAAUUUGCACAAGCCUUCCUUGUUAUAGAUCUCUGUGAUAUAAUGUUUUGCACCUUCUUUUUGUUUUGAUGUAAGCACUUUUGUUGUUAAGAGUUCUGGCCCUCUCCAGGUCUUUUAUAGUAUUUCUUUGCUUGAUAAAAAAAAAUAGAAUUUACCUUUUUUCAAGGUAAAUAAGUGGGGUGUCCGGGGUUCGAACUCUGACCGCUAUAUAUAACAGUGUAUGUCCCUGUCAACUGAGUUAUGCUCACGGGGACGAUGUAAGUUCUUUCUAGUCCAAAGAAUCUUUUAAAUCAAGUCCACCCUCAUUUUAAAUUCCAAGAGUCGUAUUUACAUGGUACAAUCACUAGCAAAAGAAAGCAAUGUCCAAAUUCAACUUGAUAAUCAAAGAGUACAACAAUAAUGGCCAACAAAAGAAACUGUCUAACAUGGGAAUUGUUAAUGCUGUGAAUACCAUUCACAUGCAACCAUGCAGACCAAGACCCACCACCACUCAUUUUAGUCCUUUCAAGCUCAGGCCCACCAUAGACUUUUUUUUAUAGAGGUUCACCGUAGUUCAUGAAUGAGCUGUUUCCGACAACCCAUUAUCUAUAGUCCUAUUUUUGACCAUACAUUAUUUAAAUGAGCAUAUAUAACACGCAUACCAAUUAACUCAAUUUUUUUUUUUGGUUUCAUACCAAUUAACUCAAUUAAUGAUACAUAACUUAGAGCUUUGCAUUCUUUCCUAUUGUUUUCAAUAUAUUAUUAUCCUGGUUAUCUCUAAAAGAAUAUAAAUUACUUUGAAUUAUGGGUUGUGAAUAGUUUAUAUAAGAUGCGGAAUGAAACUUUAUGCAUAACACCUAUUAUAUAUUAUAAUGGGGUCGAUUUUCCGCAUUUCCAAUACUUCCUCCGUUUCUAAAUAUAAGUAAAAUUGACUAGCUUCAUUUAAUUAAUGGUGUAUGUGAUUCAUAUUAUGGAUCACAUACAUCAUUAAUUGAAUAAAUCUAAAAAGUCAAUUUUGUUUAUAUUUAAAAACGGAGGGAGUACCACUCUAGAUGCACGGAUCUAGAAAAAAUAUCAUAUACCAACCGGACAUUGUUUAAGGAAUUUAUCAUAAAAAAAUUAUCUUAAAAAUAAAUUAUAUUUACGGAAAAAAUGCAAGUUAAAUUAUUGUCAAAGUAAUAAUUACAGUAAUUUUUUAUAAAAAAUUUCUUAUUUUUAUUACUUAAACUUGUUAGCACUCUUCCUAUAAAAGUUACAUCAAAUUUGUGUGGUAAAGAAGCUCCUCGAUCAUUUAUUAAUGCACUAUAAAUAGUGAAUGCUAUUUUUUCAAGCAUCUUUUCAUAGAAUUCCUUACAAAUUUCAACUACGUUAAUUAUUUUUUUAUCAACAUAUCUUUAAUUAUAUUAAAUAUUUUUUCUGCAAUUUGUAAUAAACAUUACUUUCUAUGACCACUAUUAUAAACAAAAAUUCCUUCUUCAGAUUAAUUUAAUAACGGAUAUAUUUUAACUGUAGUUUAUAAACUACGUACGUCAACUAUUUCAUAAAUCUGAAAAAAUAAAUAUUUGUUUAUAAUAAUGAUCACAAGCAUUAGUUAUUCAAUAAAUUAAAAAAUUAAUAUUUUUUCUUCCAACAGAGUCUUAGUAAAACCAAUACUAAUUAAUAUCAUUUUUUGAAAAGGUAGGAGUUGAUUCACAUAAUUUCCGUAACCAAAAACAAAAUUGUGUUUGUUCCAUGUGGUAGGGACCACUUUAGCACAAGAAACACACAAUUGUAAGGUUGAGUUUUGAAAUUAGGUAAGGAUAUCUAGUUUAACAAUAUCGACGUUGUCAAUGAUCUAAGUUUUUAUGAACUCGUAAAAUCACAUGUAUAAUUUUUGAUUCUGUACAUUUUUUAUUGGGCAUCAAAAUUAAACUGAAAAAUUUUAUAUUACGAAGGAAGAGCUUUUUUUUUUUUUGUCAAGUAGCUAGUGGCUAGAGCUCACACAAUAUAUAAUAUGCAAUAUUCCUACCAACUGAGUUAAGCUCUCGGGGAUAGAAAGAGCGUUAAUGCUACUAAAUUAGGAAGAAAAAGGGAUUAAUAAGAAAAUAGCAAUUAACCUGUGUGGCUUUAAUAACAGCACCAGCAGCAAGAUAAAGAGUCAUAUGACUAGUAAGAUUGAAGCUCUCCGUUAAGUACACACCAGGAGGCACAUAAAGGAGCGUGCCACCACGUCUUCUUAAGUGCUGAAUCCUAUAAAUAGCUGCUCUGAAUGCCUUUGAGUUCAGGGUUUUGCCGUCUCCGACACCGCCGAAAUCAGUUAUGGAAAUCGUGUCGGCACGGUGUCGGAACGGCACUAUGCCAGAACAUGUUGUGGAAUAUGAGGCAGAGAUAGAAGAGAAAUGGGAGAAGAAAAUAAGGAAGAGGAUGAAAGUGGAGGGGAUUGAAGAUUUUGAGAGAAGAUGCAUUUUAUUUUGUAGCUAUAGAUGCUAGGUGGAGUGAGUAGUGGUUGUUACUAGUUUUAUUUGAUGAUAAAGUGUUUAUGGAAAUAAAGCGGUGGUUCUUUUAUUUAAAAGAGAGAAAAGAAUCUGUGGCAGAUCUAGCACUGAAAACGAGAAACAAUGUGGCUAAAAAUGAAGAGAGGAUAUUUAACCAGCAUUUAUAAGAAGUUCAAAAUAAAAUUUUUAUGGGUUAAUAGGUAUUACCUUUGUAAUAUAGGUCAUUUUCGAUUUUCAUCCUUGUAAAAUAUUUUGUUUGAAUUUCAUCCUUGUAAUUUGAAGAUUUUUUGGUUUUGAACUUUCAUGGAAAAUUUCACCCCCUCUAAUUUGAGCAAAUUUUGGUUUACCCCCUUAUAAUUUGAGCAAGGUGUUGUCCACUCGAUAUGGAGAGCAAGGUGGUCGGUUGAAGGAGGGGGGCAUGACAUGUUCAGCUUGGUGGAGGGAGAUAAUUAAAAUUCAAAAUGGAGUAGGUGUGGAAGGUGGUAGUUGGUUCGAAGAAAGUAUCUCAAAACGUUUAGGCAAUGGCUUAAAUACUUUCUUUUGGUCGGAUUGUUGGUUAGGGACAGAGUCGUUCAUGGUGAGAUUUCGAAGGUUGUAUGACUUAUCGAUUCAUAAGGACCUGUCAAUGGGAGAGAUGAACAUUUUAGGUUGGGGUGAAAAUGGAGAGGCUUGGAGGUGGAGGCGACGUUUGUUAGCUUGGGAGGAGGAGUUGGUAGUGGAGAUUAGGAAUUUACUUACUAAUGUUACUUUGCAGGAUACUGAAUCAGAUGUUUGGCUUUGGCGGCCCAACAUUGGUGAUGGGUACACUGUUCGUGGUGUGUAUCAAAUGCUCAUGCGGCAGGAGAUACACAAUUAUGACGUUGUUUCGGAUGCUCCGUGGCAUAAGAGUGCUCCUUUGAAAGUCUCUAUUUGCGCGUGGCGUCUUCUCCGCAAUAGAUGGUCAACAAAGGAUAACUUGGUGCGACGAGGUGUUAUUUCUUAUGAUUCUCAAUUUUGUGUUACAGGUUGUGGACAAAAUGAAACAAUAGACCACUUAAUUAUUAAUUGUCCUAUUUUUGGUGCUCUCUGGCAACAAAUUAAAACUUGGAUUGGUGUGUUUUUUGUGGAUCCUCAUCAGGUUUUGGACCAUUAUUAUCAGUUUAUUUAUUCUUCAGGUGGUUAUGCUCCAAGAAGGUCUUUUCUUCAUUUGAUUUGGCUUUGUGGUAUUUGAGUUCUUUGGAAUGAAAGAAAUAAUAGAUUGUUUAUCAGCACAGCUAAAACAACAGAGCAACUUCUUGAGAAGGUUAAGAUUACAUCUCUCAAAUGGUUGAAAGCAAAAAAAUGUGUGCUUUCCUUUUGGUUAUCAUUUGUGGUGGCAGCGUCCCCUUGCUUGUUUAGGGAUUGACUGAUGUAUUAUUCGUUCAUGUCUUUUGUGGUUUGAUUGGAACUAUUUUGUAACCUUGUUUUGUCUCCUUUGGCACUCCUUGUGUUAGGGAACAAAACUCUUUGUUAAUAUAUCUCAUUUUGGCUUGUUUAAAAAAAAAAAAUUGAGCAAAUUUCGGUUUACCCACAUGUUAAUUUGAGCAAAUUUUGGUUUUCUUCGAUUUUGUACAGUCAAAAUUCAUAAAGGUCAAAAACCAAAAAUCUUCAAAUUACAAGGACGAAAUCCUAAAAAAAUAUUUUAGAGGGGGAAAAUCGAAAAUGACCUAUAUUACAGGGGGUAAAACAUUAUUAAUCCAUUUUAUAAUUUGGUAUAUUCAACAUAUUAAAACAUAAAAAAAAAAAAAAAAAAAAAACUUUUUCUCCAUUAAAUUAUUAAUUGUUUCUAUUUUUUGAAUCUUUAACAAGGCAGUUAGCAAGACUCAAUGAGUAAACUCUAUCAUAAUGCAUAAUAUUUUGAUGACGACAGAAGUUUGAGUUACUAUGCUCUAUGUAACAUCGACAUUUUUUAUGGUAGAUGUGUUCGGUGUUUAAGAUGCGCCGACAUUCGAUAUCUAUACGACACUGAUAUAUAUGAUUACAUUCGAUUAAUUAUUUGUUUUUUAAUUAUUACAGACGUCGACGUGUCAUAAUCGCAUGUGGCAUCCUUAUUUGUGUCGAUUCUUCCUAACAAAGGCUCCUUCCUCUAAGAACCCAAGAGUUAACUCCCAAAAAUAAAAAAAUAAAAAAAAAUAAAAAAAUAAAUAAAGGAGUUAGUCAUGACCUUUUUUUUGUUGUAAAAAGCAUGAUAUUUUCACACAAAUAAUUUAGUCAAGUGAGAGGCAGGUAGAACCAAAAUGAGCAACAAAAUUGUCUCUAAAAAAUUUGAACAUUGGAUUCUUCAUCUCGAUUCCAUGUAGUACAUCUCCUUAAAUUGAAAAUGACCUAAACCAUUUUGUUGAAGUGCUUUUGAGAUAAAUAGUAAAAAUGGUGCAACACAAUAAUUUUUCUAGAAAUCACACAUACUAGUAGUCUAGUAUUACUCCCAAAUAAUUAUGUUUUACUUUCAAUACAUCAGUCAUUAAUUAGAUUAAUUUGAUAAAAUUAAUUUUUAUUUUUAGUUAUGACUUUUUUAAGCUACUAUGACAAUCAUAAUUAAAAUUGUCUCUAAAAUGUAUUCGAAAUAUAUUUCAAAAGAGAGUUACAAAUAUUUAAAAGUGUAUUCGAAAUAAUUAAAAUUUGAGACAAAGAGAGUUACCAAUAAAAUGUAUUCGAAAUAUUUAAAAGUGUAUUACAAAUAUUUUUAGUUCUAGUAGAUGAAUCUUAGUCUCACUAUCUCAUAUUAAGUGUUGCAAACAAAUUUAUAUUUCUUGCUUUUGGUUUUCACGAUUGAUGGAGACAUGCCCUUUAUUGUAUGGAUGUCAUGUAAUUUGUUUGGUACUUUAUGUUCAGGUAGUGGCAUCUUUAUUAGGUGUUGUGGUGUUGUAACAUAUAUUAGAUGAUUCAUCACUUUAGCACAUUUUGUGCGGAGUGAAUCACUUUGCUUUUGAGCAAUAUAUCUCAUUUUGAUUUGUUAAAAAAAAAGUUUAUGUUUCUUGUUGGAUAUGACAAGGUAUCUGUUAACUUUUUGAGCCCUUCUAUAAUUCUUGAAAAUCUGCUUUUCUAUACGUUCCAAAUUUUCAUAUUAAAUGUUGUUUUCUUUACUUCUCGACAAUAAAAGCUGGCAAAUUAUUGGAAAGGAUGGCCUAUACUGGGCCUUCAUAAUCUUUACAAACAUCUGCUACAUGCUGUAGAUAAUUGAUUCAUAAUUUUUUGUUGCACAUUCUUUUAACUUAUGUAAUUUUAUUGCAAAUAAUUCAGCCAUUAUUAUUAUUAGGUAUCCUCUUAUCCGAUGAAGUAUUGAGUAUUUUAUGAUUAAUAAUCAUAGUGAUUCAUCUUUUGAUAUUGUCCAGUGUUGAAGUAUGGGAUCCAUUUCAACAUGCUAGUUUUGAGAUGGAAUGCAUUAUUUUCACACUUUUUUGUAGAUGACUGAACUCAUUUGGUGAGGCAUAAGUUAGAAGCCAUAAAUUUGAUUAAAACCCAUCAAAUGUAUUUAAACUGACAGUGCUAUGCGCUUAAACUAAAUCACAUCUUCAUUCCUAAUUUGUUUCAUAAGACAGUAAUUUCUACAUUCAAAAGUUUUCACAUACAAAAGGAACAAGAAAUUAGUUGAACACUUAUUUACACUAAACCCCUUCAAGUUAGACCUAUUCAAGGAUUAAGAUCUAUUUUUAUAGUGGAACUGUUAAUAAGUUCACAGGCUUAAGCUAUGUAACCCAACAAUCCUUGCUUCAAAAGAAAGAAAGAAAAAAACUAACAAUCCUAAGUAUUAAAGCAAGUAUUUAAUAAUUAUGAUAAAAUAAAAUUAAAAUAGCAAACUAUUUACUAUAUAUAUUAUUCAAAUAAACUAGCCAAUUACACCUAAAUAUUUUUUUGAAGAUGUUAAACUAGCUCACCCAAAUUGACAUCGGGGAGCUCUGUUGUCAAAGCGGAAAAGCGGCACGGCGUGGCCACCCCAAAAAUUGACGCGGUGCGGUAUGCGGGCGCGUAGCGGCCGCUAUUUCAUGACGCGGACACAAACUAAAAAUUAUGUUAUUAAUAAAGGACUAAUAAAAUAUGGAAAAAAAAUAUAUUUAGUAUUAGUAUAAAUGAAAAAUUAAAGAUUAUUAAUUGUUUUUAGUAUUAAAUACUAUUAUACUUAAAUACUUUUAAUGUUAAAAUACCUUAAAUAUCAAAAUGCUAUAAAAAAUACUAAUAAACAAUGUACUUCAGAAACAAAUAAUUGUAUAUACUUAUUAAUUUAAAAACUAUAUGUCAUACUAUAUUUUUCUGAUAAAGACAAAAAUAAUAUAUCAUGCCAUAAUUUAAAAACAAUAUACUAUACUAUGUAUUAUUUAUUAUUCCUUUAAAAAAAUACUAUUACUAUUAAUUUAGUAAAACAAAUUAUUAUUAUGAUUAUAAUAUAAGUGUGACUUUUUUAAAUCACAUUAGCAAUUAAUUAUUAAUAUUUAUUGAAGAAUAUUAUGAAAAACAACUCAUACUCCCCCACAGCUGUGUAAAUAUUAGUAAAACUGAAUUAAAAUAUUAGUAAAAUUGAAUUCAAAGCAGUAAAAUUGUGUGUCCCACUUUGUUAGAAGGAAAAUACAGCUGUAUUCCACCACAAAACCAAAACAAGAUCUACCGUUAGAUCUUCCUUCUCUUUCCUCUUCCUUCUCUUUUCUCUUUCUCCUUCCUCUUCCUUCUCCUUCCUCUUCCUCGCCUACAGAUCUAACCGGAAACAACCACCCAAAACUAAAACACAGUCGUUUUGUGCUCCGACCCGGAAAAGCGGGCGAUUUGACCCGCUCCCGCUCCAAGUAAAGGUGGCCGCAAAACCCGCUAUUGACCCACUUUUCCCUAACACGCGAAUCGGUAGCGCUCUGACGCGGUAGGCUGUUUUUGGCCGCUCCGCGCCGCAAUCGCGCCGGGAGCGGCCGCUAUUAACAACAGAGCCGGGGAGAAUCGAACAUGAGACCUUGACGAGGAGCACACUCCAAGGUCCCAAGCCAACCCAAGUGGAUUAUUACACCUAAAUAUUAUUUGAAUCUUAUAAAAUUUGACACUUAAAAACUAAAAUAGGCAUUGACAUAUGAGUCAAUAAAUAAGAGUAACCAAUCCUACCAAUAAUUAUAGGUAUCAUUAUUAACCAAUAAUUAUAGGUAUCUUUAAUAAGAUUGACAAUGUAGUUUAUAAAAGACUAGAGAAAUGUACAAGGCAUCUUUAUUAUGAAAAUAUAUAGGUGGAUGUACAUAGGAAUCUUCAAACCUUAAUGCACAUCUUCCAUUUACAGACAAACUUAACCAAACUAUAGAGGUGCACAACCUCUGCAAAAUAUUCAUGUAUCACCAGUUCUUCACAACAUUAACUAGGGACAUACAACACAAUGUAUGACUGCAUAACAGACAUAUACUUAAGAGACUAAUGCCUAAAUAGUUGCAAUUAGUCGAUCAAUAGUGUGCAGAAGCCAUGGCAAAUCCUACUUCAGAAAAAACAUCGGAUUCUAUCCAUUAGGAGUGGUGACGAAAGAUGAGAUGAUGAUUACAUACGAGAUAUCUGAAGUGGGAUGGUCAAGGAAGCCAUCUCUCCCAUCACCGGCUGAAACAAAUCCAGCUCUCCAUAUCGCUCCAGCACACGCAUCCUGCAAUCUUCAGCUGCCAUCAUUCCGGUGGAGAAGGCACCAUGGACAGAUCCUGGAUAGCUCAUACUUGUUGCUUCCCCUGCGAAGAACAGGUUAUCUACUGGGACUCGUAGCCUCUCGUACAGUUCAUGUGGUUUCCCUACUUGAUCAUAGCUAUAUGAUCCCAGUGAAUUUAUAUCCGAGCCCCACCGAGAUACAAGGUACUGAAUCUGCAUGGUAAAGACAAAUUACAAAUUAAAAUACGUAGGCCAUAAAUUAACUAAAUUAAAGCCUCUUAGCAUACACAGUAAAGGAUCAGCCCAACGAAACGUGAGUUCUAAAGGUAGGUAAGGUUUUCAUAGCAAACAAAUUAUAGAACAGAACUUCAUGUGUGCACUUUUUGUAGUAUCAAUAUGAAUAUGAUUCCGUAGAAUGGUGGCCUGUGUAGAUUAUAGUGAACUGAGCAGAGUGAACUAGAGGCCUACAAUAUAAACUUGUCUAAUCUUAUGUUUGGACUGAUAAUUGAAUUGAGUAUUGAAACAUUAAUUUUUCUUGCACGAUUAAAAAGCGAAAUAAGUAAAAAUAGAGUGGUUACCGGUGAGGAAGCAUCAGGAAGGAUCUUCUUGAGCUGUACAAAAGCAAAGUCAGCAGCUGCUUCAUCAGACAUUUUUUCAAUGUCUUUGGCAAGCCGCCCAGAAGGCAUGUAAACAAGGACAGGGUGACGUGCAGCCUUGUGGAGAUUAAGGAAGUAGCUACAUCCAUAAGAUGUAUCUGCAACUACUCCUAAGAACUCUACAUUAGGCCAAAAUACAUUCUCAAAAUGUAGAAUAAUUUUGUUCUCAAGUCCAACCCCAAGUUCAGCGAUGGCAGCUUCCUUCCAGUCUGGGAGCUUUGGUUCAAAUGAUAUCCUCUUUGCUUUAAGUACACCAAGAGGGACAGCAACAAUAGCCGCAUCAGCAAUAAAUGUUUUACCACUUUCCACGGUCACUUUUACUCCAUUAUAUCUCCGAACAACUUUUGUGACCCUGAAAAGAGGUUAGUUUAAUUAAGCAACAUAACAGGACAUACAAUAUCAAAACAACAAUUCAAAUUUCAAACUAUAUCUACCUGUGUCCUAGACGAAUAUCAAGACCCUUGGCUAGGGUAUUUAUAACAGGCAAGUAGCCCCUGACCAUAAGACCGUGACCACCAGGGAGAAGUACUUCCUGUCAAAAAAUAUUCAGAGGUAUAAGAUCAGAAAGCAAAAUACACUCAAAGAAAAAAUGCUUGUAUUAAUUAAAAAAAUUCUUGCACUAUGCUGUAAUAAGGGUAAAACUAGGUCAACUUAGUUUUAAUAUGUAGUAUUUUCUAAUGCUCAUGGCAGGUCUACGGAAAGGGAAGAACUGUUUUCACUAAACUGAAAACCCUACAGCCAUAAUACUGAUUUCACAGUCAUGCAACAAAAUGACCUGUCAUAAAAGGAUUCUUUUACACCCCUCCCAGCUGGAUUUGUUUGAUUCUACAUGAUGAAAUUUACCCAGGUUUCACUUACUCGUUUCUCGAGAGUUUUACAUGCAUAACAACACAAUGGUCCAAUUUUAUCCCCUAACCUGGUCUCUCUAUGUUUCAACGAGAUGCAUACUCCUAUUUAUAGAUCAGUAAACACAUUUACAUGAUUAUCGGUCAUAGAAAGGCUGCAUGUUGAAGACUCAUGCACCUGGCUAUGAGACGACUUUACAAAUUAUAUCUUUCACUACAGGAGCUACCUGUAUGUAACAUCAAAGAGAGUAAAUCAUUUAGUUUGUAAAUUAAGGACUAGAAGGCGGGGCAGGGGGAACUUAACAGCUAACACAAGAGUAACAUCUUCAAGUUGAUUUCUUUAAAUUACCUGGUCCCAACCAUUCAGUGAAAUUGUAUCAGAAUCAGCAGCAAACCAGCCCUCCAUUCUGCAUAAAUACCACUGAAGUACCUUAUGGGCAAGCCCCUCCAACCUGCAGUCAAGGGUGGAAAUCAUAUUACUUUACUACCGCUUAAAGAAAACAAUCACGGUCUCAGUGAAAUUUAAUUAUAUGCCAAUAAUAACCUUAAUUCUGGAUUCCUUUCAAAAACAAUUGAAAGACCACGAUGUAUGGACAUGUCUUCAUUGAAUUCACUUCUUACUUUAUUCGUCUGCAAUUAACCAAGGACAAAAUUUCACAAUGACAAUAAGUAGAAUCAAACAUUAGAAGAGAUGAUUUGAAAAAAACUAUUUUUACUGUGGAAAUGCAUAGCAGGUUAACCAAAUAACCUUUUUUUAUUACCAAACCAAAAAUGGAGUGCAAAGGCAUCACUAUAAGGUAGAGGAAUCCAACUAUGUUGGCACCCCAAAACCUAACAAUCAUUUGUAGUAAACCAAAUAACAAGACUAAAAAAGAAAAUGACUUACCUCCAGUAAAAUAGUUUCGAAUACUUCACCAACUUUUGUUACCAAUUCCUGGGGAACUUGAUUCCCAUCCAUAUCAUAAAGUGCAUAGCUGGAAUAAGGUAAUGAAUUUCAAUUUAAAAAGAACUAACAUAUACCUUCUACAUUGUAUAAAACUAGAAAAAGGAAGAAAAAAUUUAAAUUUUUAGUUGGUCGCAAAAAACAAUUAAAACGGUUAUCUAUUCUGAAAGUGUCGCAGAAUUUGCAAUCUAAUAUAUAACUUAAGUACAUACCUUUCCAAAUCAUGGUCAUAUAGCACAGAAUUAUCCCCACUGGUACGGUAAAGGGGUAACCCCAGCCUCCCGAUCACGGAAGCAAGUGGAUUCUCCUUGCAAACUCCAUGCAACCUUAAACAGUAAAAGAGUGUGCCUUUUAAUAAGAAAAAAAAUGGAGAAAAAAAAUUGCACAUUCUCAUCAACAUUCAAAUACAUCAUCAGAACAUAAAGAGAAUAAGCUUUACCAUGAUGCUCCCAGGUCAACAGGAAAGCCAAACGAGUAAUCAGUGUGAAUUCGGCCACCAAGUCUUUCCCUAGACUCUAAGAGAACAACCUGACCAAAAAAUUAAAAAACAAAGCACUAUUUAGUCCUUUGACUCUGAAAAUGCAUAUUAAUUGACUACAGGUUACAAAAAUGCUGCUCCAAGUUUCUAAUUAUAUUUCCACUUCAUCAUUGAGGCAAUCAGGUAAAAAGAAAUAUCCUUCAAAAAAAAAAAAAGGUAAAAACAAAUAACUACUUUCAGCUUCCUCAAGAAAAUAAAAGGAAAAGCAGUAGAAAACAUAUACCGAAGCACAAUGCUUCCUCAAGGUAAUAAACCACAGGCUACAAAAAUAUGUAUAUCCAGUUAUUAAAUAAGAAACGACUCAGUAGCACAAUGCUGUGCAUGAUUCCUAAAAAGGAGGGAGAUAGGGGGACGAAGCAGAAAAACAAAACAAAAAAAAUAGCUUCUAUUCAUUUGUUAAGUGUGAAAGUUCAAGCUUCAAACAAGAAGCAUCACAGUAACACAAUAUACCGAGGUAAAUGUUUCUGUUAGUUACAUUGUCGCUUCAUGACUUGCAUUUGGGGCAAGCACGUGAAUUACUGUCGGGUUUAUAAAAAUAAGUACAAGGAAAAUCAGAAAAAUACGAAAUAAAAAGGGAAAUAGCCUAAAUUUAAUUAUGGCAUGUAUUCUUGAAUCCCUUUAAGAGCUAUAGUUUCACUCGACUAAAGUGAAAAGUAACCCCAAAUCUAAACUAGCAAGUAUCACCCAGGGUCUCUUCCCGAAGUACAAAUUUCAAUGCAAACAACAGUAGAUUGAGACAAAGCAGGGAAAAAAAAUCACAAACAUUGAUUUAUCAAAAAAAAUUGACUUGACUAGAAUGCCACUCACAUCAAAUUCUUAGUAACUCUAAACCAGAUUUCCACCAUUUUACAAAUAUAAUUAGAUUUGUUUCAUGGAAGACCUCGAUUAGAAGAUAGAGGGUAAAAAUUCAUACAGACAAUCCCAUUAACGGAUAAUUGCAAUCAUGUAAACAUCCAAAAGCAGUUAAUCAUUGUUUUAUAACAGUAUCAUGCUAACUUUCUAUUUUAACAACGAUUGUCGAUUGUUUGAACUUAAAUCAAAAUAUUGAGCUCAAAUACCUGAAAGGAAGCAUCUUGAAGUGCACGUGCAGCAGCAAUCCCAGCCAUGCCACCACCAAUGACAAUAACAGAUGGUGACCUCUCCUGCACACUGCUAACAUUGCCAUAGCAAAGUGCUACAAACAGAACAAAGCAUACAAGUAAAUACCCAAUUGAUCAACCAGUCUCAUUUUCAAAUCACACACCCCACAUUUCUCAAAGAGCAUAAAAUUAUUGGGGAAAUGUCUAAUCAAAACAAUUCAAUAUCGUUUAAACAUCUUAUUAAUUAUCAGCUAUAAAAUUAUCGUUUUAACUAACAAACUUUUAUCUACACUUUUCAGCAAAAUGAUUGUUUAAGACUAAAAGUUGUGUUCUUAACAUGAUUUCAUCAAAAACCUGUUGUUUUUGAAAAUUUAAUUUAAUUUAAUUAGCACACACUUUUUGACUAAAAGCAACCUUUUCAUUAUUAGAUAAACUUAAAUUAAUAAAAAAAAGUAGAAUUGAACUAAAAAUUCAAAGUAAAACAAUUUAAACGUGUACGUUUUCACUUCUACCAAAAAUUCUUGAAAUUUACGUAAAUCCUACCUAAAUUCCUGAAAUCCAUAUAAAUUUCAACUAAUAAAUACCAAACAAACACAUAAUUUUCUUUUUAAACUGGAAUCAUAAUAAUUAAAAAAAUUAAAUUCAAAAAUAAGUUAAUGAUUUUUUUUUUAGAACAUUUACACAGUAACAGUCAUUUUGAUAUCUGAAUAUACGUAAAUAGUUUUCAUUUUACAUUUCGUUAUUCAAAACUUAUAAUAAUAUCUCUGACAUUAACAUAGUCAUUUUGAGGGGCAAAUAUAACAAUAUCAAUGAUAUUAAAAAAAUAGAUAAAUAAAAUCGAUUCAAAAGUCUACAACAACAACAACCAAACAUUAUCCCACCAAGUGGGGUCGGAAUCGAUUCAAAAGUCUAAAAUUCUAAAUAACUGGACACGUGUAAGUUGUACUAUAUUAUUUUAUUAAGCAAAAAUAGUGAUAGAGAGAUGCAGAAUUCGUGGUAAGUAUUAAAAUCCAAAUAAACAAUUCAUGCACGUGUCACAUGUAACUUAAUAUGGACUACAAAUUUCUUUCAAAUAAAAAAAAUUAAAUAACAGCAAUAUAAUAAUAAUAUAAAAUAACAUAAAACAAAUGUAAAUCAAACCAAGUAACAAUAUAAAAUCAGUUACAGUCAAAAGAAAUUAAAAAAUUAAAUCAGUUCUAUACUAAAAUCCAAUAAAGUGGUUACAAAGUGUAAGUUUUACGUGGCAAUAACUACAUUUUUCAUUUAAUAAUGGUGUAAAAUUAAUUCAAUCCAUCCCCUAAAAAAAUACUAGGAAUUCAAAUAAAAAAUGUAUCUAAUUUUUUUUUUUUGUCAAGUAGCAUAGUGGCUAGAGCUCACACAAUUUAAUUGUGGAGAAACAAUUUAAUUGUGGAGAAGUGGGGUGUCCGGGUUCGAAUCUCAGCCUCUCCACAUAAUAUGCAAUAUCCCUAGCAACUGAGCCAAGCUCAUGGGAUAAAAAUGUAUCUAACUUAAACCUAACAAUAUAUUAUUAACAAUAAUAAAUUAAAAAAUAAAAAACCUGUAAUUCAUUUCAUGCCAUCGCCACACGUAUUAUUAUAAUUAUUUAUAUUUUUUUUUAGGAUAUUUUAUUUUAUAUAAUUAUAUGUAUUAAACACCGACAAGUAAAAAUGAAUUAAUCAAUUAAUAAAUGAUGUAAUAAAUAAAUAAUGUAUAAUUUGUCAAAAAAAAAAAUGUAUAAAUAUAUUAAUGUCAAUUAAUUAAUAUUACGAAACUAAUAAAGCAAACCUCUGGUUAAUUUGGCGUUACUCUUAUUUCCUGACUCCAUAUUGAUUGAGGAGAAAAAUGGAUGAAAAAAACCAACAAACACGUAACAAAGUGAUUGAAAUUCAAAUUUGUUGAUAAAUUCAGCUUCCCGAACCAGUUCAUACAGCUCUAUUUCUCUUCCAAAAUCUUCAACCACUCUCUAAUCGUAGUGGUUUUUCGAACUUCUGAAUCGGAUGCAGAAUCGCGAAUUUGUGAGAUCGGAAGAGGAUUUUGAUGAGUUAGAAAAGUUUCCGAGAAAAAAGGGUAAAGAGAGGAAAAUUCUAGAAGGAUCAAGGAAGAGAUUGCAGAGAGAGAGAGAGAGAGAGAGAUACUGAGAAAUGGUUUGAGUUUGUGAUGUUGGAUAUGAGAGUUUGCGUCACAUUUAUAGAGUUGGUUUGUAACGAACCUGAUUUCAACCAACCAUUAUCAUCACGCUCUUUAGAGCGCGUGGAACGCGCUGUUUACUUUUUUUAUAUUUUGAAACGUGGACAAGGUGUUAUUUAGUUCCUUGGAUAUUUUUUUUUCAAAAGUAGGACCUAAAAAAAUAAUUCUUUUUUUCAAAGAAGUGUUUUUUAUUUUUAUAUGCUAUAUUGAAAUUUUAAAUAUUUAACUAUAAAUAUAUCUUACUUUUCCUUAAAAACUAUAAAUAGAAAUAUGAAUAAAUAAAUAUAUAUCUUUUCCAAGUGCAAAUAGGUAGAACUUAUAUUUAAGGCUUAAUUAAUGAUUUGGUCCCUUAAGUUAUUUGUUGGUUACGUUUUGGUCCCAUAAGUUAUUAACGUUAUGUUUUGGUCCCUUAACUCAUACUCUGUUAGCCAAAUAAAUUAUUUCCGUCAACUUUUGUCAUGAAAUGUUAAAAUUCAUCACAUUCAUCAUCAAACUCAUAAAACUCACCAUCUUCAUCAACACCCUUCAUGAUCUUCAUCAACAACCCAGAAAACUCAUUAUCUUCAUCAUCUCCUUCUGCUCUCAAUGACCCCAAAAUCCCCAAAUUAUUUUUUCAUAUUUAAACUAAUUUCAAUACCCAUGAACUUAUAUCUUAAUCUCUUCUUUCCAAUCCCUAUUAUUAUUAAAAAAAAAAAAAAUCAAUACCUUUCACAGAAUCAAGUAAUUUGUUAUUCUCAAUGUUUUGUUCUCUCUCGCUUUGAAUCAUCACCAACAAAUUCCUCUCAUAAAAUUGUUCCAAAUCCCUCUCAUCAAAACUCAAAAUUGUGCCAUGCUCUUGCUGGAAUCAUUGAUUUGAAGUCUUUUCUUUUUUGUAAAUUUAAUUUUGGGGUUUGGUAAUUGAAUUCUGGGUUUGUUACAAGUUUUGAAAUUGAUUAUAUUUUUUGAGAUAUUGGGUUUUGAUUUACUAAAAUAUAAGAACCUGGGUUUGAUAACUAGUAGCGGAGCUAGAAAAAAUGUUAGGGUGGACCACUAAAAUUAACUAUUGAAAAAUUGUUUAAAGUCUAGCAAAUUAGACCUAUAAUUGAAUUAUUUAAAUUUUUCGGGUGGGCCACUACACCAAUUUGCGGGAAUUUGGAUCAAUCGAAACCUAAAACCGACAUAAAAUUGUAUAAAAUCUAGCAAAAUAGACCUAUAAUUGAAUUAUUUAAAUUUUUGGGUGGGCCACUACACCACUUUGCUGGAAUUUGGAUCAACCAAAACAUAAAACCGACAUAAAAUCUCGCAAAAUAGACCUAUAAUCGUUGAAUUUUUUAUUUUUCCGGGUGGGCCGUGGCCCACCCCAGCCCAUGAAGGGCUCUGCCACUGCUUCCAUGAAUACAUGAGUAGCAAGGAAAUUCAUAGAUCUGGUGAUGUGCAAGCAGUUUUCCCAUCUAUUAAGCAGUCUCCAAGGAACAAUGGAUAAAUUCUUAAUAGCAUUAAUAACCAAAGUAGAAUCACACUGUAACACCCCGUUUUCCCAACAUAAAAAUUUCUUAACAUAAAUCAGAGUAAACAUCUCAAAACAGGAUAUCACAUUUCACAUAAUCUAAAAACAGUUAAAUAACGAUUUAACUUCCAACAAAAUAUCUCAGUCAUCGCAGCAGAGUUAAUUUCAAAAAUCAUAAAUUGUCUUGGCACGUAGGCCCCAUCAUAAUAUCUCAAAUAAACAUAAUAAAAUAUCAUAAAUGAACACGUAAAGGAAAUGAAGCAUGCAUAUCAAAAACCCCAUCUCGUUACGUAUCAGAGCAACCUAGGACUCAGUGAGGCAAAACAACUCACGACAGCAAAACAGCAACCUACGCUCGAUCACCUGCAAGUUACUCAUACGAAGAGCAACGUUUCCAAGCAGAAGGGGUGAGAUUUCACAAAACAAUAAUAUUAAUCAAUAUAAUUAAACAAUCAUAAUUAACAUCAUAAAUCUUCAACAUAAACAUCUCAUAUCAUCAUAGCAUCAUAACAUCAUUCAUCAUUGACUCGACUAUGCGACUAUGCAACUUAGACCUCUUAUAUGCAAGUGGUACCAAUUCAGGGCAUGAGCCCCCAACAUUAUUUUGAGCUAAUGCUCCAUCGUGGUUAGUACAAAGCUCCAUCGUUAUUUUGAGCUAAUGUUCCAUCUUACAAUGACUCAUGCAACUUGGUUAAAUAACAAUAGUAGCAUAAGCAGUUCACAACAACAUUAUGACAUCAUAUAGGGAUAUCAAAUAAAAGCAAGCAUCAACUCAAUCAUUCAUUCAUUAACAUCUCAAGUAAUAAAAUUAAUCAUUAAAUCACAUUAUAAUCAACUUAACAAUUCAUAAAAGCUUCACAGAUUGCAGUUAACAUCUUGUAUAGGUCACAUUACUACCUAAGGGUCCAUCCCUAAUCAAUUCAAGCAACACAGAUCAUGACAUUCUCACUUGCACUCAGUUCUAGAAGUGCUCGCGAGGCGAGAGCAUCUGCUCGCCAUGGCGAGUACAAGCCAGANNNNNNNNNNNNNNNNNNNNNNNNNNNNNNNNNNNNNNNNNNNNNNNNNNNNNNNNNNNNNNNNNNNNNNNNNNNNNNNNNNNNNNNNNNNNNNNNNNNNUUUUGCAACAAUGCAGCCAAUACAAAUACCCAACACUAAUGAUCAUGGAUAGUUUAACACAAUUAAGGAUGGACUUGUUUCAAUUGUAAAAAAUAUGUUUGAAAACAAAAGGUUUUAGAACAUUGAGAAGAAAUUCUCAAACGAGAUUGUCAAGAGCCUUCCUCAUGGUAAUCUUAAGAGCUAAGUUUCCUCUAAGUAUUUUCUUGUCAAGAAAAUUUAUUUCCUCUAAAAUGAGUUUGUUAUUUGUAUAUUUUAUUUUAAUAUAUAUAUUGGUAGAAUUUAAUCUCAUCUUUUGUUUCAGAUAAACUUUUUACAAAUAGGAAUUGCCAUCCUAAUUUCCUUUAUAAAUGAUUUAUUCUUAAGUUUCAACUGUCUCCUCUCAAGUUUUGAAGUUAUUUUUUAAUCACUAGUUUGCUAUUUAUAAAUGAUAUAUUCCAUGUAAUGCCUUUGCACUCUAAUUUUUUCAAAAAUAUAAAAAUACUUGUGGUUUAUCUUCACCUAUCAUGAAAGGUUAUAAUAUAAUGAGAAUUUAGUAAAAAAACAGAAGAAAUUCUUAUGAUUGUUACAUUUUAUGUGACCUUAUUACUAUGUGUUGCUAAAUGGAUAGACACAACACAUUGAUCUACUGAAGAGACAAUUAAUGUAAACAAACAACAACUCCAAAAAUACUAAAAUCUAUUUAAUAGAGUAAGGAGACGAUUAGCUUUUUAAAAUAUAAAGUGAUAAAAAAAAAAAACUAUUUGGUACAUGCAAAGGGUGGGGAGGAGAAAUAUGGUUGAAAUUGUCAAGUUUACUUAUGUUAUGAUUAUCCUUAUUUCCUUAUUUCUUUUUUCAACGAACGUUGACGGUAAGCCAAUUUUUAUCCAUUUUCAAAUUUAAUUCUUCACUUUUUUAGCUUAAUUUCAGUUUUGGCCUCCAAUGUUUCAGAAGUUUGCGAUUUUGGCAUCGUAUAAAAACAAUAACAAUUUUGUCCUUUAUGUUUAGCCCCUUUUGCAAAAGUGGCCCAUUCCUUUCAUUUUGAUCAAGUCAAUGCUUAUGUGGACAAAUUCUUAGAUGACUAGGACGCCAUGUAUGUAUUUUUUUAUUUUAAAAUUAAAAGAAAAUCCAACUCAUCAAUGAUUAAAAAGAUAAUAAUAAUUAAAAAAACUCCUUCUUUCUCUUCUCUCUCCUCUCCUCUCUCAUAUCUCUUCUUCUUUCUCUUUGAUCUCCAUUAGAAAAUGAAGAACCGCAAUAAUAAUCAAAAAUAAGUAACUAUUUUCAUGGAUGAACAACUCCUCAACCGCAACAUUAACAUCAACAACAAUCCUAUAUUUUCGAGUUUUAAAAAGGGUUGAGAAUAGAUUCUCGAAUUUGGGUAAAAGAAAAACUCACAUUCCAUUAAUUUUGAAUCUGAAUGAACAUGGGAAUGCAAGUUUAAAUGAAUUAGGAAAUGCGAUACUGAAUAUGAUUCACCAAUCUGGGUUAAUAAAUAAGAAAAAGAAAAAGAUGUUGAUUUUAGGUUCUUCAAUAAGAUGAAGAAUACCAAUAUUGGUGUGUUUUUUCACUGUUUUCAGGUUCAUGUUUAUGGAAUUUUGUUUGUAUAUAUUGUGAGGCGCUAGCCUAAUGCCAUGGUAUGUUUUGUGCUGAUUAUGAAAAAAAAUGAAGAAAUUUUUGUUUUAGAAAUUCUGGAUAUUAGCCACGGUUGAACCGUGGCUAUAUGUGGUUUGACUAGGGGCUAAAGUACAGUAUACAAUGUUCUUGUUCUUUAAUUUCCAACUGUUAAAAAUGGGCUUGAUGAUGAAAUUGAAGCAAAAAUGUAUUAUUGCUAUUCUCCAUAUUUUUUUCUUAAUUUGAGCAAAAUUUAAGGAAAAUAGUUAGCUCAUGCUUUUAUGUGUGAUGAUUUUUGUUUUUUAAUUUGUGAUGAUUGAUUGAUUGUUGAUGUUCUUAAUUUUUAAUGGAGAGAGAAGAGAAAGAAGAAGAGAGAAGAAGAGAUCUAAGAGAGGAGAGGAGAGGAGAGAUAAGAUAAAUGAGUUUUUGUUUAUUUUUGUUUUAAUCAUUGAUGAGUUGGAUUUUCUUUUAAUUUUAAAAUAAAAUAAUCACACAUGACGUCCCUGUCAUCUAAGAAUAUGUCCACAUAAUCAUUGACUUGGUAAAAUUCAAAGGAAGAUACCACUUUUGCAAAAUGGGCUAUACAUAGAGGGCAAAAUUGUUUUUUUUUAUAGGAAGCCAAAUCAAGAUUGUAAAGUAUUUAGGGCCAAAACUACAAUUAAGCAUACUUUUUUAUAGUAUUUAAUUCUUUACUUUAUAAAGAACAUUUCAUCCCAUUUUAGUUAUAAUUUUAUUUUUUUUCAUUUCAUUCCAGCGUUGCGUCUUAGAUGUGUUCAUGUUUCUAAGUGUCCAAAAAUGUAUUGCAAUAGGGGUUUUGAACUAGGUUGUGUACAAAAAUAUUGUAAAUGUGUUAGAAUCACUUAAAUAAUAGAUUUUGUCCCCAUAUAUGUAUUUAGUUUCAGACGCCAGGAGAAUACACAAACGCCAUGCUCAAACUUUUCACGAGUUGUGAUUUGAUUAUUGUGUUGGAACCUAAUAAUUUGAAUUUCUUUCCCUUUAUAAGUUCAAAAACUUUGUAGUUAUGAAUUUGUACUAUAAGAGAUGGUAAUUAAAUAAAAUAAUCUAGUAAUUAAUAUUAUUUAGAUUGUUCCACUUUGAUGUAAGUUCAUGCUCUUGGUUUAUCUGAAAAAGUUAUUAUUUAAUUACAUUAUCUCCUGCUCUAUUAAUUUUAGAGAUAUCGCCACGCCCUUCAAUUGAGGAAUAUCACUUUGAUUUCAAAUCCUAUUGCCUAUCAGAAUACAUUUAAUUUGACUCUGAAAAUCAAGAGAUAUUUUGACUCCAAGAGUAAAUGUAAUAUCUUACUCUAAAUCUUGACCUUUAAUUCCAAUUUUGGUUAAUUCCAAUUUUGAUUAAUGACUUAGAUUAAUUGAUAUGUUAGACUUUAAUUCCAUUUUCUAUUGUAGUCAUCAACACUUAUCAUCACAAAACAAUAAAUGUCUUUUAAUUGAUUGAUUUUUUUUCUUCUUCCAUUGCUUUUUUUUUUUGUUCCACGCUAAAAGAAUUUUUGAGAGUUAACUUAAAGUUCUUUCCUUUAAAAAUUUUAAGAUUCACUCAUAUUUUUUUUUCACGCUAAAAGAAUUUUUUAUCCUACCAUUGAUUUUUUUCUUCUCCCUUUACUUUUUUUUACGCUAAAAAAAUUGCAUAUAUAUAUUUUUUUUAAAUAAUAGCAUAUUUAUUCUUCUCCCGUUACUAUUUUUUAUAGGACAUAUUUUUUUUUGGUUUCUUCAUUAUAAUCCUGAUCUUUUCUUAUAUUUUUUUGUAAACACAUAUUUUUAUACUAAUCUGUCACGGAAAAAAAAAGACGAUAGAGGAAGUAACCCUGGUCUUUUCGUAUAUCUAAUUCAUUUACAAUAAUUGCAUAAAAAAUAAAUAAAUUUGUCUAUUUUCUUAUAUAAAUAACGACAAAUUAAAAUAAUCAUCUUCAUUGUAGUUAGUUUUUGUUGUCAUGGACAUACAUAGAUGAUGAUGUUAUUUGAGUAAGAAAAUGGAAGAAGAAAAAAAAUCAAACAAUUAAAAGACAUUAAUUGUUUUGUUAUUUUGUGGUGAUAAGUGUUGACUAUAAUAGAAAAUAGAAUUAAAGCCUACCAUAUCAAUUAAUCUAAGUCAUUAACCAAAAUUGGAAUUAAAGGUCAAGAUUUGGAGUAAGAUAUUACACUUACUCUUGGAGUCAAUAUAUAUAUAUAUUGUGAUCAUCUUUAUAUUACUUCUCUAAUCGAUACAAAUUGUAACCCAGAUCUAGCAGAUAUUUCGAUUUCAGCUAAUGAUAAUGCUAUAGCUUCAAUCCAAUUAAUUCUUAACAAAAUAGUUUUUGCAAUUUGUGAGGGAUGUUUUAGUUAUAUACGAAAUUUUUUAUUAAUAAUAAGAUAAAUAAAUUUUUAGAUUUGGUUGAGCGGUCAUAGAUUUAUGGAAUCGGUUAUUAUAGCAGUACCCCAUGAUAUAUAUAUAUAUAUAUAUAUAUAUAUAUAUAUAUAUAUAUAUAUAUAUAUCAUGAUAUUUUUGCACUUGCGAUUUUUCGCACAAUUCAAUUUAUAUUUCUCUUACAUUUUAUUUAUUUUUUGACAACUUUAGAAGCUUUGUCCACUUUUAAACAUUAAGGAAAACUAGAAAACCCAAAAUUAUAAUAAUCUACUGUAAUAAAUGCGAAAGUCCUACAUUAAUUGUUUAUUUUGGUAUAGCAUAUUUUAUCUCUAUCUUUAUUAUCUAAUUUUCGUUAACAUUGCAACCCUAACUGCAAACCUUAAACCUACUUAGUUUGGGCGCCAAUGCAUAGUGAUCGUACCUGAUCAGAAGUUGACUAUCGGUGCUUUAAAUGCGGAGGUUUGAAUGGUGGUAGAAUGCGUCAAGAGUGCUUCUUGGAACUGCAAGGGGGGGGGUGUACCUGCAGGCGCUCCGACACUCAAGUCAGUAGAGAUCAGAGAGUGAGGGUUUUGAGGAAGAGAUAGAUUCUGCUUUGGGGACUGUUAAGAGCCCUCUAUAUAUAGAGGUGGAGGGCUGCAGAGCCAUUGUAAUGGCACAGAUCGGUCUGGCGGUUACGAAAUCGUGGGAGGUGUAACCAGUAGAGAAAUAAUUGCGGGAACGUGCAAAGAGACGUUGCGGCUCGUUUGAACCGGUCCUUCUUGCUCCGUUCACCCCCCUCACGGAGAGGGGGUAUGUCGCAAGUAAGUUUUCCAAACGUGGUGUUUGGGUAUGGGAUUGUAUUGGGCCUAAGUAAAUGGGUCUAAAGUUCUUUUGAUCGUAGAUGGCGCAGAAGGGGAUUAACUUCGUUAUUUAGCGGGUGAAUAGGAAGGGAAUUUGUGCUCAUGUUUCGAAGCUUUCUUGGCUUUCCUAGAUCGAGACUGUUGGUUAUGUCGGAGUUGCCUUGCAAGUUCUCCACUGGAGGAAGGGUCGAGCUGAGAAGACGUGUGAGAACACCUUGAAUGUCGGGGACCGUUUGUCUUGGGAAGAUACGUUGCCAUGCGGAUAGGGCGGGCGUGCGUAGAGACGCGCUCGCCCAUGUCCUUAGCAUAUCUGUUUUCUAGCCAUACAAGUUCGGCAGUUGAGUGAUUUAUGUUCGGCAUAGGGAUGCUCGUUUAUCUCUGGUUAGAUGGAAAGAUUCCCCCGUCAGGAAGUUUGGUCAAUUGUCCUUCUGCAAUAAAUGCCCACGUCUCGAGGGAAAGACUGAGGAGACAUGACCUUUGGUUUCUAAGUGACACGUGCAAAGGUUACUAUGGUACUUGAGUACCUACUUCCUGAAGAGUGUUCUUGGUUUGUGUUUCCAAGGUGUCAUCAGAACUGUUGAUUUAAUCUUGACAUUUGAUGAACUACCACCAUUAACCAGAGCCCUUGGGUGGGUGGUUGGAUUUGAUCUAGAUCGUGGGUUUGCCACUUGAAUGGAGAGUUGCAUGGGAAGGAUUGCAUCGGAUUUUAACUGCAUGACUCUGAAAGGUCUGUGAAGCGGGUAUAAAUAGUUUCAAACGCUUGUUUAGAACACUUUUAACACUUCACAUUUUUAGAAAUUCAGAAAAUUUCUAAGGGUUCUUUCAGAGACGAAGCAGUUAUGUUCCUUCAACUUCUCGCUUCAAGCCCAAUUCUUCUUCUAUCGUAACAGGUAACGCUCCUAUAACACCUUUUCCCUUUGUUUUCAUGCUUGGCUUAUGUAGUUUCUUGUUUAAGAAACUGUAGAAAUGCAUGUUUUUAGGGUAGAAGUUAUUUCAAAGCGGUGGUUUCUGCCGUUUGCUAUGGUGGUUCCCACUACAUGUAAAGAGUCUUAGGAGUUUUGCUGUUUGUUUUUUGUAUUUCGCUUGCAAGGAAACAUCGUGAGGGUGGUGACCCUUUCGCAUUUUUGCUCUGAUUUUAGCGGUGAUGCUUGAUCCCUUCCUCGUCGUGGUCGACCUAAUGGGUGAAGGAAGGGUGGAUCUGAAUGUUAGAUUCACUUUUUCCUUGCUCUUCCAGGUUUUCUAUGGCGAACGAGGAAGUUUCCGCGCCUGCCUCUUCUUGGCUGGGGGAGGAACCCCUGGAGACGGAGUCGUCGUUUGCUAUAGGUGGAACAGGAGAGAUCCCUUUUACCUCCGUUGGUAGAUUCGAGGAUCGGGAAGUUGUACUUCCGAGCACAUUUGAUCGAGCAUGUUCGGAGUACGAGAACCAUAUCUUUCCCAUGUAUGAAGUGGUUUUCAAAGACAUGGGUUUUCAGCUUCCCUUCUCUGAUUUUCAGAGGGAGCUGCUCCGUUGGACCAAGUUGUCGCCUUCUCAGAUCCAUCCCAAUUCUUAUGCUUUUAUGAGGGCAUUUGAAUUCGUGUGCCAGUAUCUGAAAAUUCCCCUCUUCAAGAACGUUUUCUUCACCAUUUUUACCGUGCAACGAGGUGCGAACUGGGUUUCUUUCGGUCAGACCCAAAAGAUGUUUGACAUAUUUGCGGGGAAAGUCUGGAGUUUCAAAGAACAUUUCUUUCUGGUAAGACCGAGAAGUGAAACGACUUUGAAUACUCUUUUGGAGGCGACGUAGGAAGGAGUCCAGGACCGCCGUACCCUCUUCCCCCUAUGCUUGAAUUUCUAGUUUGAUGGAGGAGUAGAUAGAUGCUCGCCAAAAACUUUGGGCGUUUGUUCAGUCUUUCUCGUGGAAGGUCAAAACUGACAAACGGGGGAACCAAAUGAUGAAUGCGGACGUGACACCAGUUAUAGAGCCCCGCUUCAUCAAUACCCAUGAGUUAGUGGUGUCUCAGGACCCAAAUGAUUGCCUUGGUAGUUGCACUAUUUUUUCGUACCUUUUAGUUUGUUUAUGUGUAUAAUCGUUCAUGUUUGACUAAUUUUUUUUUCUGUUUUUUGUGUUUGCCGAAAAAAUGAAAGAUCUACACGCGCCCGUGAACGAGACGAGAAAGAAAGUUGCCGCCAAGAACCGGUGCACGAAUGUCCAGUCCGUGAGAAACCUUAUAGCUGGUUCUGGUCCGGGCUCAACCUCUAGUCUAGUGGUGGACCUGGGAGGAGUGAUUGUUCUUAGGAUAAGGCGCAGGAACCUGCGAAGAGAAGGAAAGUGGAGACACCUUCAAAAGAGCCAACCACGCCUAUCAGGGUUGUUCCUCUUCGUUCUGAAAGUGGGGAUUUCCUUCAGCUCCCCAAAGUAUGGUCCGAGCCUGAUCAUUGUGUCCCUCAAUCGACCCUUUUCAUGGAUGACCCUGAGCUACGGGCUAUUCAUGACCUUGGUCCUGCUGGCCGGAGCAAGGCAAUAACAGAAUGAGUUAUUGCUACUAUGAAGGCUCUGGAGGUCGCUACGGUCUUGAAUAACGAUUCUCUUGAGGGCAAAAUUCGGGAGAAUGCGCUGGCCAAGGAGAAGGAUGCUCUGGCUACUAAAGUUUCCCAACUUGAAGGUGAUACUGCUGCUGCAAGGACAGUUUCUGAGGAGCGUGACGAUAUGUUGCUGUUAUAGAAAAGCAAUUGGCGGAUGCACGAACGGCCCUUGAGCAGACGGCCGAGUCUUCUAGGAGGCUGGACCAAGAUAAGUUGGCCUUGGAGGAGUCUCUAAAGAAGGCGGACCUCCCAGGGGAGGAUGAGACGGAUGACAUAGCUGUCCUCAGGCGUGCUGACCUGGUUGAAAGGGUUAGCUUGCUGGAAGGAAGUUGGUGGAUGCCGUCAAGCUCGAUUUUGAUUACGCAGUGGCUCAGUUGAAGGUGGUAAACCCCGACAUUGACUUGUGUGUCGAGUGGAUUCACCAUCUUAGUGAUGUUGAAGAUUGUGUGAUUAAACCUCCCCUUGAUUUUGAGGAAAAUAUAAGGCAUGUUGAUGACGCCCAGGCCGAUGAGGCCUUGUAAUUAAUCUCUUCUUUAACAACCUCUGUUUGUAACUGGCCUUUGAGCUGAUGAUAUUGUGCGCCCUUCGUGGUUUUAGCACCUUUAACUUUAUGUUUGCUGUUUUUGGUUCUCAUCACACUUUGCUGAAAAAUGUUUGUUUUAUUUUCAAGUAUGACGUUCGAAUCGAGUGCUCGUUGUGUGAGGCUUUUUUUAUACUGUUAUAAAAGUAUUUGAGAGCGAACUAUUAAUCUUCUAUGUUUAAGAAGUAACAAUCCAUAUGCUCUUAUUUCUUUGUUUUUUGGUGCUUGUUUUGUUAAGUUAAGCGACCUUUGAAACAGAGAUGAGUGGCGUUGUAAUCUACCCCCCGACAGUCGUUAUUUUGAUGAAAUAAAACAAGGACUGGAUAAUUUUUCAUGUUCGCCGACGACUUGGUACUUUAACUCAUUGUUUUGAAUUAAAGUUUAGCCUUUCUUUCCCAAGUAUCGUUGCUCGGUCGGAACGUAUACCUUCUGUGUUGUUUGCAAAGGGAAAUUCGGGCUUGACAGUUCUAACUUUUUGCGGAGUCUUUGUUAGAAGCAUUUCACAUCCAAGAGAUUAUUUAUCUAAAUGUGUGUCCAAAGUUUUUUUUUUGGACAGAGAACAAUGGAUGAACGAAAAAACCAAUUUAAGUUCAACGCACGGAGACGUGAAUCACCCAUCGCGAGCUGGGGUUCUACCUGACAUGCUGAGCAGUGAUGUCGCAGUUGGUAGCGAGCAUACUGAGGAAUACCUGUAUUUGUUGUGUACAUUUCACUUAUCCUUUAUUUUUUCGAUUUGGAGUGGCACAACUUUCCUCCUCCGUUGUACUUGUUCGUUAUUGGAGAGCAUGACUUUCGUUGUAUUGAACUAAGUAUAUAGACUAGAGUUUAUUGUCUAUUUUUUUCAUCUAAUUGUAAUACCUUUUGAGUUUUUCGGUAUUCCAAGUCCUUAGAAUUGUGCCUUUGUUGAGGUCUUCGAGUGCGUAGGCUCCUGUCCCGAUUUUCAUUCAAACUUUAUAGGGUCCCUCCCAGUUGGCAGCGAGUUUUCCCUCUUCAUAGUCUUUUUGAUUUCGCCGGAGGACGAGAUCGCCAACUUCGAAUUCUCGGUUUACGACCUUCUUGCCGUGGCUAGCGGCUAUCUUCUGUUUUAGCGAUGUUUCUCACAAAGCUGCUUCAUUUCUGACUUCGUCAACCUCUUCACCUAAGUUAGUCGAGUUGUCUAGGAAAUCAGUGUCGGCGUUGGUUCUCCAAAUGAGUUCAGUUAGCUCAAUGGGAACGACCGCUUCUGUCCCAUACGUAAGUUGAAAAGGUCAAUGAGAAACUAGAGAUGUCAGUUCGGCAGGAGGUGCGAGGUUCAUGUCUCCGUGUCGUUGACCUUUGUCACACAGGUUGACAUAAUCUUUGGCAUAUUUCAACAUGGUGGGCCAAAAGUAUCCUGCUCGUAGGACCUUUUUGGCGAGAGCUUUCGCACCAAGAUGUUGUCUGCAUAUGCCAUUGUGUACGUCGGCAAGUACUUCUUGGGUCUCGUUAGGUCCCAAACACUUGAUAAGUGGUGUGAUGAAACCUUUUUUGUAUAUCAUUCCUCCCACUAAAGUGAAUGAGAAGGCCCUUCCCUUCAGCUUCGUUCUUUCAUGGGGAUCAGUUGGAGUUCCCCGUUAGUUAUUUAGCGUGUAAUGGGUCCUCUCCAGUCUUCCAUCCCAAUAACUGCGUUGACUUCGUGAAGUUGAGCUUUCUACCUCUUAAUGCUAGGUUUGUUGAGGACUUCUUGAAUCACCGUUUUGUUUCCAUUUGCAGUCCGUAUGCUAGCGAGUUUUGAGAGAAUGUCUGCUCGGGUAUUUAGUUCGCGGGGAACAUGAGUUAUCUCUACAAUUUCGAAUUCUUUCAUUCUCUUGAGUACUAGCUAGACGUACUGUUGUAGAUGCUCUUCUCGGACCAGAAAAUCGCGAGUCACCUGCGAAGCCACUAAUUGAGAAUCGGUAAAGAUUUUUACCUUUUUGGUUCCUAGAUCCUGGGCGAUCCGCAGGCCGGCCAAGAAGGCUUCGUACUCUGCAGUGUUGUUAGUUACAGGAAAAGAUAAAAUAAGGGAAAUUCAACGACAAUACCUUCAUUUUUUUCUACAAUUACCCCUGCUCCGCUUCCUUUAGAAUUGGAUGAUCCGUCUACGAAGAUGAUCCAUUCUUUUGUGUUCUGUUACGUGGGGAAGGUCAUUUCAGCAAGGAAGUCAGCGAACACUUGUGCCUUCAAUGCCUUUCUGAAUUCGUAAUGUAUGUCGAAGUCGGAUAGCUUAAGUGACCAUUUCAUCAUCAUUCCGGCGGCGUCAGGGCGACCUAAGAUCUGUUUGAUGGGCUGAUCGGUUCGGACUAUUACUGUAUGAGCUAAGAAGUACUGCCUCAGUAUUCGUGUUGUCGUGACGAGUGCGAGAGCUACUUUUUCGAUCUUCCGAUACCUCGUCUCUGGCCCUAGAAAAGCUUUGCUGGUGCAAUACACUAGUUUAUGUCCUUCCGAAGUUUCUCUUACUAGAACAGCGCUGACUGCGUCAGAAGAAACGGAGAGGUAGAGGUACAAUACUUUACCUUGAUUAGGCCGUGAGAAAACUGGAGGUGCGGAGAGGGUCUCUUUGAUAUGCUUCAAGGAGGCUUCGCACUCGUCAGUCCAUUCGAACUUUGUCUCCUUUCUCAAGAGUUUGAAGAAAGGUAACGCGUGUUGAGCGGAUUUGGCGACGAAUAUGGAGAGUGCAAUCAACAUUUCGUUGAGUGUUUGGAUGCAUUUCCUAGAGUGGGGUGUGGGGAUUUCCAUAAAUGUGUGGCAUUUAUUUGGAUUUGCCUCAAUUCCUCUUUCUGUUAGAUAGAAACCAAGGAACUUACAUGCUUGAACUCCGAAAGUGCAUUUUUCAGGGUUGAGUCGCAUGUUGUACUUCCAGGUUUGUUCAAACACUCUCUUGAGAUUGGAGGCAUGAUCAACCUCUUGUUGGGAUUUGACAAUCAUGUCGUCCAUGUAGACCUCAAGAAUGUAUCCCAGAAGUUCCUUGUCGUAGACUUUGUUCAUCAUUCGUAGAAAAAUAGUCCCCGUAUUUCGUAGAGCGAAGGGCAUUACGUUAUAGUAAUAGUUCCCUGAUUCGGUCAUGAAGGCUGUUUUCUUUUUAUCUUCCUCAGCCAUGUGUAUCUGGUUGUAACCAGAAUAGGCGUCCAUGAAAGAUAAAAGUUUGUAGUCGCAGGAAUUAUCAACGAGUUUAUAUGUUAGGAAGUGGAUAUGCGUCUUUAGAGCAGGCCCUAUUAAGAUCGGUAUAAUCAUCACACAUACGCCAUUUUCCAUUAGAUUUCAUGACAAGUACAACUUUGGAGAGCCACAUAGUGUAUUUGGCCUCAGAAAUAAAAUUUUCCUCUAGGAGGUCUUUUACAGCUUUUUCUACAGCCUCUGACUUUUCAGGAGACUGCUUUCUACGUUGCUGAGCUACAUCGCUAACACCAAGGUCAACUGUCAGUUGGUGACAGGCGACGCUUGGGUCGGUUCCGGGCAUUUCGGCUGCACUCCAGGCGAAUAGAUCAGCAUUCUCCCUCAGAGAGGCGACCAACUUUGCUUUGACAAGUUCAGGAAGAUCCUUGCCGAUCUUGAAGUUCUUCGAGGGGUCGUUUCUAAAAGGAACCAACUCAAAUCCCCUGUUAGGAAUAGGUCUAAGAAGUUUCGCGCUGAGCAGGUCCUUUUCCCUCUUUUGUUCCUUGAGGUCUUCCUUGGUGAACCUGGGGUCAAGAUCGACCAAGUUUGCAUCCAGAGUGCUCGUAGCAGCUUUUCCAUCGCCAUCAGCAGGUUUGCUGGAUUGGGAAACCGAGUUCUAGGUUUUGUUUUCCUGAAGAAAUCAUCUUCUUGCAGCUUCGAUGUCUUCGUUCAAGGAGGCGAAGAUGCCAUCCUUUGCGUGGUAUUUCAACUUCAGAUGAGCGGUUGAACAUGCAGAGUCCAACUGGGCGAGUCCGUUCCUCCCUAUAAUGCAAUUAUAAAGAGAAGGACAGUCGAUCACCAGGAAUGGGAUCUUUAUUGUUUUCUUGGCCUCCUUUUCGCCGAAGGUGACCAGCAGCUCUAUGUAGCCCCAAGCCCUUAGGAUCGAACUCUUUCUCUAAAUCAUCAACUUCAGAUAUCAAAUCAUAUUUGGCUGGUAAAAUGGAAACCAAAUUGCAUAUGACAUCAAAGUCUGGUUUUCAAUCUGUAAAUCCCGAUCCUAACUCAUUAUCCUCAUUAGGAUCAUCUUUGACUAUAGGAAGAGAUAACCUCUCUUUUGUUGGUCUUCUAUUGGAUUCGACCAUUCUCUGAUCUCCCUUCGGGUCAACAGUUUCCUCUUUAAGGCUUGUAAAAAUGCCUUUCUUGGACCUCUGGUACCUCCUCCACUGAGUUCUUGUCAUGGGAUUAUUUACCUUGUAGUUGUUGUAAUGAGAAAACUUCCUCGACUCAAAGGCAGUACCAUUUUUGUUGUUAUCCACAACACUGGUGUUUCUUUUCACCAUAUUGUUCUUCCCAUGUUGCACAUUCUUGUGGGUCGAUUGAACCCAUUUUUGGUUUGGUGCAUAAGGGACCAAAGUUUUUCCGUGACCACUCUGAUUGACAUAAUUGGAGGUUGAAGAGUUAUUGAUGAAAUGAAUAUAACUCUUUGUAAAGGAAAACGUAGGUAUAUGAUCAGCAGACCAUUUCCCCCUUUUCUUAGGUUUUGGGAUAGAACCUUCGAGGCCUUUAGUUCUCUUUUUGUCAAACACAACACUACAUCUAGGGCAGAGCAUUACCUCAAAAUUCUCUAGCUUGCAUCGAUUGAGAAAGUCAAUCAAUUAUUCUUCAACUGUAGGAUAGGCUGUCUUUAGCUUCCCGUCGAACUGAGGCUCUAAAGCAGUCUCCUCGACGUGUUCUGCAUCUUUCGUGAUGUGCACUAUUUGACAUUCUGCAACUUCAAUUUCUGCUUCUAUUUCUUCUUCGACAGACAGGUUCUCGACCACAUCAAUGAUUGUUUCGACCAUAUUGCAGCCUACAAUGUCAGUGUACAUCAUGCUCGCAUCUUUCAAGGGAUCAGAGUCUACUUGCAUUUGAAACUUUGGCUUGUUUCCAAACUUCAGUCUGCCUUCAUUAAGACCUUCUGAACCAAAUCCCUAAAAAGGUAACAUCGAGAGGUGUUAUGUCCCAAGAAGUUAUGAUAUUUACAAAAACCUCUUUUCUGACGUUUUUCUAGUGGUGGGAUUUUUACAUCCUUAGGAACGACGACUUGACCAUCAGCAACUAAGAGAUUAUAAAUCUCGUCGCAUUUGGUUACGUCGAAGGUAUAUGUCUUAGGGACAUAUCUUUCAUUGCUUGUUUCGACAGGACUAUUCCCAUCGGAAGGUCUUAACAAUUUACACAUAUAAGGGGCCCUGGUUUCAACUCAGCAAUAUCAACCUUCUUUAUUUCGACUUCGGCAAAGGCUAUGUCAAAUUCUUGGUUGCUUUCUUUUGAUGCGACAAAAGCAACCUUUUCUUUCCUGAAAUGUUUUCGAGUUCUAGCUUUUUCAGACUUUAGUCUUUCGACAUGUCGAACUCUAUCGGCCAACUGGGCCAUGUCUCUCAAGUGUUGAGUGUACAAUUUCUUCCGAAUGGAAUAAUCUAGGCCACCAACGACCAUUUCGACUAACUCAUGUUCAGGCACUUGAGUGAAACAUCUUUCCUUUAACAAUCAGAAUCUAUUGAGGUAAUCAUUAAUGGAUUCAGCGAAAGUUCUCUUAACAUUCGCUAAUUCCUUUAGACUGAUCUUCGAUUGGCCCAUGUAGAAUUGUUCAUGGAAUAACCUUUCCAAUUCAGUACAAUGUUGGAUCGAAUGUGGUGCAAGAGUAGUAAACCAUGUUAAGGCAUUCUUUGUUAAGAGAAUUGGGGAAGAAUUUCAACCUUAAAUUCUCAUCAUUUGCUAGGUCUCUUGCCUCCGUCAAAUAUCUUCCGAUAAGUUCGACAAUGAACUCACCGGUAUCCCCUGCAAAAUUGGUGAACUUAGAAAUUUUAUAACCCCUUGGAAGUUCAUAUUGUAAUACCAAUUACGACAAAGGAGAAACAAAGUUUGGCCUAUGCAGGCCAAUAUUUAAACCAUUUUGAGCCAUUAUAUUUUCGACCAAAUUGGCUAUUAUGUUAUGUUUUGUUGUCGAACAUUCCGAACAACUUCAUCGACAUUAUCAUUUCGAUGUAUCAAGAUCACUUCAGGUUGACCCUUUAUUACUGGUUCGACCGGUUGGGGUUGAGGCACAUAUUGUUGCCUCUUAACCAUUUGUUCAACUAACCGCAACAGUUGUUGAUUUUGUAUUUGUGUAACCGGAUGAUAAAUCGGUUGUGGGGGUGCAAAGAAAUCUUCUAUUCUCCCCAUGUGUGUGGUUAAGGCUUGGUAACUCCGGUUUGUGUCCCUUAUCAAAGGAUUCAACACGGUACCAAUUUUUUGUGUCAACAAAUUAACCAUUUCGUGGUUACUCUCAUCCAUUUGUUGUCUUAACAAAUUCAUCAAUGUGUUGUCAACGGUGGUAGAGUAUUCCGACCAAAAAUGCUAGAACUUGAGGGACUAUGUACGUUGUGCAUUGUGAACGGAUUUGCUUGGUCUGUAAAAACGAAAGCACUACUAUGUAAAUUUGCCAUCAUCAAAGGUGGCAUACCAUACAGUUGUUCCCUCGAAAUGUUCCGUACACUUACAUUUCGAUCAUCAAGUCUAGGCCUGUUUGAAGGAGCACUAGUACUUGGCAUGUUGGAAGUCGAAGGAACACCAGUGGUGAAUGGGAGUAUAAUUGUUCCCAUUUCUGGUCGUGUCAUUUGAGUGGACGUCGAAACGGUUGGAGGAGCAGUUACUCCCAUUUCUGUCGAGCCUGGAAUAGCCAUGGUUGCCCACACAGGGGUUGACACGUUUAAAUCUCAUAAAGGAGAGGUCGCUUGUAAAGGUUGUGCUUGUGAAGAUGAUUGUGAAGAGGAUGAACUGGCACGAGCCAUAGAUUUACCACUUCUCAAAUGCAUACACAAACAAUCUUGAUGUUUUUAGCAAUAAAGUUACCCGGAAAUAGUAACAAAACUCUAAAAAUGGAUCUAUUCAAAGAGAUAGAUUUUGAAAAUGAUUUUUGAUUUUUGAAAAAGUUUUUGAAAAUCAAUUGCAAUAAUUGGGUCCAAUCGGGCAUGCCAAUUUGUUUGCCUGUGAUUUUGGCAAACGGGGGCAUGUUCUGAUUAUUACAAACGAGAUCGAACUAGAAAUCUCAAGACCGUUGUGAAAAGGUUUUUUUUGUAGGAAAAGAUUUGAAAAAAGGCCACGAAAUGCACUCAGGUUGCUUAGAGAGCAGGAAGGGUUUGAAAGAAAAGGCAUUGUCUCUUGACAGGUUUGAGUUUGCAAGUAAAAAGCUUAAAAUAAAGCAAGAUAAAAGUAAGUUUACGCACGUAAACUCAAGGAAAAGGUGAAAUGCAAUGCAUUAAAAUAAAAGGGGCGGUCUACAAAUCAGUUUACAUACAUUCUAUAUUACUCGUUUCCCUAGACGCUGGUAGUUUGAGUGUUGUAGAAAUCUGUAUAUGAUUUGCGACCCUCUUUCCGGCUUGGAAACUACUAUUUAUACUAAAAACUAGAUGGCGAACCACUAAGCCCAUGAUCAGCACUUCCUCCAUCUUGGACAACUACUUGUCCCACGUUUUCCACUAAAAGGAAACCGCCUCAUUGCUUGAAAUCGUGCUUUCCCGCCUUUUGCUUGUCUUCGAUACGAAAUUGCUCUUUCAGCCUUACUUCGUCGAAACUCUGAUUAUGCGCCUUAGGCUUAAAGCUUCAUCGAAAUUCUUCAAUUGAAAUGAGAAAGCUCUUCGAUUCCUGCAAAGCAAAAAGGUCAAAAAAAUGUCGACCAUAUUAAACGAGCCUGUGAAAUUUACAGGUAACACUGCUCUAUUUACUUAAUGAUCUUCAUGUCAAAACAGUCAAGCUUCCAGUGUUAUAUUUUGAUAAUCAGAGUGCUUUGCACAUUGUAGCUAAUCCAAUGUUUCAUGAGAGAACAAAACAUCUUGAAAUUGACUUCCAUUUGGUUAGAGACAAGAUUCAAGCUGGCAUCAUGAAGCUUCUUCCUGUUUCCUCUAAAGACACGUUAGCAGAUUUUUUAACUAAGCAUUUGCUUCCUCAACCAUUCAACAUUCUAUUAUCCAAGCUGGGAAUGCUCAACAUUUACCAUUCUCCAGCUUGUGGGGGGAUAUUAGAGAAUGAAGAGAAAGACAUGAAGCAUAAUGCUGUAUCUUGAGGCACAAGUCACAUAGUUACUUGAGCUGCAAGUUACCUUUCCUUUUGCAUCUUUAGCCUUAGUGAAUAUGAUAGUUGCCUAUAAAUAGAUGAUGUAACUUCAUUUUACAAUCAAUGAGAAUGAGAUCAUUUUACAUUUCUUGCUUUCCAUAACAGUGAUCUUUAAUUUUAAGACUCCCUGUUUCUGAUUUUUUUGCUCUGGGUUAAAUAGAAAGAAUAAACCAUUCAAAACCAUAGUAGAGGAGGCAAAUCGAAUGAAAACAAGGGGUAAGUUGUUCUACCACAAAUAUCCUUAUUAAGUUCAUGCAUUGUAUGGCCAGUCUCUUUAGCUAGAAAAAUAUAUUUUGACAUCUUCAUUCAGACACCACUGCUAACAUUAUAUGGUGAUAAUCAUGCAGUAGUUGAUUCUUAAACUAAAAAUAUCAUUACUUCUUUCAACAUAUUGUACUUUUCUCAACCCCUUAUGCACAUCUUUAUCAUCUUAUAUCCCUGAUUGAUGAAGACAUUUUGACAAUGUUUUAUUUUUUUAUCUUUUAAUUUUAGUAUGACAAUGUUAGCGUUUACUCUUUUAACAGACACUGUUUUUGAUAACACACUCGCUCACCUGAUAACAGGUGACCCAAUGGAUCUUGAAGAGACUCUGAUACCAUCUUAGAAAUCGUGGUUGAGCUUAACACAACCCCACAAAACCGGCUUGUGAGAUGAGGAUUACCCCCACUUAUAAACACAUUGUCAGGCCAUGUUCUAUCCGAUGUGGGACUCUUAACAAUAGUAAGUCUCAAAAGAUUGCAAGAUUGAAAAACAAUGACAAAAAAGUCGAUUGUGAAAGCAAAUGUGAGUUACAACAACGUGAGUUACAAAGGUUUUUUUUUUUUUUUAGGGAAGUUACAAAGGUUUUUGUAUACGGGUGGUUCUAUUCUUUUUUACAUAUUAGUUAAUCAAAUUAUCACAGUAACAGUUUUUUUUUUUUUUUUUAGCAAAGGCAAAAUUAAUGCAUUUCAUUCAAGAACAAAGAGUACAAAGUUGAAGGUACACAGCAACCCUAUUAGCUUGCCUCCUAAUAUACGACAGUUUAAAGUCGGUAUUUGUAAACAAGAGACCUCUACAUUGAGAAAUAAUGUCUCCAACUUCAUUGAGGUGAGUGGAGGUAGUGUGAAUGGCAUCAGCAAGGGUUAUACAAUCUGUUUCAAAGCGGACAGUUUGGAAUCCCAAAGAGACUGCCAAUUUUAUCGCCUCUGACAAUGCAGUAGCUUCAGCUUCUAAAACAGUCAUCGAGGAUGGAAAAAACGCAGAUUUUGCCAUUAAGAGUUGCCCCUCAGAAUUUCGAAAACAGAUUCCAUAUCCAACAAUUGUAUUAUGGUGGAAAAUUGCUGCGUCAACGUUGCAUUUUAUCACUCCACGAAUGGACUUGUAUGCACAGUAAUAGUUGAUACAAGAUAAUUUGGAUAAUUUUUGCAUCUUUUUUACACUAUUCAAUAUUUCAUAUGUAGACGUUGCAAGUUUUUUUUCCUUAGCUUUCUAAUAAAACUAAUAAUCCAAAAAUGAGUUGUGAGCCUUGGACUUGAUCACGCUAAUCUUAUUGCAACAACGUAUUGGUAGGUACAUUUGCGAGCUUCAAUAUAAGAAAGAAAAUUGUAUACUUCUUUGUACUCAUGAAGUGCCAAAUAUUGAAUUACAAUUUACGAUAGCAAGAGUUCCAAAAUUAGUGUUGAACUUAUUGGACAUGUUUGUUUAUAGGAUGUGUUAAAGGAGUAGAAAAUUAAUGGCAGAAAGAGUAAGCUUAUUGAAAUCACUUUGGAAGAUUCUGAGUAAGUGUUACUGUUGUGAAUUCGUUGCAAAAAUUAGACCAAUAAAAUAUUUGAUGUAUGGAGCAAAAAUAAUCAAGCAAUCAAAUUAAAUGGGUGACAGUUGUAAAUAGGGAUGUUCAUGUCCAAUCCAAUCCAAAGCAAACCGCACUAACCGAACCGAAAAACCAAAAACCGAAAAACCGAAAACUCAAAAAAAAAAAAACCACAAUUUUAAAUGGAUUGGAUUGAUUUUCGGUUCCCUUAGUAUAAACCGAUCCAAUCCAAUCCAAACCGAAAUAUUUAUACUUGUAUAUAUAUUAUUAUAUGAUUUUUUUUAUAAAUGUUUCCUUAAUUUAUUAUUAUGUAACUAUUUUCUAGAAUUGUUCUUUAAUAAUGUUGACUUUUUUACGAUUCUAUAAACCCUAGAAUACGAUACUUAACCUUAGAAUUGUUCUUUAAUUCAUUCAUUUUCAUCCUCUCGUCCAAAUUCACACCAUAACAACAACAUAUUAAAAUUUAAGACAACCCUUUCCAUCAUAGAUUAAGAUACUUUAAAGUGAAAAUAUUCUCUCCCUUACCUCGAAUUCUUCAGAAGUUAUGACUUGACGGCUAGGGUUUUCUUCUCUGCUCCUCAUUUCCAUUUCCAUUUUUUUACAUUCAGCAAUACCGACUCUUCUAAUUCCUAACCUUUCUAUUUAUAUUAGGGUCGGUCACUUGUUAAGAUUCUCUUUUUCUCUACUCAUUAUUCUUUUACUCCUCCCCUCCCCCACUUAUAUAAAACUUAUAUUCUACACCCUCGACUCUAUAUCAUUUAAUUUUGAUUUCUCCCUUCAUUUUAUUUAAAUUCUCAUACUACUUCUAAAUCAUCAUCAAUAUUCCAUUUUAUCAACAACAAAAUAAUACUCAAGCACAAACAACAUCGAUAAUAAUAUUAAUCAAAACUUCACCUAUUAAAUAUCAUUGAAUUAAAUAAAACAUAAAAUUGGGGUGUUACAACCGCCAUUGCUAUUUAGCCAAAAGACUCAUGUUCACUAACCGCACAUCUUUCGCACCCAAACCUCCUUUCAAUUUCAGAUGACGAACCUUUAUCAAUUUAACCUAACUUAUCUUCCUACGCCCUCCCGUCCCUUGCCCCUAGAUAAAUUCCCUUUGAAUCCGUGUCACCUUCCUCCAAACUUUCACCGGAAUUUUCAUGUAAGAAAGAUAAAAAAAAAAAAAAAAAAAAAGUAGGUAUCCAAUUUAGCAGCACUGAAUUAAUGAGCACAGUUCUACCCCAAGACUCACAUAUUUGCUCUCCCAUGUACUCAAAUGCGUAGAAAAUUUCUCCAACAUUGGCUCCCACGUUGCCAUUUUUUGGAUUUGUCCAAACCGGUAACCCCAAAUACAUAAAAGGAAUUGUACAUUCACUACAAUUCAAAAAGUUACAAGUCAUCUCCUUAAACUCACGACCAAUAUUUAUUCCCAUCAACGAACUCUUCCAAAAUUAAUCUUCAAUCCAGACGCCAUCUCAAAACCGCUAAGAAUAGCCUACAAUGUCCAAAGAUUCUCCACCGUUGGUUCCCCUAUACAUAAUGUAUCGUCCUCAUAUCGAAGGCGGGAAAUGUGAAUUCAUUAAGUAUCCCCUUUGAACCUGGUAAAAAUAUUCUUCUCCACCGCACUCUUCAUCAACCCUCCAAAACCUUCCGCCACCAAUAGACACAAUGGCUACAUUGUUUUAAUAGUCAAGUAUUACAUCUUUUUUAUGAAAGGUCUCUACUCAAUCAUUGCAACUUUCCAAAUUUAUUAUAUUUUGGAAAUUUCUCUCAUAGUAGAUAUGUGUGAUAAUAAGCCAAUUGUAACUUCAGAUUGUCUUCCUCGCCAUCCAUCUCCGCCACACUUUGGGUUGGGUCUCAUAAUUUCAUAAACAAUUUUUAUUAUGGAUUUCUUUCCAAUCAUAAACAACGUUCUGAAUUGAACAGUUGCACCAUCGCUGUUGGUGGUGCUGAGCACAAGUUACAAAAACCAACAAAAACCAACAAGCACAAUUCAAAAUUGGCCUCCAUUGAAGCUUCCUCAAAUAUAAAAGCAUGCAACUUUAUGAUAAUCAAUACAAAUUAAUACAAAGACCGAUGAAGCUAAGUGGACACAAAAAAAGUCAUCAAAUGAUUUACAUUUUUAUAUACUAUAGCCAGGCCCAUCCUUAUCCUUGGAGGUAGGGGUGGGAAUAGGCCAGACCGUCCGUCGGGAGUCUAUGGCCUGGCCUACUUAAAGUCUGACUCGGCUUAACUCGUUUAUUAUAUAGGUUAGGCUCAAGCUUUUCAAAAAGUUUGUUAAUUUAUAUAGGUCGGGCAAAGGCUUAUAGAAAAGCCUACCAAACCCGCCUAUUUAUUUAGGUGACUUAUUUUGCAACUAUGACAUACCCAAUGCUUGUUAAGGUAUUGGGGUUAGAUGAAUAUUGUAGCUUGCAAACAAGCAUUGGGCUAAAUAUUGUAGCUUGCAAAAGAGCAUUGGGCAAAUAUUGUAGCUUGCAAAACACUUUUUUUUUCCUUCAAAAAAAAAAGUCAUGCCAUCAAUAAAUACUUUUUUUUUUUUUCCUUCAAAAAAAAAAAAGUCAUGGCAUCAAUAAAUAAUAGUAAUAGGAUGGAGAUCGAACAACUCAUCAUAUUUUAAAUUCAGUAAAUCAGAUUUAAAAUGCAUACUUGAGAGAUGAAUCGUUAUUCAUCCAAUAACUUUGAUUCUUUAUCAACUAUUACGAUGACAUGAUUAAUAAAAUGGGACCUAUUGAUAUUUUCCAAUUUUUGAAAAACAUGAGCUUUUUUCUUAAUACAAUUGUUACAUAUAUAAUUUUCUUCGCUAUUUUUUAUGUUUACGGAUUUUAUUUUCAAUUAAAAUAGAAGAUUGCUCUUCUGAAAAAAUUGUUUUUAUUUAAUUACGGAUUUUUUUUAUACUAUGAGAGCGAACCUCCAAUUCUAUGGCUCUGACUAUAGCACAUACAUUCAAAUGGGUUGUUAUAUGUUUAAUAAAAGCAUAAUAAUCUUAUAGUUCUGGUCAUUUCUUGUAUUUAUUCUACCUUAGCCUUAACACAUUUUUUAAGCUUAUCCUACUCAUGCCACCACCAAAAACAAUAACAACAACAAGCAACUCUUUGUGUCUGCAAAAAUCAUAGGAGUUUGAUUUUCAUGUUUUUUUUUUACUCUUUAAAUACAAAAUUUUAUCCACUUUGACUUUAAUAGUGCUUGUACCGUAUUCUAAACAUGGAAAGAGGAUGUUGAUGGAGAGGGGUGGAGAGAUUAGGGAAAGUGAGAAUAAAGAUUAAAAAAUUGGUGUUGUCGGUGUAUGUUAAUAACUAUAGAGCUUCAUUAUUUAACGGUUAAAAACAAAGAAUUCUGCUCAUUAUUCAAAUAGUAUCGCUCGUUCCUAAAGUAAAUGUCCAAUAUAUCUCUGCGCAUGUUAACAUGCGUACCGUGAUUUAAGUUGCGCUACGUGACUUAAGUCACACUACAUGCUCUUAUUUUCUGGUUACAUUUAGUCCUUUAUUCUAGGCUAAAUUACAUUUUUGGUCCUCUAACUAUUUAAUUUGGUACGGAUUGGUGCUCUAACUAAAAAUUGAUUUAUUUCGGUCCUCUAAGUUUCUCACCGUUACUACAUUUAGUCCUUUCUGUUAGUUUUAUACAAAUAUACGUUAGGGUUUGUGUUAUGUGGGUCCUCUAACUUUAUUUAUUAGUAUCAUUUUGGUCAUAUGUCUUGUUAAGGUAUUAAGAUUAAAUAGUUACUGAUAUUAUUGGUAGCUGUUAUGGUUCAUAUGUAUGUGUGAAACAGGAGGUCAGAUAGCCAUAUGACACAAACUCUAACGUUUAUUUGAAUAAGACUAACAGAAAAGACUAAAUGUAGUAACGGUGAGAAACUUAGAGGACAGAAAUAAAUCAAUUUUUAGUUAGAGGACAAAUCCGAUACCAAUUAAAAAGUUAGAGGACCAAAAAGGUAAUUAAGCUUUUAUUCUAAAUUAUUUUAUUUACUUUAUUCUAAAUUAUUUUAUUUACUUUAUUCUAAUUUAUUUUAUUAACUUUAUUCUAUAUUAUUUUGUUUACAUUAAUCUAAAUUAUUUUAUUUCCUAUAUUCAAAUUAUUUUAUUUACUUUAUUCUAAUUUAUUUAUGCACUUAAAAUAAAUAUAGAUUCGAUAUUAUUCAUUAAAUAAAUACAAAUAUAAAUAAAAGUAAAUGAACUAAAUUAAUAUUUAUUCAUUAAAUACAAAAUUGGAAUAUAAAAGCAAAUAUAAAAUAAAAAGGAAUGAACUAAAUUGAGGCAUAUAACAAUAUCUCAUUUUAUUAAUAAUUCAUACAAUACAAUAAUUUAUUCAAAUUCACUACUUAUUUUCUCUUUCUUUGGGGUAAAAAGUGAACAAUCUUCAAGGGGUAAAAUAGUGAGCAGCCUUCAUGGGGAAAAUACAUCAUCAACCCUUGGGCUAAAUUUAAAUUUGAUUUUUUUUAUACCCCAAGAAGAAUCUUUUUACCCACGGUAAAUGUAACACCCCAAAUUUCUAUUUAAUUAAUUUUGUGAGGUUAAAUAGGUGGAGUCGUGUUUAUUAUGAUUAUAAUGUUGAUUAGUGACGUACUAUGUGGGCUAAUAGGAUGAAGAGAAGAAUUAAGUAAAUAUAUAAUACAAAGUCGGAGGUGUAGAAUAUAAGUUUUAAAUAAGUGGGGGAGGGGAAGAGUAAAAGUAUAGUGAAUAAAGGAGAAAAAAGUUAUAACAUGUGAUUGACCCAAGUAUAAAUAGAAACAUUAGGAGUUUUUUUUUUUUUUUUAGAAAAGGAAGCUUAUAGCUUUUCAUUAUUAAUCAAAGUAGUUAUACAAUGUGGAAUAUUAAAAUAUAGUUGGAAACUAGCAUGUGAUAAUGCUUCCCUAGCUAAACUAUGGGCAACACCAUUGGCUUGUCUCCUAAUUAAACUCACAUCAGAGUUUGUUAAAUCGGUCAUCAGCAAGUGUCUACAAUCAUGGAUAAUUGCCAUAAAAUCAGAGACACCAUUUCCUUUAUAAAUUUUAUCUGUCACAGUCUUUGAGUCUGUUUCGAAGUCCAUGCUUACCAUGUUAAGCUCUUUUGCCCACUGCAUUGCUUACAAAAGCCUUAUAGCUUCACCCAUCUCAAUGUCAAGUAAAGGGGAGAUAGAGGCUGUUCUGGCUGCGACAAAAUUCCCUACCUCAUCCCGUAUACAAGCUCCGAUACCAACCUUAUUAAGCGAGGCGGAAAAAGCUGCGUCUGUAACAGCCCGAUUUUUAACUAGUUUUAUUUUAAUUACUUUUAUUGUGUGAUUGUGUGUGAUUAAUUGUGAUUGUGUGUAUUUUAUUGUCAUCGGGUGCAUUUAAAUGGAUUACCGUAUUAGAAGGGUAUUUUGGUCAUUUGGCGGGUAAGGGUAAAAUGGUAAUUUUGGUGAGAAUUAUUUUUAAUAUUAAGUGAGAACCCUUAUUUUACUAAGUUACUAGUGUGGUGAUUAGUUUUUACCGUUUAGUGACCGUUGGUUAUAAUUUACCGUUGUUAGUAUUUAUCGUUGAGUGUAUAGAAACUUUCUAGAAUUGUGGUGUGAAUAGAAACGGGUUAAGCCCACUAAAACUAAGUUAAGCCCACUAGGGGGAAAUAACAUUAGGGUUGUGAGAGCAAAUUCAUUCAUUCCUUUUCAUUUCACUAAGUUAGAGAGAGGAAGAGAGAGAAGUGAGAGGUGAAGGAAGAACAAGGGUUAGAGAAAGGGGAAAACUUGAAGAUUGGAGAAUUAGGAGCUAAAGUGAAGCUCAAGUUUGAAUUGAUCAUAACCUAAGGUAAGGGGGUUAGUCUUUAUCAUAAUCAUAAUUGUUAGUUUGCAAUUUUUCUUGGUUUGUAUGAAAAAGUGCUUAAUUAAGUGAGAAUUCAUAUGAACCCAAUCUCUAAUUUUCGUGCUCUUGUUUUGAUGAUAAGAUUGAGUAUGUUAAUUGAAUGAUAAAUGAAUUGUUGGUGAUGAAAUAACAUGUUCAUAAUGUAUGAAAAUGGGUUGUUGUGAAAUUAUGCUUAAUUGAUGACUUAUGACAUGUUGUUGUUGAAUUAAGGUGAGAAUCAAGUUUCAAUUGAUGUUGUUGUUGCUGAGACAUGUUGUUGUUUAUGAUUUAUGGCUUGGGUAUUCAUAAAUCAUGAUUGUUUGUGAGAAAUAAGAUGUUGUUGGUGGUUUUGUGAAAUUGGUGAAGUUGAGUUAACUGUUCAUGUGAAGGACCAAAAUGAACUUUUGAUAUAUAUAUAUAUAUAUGGUUGUUGACUAAAAUUUUGUUAUUGUUGGAUGAAUUGAACCUAAGAGAAUUUUUGUUUUCAUGUUGUGGUUAUGUUAGUUGAGUCGUUUGGGAGAAAACAGGUUUUUUGUGUGAAAUGUCAUAGUUUAAGCGUUUUCGCCAAUAAGUGAUUAUGUGAGGUUUUGGAAAAUGACUUUUGGGAUGGUUGAAACAUGAAAUUUUUGUAGAUUAUGUUAGAGUCAAGUGUCAGGAGCGUGUAGGCGAAAACGGCGUCAAAAUCCGAUUAACGGUUUGAAUUUUAUUCGCGAAAUGGUGAAAACGGAAAAACGAAGAAAAAGAUGUGCUGUCAGACGAGCACGGCCGUGCGUGUGCAUGGCACGGUCCGUGCCUAAACCCUGCCUAUUUUUGGAACGGCCGUGCGUGUGCACGGCACGGGCCGUGCGUGCUGACAGGACUUCAGUUUUCUGCGUUUUUGUGCUUUUUCACCCAUUUCCGUUUUGAAUUGGAUUUUGAUGUAAACAUGAAAGUUUUAGGUAAUUUUGUUAGCUUUCUAAUGGCCUUGGUUUGACGUCCAAAUGAUUUUUAGAACUUGAGUUAUGAUCAAAUUACUACACAUGGGUCAUGCGGAUUUUUGUGAAAACUUAUCAUAAAUAUUUUUAUAAGCCGUGAAACUUUUCCAAACUUAGUAAUGGGUUAAUGAGGUACUUAGAGUGAAUAAUUGAAUAUGCAUGUAUAUGUUUGAAGUAUGAUGAUUAUCGUGAGAAACGUAUGCUAAUUGCUUGGAAUAUGAGAAUUCUCGAAUUGGUAAAACCAUAUGUGAUAAGUGAUGUUUGUUGAUUAUUGAAAAUCAUGUAAUCGAUGUUGGAUGACAUUGUUGAUUAUUGAUAAAUAUGUUGAUGUGUGAUGAUGAAUACUAUGAUUUAUUUGUGUGGGCAUGUUUUCUUGAUAAUGCAAUGUUGUGGAGAUAAUCAAUAUANNNNNNNNNNNNNNNNNNNNNNNNNNNNNNNNNNNNNNNNNNNNNNNNNNNNNNNNNNNNNNNNNNNNNNNNNNNNNNNNNNNNNNNNNNNNNNNNNNNNNNNNNNNNNNNNNNNNNNNNNNNNNNNNNNNNNNNNNNNNNNNNNNNNNNNNNNNNNNNNNNNNNNNNNNNNNNNNNNNNNNNNNNNNNNNNNNNNNNNNNNNNNNNNNNNNNNNNNNNNNNNNNNNNNNNNNNNNNNNNNNNNNNNNNNNNNNNNNNNNNNNNNNNNNNNNNNNNNNNNNNNNNNNNNNNNNNNNNNNNNNNNNNNNNNNNNNNNNNNNNNNNNNNNNNNNNNNNNNNNNNNNNNNNNNNNNNNNNNNNNNNNNNNNNNNNNNNNNNNNNNNNNNNNNNNNNNNNNNNNNNNNNNNNNNNNNNNNNNNNNNNUUAUGAUUGGAUAAUUACUCAUGUGAUUGAUAUAUGUUGAUAUGAGCUAUCAAGUUGUGAUAUAAGUAUUUAUGCAUGACUAUUAUUAUUCAAGUACAUGAUAUUAUUUGAUUUAAUUGUUAUCUGGAUUAUGAGAAUGUAAUGCUUACCCCCAGUGGUUUUAACCACCUACUUGCCUGUAUGGGUGAGUAGACGUUGUGCAGGAGUAGUGCUCGGUGAGUCUAUGCGUGGGAUAUCGGGAGCUUUCUCCGAUAUCGGGUCGUGUCGGCUCAGAUCUAGGCUUGUCGUGUCGGUCUAGAUUAGGUUGUUUGUAUCUUCCAUUGGAUUAGGAUUUUGUUGAUGACUACCCGUAUGUUUGGGUUUUGAGAUUUAUCUUUGAGACAUGAUUUAUUUGCUCAUGGCAUGUAUAUAUUUGAUCACUCUGAUUUGUAUUCCG
rnacentral:lncRNA from 1 species